AUAGUAAAGGUUUGCUACUAUACUAACAAAUUCGAUCCAUAUUCGAAUAGCAAUGUUCAAUGACAUUAAUAAACCUUUCCAUUUACCCAAUCUGUGGCGAGGCCCUAGGGCUCGCCCAUGACUCACCUUCAAAUCCCAAAGUGGGGAGGGAGCUCCAAGUGCACCCAAGCCCGGGACCGUCUGCGGACCUCCAUGUGGUCCGGACCUCCAAGUGGUCCUAGUCGCGCGACACUCCGGAGUACUCGACGACAAUCCCCUCCAUGUGGGGAUUGGAUGGCUAUACCAUCCUAAACGCAGACUGUGAGCUAGAUCUAUCCUCUCCAAGUGAGGAUACACUGUAACUAGGGUCAACACCCAAUCCAAUCCUCUCCAAGUGAGGAGGCUCUACAACUAGAGUCAAUAACCCAAUCGAAUCCUCUCCAAGUGAGGACGCCCUACACUAGGGUCAACGACUAUCGCGGAAUCAUCGGUUCCCGACAUUCAUGCAAUGCUAUUUAGUUUUCUAAAUUCAUUGUUCACAAGGCAUUUUCUAAGGGAUCCACCUAUCCCUAGGUCCAUCGACCUCUAGUGUCAUUUACACUACAUUAAUGCCACUCGUCAUCAUUUAACAUUUGGAUGCCACUCGUGUGUUCUUUAACACUAAACACUACUUUCUAUGUCAUCAAUACCCCCAUCGGGUUCAUCUCUUUUCUUUCACAUCAUAGGAUCCACGUUCCGACCCAAUCCUCACCUAUCUAAGUUACCAAGCGUUCCAAGUACACUAGGUUAUCAAUUAGAAAGCAUAAGGAAUGGAGCUACUAUGCAAUCCUACAAUGCAACAUGAAGAGAUGAGAUCAAAUGCAAUCUAAGACAUAGAAAGGAGUUCGAAAGCUUCGGGAUGACACCCCCCACCUUUUACCAACGUAGAGGUUUUAGAAGCGCUCCUCGACGAGCUUUACGAAAAGGCUUUUGCCUUCCCUAAUCCAAGAUAGCGCCGAAACGACCGUAAUUCGCCGAUUGCUCUAAGCCCGCUCGACGAAUCGCGAAAUCGACUUCGCCCCCGCGUUUGGGCACCUAUCGAUGAGGUUUACAAGGCCUCAAAUGAGAUCAAUCUCAUACUUUACAAAAUGCCCCCAUUUGAAGCCCUAGGUUGCACAUAUAGCAAACCACCAAUAGAACCUUAGAUUCAUGGGAUUGAUCUACUUAGAAGCAUGCUUGGGGUCCAUUUGACCCAUUCCAAAGCAUAAAAACCCAAAAACCCUAAGUUUACAAAGCUAGGGUUUAGUAGCUUACCUCAAGAGCUACACCAAUGGGAAGAGGAGAGGGAGAUGGAGGUGCUCAAAGCCUUCCUCUUGAUCUCCUUCUUCUUCUCCUUCCUUAUCUUCCUCUUCUUUUCCUUCCUCUCCUUCUUGUUCUUCUUCUCCUUCUUUCCUUUCUAGAGAGAAAGAGGGAGCAAGAGAGAAAUGAGAGUAAGGGAGAGUGGAAUGAGAGAGUGUGAGGGAGAGAGAGGGCUCAGCCCACUUUAAUAAAGGCCAUUUUGCAUAAAAACCCCUCACUUUUCCAUUUAUUGCGCAGCCCUUACUGGGCAGUUUUCGCGCGGAGGGACCGAUCUCCCCGACUUGGGACCGGUCCUCAAGAGCUCUUCCUGCAGUCUGGGGACCUUUCGCGUUCGAGAACCGGUCCUCACCUGAGGGACCGGUCCCUGGGAGACUGGUCUCUCCUAAGAGACCGGUUCCCGAAAGGGGAACCUCAGGACUUAGCCAAAUUUAGGCUUUCUCUCGCGGGUGUCGCGCACGGGGACCGGUCCCCUCAGCCAGGGACCGGUCACAUCGGCCUUGCCCUGCGACCCUCAGCUACGGGGACCGGUCCUUCCCUCUAGGGACCGGUCCCCAAGAGCAAAAAUCUGCUGAGUCCAGAUUUUGUCUAUUUGCUCUCGCGGACUCCACUCCAAAGCACUUUUUGUGUUUUGGGCAUUUUUAACUCCCACAAAGGGUAUUCUCUCGACAGUCAGUCGAUCCUGGAUGAGGUACAAUCCUCGGAUUUCGAGAAUUCACUUCCUUACACUAUAUAUCUGCUGACAGCUUUCUUGUAGGCAUUGUAUUAGUAGCAUUACUUGGUUUGCUAUCUGCCCUUCUUUGAAAUACAUAUGCCUGAAUAGACCUAGUAGGUGAGUCGGCGUGGUCGGCGGCCGAACCCACUGGGAACUUCGUUGUAGUUCUCAUACAACCACUAACCCUGUAACACACUGGACCUUUGCAAAUUGCGAGGUUCGAGUGUUUGGAUGUAUUUCGAGCUUUUCUACACUUGGUGGAGGGUUGUAGAAUGUUUCCCGACCCGAAAAGUUCAAAAUCUGGAACUUUGGACAAGUCCUGAGAGUUUUUACUCUCGGGGACCGGUCCCUGGAAGGAGAGACCGGUUCCCCCAGUGAGCAGUGUUGAGGCAGCCUGAGGCAACCGGUCCCUGACAGGCGAGACCUGUUCCCGAACGCAUCUUCGCAGUGAGAGACCGGUCCCGCGCAGGGAGAGACCGGUUCCCGAACGCUGGUUUUUCGGGUUCGCAGCGAGAGACCGGUCCCUGCUGGGGAGAGACCGGUCCCUCUGGGCGAAAACUGCCCAGACCGGGCUGUUGCAAUAAUGGAUUUUUGAGGGGCCUCACUGGAUUUUGUUACAUUAGGUGGGCUUAUUAGCCAUUUCCUCCUCUUCCCUCUCCCCAUUUCUCUCAUUCUCACCCUCUCCCUACACUUUCUAGAGAGAGAAGAAGAAGAAGGAGGAGAAGAAGAAGAGGAGCUAGCUUGGAGGAGCUUGGAGCUCAACCCCUUUCUCUCUUUUCCACCUUUGCAAGGCUUGGAGCUUGCUUGAAGGGCUUGGUGGUGGACCAAUCUUCAACCCUAGAAGAUUUUGAGCUUGGAUUGGAGCAUCCUAGAGGUAUGUGGCAAGGUUCCUCCCUCUAGAUCUUAGUUUUGGAGCUUUUUGCUUGUUUAAACCCUAGAAAUGAGACUUAGGGUUGGUUUUGGGGCUUUUUGGUCUAGGGCUUUUGGGGCUAAAUUGAUCGGUCUAGAACCUUCCUAGGGCUUGGAUUGGAAGGGUUCUAGCUCUCUUUUAGAGCUUUGGAAGAGAUUUCUACUCUUGAGGUGAGUUUUGCCCCUUUUUGCUUCUAGGUUAAUAUUUGAUUUUAUAAGAUGGUUGUAAUGCCCUCGUAUCUCUUCGCUGAUUACUUUUAGGGUAUUUUGAGACUCGGGGACAACUUGGUUCGGCGAGGCGAGGCUCUACGCGACGGUUCGGUGGGUUUGACCUAGCCACACAAUGAGAAAUUCUCAUUUGUGUUUAAUUAAGUGUUGUUAAAUGAAAAAGCAUGCAUAUUCUUGUUAUAUGUAUUUAUUGUGAAUUUUAGAAUGCUUAAAAGGCCUAUGCUAUAUAUAAUGAAAUUUUGGACCUCUAUGUAGUAGAGAGUAGCUUAUUAGGCCAUAGUUGCAUUUAGCAUCCUAUGUGAGACGUGGUAUCAUGCUUCUAUAGUAUAAAUGAGUUCGGAUUCAUGCGUUUAAACCUAAGUUUACUUGUGACGUGAAAAUUGACAAGAUUGACAUUUAGAAGCUAUGUGAAUUAGAGAGCUAAUGUCAUCAAGCGGCAUUGAGCUCGGGACAGGUGUGAACUUAGUGGAUAGGGCCAUCGAGGGACUUGGGAUACAUGUUGGACACCAAAUUGCCAAAGUGUCAUUAAGGGGCACUAGGCGUAGCAAAUGUUGAAACUUCACAUUGUGAUUUAAACUAGAUCUUCGAGAUGCUAGUGACCUUACCAUGUUAGAGACAUGAGAAUUUGAUAUUUGAGACUUGGACUUUGCUUGCUUGCCAUUUGUGCUCAUUCGCACAUGCUUGUGAGGGUCGCUCCCUACAAGCCGGCACUCCGGAGUUAGCCUAUGCGACUUAUGUUCGCUCGUGCGGUAUCGAGAAGCCUACGGGGUCGAGUGGGACAGACACAUUCCAUGAGUAGGAAUGUCGGGCUACCACAGGCACUUAGGCGGCACAAGCUGGACUACCUUGGAUAGGUCCCUAAUUGGAAAUGGAAAUCGACACAGUUUGAGAAUGAACACUCCCUACUAGAUAGGGUUAGUAGUUGAGUUACAUUUAUAUGCUUUUAGCAUAGUAUUGAGACAUGUAGUAUACUUGACAGUUACCUAUUUCAUCACAGUAUGCUUGGUUGCCAUGAUAGAGCUUAUACAUCAUGUAUGAUUAAAGGGUUGUGACAGUAAACUAUUGCCAUUGGUUACUUUUCCUUAUGAUGGAAUAGAUGUACAACAGUUUGACAUCGUGCUUAUGAGGGAUAUAGUAGUAUAGCAUUUUUACUUAUGUUCUCUCUUUCAGCAGUUUAUUACAUGCUCCUUUUUAUUGCUCAUUAUUAUUAUCGUUGCUUACCCUUAUUUUUGGGGCCUAGUGGAGCAUGAGCUGAGGUCAGUAAUUGCCCACUGGGAACUAUAAAUUAUAGUUCUCACGCCCUCUUUUUCUCGAUGUUUUCAGAGCCUUCCACUCAGGGUGAGGCCAGGGAUCGCGGAAAGGGUAUCGCCUCGGGCUAGCGCGCUUAUCGAGGGAUCGUUCGAUAGGUGGUCUACCUCUCGUGUUUUCUUUUUGUGAGAGGUUGAGAGUUGUACCCGUAUAUGUGUAGAGAGACCACCAUUUUUUGUUCUACUUAUGGUUAUCCUUGUUUGACUAGCUUUAUUUCUCUACUUUGGUGUAGAUGAUAGAACUUUACUUGCUCUGAUAUCUCUAGUUGCUAGUUAUUUCAUUUCUUAUAUUUGUUCUAUCUCUUGCUUUUACUUCCGCUUUUAUCGUAGACGCCUUAUAUGUGUAGACAUAUGGCGGGUCUGGGCACGCUACCGGGAGGGCCUCCGCCGGUCCCGGGGCGUGACAAACCCUGCAGAUCCAUGCGCGAACGGGGCGGCGGAGGAUCGAGGCAAGGGAUUAGCACCGUAGAUAGCGGCCAUCGGAGUCUUGUAGGCAUUCCCUAUGUAUAUUCAACUUUUGUAUGUUGAACUAGAAAUGUAAAAAGAUGUAAAUAACAUAUUUUGGGAUGAAUGUCUAUGGGAUGUAAAUGAAUCGAAAAGAAUAAAUGUAAAUGUAUAGUACUUGUGUUUGAUUCAAAUGCAAUCAAAUGACGUGUGUUGAAUGGUUUAGUGUAAUAGCUUAGGUGCUUUCACUUAUGACUUAGAUGUUGUUUGCCCUCGAGCAAACCUUGUAUAAUUGCAUUCAUCUUGUUGAAUUGCUUGUAUUAUACUUGUUGAUUAGAGCCUUGGGCGGACAGGGGAGAUGCUGUCCGUUCGGCGUCUGUCGGCGUACCCGAACCGACCAAAUUGGCGGCCUCGGGGCAUGUCAGUAGAUGGGAUUUGUGGAUUGCACGUUUGGGGUAAACCAGGAGCACCCCGGGAUGAUUAGGUAAAGGCCAAAGAGAAUGAGUAAAAGCAAGCAUGCAUGCAUAUCAUUAUGAUUAUGAUUAUCUAUCUGUUGACAGCUUUCUUGCAGGCAUUAUAUUAGUAAUAGCAUUAGUUGGUUUGCUAUAUGUUCUUUUUUGAAAUACAUAUGCCUGAAUAGACCUAGUGGGCGAGUCGGCGCGGUCGGCGGCCGAACUCACUAGGAAUUUCGUUGUAGUUCUCACACCACCACUAGCCCUGCAGAUCCAUGCGCGAGCGGGGCGGCGGAGGAUCGAGGCAAGGGAUUAUUGCCGUAGAUUGCCUUCAAAGUUAUAGGCAUACCCUAUGUACAUAUUCAACUUUUGUAUGUUGAACUAGAAAUGUAAAGAGAUGUAAACUUUAUGUUUUGGGAUGAAUGACAAUGUGAUGUACAUGAAUGAAUGUAAUAGUUUAGUUUACUUGUAUUGGAUUAAAAUGUAAUCAAAUGACAUGUAUGUGGAAUGGUUUAGUGUAUUAGCAUAGAUGCUUUCACUUGUGACUUAGUUGUUGCUUGCCCUCGAGCAAGCCUUGUAUAAUUGCAAUCUCUUGUUUGAUUUGCUUGUAUUAUAUAUGUUGUUAGAGCUUGGGCGGACAGGGGAGGUGUUGUCCGUUCGGCGUCUGUCGGCAUGCCCGAACCAUGCCCGAACCGACCAAAUUGGCGGCCUCGGGGCAUGACACUAGGGCUAAAAUAAGGUUUUGGUAGAUAUGAGAUCUAACUAGGGUUUGAUCUCUUGUAGCCUUAAUUGAAGGAAAAGUUGACGCGUUGGGAGACUCGUAACGAGAUUCCAAUAAAUCUAAGCCAAGAAAUUAAGGAAAACCCCCAUUUCGGCUUCGUUUGCCAAGAGCGGCAAGUAAAAAUCGUGAAACUUGAAUCGUAGCCUUCCGGCAUCCCUACGAGGUGGGUGGUGCUUUCCGAAAUCAUCGAAUUUCUCUUUAUGUCUAAAUGUCACCCAUUGAGUAUGUAUAUGAAUAUGUAGGAUUUAUGCAUUGUAGGGUUAAAAUGAGAAUAUGUUGAUAUAUAUUGCUUGCAUGCUUUUAGUAUAAAGAUGCAUAUGAGUUGUUAAUAAGCUAUUGAACAAGUGUGAACCCUAUAGAUGUGUGAAUUGAGACAUGGACUAGUUGAGUUAAAGAACAUGGUGACACCGUGAUAUUAUGAUAAAUGAUUGAGAUAGCACUUUGUGACAUUGAAUGCUAGAGAAUAGAACACAUAGUGUGUUGUGGCAUUGUGGACAUGGCAUCCUCAUUAUUGUGAAUUGGAUCACACUCGCCUAUAAGUCUUGGCUUGAGGGUGGUAGCUCCCCCUCAAGCGCUGAGCUCCGGAGUAGUCAUCACUGGGUUGGAGUUUCCCUAGAGGACGGUCCCGUCGGGUUGUAGUGAGUAUCUCCCCGAUAGCAGGGAUUUGGUUUGUGAGUUUUUGGGCAAAAACUACGGGUGUACAAGCAUAAUAGUUGCAUUUGUUUAGAAUGGUUAUCUAUCUAUCUGCUUCUUCUACUUAUGCCUGGUUUAGACCUAGUGGAAAAGUCGGCGGAGUCAGCGGCCGAACCCACUGGGAACUUUCUUGUAGUUCUCACCUAUUGUUUUUACAGAUCCAGGUCCGAGCGAGGCGGUCGAGGACCGUGGUAAGGGUAUCGCACCCUAGAUAGCGACGACCCGAGUAUAGUUCAUACCUCGCGAUUUUCAUCUUCUGUAUAUGAUGAACAAAGUUGUAUAGUUGUAUAAAUGAUGUAAAAGACUUAUGUUUUGGGAGAAUGAUAAUGUAAGUAAGUAAAUUCUCGAAAUCCGAGAGUUGAACUUCGUUUGGAAUCGACUUAUUGUCGACUUGGUAUGCUUCGGAAAGUCCGAAUGUGGCGAAAACGCGAAAAGCGCAUUAGGGAGGACCUUGGAGAGUUGAGGAUUGCAAAGUUUGCAAGUUGCACAACUUCAUAACUCUCGGGGUCCGGACCCUAAAGGCAGGGUCCGGACCCCGUACCUGCGAAAAAGCUCCCAUGGGCUUGAGAAUCUCAAGUAUGCAAUUUGCACACUUUCGCAACUCUCGGGGUCCGGACCCUAGCUUUAGGGUCCGGACCCCGCACCACUAAAUGCCCCAUUUUGGGCUGUUACAAGGUGGCAAAGUUGAGGGGCUAAAAUGCAAUGUUACAUGAGUGGAGGCUACAUGAGAGCUCUUGCUCUCUCUCUCUUCUCAUUUCUUUCCCAAAACCUAACCUAAACACUCCUCUCUCUCUCUCUCUAGAGCUCUUUGCUCUCUCUCUCUCUUGAAGGUGAAAGGAGGAGUAGAAGGAGAAGAAGGUCAAUAAAGAAGCAUCAUCUUCUUUAUCUUCUUCCUCAAGUUGGAGAAAGCUUUUGGAGGUAAGCUCCAACCUUGUUAAUGGUGAAAUUCUAGGGUUAGGGUUAAAUACUCUAGAAUUGAUUUUGGGUAAACCCUAUGAUGCUAGUGGUAUCCUAAUUGCAUGUAUAUAGGGUUUGAAUGGAGUAGUUUGCACUAAUUGCAACCUAGGGCUCCGAAAUAGGUUUUUGGGAAAUCGAUGAGUUUGAUCUCAUUUGGUUGGUUGUAAACUCAAUUGGUUGUAAACGCAUCGGCGAAGUCAAUUUGACAAUUCGUCGAGUUGGUGUGAAGUCCUUGGCAAAAGGGACGGUCGUAGCCUUCGUUCCUAUUCGGAGAGCCGAAGCAACGUUCUAAGAGAUUGCCGAGUUCCGUUCCUUGAGUUGUAGCAUCGCCAACAGGUGGGUGGUGACCAUCCCGAAACAGUUGAACUGCUCCCUAUGUCUAAGUUUAUUGUUGACUAUAUUUGCAUAUUGAGCAUGAUACAUAUAGGGUGUUUAGAUGCUUGUAUCUAUUCUUGCAUGCUAGUAGUAGCUUCAUUGGUUUCGCACUUGAACCUAGUAUGCAUGAGGUUAGUGUGAUAUGGCUUAGAACCCUAUAUGAGAUGAUAUGUGAUGGAUUGGAACCUAGGUAAAUGAUAACCUAGUGAUUAUGUCUUAUGUGGAUGAAAACCUAGUAAAGUGUAAACUAGUGUAUUGGAAACAUGUAACAAGAACGAAUGGCAUCUAGUUAAUGUUGAACACAUGAAUGAGUAGCAUAUGAGAACCUUAGUGUAGUUGAAACACUAGGAUGUCGAGCAUAGGAACACAUUGAUUCCAUGAUGAUGAUAACCCUAGUUGGUAGGGUAUCCUCAGUUGACGAGGAUUGGAUCGAACUCACAUAGCCUGUCUGCGCUUGUAGUGGUCGCUCCACACAAGCUGUGCACUCCGGAGUUUUGGUCACUAGAGGGGCAGUCGUGAGCUGCCCGGACAGUAGCUAGCUGUCCGCAAGCGGUCUCGGGGGUGUAGCCGAGUGAUUAAAAUCUCCUCCCCUAUGAGACUUUGAGAUGUGAGAUGGUGGCGAACCUUCGGGUUAGCCGAGUGAUUGGAUAAUCUAAUGAAUUAUAUCGUUAUUGAGCAUGAUAGCUUGGUAGUUAGCCUUUACUUAUGUUGCAUGCAUGCUUAUGGAUUGAGGCAUGGUAGAAUACUUGCAUUUUCUUUACUAUGUUAUUGCCUUCAAGUUUAUCUAUCUAUCUAACAGCCUAUGCCUGCUUAGACCUAGUGGGGAGAUCGGCGGAGUCGGCGGCUUAACCCACUGGGAACUAUGGACAAUAGUUCUCACCCCACUUUAUUGCAGGGCCAAGCUCGAGUACCCCCGGCGAGGAUCGUGGUAAGGGCUUAGCGCCCUAGGGUUAAUAGAUGCCUCCUAUGUACAUUAGAGCUACCUUGUAUAUACAUGAGAGUAGAUGUUGUAUAGGUGUGAGAUAUGUUGGAAGAUUGUAAACCUAUGUUUAUAUUUUGGAAGUUUAAAUGUAAUCAAAUGUACUAAAGGUUGCAUGAAUGUAAUAGAUAAGUAUCUCUCUUUUAUUCACUUGUUUAUUACUCGUGAUGCUUGCUCUUAGUUGUUUAGCACUGGUUGUGCUCUCGCUGUUGUUGUAAGAUCGUGUAUGUAUUCAAGUGUUUUUCUGGGAACUUGUUGUACAUGAUCUCGUUGUUUAGCCUUGGGCGGACAGGGGAGGUCCUGUUCGUUCGGCGUCUGUUCGACGCACCCGAAUCUGACCAAAUUGGUAGCAGGUCUCGGGGCGUGACAGAUAAUCAUGUGAUGUAUGAAUGAAAGAAAAGAAUGAAUGUAGUUGUAAUAUGCUUGUAUAUGGUUAAAAGUAAUCAUGAUACUUGUGUGAGUGUGAUGAUAGUAUAGAACUUUCACUUUGGUUGUUGCUUGCCAUCGUGCAAGCCAUGUAUAUAUGUUUGUAUUCGCUUGCCCUAAAUUAUAUACAUGUUGAUACUUGUGUUGAGCCUUGGGCGGACAGAGGAGGUGCUUUCCGUCCGGUGUCUGUUGACGUGCACGAACUGACCAAAUCGGCGGUCCCGGGGCGUGACAUAAAUUGCAUGCUUCUGAUAUAAGUAGGCAACUAUUGUUGAUAGCUUUGAACUUACGAUGCAAGAAAAUAGUGGUGUAUGUACCCUGAAGAUACCAUGAACUAGUUGUAUGAACAUAGAAAACAAAGUGGAACACUAGGUGUCAUUAUGAACUACUUGUAUGGACAUAGAAAAUAAAGUGGAACACUAGGUGUCAUUAUGAGCAUCAGACAUGAACUUAGUGACAGAACUAUGGAUUGGAUAUAACUUGUUGUACAAGUGGAGGACUAUGAUAUUGUGUGUCGAGGUUAUACAUGUAGCAUAUGCUAGGUGUUUUUUCUAUAGUUGCAUGUACCGUGAGACAUUGUACGCCUGGCUAUGAUUAUGUAGUGUAUAGAGGUAUUCUGCUGUAGUGCACGUGACUUGAGAAGAGCAUGCUAGGGAUUUGUAGAUCCCUAGAUAUUGUCACUAUGAUUAGUAGGUAGGUUCUCUAGAUAAGAGAACUAGAUCGUACUAUUCUAGAUUGUGGAGAUUGCAACUCCACAAGUAGUGAGUUCCAGAGUGUCACACGAUAUGGGAUUGGGUCAUGGUGGUGCCUACCUAGCAGACGCCCCAAGGUAGGUGAUUGGGUCGCGUAGCACCUCCCCACAUAGCUUAGAGAUGCAAGUAGGGCUCGACCUUACGGUAAGCAUAGUAGGUCUCGUAUUUGUGUACCUCGUAGAGAGAAUAUAGUAGUAGUAUCACAUGUUGGAUGAUGAGUCGACUAUGCCUCCUCAAUAGACAGUUCAAGAUGGGUGAUUUGGUCGCAUAACGCCCUCCCCACAUGGCUGAGAGGUGUGAAAUGGGCUUGACCUUAUAGCGAGCCAACCUGAUUGGGUAAGGGGUAAAUAGGGGGUCAUGUUAAGCGUAUUGGGUCUUGGUCCUUAUUUUCAUUUCGUAAAGGCAUAGUAAUGAUUAUCCCAAUUUAUGCAGUAUAGUUGUUUACUACAUUUUGGUUAUCCUAUCUAUUUAUACCUUAAUUGGACCUAGUGGAAAAAUCACCAAGAUCAGCAAUCGACUGGGAAACUUCUUUUAGUUCUCACUUUCUGUUUUGCAGAGUCAACCAUAAGCUAAGUGGCACCGAACCGAGGCAUUAACGUUGCGCCCUAGAUAGCAGAGUCACCAAGUAUAGGUCACCAGUGGACCAGAAAAGAAAAAGGAAAUGUAAAUGUAUUUUGGAAAAGAAAGUGUAAUAGAGAGCUAAAGUCGUAUUGUGGAAAAGUAAAUGUAUUGAUGGUAGAAAGUUGUAUUAUGUUUAAAGUUGAAAAGUGUAUGUGAAAAUGAAAAUGUUCCAAUGUGGUAAUAGUUUACUUUUCAUUCUUAUGAUAUGCCAUUCUACUAUAUGUGUUAUGUUGUUUUUUCUGGGUGAAAUUCUAUGUGCAGGUUUUGUUUACACCUUGGGCGGAUAGAAGAAACUCCGUAUGUUCACCGGGGCUGUGCACGUGCCUGUGCAGCUUCCACUGUGGAACAGGACAGGGCGUGAUAGCCGAUCACCCUUGACUCCCUCACGUGCACUGGGAGGGCCGAUCACCCUCGACUCCCACACAGCAUUAGAGUGUCGAUCACCGUUGACUCCUUAUGUGGUACUUAGGAGAGCCAAUCUCCUUCAACUUCAAGUAGCUACCAAUUGAAAAGUAGUACGAGCUCCCUCAGCUCUCCGUAAGUUAUAGUAUCUACUGAUUGAAGAAUAGUAUUGUAAUAUACCGAAAAUUCGAAAAAUAAAAAUGUCGAACUUUAGUCANUAGCGGGUGAGUUCCUGCGAUGAUGGACUUAAUGUGAAGCAAGUUAAUGUGGCGAUACCCCCGGGUUAGCCUUGAGAUUAAAGAACAAAGAGCAAAGAACAAGUAGAAAGAACAAAGAAUAAAGAGUAAAGUGAAAAGAACAAAGAAAUUGUAUAAUCUACAUUCAUUUAAUGUUGAGCAUAUUUCUGUUUUAUUGUUCAGGCAUAUUAGCAUCAUGUAUAGAUUGGUUACUAUAUGCAGCUUAUCCUUUCUAUUAUGCCUGAGUUAGUCCUAGUGGGAAAGUCGGUGAUAUUGAGGCCGAACCCACUGGGAAUUUUGUUGUAGUUCUCACCCCACUAUUUCUACAGAGCCGGGACCGAGCGAGCCGGCGAACGACCGAGGUAAAGGUAUCGCGCCUUAGUCAGAGGCCACCAAAGUUGGGUUUCAUUUUAUAGUAAAGUACCCUAUGAUCAUCUUUUGUAUUUGAUGAUUUAAGAUGUUAAUGUAUAAAGCAAAGAAAAGAAUGUAAAGCUUAUUUGAGUUAGAUGUGAUGUAAAAAGAAAUGAUGCAAUGUGUAAUGAAGUACAAGGAAUCAUGAAUGUAAAUGGAUGCAAUGUAUAUGAUCAAAAACGAAUCAUAAUACUUGUAAAUGUUUAGUUUUCCUUUCUUUCACUAAUAGCUAUUGCUUACCCUCGUGUAAGCCGUUUGUGUAUGUUUUCACUAGUGCAUUUCUUGUUUGAAUUUGUACAUGUGAUGAGCCUUGGGCGGAUAGGGGAAACUCUGUCCGUUCGGCGUCUGUUUGACGUGCUCGGGCCGGCCCAAAUUGGUAUCGGUCCCGGGGCGUGACAAGUAUGGCCUCACUCGGCUCUCCAUGAGGCAAUGUAAAAUAGAACCAAUUAAAUAGAUGGUUAAAGACAUGCGGUAAUUUUGGUAAACAUGUAACUAAAAGCAUAAUGACAUCGUGUUACAUUUGAGGUAUUAUAAUUGUAAAUUUAACUAUUGCAUUUCUAUUUGAAAAAGAUAUAUUGAUAUCAUUAUUUAUCUACUAAUACCUCUUUUGGACCGAGUAAGUAUAGAACGUCACUUUCAACAAUUGCGGUCACUGGGAAUAACCGAAGUACCCACCUAUGUUGUUUUACCCUUUUUCAGCCUAUGAUUGCCAAUGAGGCAUGUGAAUGCAGCAAAAAUGUCGAAAAUAGUGGACCUAGAGCGAGUUCUAAUUGUACCCUUUUGGUAAACAAAGAAAGACUAUUUUGGAUUACUAUUAUAUACCAUAAACUUUAAAUUUAAAUUUAUAUUUGUUUUUGUUUAUUAUGAUAGUUUAUUGUAUCCAUAUCGUGCAUGCCAUUAUAUAAGUUGGUAUAUGAUUCCGCUUCGUGCUGGUAAAAAAACCCUUGCCCGUUUAAUUGAUCUGUUGCCAGUGCUUGAGCGGGCCCAACUCACGGUAUCGGGGCGUGACAGCCAUGAAAAUUAAACCUUCUGAGGGAAACCAAUAAAAGAGCUGCCAUAAUGCGAUUAUGUGAAUGUUCUCAUAACUUUAAGCAAAUACGAGUAACAGAGAUAAGACAUAAAGCAGUCCAAUUCAUGCAAAUCACUUAUAUAUAAGGCCCGAUUGAUUUUGGAAUGCGCUGUCUGAACACAUCUUUGAUAACCCAAUAAUCAAAAAGUGCUUUAGAGCUAUCCUUCCUCUAAUGCUACGAAAUGGUGGUAAAACUGCUACUGAAAAGCAUAUGGUAGGAUGCUUCCCAGGUGGCGGUUCCCACCAUCACUUUAAAGCAUCGGACAGGAGCUAAACCACUUUAAGAUUUUCUGCACCCGGUAAAGCGUCAAAGUAGGUGCCCUUUUGGAAAUCACAUUCCCAAACAAAGGCAAAUGUGCCAAGAAUAGUUACUUUAACCCGAGCGCAAAUGACAACUUCGGCCGAGACUUAUUCUUGCCCAAUAGCUUCAUCUGAUUAGCCCGCUCUUCUUCUUCUUCCAUCUUUUUUCUACGCAUUGCUUCUUCCUUUUGCUUUUGGAGCCGCUCCAAUUCCUGAUAGCGCUCUAGCUCUUUUUGCUGCUGUUCUAAAGCUUCCCUCCGCUGGGCCUCCUCAACUCUCCUUCGAUUCUCCUCGAGCAUCUUAUCCAGCUCUUCUCUCUCUCUUCUUUCUUGUUCCUACAAACCCAAAUAAAACAUCACCUAUGGUAUAGCACAAAAGGAAACGAAAGAUGACAAAAAGAUAAGGCUGUCAUUCAAUUGGUUAGUUGGAUCUCAUUUAAGCAUAAAAUCAAGCUUCAGUUCCAGACAUUACCACAUAUAAAAGCCUAGCAUUCAAUUGCUUAGCUCACUGAGAUGGAUAACAUAAGCAAAGUUAAGGCAGGAAAUUCACAAGUUACUCAUUUUAAGGGCAAGACCAGUUGAUGUACGUAGAAACUGCAGAAAGAAAAACAUAUCAAACUCUAUAUCCAACUCGUUGCAACUAAUCAGAUACCUGCACAAAGUGGACAUUCAAAUUGCACGCCAACCAAAUCUUCUAAAGAAAGAAACCAAAGCGAUGAAAUAUGAUAAAAACAUAAAACUUUACAGGAAGCCAUACCGCUUUCUUCAUGGCCUCAAGCAAAGCUGCUUCUUUUUCUUUCUCAAGCUGGGCUGCAACCUCCUCAAGAAGCUUCUUUCGGCCUUCCUCUAUUCGAUGUUGUAUCUCUAGUUUGAUCUCCUCAGAGUUCAAACUCUCCUCAACUCUCUUCCUAAUGGCUUCUUCAAUUCUCCUAGCAGUUUCCUCUUCUAGUAAUCUUAAUUCAGCUUCUUUUUGACGCCUGUCGGAAAAAGCAGCAAGUUAAAGAAGGAACUGUUCUUGAAUUGAACAACAGCUACAUUGGUGUCAAUGAAUGUCUUCAAAGCCAGACAAAGCCAUAAAACUAAAUCAUCAAAGCAAGGAUUAACUAUAAACUUUUUUUUUCAGGGUUAGCUACAAGUUUCUUUCCAUCUGGCAGUAUAUUCAAAUACAAGCUUUAUGCUUUCCAGGCAUACCUCUCUAAAGAUUCCAGAUCCAAACAAAUGAGUUUUCAAACUGGUCAACAGUAGAUAAAGGUGUCACCAAUUGCAUCAUCAAAUAUAACAAGUGGAACUAUAGCAGUACCUUCCUUCAGUAAAAGCCUGUGAAGAAGAAUGUCAAGCAACCUGUGGCAUUGUAUAAACUAAUUACUUAAACACUUCAAUUCUAUAAUUAAAGAAUACUUUUCACCGAAGCUGACUUGAAAGGAUAAUGAACUUUUUUUGUUUGACAAAAAUUCUUAUUUUGCCAAGUGGAAUACAUGUCAAAAUGACCCCAUCUCUAGGCAAAACGUUUAGAAAUAGGAAAUGCAAUAAUCCAAAAGAUAGGUUGCCAAAAGUUUACUCACUUUAAAGGCUUAACUUUGGUGUUUCCUAGUGUAUCACUAGCUUUGAUUUCAUUAUUGCUGGUGCUGAUAUUUCUUUCAAACGGAUAAUGCCAUCAGCUUCAUUUCCUUCUAUAAAUUUAAAUAUAUGUAGAUAUUUAGUUUAUGGGGUUCAAGAAAUUUUUUCUUCUCAAACUAAAGAAAAGAGAUGCAUUUCUUGAAAACAGAAAAUGCCAACUAAAGAUAGGACAUUUCUUUAAAACAGAAAAUGCCGUUGGUUUUUUAUUUCAUUCUAUAAGUUCAAAUAUUUGUAAAUAUUUAGUUUAUGGGGUUCAUGAAAAUUUUAUCCUUCUCCGACUAGAGAUAAGAGAUGCACAGGACAUUACAGUUGAAUAUGUAUUUCCUCUGAAAUCACAGGUAGCCAAAUGCUCCCUAAGAAAAGGAUUUUUGAGAACGACUAUGGUAUAAGGCAAGGAUUUAAGUGCCGUGGCACGGGGUCGUGCCAGAAACUUGCCGGCAUGGUGCGUGCCGAACCGUGCAGAUGCGUGCCGGUCAAAAAAAUUCUUGUGUGCCGACACAUAACAGUAUGAAAUAUUUAUUUUCUUUAGCAACAAAAUAUUCUAACUAGUUAUUAUGCCUUUUUAUCACAUCUUUUGAGCUUUAUUGAGGAAAUUACUUACUAAUUUAAAUAAUAAAGGGUUUUGCGCUGUGUCAUCGGUAAGGGAUCUGUAUCGUGCCGGUAUCUUGUUGGCACGGUACUGCCAAGUAGUAAUAAUUCUUCAUCCAUCCUUCACUCCUAGAUUUUAUCAGCCCUUUUUAUCAACUUUGUUUAAAAUUCAGGUCCAAAAUUCACCUAUUUUAUUGCUUCUUGAGCAGGCAGACAUAGCCAGAUAAACAGCAUUAUUCACUAGCUCAAAUCCCAAGGAAACAAAACACAAGAAUCAACAUAUUUUGCCACCCCUUAACAUGCCUAGUUCAUAUCAUGCUGGAAAGUUAUCAGAUAACUUGACCAAGUUCCACAAGAAAUCAACAAAUACUUCUCAAAUAAAAGCAAUUUAUAAAUCAUCUCGGAGGUCACAUGAAUUUUGAAUUUCAUUUGAAGAAACAUUAAAAUUUCAAGCAAUUUUUCUGUAAAAUAAAUCAAAGAGAAAAUAAUGCAAGCUACUAGAGUUUAGUGACAAAGAAAUACAGUAGCACAUUAAAAUCUUUCUCUAGCACUAAAUCAAAGUUAAAUUGUAUGAUGAGUCAAUAAACAAAAGAAGUGUUGAUCAUAGACUCAAAUAUACCACCAGAGAGCUUAUGUAAUUAGCAUAUUCCUAUAAUGCAUAGUUACUUCAUUUUAACUGCCAUAUCUGUAUUUGUUAUGUAACAAUUAAUGAUAACAGAAAUAUAUUGAUAUAAUAGACAUCAGGAAAAUACUAAGCAAUAACCCAGCAAAUAAAGAAGAUUACUGUCAACUAUUUUGGCUAUUGUAAAUUUCUUUAUUUGUAAGAUCAAUUAAUGGGUUGUGGGUACGGACCGAUCAGAAAAUGAUCUCACUAAAUAUAUCCAUAAACAGCCAUCAUGCAUCUGCCGUAUACAUGAGUGAAGGGCCUCAUGAUACGUUACGUAUAGGUGGGUCUCAAAUCUCUAAUGUAGAAACUUUAUUCAUGUUAUGCAUUUUUAUUUCUACAGAUACUAUGAUUUUACCUUUUAAACACCUCAUUUGUAGAUGAUGCAUUGCUAUUAGUAAGUUUGCUACAAUAUCAGUAUUUUACAGAUACUAUUUUUAACUCUUUCCUUCAUGGAUGUGCUGUGAAUGAUUACUACAAUAAUUUACUCUCAAAGUUUUGUUAUAUCAUGUCAUAUCGAAUAGCUACCAGGUCUUUCUAAAUAAUAUUUUCUUUUUCUUAACAAUUUGUGUGAAUAUGCAUCUCACCUUCUUGAGACGCAUGCCUGGAAAGUGCAUAUCGUGUCUAGGCUCCAAAAGCCUAGGAGCACCUUUUUGAGCUUCACACCUUUUAAAACACCAAUGCAGACGAAUUACUUUUAACUAAGUUGCUUCUUCAACAAUAAUAAUAACCAAAGGCAUGGAAAAAUAACUUUCCAUCCAUAACUGCUACUAAAACGAUCAUUGUCUCAAGCACAACAUGCUUGAAGAAUGCUAAGCCUGAACAGUAUUAUUGCAGAACAAAUUACAAAAAAGGUAGGCAUGUCAACUCACAAGUUUAUCAGAGAGAGAGAGAGAGAGAGAGAGAGAGAGAGUGAUACAAAAAGCAAACAACAAAGUAAAUAGUGGUUAUUAAAAAAAGUGGUAGCAAUGCCAACAAAAAAAAAGAAAAAAAAAAAAUUAUAUGAUUCUACCUUUUCUUUUCUUCUUCUUCCUUCCUUUGUUUCUCAAUAGCAUUUUUACGCUCUGAGGACCCAAGACUAGGACUCCGAGAAUUAGGUAGAGGAGAGUUCGUGCUGCUCCUACUUCUUCGCCUUCUGUAUCGUCUUGGCGAAGGCGAACGGCUUUUACGCCUCCUAGGUGUCAGAGAACGGCUUUUACGCCAACUUGGAGAAGGAGAGCGACUUUUCCUCCUAUAGUGUAAAAGAUACUAUUGUGAGGACAAAAUAUAGAAUGUCAUAAUAUAAUAUGAGAAUACUUACCUCCUAUGGCAGGAAAAACGAGACUAGUGACUGUAUAUAACAAGUACAGUAACAGUCUUUGUUUGCUCCAUCUUUUUAACCAAAGGUACUCUGGUAAGCCCAAAAACCCAAGGAUAAUGCUAUAGCAUCCACCACCUGGUUAUACUGGUCCUUUUAUUGGUGGAAACGCGCGGAAAAAAAAUCAAACCAUCCACAAUUUUCAUUUUCUUCAAACAUUUUAAAAGUUCUGAAAAGCCAAUUUGCAGAGUUCAAAAAGUUCUCUAGUUCUCUUAGACCAACUAAAAUUCUCCAACCACCAAGAAAGACCAUUAUUGCCAAAAUCAGAUGACCUCACACUGUUGCCACUGCUCAUGGAGAUAACAAAUUAACAACAAUAAAUGAAAUGAAACAAUUGCCUGUCAGAAAUUAGCCGCCAUAGAAGCAACUUCAAGAUCAACAUGAUUGACAAAUUGUAUUUUGGCAAAAACUACAAAACAGCAUUAUCCUGAAAAGUAAAAGGGUAAUAAACAAGGAAUUUUAUAUGCAUACGACAUAUACCAUAAGUAUAUGUGUACCUAUUUGUAAUAAAGGUGAAGUGACAGGAACCUAUUUGUCCACAUAGGUACUCUUCCCAUUCAUCCUCAUACAAGAGGAAAGGAGGAAAAAAAGAAACGAACUCUACAUCUCAUAUACAACAGAUAAUACCAAUAUCCUCUUAUCUAACAAUAGGACUGCUAGAAACAAGAAAAUAAUAUUUUUUAAAAAAAAAAGAUCAAUUGGAAAAUUACUUCAUUGUCUUUGUUGAGUAAAUGGUGAUAAAGAUAAGGCAAAUAGUAACAAUUAUCAUGAGCAUGCGAUAGUAUCAACACUACAGAUCAAGACAAUUUUCCAAUUCUUUAAAGCCUCAAUUGUGUCACCAUAUGCUACAUUUUGUACAAAACAAUGUGACAAAAUUUACCAAAUCAUGACCAGGCUGAUCAAUACUUGAAAUUGCCGUAGAAAAAUACUGCCAUAUCAUCAUAAUCUUUGUCUGAGGAAGAGAUAACAAAUUUCAAAUGCUUCCCGUACAAUUACAAUUACAAAAUCAAGCAAUCAGAAUAGGAUCUAGCAUCUAUUUACGCAAUCAUAACCGACAUUGAAAUUGACAUUUUAUCCGGUGAACGAUUAUGCAACUAUUUCACAAUCACCUCAAAAUAUCAAGGACUUUAUAAAUUGUCACUACUUUCGUGACGUCCAGCUAAAGGGGUCACCCAUCCUAGAACUAUUCUAGUCCAAGCACGCUUAACCCCCUUAGCCUCUUAAGACUAGCCACAAUCCAAAAUGUUAUAAUCGAGUUAAGCGGUUUUGCCCUAUUAUAUCUCAUACAUAAGACUAUUCCAAAUCCUAGGGUGUCACAUUUUUCCCCCUUUAAGUUCUAAUGUCCUCGUUAGACUCAAGCACACACACAGGCACCAGGCGAUGUAAGACUCGUCUCGAUAGCCUUAGCAGAUCUUGUGGAGAGCCACGCUACACCCACAACGCUGGUCAGCCAAGGAGUCGUGCUCUACCGUUGUAUGACCUUAGCUCAGCCGGAACUCAUCUCACAUUUUCGGCUAGUGAUUGGCUUUGAUACCAACUGUGACGCCUCACUCACGCGUGAGUCACCCAUCCUAGAACUAUUCUAGUCCUAGCACGCUUAACCCUCGUAACCUCUUGUGCCUAGUCACCGCCAAAAAUGCUAUAGUCGGGCUAAGAAAUUUAUCCCUAAUGUAUUUCAUAUAUAAGACUAUUCUAAAUCCUAGGAUGUCACAACUUUAGCCCUCUAAUAUACAAUCAAAUUUAUAUAGUUUCGUCUCCCGUAAUGUCUUCAAUGAUGCAAGAUUCUUGUGCUGGUCAGGCAAUCAACUAGUUGGCACGGUCUGCAGGUACACGGACCCCCUAACCACCUAGGCAUUUAGGCAAACUUCUCAAUGACUUAGACAAGCAAAAAACAUAUCUAGAGCUAACUUCAGAAAAGUUAAAUCAUGAGGUAAAACACCUAAUGGCUUAGGCAAGCAAUAAACAUAUCUAAAAAUAAUAACUUUCUAAAAGUUUAAACAAAUACAGUCUCAAUUGUCUAAAUCAUAAGCAGUUGCAACAUAUAAGAAGCCUAGUUCUAAGGGGGGGAAAAAAUCUAAAUAAACAACAAGAUGCCUAACCUCUUGGCCACUAUUAAUUAUUCAAGAGAUAUCUAAUCCUCAUUUGUAAAAAAUUCUUUGUUUUUCCAUGCUCUUCUUAUCCUCAUCAUAUAAACAUUCUUUUCAAAGGCUACACACAUAUGAGUGUCUAAAUGAACCAAAGAUUUACUUUUCUUAAUAGAUCGAUUGAAUGCCUUCCUUAUUUACAUUUUAUGUUUUAGUUUUCUAAUCUAGUUCUUUGAUUUCAAGACCUUCCGAUGGUCCUCUUUAAUUUCGUAUGGUUUUAUUAGGCAAAGAAACAAAAAAAUAAAAAUAAAAAAAAAAAUCAGUAGUAAUCUUUUCCUUUCUAUGUUUAGAACUAAAAAUGUGGAGUUCGCCAAUUCAGUAACAACAACAAAAUUAACGAAGUUCAUUCCCAAAUUCCUAACUCAAAGAAAUUGAGAAAGUGAAUUUGGAAAUGCGACCCCAACAAUCUACCAGUCUCUUACGAAGAUGAAACAGACUUUGGUUCCACUUGAUUCUUCAGCCCACUACAAUAUGAAAUUACAAAAGAGGGACGAGUUGAGGGAUCUCCCAAGCCAUGAUUUAUUAGACCUUGCAUAUAAAGAAUAAAUCUACAAAUGAAGUUUGAGGUAGAAAAGAAAAUAAAUGGCCAAGUUUUUGACAAGCAAUAUCACCUAUAAGAAUAAGGAGAUCGGCUGCGAUCUCUUCUGCUUCUCCUGCUGCUGUACCGCGGAGACGGAGACCGCCUUCUCCGGUGGGAGGGAGACCGAGACAACGUCCGAGGCAUCUACACCAACAAACCCUUCUAAAUCAACCACUCUGUCGACAAAAUUAAACGAUCAGAAUCAGCUGGUCUCUCCUUCUCAAGGACCCUAUAGAACCCUAUAAACGGAUAGAAACCCUGAUCGAACCGAGGAAAAAACGAGAGCGACAAGAUCAGGCGCGGCAAAUUACGCAGAGAUACGGAAGGCGCUUAGGAGAUUGUUUGAAAGGAGCGAGAGGGAGAGAGAUGGAGAGAGAGAGAGAGAGAGACGGGGAAAGAAGCCCUAAACCUAAUAAGAAGUGAAAGAGAGAGAGAGAGAGAGCGGAGAGGAGAAGAAACGCGGAGGAAGAGCCUUCGGAUUGGAACGGUGACGGAAGAGUUCGGGGCGGCCGCAGAAAGGGAAGAAUUUUUUUUAUAAAUAACCCUAUCAAUUCUUAUAAUUAUAAAAAUAAUUUUGUUAAAAAAAUAAUUAUAAAAAUAAAAAUAAACCUUUAAAUGCGGUGAAUGAUUCACCGCAUUCGUAAUUUCUCAUUAGGAGUAGAAAAAAAAUAAAAACAGUGAACCAUUCACCGCUUUUAUCAUCGUAAAAAUAUAAAAAGAAGUGAGAAAAAAAAAAAAAGCGGUGAAUGGUUCACCGCUUUUAAAAGCAGUGAAUCAUUCACCGCUUUCAUAGAACUAUAUUUAUAAAUAAAAAUUUAAUAGGUCUAUUUUUAGAAUAAAAUUUUAGGAGACGACUAUUGCACUAAAAAACCCCAAAAAAUAGAGGGAGGGUAGGAUUGGAUGGUACGAGGACGAAUCGAGUCGAAUUUUUUUUAUAAAUAAUCCUAUUGAUUUUUAUAAUUAUAAAAAUAUUUUUUAAAAAAAUUAAUUAUAAAAAUAGAACUCUAAAUGCAAUGAACCAUUCAUCGCAUUCAUAACUCAUAUUUAGAAAUAGAAAAAGAAUAAAAGCGGUAAACCAUUCACCACUUUUACCAUCGUAGAAAUUUAGAAAGAUGUGGGAAAAAGAAAGAAAGCGGUAAGGGUGUGUUUGGUUGCUUGUAAAAGCACCCUGAAAAAUUCUUUUAUGUUGAAAAGUGGGUUUCGGAUGUUUGGUUGGUAGUAAAAAAAAUUUUCGGGCCCGGAAAAUUUUUUUUACAAAAUGGGCCGAAAACAGGCGUUUUCGUUUUCCGCUCAAAUUGAGCGGAAAACGAAAAGCGCAAAACCGCGCCGGGGAGAAAAGCGCGCUGUCCACGAGGUCGAGCGGCCCUCGUGGACCGCGCAGAGAGGCGCGCGAAGAGAGAGGUCCAUGGACCCUCUCUCUACACCUAUAUAUAUAUAUAUAUAUAUAUAUAGAGUCCGGCUACUAUGCUAUCGGUAGCACGGAGCGCUCCGUGCUACCAAGUUGUUUCCGAUGAUGCGGCUUCCAAAUCGACGAUCGGCUCCGUUAGACUUGAUCUACACUAUUGAAAGUAUUUGGAAACUAAAUUUCAGAUUUUUUCGACAUCAUUUGACUAGUGAUCCAAAGAUCUCAAAAUUGACAAUUUUAACGGCCGAUGUGGUGUGUUUGUGAGUUUAACGGUGUAAAACAAUCCAAAUGCGAUGAAAAUUUUAUAGAAAAUUCUUUUCACUAUUUAGAGUAAGAUCAAUAUAUCUGAUCUUGAAUUUAAAUCUUUUAUCAUUAUUUUUUAUGAGAUUUUUAUUUUCAGCCGUUCAAUUUUAGACUACUUGUUUGUUAGGUAAAUGAUAUCGAAAAAUUAUGAAAUUUAGUUUCUAAAUACUUUCAAUAGUGUAGAUCAACUCUAACGGAGCCGAUCGUCGAUUUGAAAGCCACAUCAUCGAAAACAACUUGGUAGCACGGAGCGCUCCGUGCUACCGAUAGUAUAGUAGCCUAGCUCUAUAUAUAUAUAUAUAUAUGAGUUCGGCUACUAUACUAUCGAUAGUACCAAGCCCUUGGUACUAUUGAGUUUUCUACCGUUAAAUCUACCCUGUGAUCAUUUCCACCCGGUAGAAUAUACUAUUAAACCAACCAUCCACUCAACCCUAGGGGACCACUAUCAUCCUAACCGCAUAUCCUUUCAUCCAACGGUCGAAAACUCAAUAGUACCAAAGGCUUAGUACUGUUGAUAGUAAUAGUAUAGUAGCAUAAUUCUAUAUAUAUAUAUAUAUAUAUAUAUAUAGAGAGAGAGAGAGAGAGAGAGAGAGAGAGAGAGAGAGUCCGGCUAAGAUACUAUUGAUAACACCAAGCGCUUGGUACUAUCGAAUUUUUCACCAUUAGAUUUAACCUGUUGACUAUUUUCACCCGUUAGAUUAUACUAUUCAACCAACAACUUACUCAACCUUAAGGGACCCACAUCACCCUAACCGUACAUUCCUUUAUCCAAAAGUCGAAAACCAAAUAGCACCGAUAGCUAGCUAUAGCUAGCUACUAUUGGUAGUAUUCCAGUCUAGUUCUGUAUAUAUGUAGGGGCAAUUAUAUAGAGUCCGGUUAUGAUGCUAUUGAUAGCACCAAGCAGUUGAGGCUACUGAGUUUUCCACCAUUAUAUUUAAUCCUUUAGCUAUAAUUUAGCCUAGCACCGAUAGCUAGCUAUAGCUAGCUACUAUUGGUAGUAUUCCAGUCUAGUUCUGUAUAUAUGUAGGGGCAAUUAUAUAGAGUCCGGUUAUGAUGCUAUUGAUAGCACCAAGCAGUUGAGGCUACUGAGUUUUCCACCAUUAUAUUUAAUCCUUUAGCUAUAAUUUAGCCUAGCACCGAUAGCUAGCUAUAGCUAGCUACUAUUGGUAGUAUUUCAGUCUAGUUCUAUAUAUAUGUAGGGGCAAUUANUAUAUAAUAAUAAUAUUAAAAAUAUAUAAUAAUGAUAUUUAUAAUAAUUAUAUAUUAUUAAUUAUAUAAUAUAUAUAAUUAUAAUAUCAAAUUAUAAUAGUAUAUUAAUUAUUAUAUAAUAAUAAUAUAUAUAAUAAAAAAUAUAUUACAUAGGUUUUUCACUACUUUUCUUUUCCUUCAACCAAACAACCAUCAUUGAAAAUUAUUUUUCUUUUCCUAUAAACCAAACACUACGCUACGUAAAAUUUUUUUCCACCGAAAAUUUUUUUCCACGAAAAUUUUUUUUUCGCAGUUUUACGUCAAACCAAACAGCCCCUAAAUGGUUCACCGCUUUUAAAAGCGGUGAACCAUUCACCGCUUUUAUAGGACCAUAUUUAUAAAUAAAAAUUAACAGGUUUAUUUUUAGAAUAAAAUUUUAGAAGAAAACUAUUGCACUGAAAACCCGAUCGAGUCCAUGGUUUUCUCAUCUUUUUUUUUUUAAUCUUUUUUUUAACCCUGAGGAAAGGGCUUUUCCCGUGGCCCCUAAAAAUGGAACUAAAAUUUUAAGAGUGUUUAAGCCUCGUUUGAAAUUGAGGGGAGAUUGUAUUAUGUGCGAUGAGAAAUUACGAUAGAAAAAUAUUUUAUUUAUUUUCGUACGUAAUUUUGCAUUACGUCAGUUACGAUAUAUUUUUUACGAUCCCACUGAAGUACACAAAAACAUAUGCCUAUAUACUUUUACCCCAACUCUGUUUUAUCUAAUAGUAUCGGAUAAGCCGCAAUACCAAACUAAGCCUUAUCCCGAUUUUCUAAAAAUAAUUCUAAGUCCAAAAGUAAUUUUGGACUCAAUAUAGCUUUAGGCAAUAAGAGUUGAAAAUUUUAAUUUUACUUUUCAAAAUCAAAAAAUUAAUUUUUUAAGUCCAAAAUAAGAAACAGAAAAAAACUGCAUCUCCAAAACUGACUCCCACCGCAAUUUUCCCACUUAAAAAUUUUAUUAAAAUACCCAAACUAUUCCUAAACAAAUAACAUAAUUCUACUAUAUCCUUUUAUAUUCAAUUAGGGUGUGUUUGGUUCGCUUCUUUUUUAUCCGGAAAUCGGAAUCGAAAUGGGCAAACCCGUUUGUGGGUGUUUGAUAUGCGGGAAUCCAUUCCGAUUCCGAUAACACUUGGGGUGUUUGGUUCGCUUCUUUUUCACCAUGGAAUCGGAAUCGAAAUGGGCGAACCCGUUUGUGGGUGUUUGAUAUGCGGGAAUCCAUUCCGAUUCCGAUUCCACUUAGAGUGUUUGGUUCACUUCUUUUUCACCCUGGAAUCGGAAUCAAAAUGGGCAAACCCGUUUGUGGGUGUUUGAUACGCGGGAAUCCAUUCCGAUUCCAAUUCCCAAGUGGAAUGGAAAUCCCCCAAUAACUUCUUUUUCCAAUCCGGCCUGGAAUUUGAAACGGAUAUUUAUUCGAAUUACAUUUAUUUUUUCAACUUUUUUAAUUAAAAUAUGAGUUUAAAUUUAAAUAUUAAAUAUAUAAUUUUAAAUUUUAAUUUGAACUUAAAUUAAAAAUUAAAAUUUAAUCAAGUAUUUCGAAUCUAACUUAUGAAUUUGAAAAUAAAUUAAAUUUUAAUUUAUAUAAAGUUUUAUUCAAAUUUUAUUUAAAACUCAUAGAUUCAAAUUAAAAUUUAAAUUGUAAUUUUAAGUUUGAAUUUGAAUAAAUCNCCGAUUCCUGAGUAGAAUGGGAAUCCCCUAAUCACCUCUUUUUUCAAUCCGGCCUAGGAGGUCGGAUUGGAAGUUGAAUCCGGACAGAAUGGAUAUUUAUUCGGAUUAAAUUUAUUUUUUCAACUUUUUUAAUUAAAAUAUGAGUUAAAAUUUAAAAAUUAAAUAUAUAAUUUUAAAUUUUAAUUUGAACUUAAAUUAAAAAUUAAAAUUUAAUCAAGUAUUUCAAAUCUAAUUUAUGAAUUUUAAUUUAUAUAAAGUUUUAUUCAAAUUUUAUUUAAAACUCAUAGAUUCAAAUUAAAAUUUAAAUUGUAAUUUUAAGUUUGAAUUUGAAUAAAUCAUAAUUUAGUUUCAUAUUUUGAAUUAUCCACUCAACUUCAAAGUUUAAUUUUUUUUUUUAAAAAAAAGAUUUAAAAUUUUGACAUUAUUUCAAAAUUUUGAUGUAAAUUUUUAAUAUUUAAUUUUCAAUUUGAAUUUAAAUUUAUUAUAAAGAUAAAGUUAGUAUAUUAAUUCGAUUAUGUUUUUUAUAUCCACCUGAACCAAAUACCGACAAUGAGAAUGAUUUAUUCCGAUUCCGAUUUAGGUGAUGAACCAAACAGAAUUAGGUAAUGAGUCAUUCUGAUUUCGAUUCCAGCUUAUUUUGAUUCCGAUUCUGAUUCCGAUUCCGACUUCAAACCAAACACGCCCUUAAUAUUUUUAACAACCUUCUUCUCUCUCCUAUUCAUUAUUCUCAUUUACUCUUCCUAGAAGAUAACUCUCUUCCCAACUCUUCUCUAACAAAUUUUUUUUUUCACUUUGUCACACCCCGAGACCCGCCUAUUUGGUCGGAUUCGGGCAUGCCGACAAACUGCCGAACGAACAGAGUUUUUCCGAUACGUCCUAGGCGUCGCAAUCAAUACAAUACAGGAGGUUCCAACUAGGAACAGUAUUCAAUCAUAGAUUGCAUGAGGAAGUAUCAAAAGCAUAAUUACUAUGUUAUUACAAGCAUUCAACUCAUAAGCAUCUUAACAUAUUACAUUUUUGCUUACACUGAACUUUCAAAUUACAAUCUAGUUAUUACAAAUUUAUUAUAAGUUUAUUUCUCUCAUUUCUAACUCCUAAGCUAGACUACUUCGGGGUACCGCUAUCUCUGGUCUCGGGGAAGGGCGCUAUCUACGGAGCUACGCUCUUUCCUCGCGCCGCCGCCCCGCUAGCGUGUGAACCUGUAACCCCCAAAACCACACGGGGGUGAGAACUAUAUAAAUAUAGUUUCCAGUGGGUACGGCCACCCAAGGAAAAAGCUCGACCCACCAGUUCCAAGGAGGCACUGCAACAUGUUAGUCCAACAGAUAUCCAACAGAUAUUCAUGCAAGUAUUGAAAUACAUGUUAUGCCUCUCUACAUGCAAUAUGAAAAUCAUGCAAUUAUGCAACCAACUAGUAAAUCAAUUGAUUCUACAUUCAAUUCUGCUAUCCAUAGCUCAUAUCGCUUAGCUCUAAGGUGGCAUUUGGUUCGGGAACAAGGGGGGAAUAAGCCCUUAUUUCCCCCUUUGUUCCCAAACGGUAUGUUUGGUUCCCGGGAACAGUAAUCUCGAACUAGCUGGUAUAAGACUGGAACUGCUGUUCCACCCGUUUCCUGGAACAAGCUUGUUCCUCGAUGAGAACAAGAUUAAUUAAAAUCAAAAUUUAAUUUUAAUGGGAGUAAAUUAUUAAUUAAUCUAAUUUAUAUAUUUAAAUCAUUAUUUAUUAUUUUAAUAAUUAAAUAAUUAAAUAAUUUAUUAUUUAUAAUUAAUUAUUACUAAUUAGAUAAUUAUUAUUAUUAAUUUAUUAUUUAUUUAUUAUUUAUUAUUAAUUAAUUAAUAAUUAUUAUUAUUAUUUAUUAAUAAUUAUUAAUAAUUAUUAUUAUUAAUAAUUAGAUAAUCAAUAUUAUUAUUAAUUUAUUAUUUAUAAUUAAUUAAUAAGAAUAAUUAAUAAUUAUUAUUAUUUAUUUAAUAAUUAAUAAUAAUAAUUAUUAUUAUUAUUAAUUAGAUAAUCGAUAUUAUUAAUUUAUUAUUUAUUAUUAAUUAAUAAUUAUUAUUAUUAUUUAUAAUUAAUUAUUAAUAAUUAAUUUCUUAUUUAUUUUUAAAUAAUAUUUUUAUCUUAAUUAAUUACAUAAUAUAAUUUUAAUUUCAAAUUAUAAUUCUUAUUCCUCUAGUUCCAAUCUAAUCAUCCAAACACUAUUUACCUUAUUCCUAGGAACAACCCAAUUUUCAUCCAAACGCAAAAUUGGUCUAGUUCUUGCUUAUACCUGAACUUGUACCUAAUCUUAGAACUAGCAGUUCUUACUUAUACCCGAACCAAAUGCAGCCUAAGUUUCUACUACCUUAGGUUCACAGCUCAAGUCCAACUUGUUUCUAAGGUCUCUAUUACCUUAGCUCUUGCCAUUUAUCACUAGCUUUUAAGAUUUCUACCACCUUAACCAACCUAUCCACACGACUCGGUGUCGAGUCAAUCAUCCGCGGACUACCGAGUAUUGGCUGCUACAACAGGCCACCGCACUCCAUGACUUAGCCACCUAGCGACGAAAUCGUCGCACACGCCCAACACUGGCUCAAGUCACCUGGCGGCAUAAUCCAAUAACUGGCUUAACCAUCUGACGGCAAAAUCGUCACACACGCCGAACAAUGGUUUAGCCCUGGGCGACGAAAUCGUCGCACACGCCCAACACCUCCUCUCGGUGUUCCAUAAGUCCUGGGAUUCCGAAAUCAAUUUUCCACAUCUCAAAGGUAGUCACACACCUUAUGCUGUCGACCUAUCUAGGUUUGACCUAUGCACAUCUUAGUGGCCCUGCUACCACUAUAAUCCGCAACUUAGGUUCAACCAUGCUAGGUUCUAUGUCAUCUAUAUCUAGUUCUCAACUUCUAGGUUCACUUAUUCAACCUAUGUUUACUAACGCUAGGUUCAUGUCCAACCUAUGUUUAAUAAUACUAGGUUUAAUGCCACUCGAUCUACUUGGCAUCCUAGUUGUCCAAAUCGAGUAUUUCAGUUUACACGUCCUUGUUUUCCAAUGUCGAGUUCUCUACAUCAUAUCAUCAUGCGUCAUCUAGUAUUUCUAUAUUAUGUCAACAUGCAUUCAUCUAGCAUAUAUAUCCACAUGUACAUCUCAAGGGUAGAUAACAUCAACUAAGCAUUAUAUGAUUCAUGCAUUCAUAUUACCAUUCACACCCUACCACUAUAUGUAUAUGCAUCAACAUUAACCACAAAUCAUCAUUAUCAUUCAAUGGUAGUUCAACAUAGCAUUUGUAAUGAACCGAAACUCGGUAGAAAAUAUCGAACUUUACUCAAAUUGGUUAAAGUUGUCGAGAGAAAUAGUUGGACAAGUUCUAUUUAGCAUUCCUGUCACGCCCCGGGACCGAUUUUAAAAGCCAUUACCAUUUUGAAAUCUCAGAGUCGCGGAAGAUGUGCCAUUUUUUUUUUUUUUCCAACCUGGCCCACGUGACGUACAGACCCGCCACAAAUACAAAGUUCCUCUGUCCACUCGGGCAGAGUCUCCUUUGUAUUUGCACGGCGUACCAACGGAUACAACAGGAUCACAACCACAACCUACAUUUACCAAUCAACAACCAAAGCAUGAUAUGCAUUUCCAUACAGCUAACAAUCCUUAGAAUGAUGCAUGCCUCUAAGCACUCCUUAGGCGCUGGAUGAUGCAAUGCACAAUACAACAACCAUCCUAUUUAAAAGUGCUCCCCACACAGAAGCUUUUAUUUUUGAACUCUAAUUCAUUCAUCAUGAAAAACCAUUUGAAAACCUUUUGAAAACUGUUUCCCACACGGAAACUCUAUUUUGAAAACCGACUACCUCGAGGGGUAGAAAACCACGAUGCGUAAAUCCAUAAAUACAAAUCCGAGAACCACAAAGUAUACAAACAUCCCAAAACUGAAGAUCCAUAAACCAAAUCCACAAUUCCACAAAUCCACAAAUUCAACCAGCUCACAACAUUCAAACAUCAAGUAUGAUCAUCUAACUGAACCAUAUAAACUAACUAAGCUAUAACAACAGAAUAGUAAGGAUAAAAACUAAAUCGAUAACCUGGGUCGGAAGCUCUAUCGACCGCUACGAACGUACCUCACGUCUCGUCCCAAAACUCAACGCCUGCAAUACCUGAAAAAUAGUGGGGGAGGUGAGAACAUGUAAACAUGUCUCCCCUCCCAGUGGGUACCGCAAGCCGAUGAAGGCGAGGAGUACUCACCGGAUCAGGAAGAGCUAAACAACAGUACGGGUCAGUAGAAAAUACAGUAGCAAUAAUAAUGAAUGAAAGAGACAUAUAUAUGAAAGAAAGUACAACUACCGCUACUGUAAUGAACAACUGAAUGUAUACAUGUAACAAGACUAUAGUAGCAAGACAAUGUAACGAAAGAACUGAAGAUAUACAAGUGACCACUGCUACUAUAGUUAUAUGCGUCAACCGGACAAGUAGUCCAAAAGUACCCAAUCUAAACCGCCGUGUCGGUCUAAGGACCUCAGGCAAAAGCCACUACCUGCUCGCACCUGGCAUGUAACCCUAGCACAAAGAGAACACCGCUGGGCUCACGGGUCGGAUGUACGACCACUUUUCCGGAAAAGAACACCCUCCUGCGGGGGAUCAACCCGCUGGUGUACGUGAAAUGCACUCGAGCUGUGGCGAUCAAUGCGGAUAUGAUCAAUAGCCAAAUGUCGGCAACCAGCCGACAAUCACCGCCCCUCGGGGCAAACCGACCAAUAGGUCAUCAAACUAUAUAGAAGCACAAGAAACGACUACUCAGGUCAACUAAGAGGGAACAACUCAACAUCCUACCAAGGUAUACAAGCACUGACUACUAAAGUCAACUAACACAUAUGCACGACGAACUGACGAAUAGGUCACCAGAGUAUAUCAAUAGAAUCCCGAAUUACCGUCGGCCACUAGCCGACAAUCCAACCCCUCAGGGUACACCGACCUCAUAGGUCAUCAAACGACAGGACUCACGAAGCUGACUGACUAGGUCACAAAUAUGCCAAAUAGUGGAACUGUGUAAACUAUAAUCAUCCGUCGGUGCUAACCGACAAUCCCACCCCUUAGGGUAUACCGACCUCAAGGGUCAUCGAACGAUGUACGAGAACCGACCAAUCAGGUCACCGAAACGAAGUACGAGAACCGACCAACCAGGUCAACAGAUACGGAAUGCAAUAACCGACCAACUAGGUCAACAGAUACUAAACGCAACAACAGACCAACUAGGUCAACAGGUACUGAAUGCAACAACCGACCAACUAGGUCAACAGAUACGCAUGAAGAUAGAACUACUCUACUCCUACUCAGGAUACUAAGUAUGCAAACAACGAGUAGAGUAUAACGAAUAAACAAGGGUGCAAGGCUCAAUAUAUUAUGCGAUAGUAACAACAGAAGAGUAAGGGUAAGAAACCAUCACCAAGCGUGCACCACUGUACCGACGUCGGCUCGAAGUACCCACCUGUCACUGUCGCGUCGGAACGCUGGGUACGCACAGAGUCUACCGGACCUAAGAAGAUCCAGCAAGUCAGAAUCCAAACCAUUAACCGAAAGCAUGAGACUCACAAACCCCCCACACAGGAUCCCCGUAAUCGGUUUCCCAAAACCGAUUACCGUAACUCACCGGAAGUCCCGAAAACCACACCGGGACGUCGUCGGGACCCACUAAGUGUCCCGAACUCACCGACUCGUGCCACGAGUCACCUGCUGCCCCAAAGCACUCCAAUUUGGAUGCCUUGGCAGCGAACACGAGGUAACACAACCAUACGAUCAUCGCUGGAUAAUCGUACGAAUCCGGGUUCCCGGAAGUGUCUAUUUCGACACCGGAACCCACCGUCGCUCACCCAUCAUCAUCGAACCCACAAAAUGAUGAUGGUGACCAGCCAACAAGGCUCAGCGACAAAACACGAAGCAACCAAACACCAUCGGAAAGAAUCCGAACCGAAACUGCGUUCUUUCGACGAAUUUCGUCGAAAAACGCACCGAAAUCGACCUUUCGAUUUCCGCGGGAGCUAACGGAUCAUGGACAAUCAGUCCAGAGGUCAAACACACUUACACACGCUGCCCAUAGUAGCCACACAAUACACAAAAGCAUAAAAGACCCUCUAAUUACAUAAAAUCUCAUCAUUUUAUGUAAUUUGAGCGAUCAAGCAACUCGUUCACACAAACCGAGGACUUCCGAAGUCCGUAGAGACACGUACUGACAGGUCUCGACAUACCGGAGUCCGUGCUCAUGAUCCGGAGAACAGCGGCUCGCUGUGGGAAGCGCGGGGGCAACCCGAAGGUUCAGCGAAUAGCGCACAGUCAGGGAAGAUCGCGCCGAACAGAACUAACCGGACACUUCUGAUCCAAGGGAAGGUGAGCAUUGUGAUCAGCACUGACCAGCGGUCACCGUGCUCACCUCCGGAGGCAUCGGAACAGCCUCCGAUCGCCGGAAAAAUAAGCACAAACCCGAAACAGCAGCCAAACAGGCUUGACAGGGUCGACACCGCCGAAACAGCAGAACGGAGUCUCCCCGACAGAAUCUAAGGUGAGCACGAUGAUCAGCAAUUUGCUACGAUCAUCAUGCUCCCUUCCGCAGAGAUCGGGGAGACUCGGAAAGCUCAGAACAUAAACCCGUCCAAAAUAAGCCCUAUUUCGGGAUUGGCCGGAGCAAGCUUGCUCCGGCCGGCCUUCGGCGGCAUGGCGGCAGCGACGGCGAUGCUCACCUCAGUAGGCGGCGGGAAGCGGCGGCGGCGACGGCGGAGGGACUUGAGCCCGGAUGGAUGCGGGGGAGGUGAGCCUGGCGGUCAGGGAUGGAUGCGGGGGAGGUGAGGAACACGAUGCUCACCUCAGUUGGCGGCGGGAAGCGGCGGCGGCGGCGGCGACGGCGGAGGGACUUGAGCCCGCAUGAGCUAAAGCUCGGGUUCCACGGGCACAGGCGGCCACGGCGGCGGCCAGGGGCUCAGGGACGGCGGAGGAGGAUCACCAGAGGUCGGCAGCAGGCGGAACGGGUGGUCCCAGGCGGCGGCGGCGCGAGGAGGAAGCCGCAGGCUUGCCUCGGCCCGAGCAGACAGGGACGGCCGAGGGCUGGCCGAGGUGGCGGCGGCGGCGCACUGGGCGGCUCGGGGCGGCAGCGGCCGGCGGCCUGAGGUCGGGGAGGUGCCUCACGGUUGGUCCGGGGCGGCGGCGACGCAAGGGGGAGGCCGCACACAAGCCUCAGCCCGAGCUCGGGCUGGGGCGGCCGCAGACUGCAGAACCAGCAGCGGCGGCGCAGGCGACGGCGGCAGGCGGCAGCGACCGGUCGGGGGAAGCUCCGAUAGGGUCAGGACGACGCCGGCAGGGAAUAGGGAGGCAAUGCAGCCUCGACUAGGGCUCCAAUUCGAGAAGAAAAGAGAGAGAGAUGGAGAGAGAUGGUGAGGGAGAUGGAACCUCUUUCUCCGGCGACCGGCAGCGUGCGCCGGCGGCUAGGGAGCGCGCCGUGCACUCAGGGGAGGGAGUAGAAGAUGGCAAGGUGCGGCUAGGGUCUAGGGUUAGGAUUUCAAGGUAGAAAACCCUGGAUACACAAUAUAUAUAUAAGGUGCAAAUUGCGGAAAAGCCCCUCAAAACUCAACAUUUCAUUCCGAGUCCCUCACAGCACGAAUAAAAUGCACGGAUACCCCUCCACGUGCGAUCUCACGUGAAACGGUACAUAAAAUAUCGCGACUUUUGCGAAAAUACCGUUUUGCCAACACCGACCUCUCCUCGAUCAACGUGUGAUCUCCGUAGAUCCGUCCGUCAGAUUUGCGAACGGAUUGCACCAGUGCGAUCAGCACGACGGAGACAACAAAGCUGCGAUUUCGUUUCAUCUUGAUCGACCACGGAUUCACGACAAAAUCCAACCUUCGUCGAAUAGAAGGAAACACACACAUAAAUACAUAUAAAACAUGUAUUUUUGGAUUUUCUCGAAAUCCGUGCGUCAAACUCAAAAUCCGUCAGCGCCAUUAGUUCCAGAACAACUGAACCGGUCGAAACGAGCUAUCGGACCGCUAGGAACGGAGUCCGAUACGAGCCUGAAGCCAACUUCACACCGUGGCUUCUCCGGAAAAUCGAGUUACUAUUCACUUUAAGUGAAACUUAGAAAUCCCGUAGAAUUUUCGUUUUAAUUCGUUUUCGCCCGAAACUUGAUGAGUACUUUUGUAAUUAAAUUACACACAAAAACAUCGUCAACUGAGAGUUUAGUUACACUGUAAAAAUCUCAGUCCUUACAAUUCCAACAAGGUUGGAAGGCCUAAAAGUGAGUUUAGAAGAGGUUAGAAAGGUUUUAGCAUCGAUCGGCGGGAAGUAAAGUCGAGUCGGAGCCGAAACAGCACUCUGGAGCAAAGUGUACCGGUACAACAUUGAUGGUUGUACCGGUACAGCAACUGACCCGAGGAGUGGCUGCUCUCGGGUUUGAGUUUUCACAUAAGUGUACCGGUACACCCCUGCUUUGUACCAGUACACUUUGGUAAAAUUCGAAGAGGCUGCUCUCGGGUUUGCCUCUGCGCAGCUUUGUACCGGUACACAAACCCGUGUACCGGUACACAAACCCGUGUACCGGUACACUUUGGUCUGGCAGUAAGGAAUUGGUCUGCUGCAAUUUCAGACUUUGGGGGGGCUUAGUUAUAAAUGUUACAACAUGUAAUAUACCCAGCCCUCUUCUCCUUCACAGCAAACACCCCUCUACUCUCUCCCUCUCUUAUUUCUCUCUUUCUCUCUCUAGAGAUCCUUCCUUAGAGCAAGAAGAAGAAGAAGGAGAAGGCUUUGAAGGUGGAUUUUGGAAGGUUUGAAGGGUUUGGGUAUCUCCUACAAGGUGGACCUUGGAUUUCUUAGGGCCAAGGUGAGUCUUUAUGCAAGCACACAUCUAGGGUUUGGAUUUCUAUCCUAAGUUUUGGAGUUUUGAGCUUGCUUUUAGCUUUAGAACAUUGUUGAGGCCUUGAAACCGUGAAAUCCAUGGUUUUCUCAAGGUCCUCUCAUGGUAAACUCCUAGGGUUUAUAGUAGAUACCCUAGGAAUGAUCCAAUUGGUUUGGAAAUGGUAUUAGAAUGCUUCCUAGGUGAUCCUAAGCUAGUUUUUGCUUAGGAAUGAGAUCAAUCUAGGAAAAAAUCCUAUAUGACAUUGUUGGGGCAUGAAAAUUGGGGCUUUUGCCUCUGGUUGUUCACGAGGUAAAUUGACCUCUUAGAAACCUAAUUGGGGGUAUUCCCAACGCGUGGGACAAUUUCGUUUGACGUUAUGAAAAGUCUAUGUAAAAGUUCUAAGUAAAAAAGCCUAAUUUGGCUCUAAUUUGGUAUAGAUCGCCGUAGCACGCGGGAUCGAAGUUCGUAGAGCACGAGGAUCGAACCCCAACUCAUCUACUACUAUUCGAGGUCGGGGGUGCACGCCGGAAUCAUUGGAUUUUUCUUUAUGUCUAUUUUCACCUUUGUUGAGCAUACUUGUAUAUAGAGCCAUUCAUGCAUAAUAGGGUAAUUUUACAUGUGAAACUUGGUUAGACAUCAUUUAUAUGCUUUUAAUGUAGUUGAAUAUAGAGAAUGAUAGAACCUCAAUGGACAUGUAUGGUAGACCCCUAAGAAUUGUGUGAAUGUGAAACUUGGACCUUGAUUAUAGUAAACAAGGGUGACAAUGACAAUAGAGACAAGAUUGGCAUUGAGAAUGAGAUUGUUAAACAAAGUUUAAACAUAGCGGCAUUGUGACAAGAAUGACUUAGAAAGUGGCAUGAACAAAUAGGUAAAAAUCUAUUAUGAUAAUGGCAUUGUGACGAGUGGCUAUGUAUCCUCAAGUUGAGAAUUGGAUCGAUACUCACAUUGGGUUUUGGCUUGAGGGAGGUAGCUCCUCCUCAAGUGGUGUACUCCGGAGUGUAGACACCACGGGAAAAGUACCCCGUCGACGAUCCCUCGGGUGGUAGUACUUAAAGCCUCCCCCGAUAGACGGGAUAAAAGUUGUGAGCUAUUGGGGUUAACAAAGUUAAUCGGUAAAAUUUGGUAAAAAGGGCCAAAGUAAAAGUAUAGAAAGAAAAGCAUGCAUGCAUAUCUAAUAUUGCUUCGAUUAUAUAUCCACUGACAUCUAUCUUGCAGGCAUAGUAUUAGCAUUAUUAUGGUUACCAUAUCUUUCCUUUGAAAUACUUGUGCCUGAAUAGACCUAGUGGGUAAGUCGGCGAGGUCGGUUGCUGAACCCACUUGGAACUUUGUUUAGUUCUCACACCACUAACCCUGCAGAUCCGAGUGCGAGCGGGGCGGCGAAGGAUCGAGGCGGCGGAGGAUCGAGGCAAGGGUAUCGCGCCAUAGAUAGUGGCCACCGGGACUUAUGCAUUUUUAGUCAUUCCUUUUGUACAUGUAUCAACUUUCUUUUGUUGAUUUAGAGAAAUGUAAAGUUGUAAACAAUUAUGUGUUUUGGUGGAAUGAUUAAGAUGUAAAGAAUUAUGGUUGAAUGCAAAAAGAUUGUAAUGGUUUAGUUCACUUGUAUUUGGUUUAAAUUUAAUCAAAUAUCAAGUAUGGCUGUAUGUUUAGUAUAGAGCUUUCGCUUCCGUUGUUGCUUGCCCUCGUGCAAGCCUUGUAUAAUUGCAAAUCUCUUUGCUUGAUUGCUUAAUUAUACAUGUUGCUAGUGUCUGCUACCACGAAUGACGCACCUCACACUGUCAAUGGAAUUUUCGGGGCCGUGGGGUAGUAUUCAUGAUUCAGAUUGAUAUUUAUAUGUAUGUGGGUAUCAGGUUUUGCGGGUCCAUGGCUUCCAAUAGAUGCAAGCAUCUAUUGUUAAUUACCCCCUGUAGAUUGGGGUACCUUCGAUUAGGAGACCUUUAUAGAUGGGAUGAGAUGAAUCGCGUCUCGGUUUAUUGAAUCCUAAGUAUAUGUAUUAGGAUUCAGUUGGAUUUGAGGUUGAUUAGGCCCUAAGUAUAUGUGUUAAGACCUGAUCGAUAUUAAACUCUAUGUAUUAGAGUCUAAUUGGUUCAUGAGAUAUGGGUAUGAGAUCUGGGUAUUCGGUUGCACCUGCGAUUUGCGCGUAAUUGGUUUAUGAGAUUUGGUAUUGGUUCAUGGGUAUGUGGUAUUAGGUUGUGUAUGGUCAUGGGAUUUGUCCAUGAGGUUUGGUUGUACUGGUUUGAUGGUGUUUGGUCCAUGGAGUGUUUACGUUGUGGUUCAUGGGAAUUUUAAGUCCACAUGAGGUUGUUUUGGUUCAUGGGAUUUGUCUAUGAGGGUUUGGUUUUGGUUCUGGGAUUGUCCAUGAGAUUUGGUUUUGGUUCAUGGAUUUGGCUUCAUGAGGUUUGGUUUUGGUUCAUUGGGAUUUGGUCCAUGAGGUUUGGUUUUGGUUUAUGGGGAUUUGGAUCAUGAGGUUUGUUUUGGUUCAUGGAUUUGGCUCCAUGAGUUUGGUUUUGGUUUCAUGGGUUUGGUCCAUGAGUUUGGUUUUGUUCAUGGGUAUUGGUCAUGAGGUUUGGGUUUUAGUUCAUCGGGAUUUGUCCCAUGAGGUUUGGUUUUGGGUUCAUGGAAUUUGUCGCAUGAGAAUUGGUUUUGGUUCAUGGGGAUUUUGGUCCAUGAGGUUUGAUUUUGUUCAUGGGAUUUUGAUUUUGGUUCAUGGAUGAUUUGUCCCGAUAGGAUUUGGCCCAUGAGGUUUAGUUUUGGCUAUGGGAUUUUCCAUGAGGUUUGGUUUUUAGGUUUAUUUGGGUUUGGGUUUUGAUUUUUUUUGGAUGGUUUGAUUUUGUGGUUCGGGUUUCGUCUUAUUUGUGGACUUUGGUUCAGGUUGGUUUGAUUUGAUUUAGUUUGGAGUUUUGGAUUUUAUGUGUGGACAUGGUUUGGAUUUUAUUUGAUUAUUAAUUGGUUAAGUUUGGGUUUUGGUUUGGAGUACCUGGUUUAGGGUUUAUUUGGGUUUGGGUUUUGAUUUUAUUUGUGGGAUGGGUUUGAUUUUGGGUUCGGGUUUCGGUCUUAUUUGUGGACUUGGUUCAGGUUGGGUUUGGAUUUGAUUUGGGUUUGGGUUUUGGUUUUAUGUGUGGAAUGGGUUUGGAUUUUAUUUUUGGACUUGAUUUGGGUUGGGUUUGCGUUUUAUUUGGGGAAUGGGUUUGGGUUUUAUUUGUAGACUUGAUUUGGUUUAGGUUUGGAUUUUAUUUGGAUUUGGGUUCAUAUGUGAACUUGAUUCGGAUUUGCAACUUGAUUUGGGGUCCGAAUUUGAUUUUUCAGUUUGAUUUUGAUUUGAUUUGGGGUCCGAAGAAAUCCCCGUUUGAUCUUGAUUUGAUUUGGGGUCCGAAGAAAUCCCCGUUUGAUCUUGAUUUGAUUUAGGGUUCGAAGAAAUCCCCGUUUGAUCUUGAUUUGAUUUGGGGUCCGAAGAAAUCCCCGUUUGAUUUCGAUUUGGAUUUGAUUUUCCAAUUCGAUUUGGGGUCCGAAGAAAUCCCCGUUUGAUUUUGAUUUGGAUUUGAUUUUCCAAUUCGAUUUGGGGUCCAAAGAAAUCCCCGUUUGAUUCAAUUUGAUUUGCGGUCCGAAGAAAUCCCCGUUUGAUUUUGAUUUGGGGUCCGAAGAAAUCCCCGUUUUGAUUCCAAUUUGGGGUCCGAAGAAAUCCCCAUUUUAAUUUUGAUUUGGGGUCCGAAGAAACGGGGAAUCAAAGAUUCCCCUCCCCUCCUCUUGCGAUGCUGCGGAUGACGUCGACGAAGUUGAUGACGGUGGCGUGGAUCUGUUCGGCCAUCGGAUUUGAUUUGACAUUUUCGAAGAAAUGUUGAAGGGUCCAAAGAAACGGGGAAUCAAAGAUUCCCCUCCCCUGUUCUUUCGAAAGUAUGAAACUAUCGAUGUUGUAGAUAAUGUCGAUGAAGUUGAUGACGGUAGUGCGGAUUCGUUUGGCCGUCGGAUUUGAUUUGAUAUUUUCGAAUAAAUAUUAAAGGGUCCGAAGAAACGGGAAAUCAAAGAUUCCCCUCCCCUCUUCUUUCGAAAGUAUCAAACCGGCGAUGCUGUAGAUGUCGUUGGUGAUGGUGGCGUGGAUCUGUUCGGUCGGCAAAUUUGAUUCAAUAUUUUCAAAAUAUUUUGAAGGGUCCGAAGAAACGGGGAAUCAAAGAUUCCCCUCCCCUCUUCUUUCGAAAACAUCAAACCAAAGAUGCUGGAGGUGGUCGUGGCAAUGUGGAUCAUCCAUCCCACCAUUAAUGACUUCGAAUGGGGUAUUGAGAGGUCCGAAGAAACGGGGAAUCAAUGAUUCCCCUCCACUCUCCCAUCGAAGCCAUCUAGAUGACAUGGAUGGCUACUAUCGCAGGACCAAAAAAAGGAAAAAGAAGGGGGAAGAAAAGAGAUUUUUUUUUCUUUUCUUUCUUUUUUUUUUUCUUUUUUUUCUUUUUUUGUUUUUUUUUUUUUUCUUCUUCAUUUUUCUUCUUUUUUUUUUUACCUGUUGAUCAAAUGACGGAUUGGAUGAAUCAGCUCGACGAUUCCUCCACCUUUCCGCGGCUCGGCGAUCUCUCCUUCUUUUCGCGGCUCGGCGAUUUCUCCUCCUUUCCGCGGCUUGGCGAUAUCUCCUUCUUUGAAUACUUUGAACGUGGAAAUAUGUGUAGCAAUCUAUCUCUUUUUUUCUUUUUUUGUCUAUCGUAUCCGUCCAAAAAAAAAAAUUCUCUGAAUUUGAUUUCGGUUUCCGUAUUUAUAAUGGGAGGGGAGGAGUUAGUUAAGAAUUCAAAAUUCGAAAUUCGAAUUUUGAAUUAUUUGUUGGAUNNNNNNNNNNNNNNNNNNNGGAGGUUGGUUAAGGGUUUUAUAGAAGGUUGGUAGGGUAUUGGAUAAGUUUUAAGCUAAGGCUUAAAGCUUAGGGAUUGAUUGAGGGUUUUAUAGAAGGUUGAUAGGUUGUUGAGUAAGCUAAAGCUUAAGCUUAAAACUUAAGGGUUGGUGAGGGGUUUAUAGGAGGUUGGUAGGUUGUUUAUUAAGUUUUAAGCUUAAAUUCGAAAUUCGAAAUCGAAUUUUGAAUGGAUUGUUGGAUGAUAUUUUGGGAAUUAGUUGGGAAUUCGAAAUUCGAAAUUCAAAUUUCGAAUGGGUUGUUGGAUGAUAUUUUGGGAAUUGGUUGGGAAUUCGAAAUUCAAAAUCGAAUUUUGAAUGGGUUGUUGGAUGAUAUUUUGGGAAUUGGUUCGGAAUUCGAAAUUCGAAAUCAAAUUUUGAAUGGAUUGUUGGAUGAUAUUUUGGGAAUUGGUUAGGGAAUUCAAAAUUCGAAAUCGAAUUUCGAAUGGGUUAUUGGAUGAUGUUUUGGGAAUUGGUUAGCGAAUUCAAAAUUCGAAAUCGAAUUUUGAAUGGGUUAUUGGAUGAUGUUUUGGGAAUUGGUUAGGGAAUUUCGAAAAUCGAAUUUUGAAUGGGUUGUUGGAUGAUAUUUUGGGAAUUGUUUAGGGAAUUCAAAAUUUGAAAUCGAAUUUUGAAUGGGUUGUUGGAUGAUAUUUUGGAAAUUGGUUAGGGAGUUCGAAAUUCAAAAUUCAAAAAUCGAAUUUUGAAUAGAUUGUUGGAUGAUAUUUUGGGAAUUGGUUGGGAGUUUGAAAUUCGAAAUUCAAAAAUCGAAUUUUGAAUGGAUUGUGAUUUGAAAUCAAAUUUCAAACCGAUAUUUUAUAUGAUGUGGAUGUGGGCCGUCGUUAAUUAGGCCCGUUUUAAUUUAUUGGGCCCAAAUGAUAAUAUUUAAUGGGCUGGAAUGAGGCCCCCUCUCACUUUUUUUUAUUAUUUGUUUGGGCUUUCGUAAGGCCCACCUAAUCAUAUUUUUAAAUGGGCUUAUUGUAUAUUAUAAUUAUUGAUCCGAAAAGAAUUUAAUGAUUAAUACGAAACCUAUUAGGAUUGUAUGAGCUCGAAUCUGAUUGUUUUUUUUUUAAUUCUGAUUAGGAUUGUUUCAUCUAUAUAAGUAUUAUUUUAAUGUAAACAGCUAGAGCCUUGGGCGGACAGGGGAGAUGCUGUCUGUUCGGCGUCUGUUGACGUGGCCCGAACCCGACCAAAUUCAUCUCAUGCUUCUAUAUAUUUUACAAUUAACUACCAUUAUGCAUCAAUGAUAAAUCUCACUCCGCUUCAACAUGGAAGCGAACUAAUAACUUCGGUGAGUACAACCUACCUCGCAACGCUUUCCGAUUGCUUGUCGACACUUGCAAUCGGCCUCCCGCGGUACUCGUCGUCCGGUUCGGCCCGUACUCGCAAACGAUCACCGAGCACUUGUCGAUUCUCAACUUAGAGUUGUUAAGGGCUCAUCUCUAAUCUUCAAUUAGAGAAAUAUGGGGUUAAAAUAGAUCAAAAUCCCAAUAAACCCAAAACCCCCAUUUCUAAGCCCUAGCAUGUACAUAUACUCCAAAUAACCAAUAACCUCAUGGAGAAACAUGCAUUUAACACUCUAAGGGCUAUUAGAACAUUAAGCAUUAAGAAUUAAACCAAAUCCCAAAAGCUUACCAAAAUAUGAAUGCCAAGACGGAAGCACCCCGCUCAAACGGGCACACGAGAGCCCAAACCGUCACCUCCCACGCGUUCAUAAGGCCCUUCUCCUCCAAGCCUCCGAAUUUGGGAGAUUGAUCCAGAGAGAAGAGAGAGUAUUCUAGAGAGAGGGAGAGAAGUUUCUCUCACUAGAAAUGGUGGUGUGUGGGUGUGUUGGUCGUGGGAGAAGAAGAAAGGGGUGUUGGCCCCCUUUUAGAGUCACCCCCUACCAAUAAUUUACAAGUUUGCCACUCAAACUGUGCAUAUUUCGGGCUCAGGGUCAGGACCUUGGCCCUAGGGUCCGGACCGGUAGGUCCAAAAAUUCAGCAAAUUUCAACCUUUUGCUAAUUUUGGCCCGUUUUGCUCGUUUUCGUUCCUGGGACUGCCGAUUCAUCUCUAAUCGUACCGAGACCCCCAAAAUAUGUUUUCAAGCGUGUUUAAACCAUCUUUUCAUCCACGCCUUGUCGGAUUUCGGCCAAGGUCCAAUCAUAGGCUUUCGGAUUCCGUUUUCGCACCCGACGUGCACCAAAAACACCCGAAAGCUCUUGAACUUCACCGGAACCAUUCUAAUGGCUUUCCAAACCAACAUACACUGUAACUUCAUAAUUAUAGAAGUUCGGUAUAUUACACCCUCCCCUCCUUAAAAAGAGUUUCGUCCUCAAAACUCAAAUCAUAACUCAACUCGACUUAUCGAGCAAUCGAGGUUAACAAUGCACUUUUCUACUCCGGAGUGACCUUACACUCAUCGGAACUGUUCAAAGGCCCACUAUGGAGGACAUGAGACCAAACUCAUGCACAUUUGCCAAGUGCAACACCGAAAGUGCAUUACCAGCAUGCAAAGAACUACUCUUUGCAUUACACACCCAAUCAGGGAACACACUCCGAUUCGAUCACCGGCAUUGCUUAGAAGCAAUAUCGUUGGUGCAUCGACCAAUCGUGAGUGCUCCAGUUACAACCAGAUCCUUGCUUAACUAAAAGAUGGCACACUCCGGCACAUCUCCAAUUUCAAUUCUCAAGAGAACAUUAUCCUUAAUUUUCGCGUGGCUAUCCAUUAUCCAAGUGUCUCCUAGAGACCACUUUACUUUCUCUUCCAAUUGCCACGGCUAACAUCAAUUCGUUCUCGCAACGAAUUCACAUGAACACUCCGUUCGUGAAUCCAAGCCAAACUCACUAAUAGAGUUGUCGGCCAAACCGCUCAUCUCGGUUUCCACAUGGGGAUUACAGGCCACCAACUCUACGUUGGCCUACCAUCUAAACCUGUCGCAAUACACACAAUGUCUCUCGCUCGAAAGCGUAGACCCAAUCAUCACUGGACGAAAUUCUCACUUGGGAAUUCGCACACACUCCAACUAGGAGCAACUAUGACCCCAAACCACAUCUUAUCCUGAGGUUGGGUCACUACACUCUCUCGGUGCAUCGUCGAUCUCUCGAUCUCACACGCGGCAUUCCAUGCUCCUGGGUCUAAGCUCGGACUACUGCCCAAACCAAAACUCUGCCCCACCUCGGGGCUGCUGCUCCACACAACUGACUGCGCCUGCCCCAAGGGCCCCAGGCUCCACAGUCCACAGAUGGUCCAAGCACGGAUCGUCCCUGUAAUAUACCGAACUUCUAAAUUCACGAAGUUACGAUGUAAGUUAGCUUAGAAAGCCAUUGGAAUCGUUCCGGCGAAGUUCGGAAGCAUUCGGGUGCUUCGGUGCGCAUAGGGCGCGAAAACGGCAAGACUCUGGCCAGGAACGCCACUCUCUGGCCAGGGGCUUUCCGGUCUUAAGGUCUGAAUCGGUUAAAAAGUCGUAAAAGUCGGAAAUAGGAAAAAGUGAGGCAAAAGCGAGCAAAAGCGAGCAAACUGGAGGCAAAGAAAAGUUUAGCUUGGCUCUGAGAGGUUUGUACAAAAGUUUGUACAAAAGUAGUAGAAAAGUAGGUGCGAUUACGGCCUAAAUCAGGUACCAGGUUGUAUCGGAAAACCCAGNNNNNNNNNNNNNNNNNNNNNNNNNNNNNNNNNNNNNNNNNNNNNNNNNNNNNNNNNNNNNNNNNNNNNNNNNNNNNNNNNNNNNNNNNNNNNNNNNNNNNNNNNNNNNNNNNNNNNNNNNNNNNNNNNNNNNNNNNNNNNNNNNNNNNNNNNNNNNNNNNNNNNNNNNNNNNNNNNNNNNNNNNNNNNNNNNNNNNNNNNNNNNNNNNNNNNNNNNNNNNNNNNNNNNNNNNNNNNNNNNNNNNNNNNNNNNNNNNNNNNNNNNNNNNNNNNNNNNNNNNNNNNNNNNNNNNNNNNNNNNNNNNNNNNNNNNNNNNNNNNNNNNNNNNNNNNNNNNNNNNNNNNNNNNNNNNNNNNNNNNNNNNNNNNNNNNNNNNNNNNNNNNNNNNNNNNNNNNNNNNNNNNNNNNNNNNNNNNNNNNNNNNNNNNNNNNNNNNNNNNNNNNNNNNNNNNNNNNNNNNNNNNNNNNNNNNNNNNNNNNNNNNNNNNNNNNNNNNNNNNNNNNNNNNNNNNNNNNNNNNNNNNNNNNNNNNNNNNNNNNNNNNNNNNNNNNNNNNNNNNNNNNNNNNNNNNNNNNNNNNNNNNNNNNNNNNNNNNNNNNNNNNNNNNNNNNNNNNNNNNNNNNNNNNNNNNNNNNNNNNNNNNNNNNNNNNNNNNNNNNNNNNNNNNNNNNNNNNNNNNNNNNNNNNNNNNNNNNNNNNNNNNNNNNNNNNNNNNNNNNNNNNNNNNNNNNNNNNNNNNNNNNNNNNNNNNNNNNNNNNNNNNNNNNNNNNNNNNNNNNNNNNNNNNNNNNNNNNNNNNNNNNGCGGUUGUCUGGCGGCUUGCCUGUCCCAAAGGGGACGUGCGCCUGUCUCAGAGGGGACAUGCAAGUUCCGCAGCGUUAGUUAUGUUAAUGUUCUCCAAGGUUUGUCCUUGUUAAAAGUUGUUGCUAACGUAUUCCUUCCAUAGUUUGUUGUAUUGUGUAGGAUAUAAUAAUGUUAGUAAGUAGAGUAGUAAAAUGUAGCGUAAAAAGUAAUGUAACUAGGAGUUGAAGGUUUAUAUGUUAGCUAAAGAUUUGUAUUAUAAUGUUGUAGCUAAGAAAAGAAAAGAAAAGAAUAUGGGGAUUCUUCGGCUGAUGCCCGAAUCCGACCAAAGAGGCGGGCUCGGGGCGUGACAGUCCCCAAGCAAUACCCAUAACUGUCGUCUCACACGACAUGCUCUACCGAGCUACCCAUACUACUAUCGGCUCCUAGUCACCUAGUGCGGGCCAUCAGCUCUACGAGUGAUCCAAGGCACACUUCACACCUAGCAAUGCUGAAGUGCUACUGCCAACUCUCUCUCUGUCGGCUGAAUCGAAUCCGCACUCCACGAGUAACAACACUCUACCAUCCGACGCCUCUAUAGUGCUCCACACUAAGUCCAGCAUUAGGCAAUCAUGCCUAUGUACAACGGCUACACGAGCACGACUUCCAAAAUACAGCCCAACAGAAGCUCCAAACUCAGCUCACACGGUCUCUGUACCUGCUGAAAACAAAGCAUCAAAACCGCGUCGAAACGAUUACUUAAUAAUCCAAUUUCGGCUCUAAUCACACAUAGUACAAAGUAAUAACUUAGUUCCCUGCUUCGGGCUAGCUUAAUACCUCAAGUUGAGUCUCCAAGAGCUCUCACAAGUCAACUAAAGAUGAUCCAAGGCUCGAUCGCACUCUCGCUGCGAACAACAUCGAAACGGCAUCAAAACGCUCAAAUAUAAAUUAAUAUCAUCGAACUCUUGCAAAAUCAGUUUUAAAACUGAAAUUUCUAAUUACCCUUGAUUAGAAUAUCCUCCAAACCAGCUUCCAAGAGUACAAGUUCAACUUAAAGAGGCUCAAAAACCUGCUGCGAAGAGAUCAUACGAAACUGCGUCAAUUACGCGAUUAAUCCGCAUAUAGUUCCGAAAUUGAGUUAUAAUUCACUAAUUAUCCUUAAUAAGCUUAAAGGCAACUGUUCUCUGAGUUUAGAUGGAUAAUUAGUAGCCAAAAUAACUCUUCUUCACUACUGUAAACAUCUUCUAAUUCGGUUAGAAGCAGCAAUACCAAAACGGCUCAAAAUUCGACACUAAACCAUAAACUAGAGAGAAAAUCAAGUUAAUUACCUCUCUAAAGCUUUCAACCAGCUUCUCAGGUAGUAACCUCACAGAAAACUCAGCAAACUUUCCUCUCCCCACAUUCCAAGCACUGCCCUUGAGUCUCCAAACCAGCAAGCAACAAGGACGACGCGAAAUCGGCGCAAAACGACAAAUUUUACAUAGAGAGAGAAAAACCCUAGAGAGAGGAGAGAGAAAAGGGGAAGAAGCUUGCUCUGAGCUCUAAGGGCCUUCCAGCAACUUCAGAGGUCGACCAGGUAUCUGUAGGGAUAAGAUUAGAUGCCAAAAGACCAAAAAAUCCCUGCUGCCACGCACCAGCUGCCUCAGCUGCUUGCUGUACCGGUACAGCAUAAUGCCUAUACCGGUACACAAUGCAAAAUCUGCCCAACGCGCAGAAGCAAUGCACUUUCUUGUCUCCGGCAAUCCGAUCACUCUCUAACUUGUCCAAAAACUUGUCCAAGUCUUUUAGAACAUGUAGGAUAGUUCCACAACUCAUGCCACACACUCGAACUCUGCAAUUUGCAAAAGUUCAGUGUAUUACAAUUCGAGAUACUACUAGGCCCACGUGCUUGUACUUGGCCACUAACCAAUCGUUCUCUCAACAGUGAUUCUACUUCCACUGUUCAAUCUAUCGGAACUACAUCCGAAACACUCGGGCUACUCGGGUAUCCUCAAUGUCAUGGCGCAACUCUCGUAAUCAACUACUCAUUGCCUUGAGAGUCGCUUCACCAUUUCAUCUCUACCACGAGUCUCGUUUCUUGUCCAGGAAUCACUACUAGCAAUUUGCUAGUGCCAUCUGGGUCUCUACCUGCUCCAGCAGGCGCUAUACUCUCACCGCGUGAGCAUGCCAGGGUAUUUACACCUACCAGUCCACUUGGUCCAUACUAUACUAAUGUAUAAAUAGUAAUGUAUAAAUAGUAGCAAUAGACCACAGGACAAUGCAUGCCAUGCAUCAACUUAAGAUUAUGCAAAAGCAUAUGCUUGCUUUAACUAAAUCAUACUUGCCAUAACAUCGUCGGUAGCAGCAGGCUCCACGACUCGGGGCGCGUAUCCACGGCCACAUGGUACUCGCCGCGAACCCUCUGGUCGCAUUGUCCUCAACGCCCGCUCUCCCGACCAUGCCGCAGGUGGCGCACCUGUAGGCUGUCCAGGAGAGGAAUAGGCCGUCGCCAGUGUCAGGGGCCGGCUAUCACCUUGCGGACACUCAUCCUGCGCAUGACCCAGCUGCCCACACCUGAAGUACUUGCCCUCUCGCUGCUCACACUGUUGUGGGUAGUGAGGAACCCCACAAAUAACAGAUCUCGCAAAAGACCGAAUGUGGUAGGUUCCCGGAGCUCGAGAUCGCGAGCGCGAACACAUCGAAGUCCGUUGGGAACUUGACUGACCAUCGUAUCCACUCGCUGGUCAUCCUUUCCCCGUUUCCUUGUAAUAAGACUUGCGCUCCUCCUGCACAAAUGCGUCGCCUUGUUUUAUCCACAAGGCCCAAUUCAUGACUUCGGCAAAGUCUGUAAUUUAAAAUUGUACACAUCCUUGAAAAUAUCCGGCUGAAGUCCCCGCACGAAGCGUUCAGCUCGGUCUUUGUCAUCCCGCACCACGUUCGGGAUACAAUUUACGAUACGGGAGAACUCCCGCUUAUAUUGCCUAACCGAGCGGUCUCCUUGCCGCAGCUGCCGGAACCUCUCCUGAAGCUUUCUCUUCUCACUAUCGGGGAAAUAGGCAGAGAAUAUCAAUCCAUGAAACUCUUUCCAAGUCACAGGAGGGAGACUAGGCGAUCGAUUCUGCUUGAUGCCUUUCCACCAUACCUUCGUCGACAGUUUCAGAUAGUGCACUGCCAGGUGUACCUUGUCCUGCCCCACAGUGUACAGAUCCUUAAAUAAAGUUUUCAUAGAGUCUAUCCACAUCUCAACGAUCCACGGAUCUGUGUCCCCUCCAUAAAAGGUAGGCGGAUCAAAUUUUCUAAAGGUCAUGAGGGCCGCCAAAGCUCUCUUCCUCUCCGCCUCUACCUCUGAAGUGCUAGAAGUCGGAUUGCCUGACCCCGACGAAAAUACCUCCGCCACAACUCCCGGCCACACUUGACGAGCCGUGACUGGUGCGGUCACCAAUCGAUCUACCGUCUCUUGGAGUCUCUUUAUUCGCUUCUCCUGGUGCAUGGCAGCCUCCUGCUGCCGUUGCACCAACUCAGCUUAUUGCCUCGCCAUUCCUACGAGUGUGGCCAACUGCUCGCGAAGUUCUAAUUCUCCGCUCGCCUCGAAAUACUCAGGGACACCACUUGUCCCAUCCCGCGUCGAUCUGGACAAAGAUCGCCUACGCGGUGCCAUCGUUUCCUGAAACACGACAACUCUGUUAAUCCUCGACCCACUGGGUCGAACGCAAAACAAUUAAUACCGACUCAAAAGUUAAUCAGGCGAAAGUCACGCAAGGGUGACUAUUCUCAUCACUCGGCUUCAUGUUGUGUGCACCUAACAUGAACACCCUCAGUUGAGAAUAAACCACGCCUUGAGUCUACCUCUAACAUCCAUUUUAGAGGUUUUGACACUUGACCCAAUCAAUUAUCUUUCGCCACAAAUCACCAGUCCUCGUCUCUCACGAGCCUUAUUCUUCUAUGGUUUACUAUCCUAGGGCUCCUAUGUCCGUCUAAACCAUUCCUAUUAUUCUCUUUAUGCUUUGAUACCACUUUAUCUGUCACGCCCCGAGACUCGCCUAUUUGGUCGGAUUCGGGCAUGUCGACAGACUGCUGAAUGGACAAAGUUUUCCCUGUACGUCCUAGGCGUCGCAAUCAAUACAAUACAAGAGGUUCCAACUACGAACAGUAUUCAAUCAUAGAUUGCAUAAGGAAGUAUCAAAAGCAUAAUUACUAUGCUAUUACAAGCAUUCAACUCACAAGCAUCUUAACAUAUUACAUUUUUGCUUACACUCAACUUCCAAACUACAAUCUAGUUAUUAUAAAUUUAUUACAAGUUUGCUUCUCUCAUUUCUAACCCCUAAGCUAGACCACUUCGGGGUACCGCUAUCUCUGGUCUCUGGGUAGGGCACUAUUUACUGAGCUACGCCCUUUCCUCGCGCCGCCGCGCCGCUCGCGUGUGAACCUGUGACCCUCAAAACCACACGGGGGUUAGAACUAUAUAAAUAUAGUUCCCAGUGGAUACGGCCACCCAAGGGAAAAGCUCGACCCACCAGGUCCAAAGAGACACUGCAACAUGUUAGUCCAACAGAUAUCCAACAGAUAUUCAUGCAAGUAUUGAAAUACAUGUUAUGCCUCUCAACAUGCAAUAUGAAAAUGCAAUUAUACAACCAAUAAGUAGAUCAAUUGAUUCUACAUUCAAUUCUGCUAUCCAUAGCUCAUAUCGCUUAGCUCUAAGGUUUCUACUACCUUAGGUUCACAGCUUAAGUCCAACUUGCUUCUAAGGUCUCUAUUACCUUAGCUCUUGCCAUUUAUCACUAGCUUUUAAGGUUUCUACCACCUUAACCAAGCUAUCCACAUGACUCGGCCUCGAGUCAAUCAUGCGCGGACUACCGCGUACUGGCUGCUACAAGAGCCCACCGCACUCUAUGACUUAGCCACCUAGUGGCAAAAUUGUCGCACACGCCCAACACUGGCUUAAGUCACCUGGCGGCAUAAUCCAAUAACCGGCUUAACCAUCUGGCGGCGAAAUCGUCGUACACCCCGAACAAUGGUUUAGCCCCGGGUGGCGAAAUCGUUGCACAUGCCCAGCACCUUCUCUCGGUGUUCCAUAAGUCCUGGGAUUUCGAAAUCCAUUUUUCACAUCUCAAGGGUAGUCACACACCCUAUACUGUCGACCUAUCUAGGUUCGACCCAUGCACAUCCUAGUGGCCCUGCUACCACUAUAAUCCGCAACCUAGAUUCAACCACGCUAGGUUCUAUGUCAUCUCUACCUAGAUCUCAACUUCUAGAUUCACUUAUUCAACCUAUAUUUACUAACACUAGGUUCAUGUCCAACCUAUGUUUAAUAACACUAGGUUUAAUGCCACUCAAUCUACUUGGCAUCCUAGCUGUCCAAAUCGAGUAUUUCAGUUUACACAUCCUUGUUUUCCAAUGUCGAGUCCUCUAAUCCAACUAGAGUUGUCAACCCAAUUUCACUUUUACAUGAAUCUAGCAUAUUCUUCAAUAAGUCAUUAUGCACUCAUCUAGGAUAUUCUACAUCAUGUCAUCAUGCAUUCAUCUAGCAUUUAUAUAUUAUGUCAACAUGCAUUCAUCUAGCAUACAUAUCCAUAUGUACAUCUCAAGGGUAGGUAACAUCAACUAAGCCUAAUAUGAUUCAUGCAUUCAUAUUACCAUUCACACCCUACCACUAUAUGUAUAUGCAUCAACAUUAACCACAAAUCAUCAUUAUCAUCCAAUGGUAGUUCAACAUAGCAUUCAUCUCAUGCAUCUAUAUGUUUUACAAUUAACUAUCAUUAUGCAUCAUUGAUAAAUCUAACUCUGCUUCGACAUAGAAGCGAGCUAAUAACUUCGGUGAGCACAACCCACCUCACAACGCUUUCCGAUUGCUUGUUGACACUUGCAAUCGGCCUCCCGCUGUCACACCCCGAGCCCACCUCUUUGGCCGGUUCGGGCACGCCAAUAGACCGCCAAACGUACAGGAUUUUUCAUGUACCACGGACAGAAUCUCUCCUGUACGUUCAAAGCGUCAUAAUCAUACAAUGCGCGAGGUUCCAACCAGAAACAGCAUUGUAACACACUAGACUUUUGCAAAUUGCAAGGUUCGAGUGUUUGAUUUGUGUUUCGAGCUUUUUCACAUUUUCUGGAGAGUCGUAGACAGUGUUCCAAUUUAUGGCUCGCAUCUGAAGAAUUGAGGUUUAAAACUUUGCACCAAAACUCAAAAAGAUGGAUUUUUGGUCUGCUCUCGGAUUUGCCUCAGCAGGGCUGUGUACCGGUACAGGUUGAUGGUUGUACCGAUAAAAACAGGUUGUACCGCUACAGGUUGAUGGUUGUACCGGUACAGAGGUGGUGUUACCUGCCAACCCGAGGCUCGGGUUUGCGCGCACAGUGUUUUGUAUCGGUACACUUUCCCGUGUUCCGGUGCACAGUGCAGAAUGCAGUCUGCUUGGGUUUGAGGGGUGUUUUUGGGAUUGUAGCAAAUCUACAAAUAACCCCACGCCCUUAGCUGUGCUCCCCGAGCUUAGACACAGUAGAGACCAAGGUAGGGAGUGUCACGCCCCGAGACCGCUACCAAUUUGGUCCGAUUCAGGCGCGUCGAACAGACGCCGAACGGACAGCACCUCCCCUGUCCGCCCAAGACUCAACAACCAAAUCAAGUACAAUUAAGCGCCCAGGAAUUGCUUAAAUAAUAUACAUAAUCGAAUACAAAGCACCACAAGUGCUAUACUCACAAGUAAGAGCAAGAAUCACAAGAGUACAUUCAAGUGAAAUAAAGAGAGUUGCAUCUAGCUAUUACAACCAUUUAACAUUUACACUUUUAAUUACAUUUUCAUCUCCAAAAAAUGUAAUACAUAGUCAUCUCCAAAAUAUAUGAGUAGCUCUCCAACAUCUAUCCAAAAUUUACAUCAUCGUCGUCUAGUACACGAGGGUACUCUAUAUGCAAUAGGAAAGCUACUAUCUACUCACUCAGGGCGCUAUGCCCUAGCCGCGGUCCUGGCCCGGCGAACUCGUACUCGGCCCUGCAAUAAAGUGGUGUGAGAACUAUAUAAAUAUAGUUCCCAGUGGGUUCGGCCACCGACUCCGCCGAUCUUCUCACUAGGUCUAAGCAGGCACAGAUAGAUAGAUAGAUGGAUAGAUAGAUAAAAUAAACUACAACUAUUCUACCAUGCCUUCAAUGAUAUAUGAUGCAUGAAAUAUUUGUUUUGCAGGUCUUCUACUAUCAUGCUAGUAUAAUGUCAUGAGCAUAUAUGUAACAUAGUUAUGCAAGCUACAUCAUACAUUAUGUCUACUCAAGGUAAGAAUGCAAUUCUACUAUGCCAUUAAUGUUCAUUACCCAAUCUACUUGGCUAACCCGAAGGUUCCGCCGUCGACUCACUCUCAAAUUUCAUAGGUGAGGAGAAGCUGCACUCGUACACCGAGACCGUCUGCGGGACAACUACGUCUGCCCCUGUGUGAAGUACUCCAGAGACCACUACUUGGGUGGAGCGACCAUGCCAAGUGUAAACAGACUAGUGAGUAUGAUCCAAUCCUCACAAGAGGAUACCCUAUCUACAAGGGUCAUAGUGCCUCUGCUGCACAAUUCAUAAUGCAUAAUCAAUGCCGAGACUUCUACCAUCCCUAAGUUCAUGUCACAUUUACUACUCUAGAUUUGAUGCUACUCGUUCAAUCGUUGUAGUAAAUGUUUUCUACUAGUUGACAUGCCACUCGUUCGUGUUUAGUAUUUCUACUACACUAGUUCAAUGCCACUCAUCUAGGCUACACUAUGUCCAAGUUCGACUCAUUAUGCCACUAUAGGAUUUCAUGUCACAAGACCCAAUCCCCAUGCCUCCCUAGCCCAAGUGUCCAUCCCAUGAUGCUACACUACUAAGUAAGCAUGCAAGGAAAUUAGAAUUGCAACUAUCUACUAAUCCUACCAUGUAUGAACAACAUAAGAAUAUGGUCAAUAUAUAGAACUCAGACAUAAAAGAAACCCGGUUGCUUCGGGAUGGACACCCCCCACCUUUCGAUGAUGUAGAGGUUCUAGAAAUGCUACUCGGCACACGUUACGACGUGGUCUCCGCCUCCUAGGUGGAAACGAAGCUUGCUCGGCCUUGUUUCACCAAUAACUUCUCAACGACUCGACGAAUGCUCAAUCCGUCUUCGCCAACGUGUUUAGACACCUAGCAAUUAGGUUUAGAUGCCAUCAAUUGAGAUCAAACCACUCUAUUUAGGAAAACCCCAAUUUGGGUGCCCUAGGUUUGCUCUAUAGCAAAACUACCAAAAUCAAACUCUAGGUUCUAGCAUAACUCAUCUAUUAACAUGCUUGGGGUCCAUUUGAUCCAUUCAUGAAGCUAGAAAUCCAAAAUCCUAGGUUCCACCAUUGUUAGGGUUUACUAGCUUACCUCCAAGGUAGCUCUAUGCCAAGGAGAAGAUGAGAAAGAUGAUGGUGAGCUCCUUCUUUUCCUUCUGCUCCUUCUUUUCCUUUCUCUUUUCCUUUUCCUUCCUCUCCUUCUUCUUUGCUUCAAGAGAGGGAGAGAGAGCUUAGAGAGAGAAAGAGAGAGAGAAAUGUAUGUUUGGGUGUGAAAAUAAGAGAGGAAGAGAGUGGUCUCCCCUCUAUACCCCCAACUAAUAGAACAAUUGCUAUUAGACCCCUCAACUUUGCUUCUCUUGACUUGCCCAGACUGGGCAGUUUUCGGGUACGGGGACCGGUCCCUCUAUGGGAGGACCGGUCCCCGAGAGCUGCCUCACAUGCAGAGCCCUCGGGCUAGCCCUUUCACGCGCACGGGGACCGGUCCUCGCUGAGGGACCGGACCUUCAAGGACCGGUCUGUCCCGCUAGGGACCUGUUCCCGAGAGCUGAACUCUCAGGACUUAGCCGAUUUUUUCACCUUCUCGCUAGUUGCGCGUACGGGAACCGGUCCUCACUGAGGGAUCCGUCCUUCAGGGACUGGUCCCCACCGGAGGGACCGGACCCCGAGAGCAAUCUCGCACGCAAAGCUUUUAGCCGCAUUUCCAGCUUACGGGGACCAGUCUCUCCGACCAAGGACCAGUCCCCGAGAGCAAUUUCUGCAAAGUGCAGAUUUCUGCACAGCUUGCUCUCGCGGAUCCUUUACAAUGCACUUUUGCAUUUUUUGACUUCUUCGGUCUUUCUGAAGCAUUCCUACUCGACAAUUAGUCGAUUUUAAAUGAAGUCCAACUCUCGUAUCUCGAGAAUCCACUUCUUUACAUCCUCCCCUCCUAAAAAGGAGUUUCGUCUGCGAAACGAAUUCAAUAACUUAAUAUAACUCAUACCUUAACGCAUUUCUUCAAAGAGGUGAGGAUAAUGCACUUUCAUUACCUCCUGAGUUCCCACGUAGCUUCACGAUCAUCGUGAUUGGUCCAUCGAAUCUUAACGUAGGGAAUUUCUCGGUUUCUCAAUUUUCGCACCUUUGAGCAAUAAUCAUCGCCGGAAACUCGUCAUAGCUUAAAUCCUCUUGUAGAUCCGGCGGCUCAUAGUACAUAACAUGCUUGGGGUCGUGGAUAUAUUUGAGAAAGUUGGAAAUGUGGAACACGUUGUGCACAUCUGCGAGCUUCGGCGGCAAGGCGAGUCGGUACGCUACUGCUCCAACACGUUCCAACACUUCAUACGGCCCAAUAUAUUGGGGACUUAACUUUCCCCACACUCCGAAGCGCUUCACUCCUCUUAUAGGCGAAACCUUCAAGAAGACACGGUCACCCACCGCGAACUCCAAAUCUCUACGGCGCUUAUCCGAGUAGCUCUUCUGUCUAGAUUGCGCCGCGAGCAAUCUCUCGCGAGCGAGACGGACUUUCUCUUCCGCCACCCGCAACACAUCGGGGCUAAAUACCGCACGUUCACCUUGUAAGUUAUGGAUCCCGAGGAUUUAAAAGGUAAAUAACACCUAGAGGGGGGUGAAUAGGUGUAAACGGCAAAAACCAAAACUCUCGAUGCAAAAUAAAACUAAAUAGCGAAAAAUAAAAAAAACACACCGAGAUUUAAUGUGGGAAAACUCCAAUCUGGAGUAAAAAACCCACCGGACCGAUCACACGAAGAAAUCCACUAAGAAAACUUGAGUACAAGUGAUUUACCCAAAAUACACGACUCAAUUUACCGAAUUCUCGAUGUAGAUUGUCUUUACCGGUCCUCAAUCGAUCGGAAUCCUCCAAUCGACCCCGCCGCAACUCCUUGCCGCGCCAACACCUCGAAUCCUCAAGGCGUCCACCGAAUCCUCGGCUUCACGCGAAAUCCACGAGCCAAUCCUCCUUCCGGAGCUCGUAGAAUAGAUGAUUUGUGGUUAUUGAGACUUAGAAUACCAUAAGCGAUGAGGGUUCACCUUCUAAUCAAACAUCAACUUGAUUCAUGGAGAAAUUCUCAAGUUAAUACCUAAGAAUCAAAUUGAUGGUUGAUAAUUCGAAAACAUGAAAUCAAGUUUUUAGGGUAUUAGAUAGGUAAACAUUCUAAGCAUCAUUCUCUAUGAUGACCCCCAUGGCUUAUUUAUAAGUUUAGGAGACUUAGAAUUAGACUAGGAUUGCAAAAAGUCUAUUUUAAAAACGGAUGUCGUCCUUAGGGACCGGUCUCUCAAGGAGAUCUGUCUAUGAGAGACCGGUCUCUCGGGUGGGAGACCGGUCCCUUGCUGCGUGACAGAAAACGCAACGUUCGGGAACUGCUCUCUCAUGCUAGAGACCGGUCCCUCGCUGCGUGCCCGAAAAUCCCAUGCUCGGGAACCGGUCUCACUUCCCAGAGACCGGUUGCCUCAACAUUCUACGCAGUAAGGACCCUCGGGGACCAGUCUCUUAACCGUGGGACCGGUCCCUGAACACUGAAAACUUCAGAUUAAGUUUUCUAAGGCAAUCCAAGUCUUCUAAACUUAUAGUUAAACAUACCACAAAUGAUCUACCAUUCAUACCUGAGGUGCCGAGCUUUACGAAUGAGUCUUUGAUCUUUAUAUUGAAUCUUCUCUUUAAAACUUUGCAAUCAACUCUUCAAGACUCCAUACGACUUCACGAAAUCCGCCAACAUAGAAAAUCCUUAACAAUCUCCCCCUUUGGCGAUUUCGUGACAAAACAUAAUACAACACUUGUACACAACUCAGAAAUAAUAAAAAGAAGAUCAUCGCAAUCACCAAACGAUAAUCUCUUGCAUGAUCGAUCCAACAAAGAAAAAUUACAUUUUCCAAUCCUAAAACAAACUCUAUGAUUUAGACAUGGAGUCUUGAAGUCUUGAAGGUUCCUGUAAAAACAAUCUCAAAACAGAGUCAAUAUUCAAGAGUUUCUUUAACGACUAAACAUAAACAUCAUACAGUCAAGUCUACAGUCAAGUCAAGAGUCCAAAAUCUAAAAACAUCAUCCAAAAUCUAAAAACAUCAAAACAUAGCAUCUAAGCAUCAUCAACUACGCAUCAUCAUCAUGCAUCAUCAUCAUCAUCAUGCAUCAUCAUCAUCAUCAUGUACUCCCCCUUUUUGUCAAGAAAACGCCAAAACGACAAAAGGAGGAACCCUGCACCCUCAGUCUGAGUCAUAACCCUGCGGAGGAAGAUCGGAACUACAACAACCCAAUUUAUCAAAGAUUGCUUUCAUCAAACGUUUAAUCUUGCUCACAUCCUUCCUUAUCCGAGCUUGAUCUGUUGAUAACUUCUGAAGCUCUUCGGAGCUCAUGAUAAACGGAUGACACCGAUACAUCUUCAUAAGAAAUCUCCACAGAAGGAUGAGACGGCGCAGCUGGAGGCGGAGAAGGUCGCUGAGAUGGGGAUUGAAGUUGCACAAAUGACUUCACAAAAGUCGAAUCACUAAUCCGUCCUAGACUAUGCUCAUAGGAUGCACAAUGCGUAUUCACAUCAAAUAGUCGCAGAAUCCUCAUGAUGAUUAAUGGGAAGGGCAACCGCUCAUUCUGACCUAAAGUCUUAAUAUCCUUCGCCAUUCUCCGCCAAAUCAGAAACGGAAUGUUCAAAUUGAUGUUCCUGGUCUUAACAAUAUCCGGGUUACCCAACAGAUACAUAUAUAGAAUGCGUUCCCAUCUCAAUAUCUUCGUGUUCGCCAGAGGCAAAAUGUUAUAACAAACAACAAAGUUCAGAAACCUGUAUUCCAUCUUCAAAUCUUUAGACAUUAUUAAAAUUCCAUUCGAUUCUGUGCCCGGCAUACAAAUGGCAUUCAAAUCACGUUGCCAAUCACGAAACGAAUCAAAACCUGCCUGCAAGUACUCCACACCAUCAGUUCGAGCAGACAUCUCCAGUACUGAUGCUAUAGUAUCAGGCGUGAUUGUCAACUCCACACCACGCACUGAAGUGGUGAACAUGUAAGGGCCACCGUCAGGCUCACUCAGAUGUCCUGCUCGCAUAUAAAAUCCUCUAAUAAGCUCCAAACAGUAUCCAGUUUGCUCAGGGAACUCACAAAUCUCAUGAAGAUUCCCAUUUUCAAAUAGAGCUUGAAAUGCCGGAACAUGCUCGAUGAUAUUAGCGACUCCAACUGCAAGCGACUCCAACUGCACGCUCACCAAUACAUUGUUUUGAAGAAUACAUAGAGCGACGACGUAAUGGAACAUCCUGAACACUGUGCCGCGGAGGCUCUGAAACAAGCUCUCGAAUCUCAAAACCCCCAGACUUCCUCCGAUCUUCAUAUUCAGUAGCUUUUCCUUUUUCCUUGUCAACAGCCUUUUCUUUGCCCUUUCCUUUUCCUUUCACCUUAUCCUUUUCUGCAGCUGCGGCCUUUUUCUUUGAAAGCACUUCUGGUGUAAGUGCCUCCCAAUCAGGUUCCUCAGCUUUUGAUUCCUCGCCCUCUUCGCCCGGCAAAUAUUCGCUUCCCUCAUCCUCCGGUUGUCGCUCAACCGGUUGUUUUGCUGACGAUCGUUGUUGCUUGCUUCCCCGACCACCACUAGCCAUGAGAAACACGAGCACAAGUAGCCACGAAUACAUGUUUAAAAAGCUCCUGUUGAACACAAAAAUUUAUGCAUAUUGAACAUAAGAACAUUUUACCUUUUUUAUGUCAACAAUUUUUGCAAAAAUGAUAUGAAAUUAGUUAGAUGAUCCUAGGGCCACAAAAUCACAAAAAAACAUGGAAAAAUCAUGCAACAAAUACCAGCAAAAAUUCAAUUUUUGAAACAUAAUCGAAAACCUGGGUUUUAACAGCAAAACCUCGAAAAAUUGGGCAAUUCUAUGAACCAAAUCAUGCAGUAACGCAAUGGAAUGUUGAACAACAUGUUUAGAAUUAAGAUCAACACAAACAAAAAGAGAUUCAACAAGAUUUCAAGAUCAAAUCCCAAAAACACAAAAAUAAAUCACAUUUUCGGAAUACAUGAGAGAAAUGCAAUGAAAUCCGAAGAUCUUACCGAAAACACGUGCAAAUCGACAAGGAACACAAGCAAAAUCUCACUGAAGAUGUCUAGGGCACGUAGGUAAAAUUUUAGAGAAGAUGGUAAAGUGUAAAUCAAGAACGAACCGAGCCCCUUAUAUCGGGUCGGGCGGAGGGAUCGGUCUCUCCAAGGCUGGGACCGGUCCUAGAGCCAGAAUUUCCAAAAAUUUUAUUUCAAGUUCAAAGAUUUUUCAAAAUUUUUUUUUAUAUGAUAUGUAAAGAUCCCCCAAUACAAAAAUAACCAAUUUUCAUUCCCAAUGACUUCAAAUAAAAUUUCAUAAAUAAAUUUUGAAACAUCAAUUUCAAGGAUAUUCCAAAAGUCAGAAAUUGUUGAUCCAUAAAUCGAAUAAAAUUUUAGAUAAGUAUAAAAUAAAAUUUCACACAUCAUGUAAGAUCUAAAAAUUAAUUGUAUUAUUUUAUUCUUAUAUUUACUAAAAUAAUGAAUAAAUACAUCUCAUACUCGUGAAAUUAAAAUAAUAUGUUCAAAUUGAGUUAUGCACAAUAUUCGAGAUAGGAGUGGCUCUUUGAGCAUCUUUUUAACAUUCCACCUUAUAUCACCUAGGAGAUGUAUGGCUCUUUGAGCAUCCUUUUUUUUUAUUUUAUCAUCUCCGAAAUAUCUCAAAAUUAUCAAUUUAUAAAGUAUUUUCUUUUUGUCUUAUAUAGAUACUUCAAUCAACAUGUGGUAGCUGCACACACUGACCGGACGACUAGGGUGGUAGCUCUUUCCUCCAUGUGGUGGUAGUUUUCACACUCCCAACAGAGAUAUAACUUGUUAGGUCCUAUGUGUUGGCAAGUUUCGUGGGUCGAGUCGGAGUCUUGAAGAAGUUUGGAGCGAAGUAUUGAAGAUCGAAGAAUCUAAGACUUCGAAGAAUCGGAAAGGACGCAAAACACGCAAAACAUGAAUCACGAUGCUUAAGUGUCACGCCCCGGGACUCGGCCUAGGCCCGCCCGGUGCGUGUCCAGACCCGCCAUAUGCCUACACAUAUAAGGCGUCUACAACAAAUGCAAAUAAAUGAACAACAAAUAGAGUGUAUCUAAAGAUAUCAGAGCAAGUAUACAGCUAGGUUCUAACAACAGGUAGAAACAGGGGAAACUAAACCACCAAGGCAAAACGUAAAAUAAUACAUUAUAAGUCUCAAACUACAUAUAGGGGGUGGUCUCUACAAAAAGGGUACAAGUCUCUCAACCUCUCCAAACAAAACUCAGAAGAGAGGUAGACCACCUAUCGUCGAAUUCCUCGCUAGCUAACUCGAGGCGAUUCCUUCCCGCGAUCCCGAGCCUCUCCCGGGGUGGAAGGCUCUGAAAGAAAACAUAAAACAGGGGGCGUGAGAACUAUAAUUUAUAGUUCCCAGUGGGCAAUUACUGACCNNNNNNNNNNNNNNNNNNNNNNNNNNNNNNNNNNNNNNNNNNNNNNNNNNNNNNNNNNNNNNNNNNNNNNNNNNNNNNNNNNNNNNNNNNNNNNNNNNNNAUGCUAUACAUCCGGGAGGCACCAAGAUGUACAAGGAUCUAAAGUUGCUUUAUUGGUAGCCCAGGAUGAAAAAGGACGUUGGCGAGUUUGUAGCUCGUUGUCUAACUUGCCAACAAGUAAAGGCUGAGCACCGAGUUCCCGCGGAAAAACUUCAGAGUUUGCCUAUUCCCGUGUGGAAAUGGGAGAAGAUUACCAUGGACUUUGUGACAUGAUUGCCACGCUCACAGGCGGGGCAUGACGCUAUUUGGGUGAUCGUGGAUAGGUUGACGAAGUCGGCGCACUUCAUACCUAUUCAUACGACUUGGACCGGAGAGAAGCUCGCACAAGUGUACCUUGAUGAGAUUGUUCGACUUCAUGGAGUGCCUACAUCGAUUGUGUCUGAUCGUGACACGCGAUUCGUGUCUCACUUUUGGAGGAGUCUACAGGACGCCUUAGGCACCCGAUUGGAUUUCAGUACAGCAUUCCACCCGCAGAGUGAUGGACAGUCGGAGCGCACUAUACAGACCUUAGAGGAUAUGCUCCGAGCAUGCGUGAUAGACUUCCAGGGAGGAUGGUUGCAGCAUCUACCUAUGGCGGAGUUUGCUUAUAACAACAGUUAUCAAGCAAGCAUCAAGAUGGUGCCCUUCGAAGCACUUUAUGGACGGAAGUGUAGAUCGCCACUUCAUUGGAGUGAAGUCGGCGAGAGACUGGCUUUAGGCCCUGAUGUGCUCCAGGAAGCUGAGGACAAGGUUCGAAUUGCUCGGGAGCGACUUUUGACGGCGCAAAGUAGACACAGGAGCUACGCCGAUCGACGACGGCGAGACUUGGAGUUCCAAGUUGGAGACCAUGUUUUCUUGAAGGUUUCGCCGACUAGAGGGAUAAAGAGAUUCGGGAUUUGGGAAAAGUUGAGCCCCCGUUUCAUUGGACCGUAUGAGAUCUUGGAGCGUGUAGGUCCGGUAGCGUAUCGACUUGCUCUACCACCGAACCUAUCCGGCGUGCACAACGUCUUUCAUGUAUCGGUCCUUCGGAAAUACAUUCAUAAUCCAGCUUAUGUUUUGGGAACUGUACCAGUGGAGCUGCGUGAGGAUUUGAGCUUCGAGGAGCAACCCGUGAAGAUUUUGGCUCGCGAGGUGAAAAAGCUGCGAAAUCGGGAUAUUCCGUAUGUAAAGGUUCUUUGGAGCAACCACGCGGAGCGGGAGGCUACGUGGGAGCUAGAGAGCGUGCUGCAGGAGCGCUAUCCCCAUCUUUUUCAGAUGGAGCCUUGAGGUAUGCUUUUGCUUUCGAGUUUCGUGGACGAAACUCCUUUUUAGGAGGGGUGAAUGUAGCACACUGGACCAUUGCAAAUUGCGAGGUUCGAGUGUUCGAUUUGUAUUCCGAACUUUUUCACACUUGGUGGAGGGCCGUCGAUGGUAUACCGGCCUAAAAGUUCGAUCUCAAGAGUUUUGGCAGAGUCCUAAGAGUUUUUACUCUCGGGGACCGGUCCCUGAUAGGAGAGACCGGUCGCCCAGUCAACAGUGCUGCGUAGCCGGCGAGGCAACUGGUCCCUGGCAGUCGAGACCGGUCCCCGAGUGCGUCUGCGCGGGGAGAGACCGGUCCCGCGCAGGGAGAGACCGGUUCCCGAACGUUGGAUUUUCGGGGGCAGGCUGAGAGACCGGUCCCAGGUCGGGGAGACCGGUCCCUNNNNNNNNNNNNNNNNNNNNNNNNNNNNNNNNNNNNNNNNNNNNNNNNNNNNNNNNNNNNNNNNNNNNNNNNNNNNNNNNNNNNNNNNNNNNNNNNNNNNNNNNNNNNNNNNNNNNNNNNNNNNNNNNNNNNNNNNNNNNNNNNNNNNNNNNNNNNNNNNNNNNNNNNNNNNNNNNNNNNNNNNNNNNNNNNNNNNNNNNNNNNNNNNNNNNNNNNNNNNNNNNNNNNNNNNNNNNNNNNNNNNNNNNNNNNNNNNNNNNNNNNNNNNNNNNNNNNNNNNNNNNNNNNNNNNNNNNNNNNNNNNNNNNNNNNNNNNNNNNNNNNNNNNNNNNNNNNNNNNNNNNNNNNNNNNNNNNNNNNNNNNNNNNNNNNNNNNNNNNNNNNNNNNNNNNNNNNNNNNNNNNNNNNNNNNNNNNNNNNNNNNNNNNNNNNNNNNNNNNNNNNNNNNNNNNNNNNNNNNNNNNNNNNNNNNNNNNNNNNNNNNNNNNNNNNNNNNNNNNNNNNNNNNNNNNNNNNNNNNNNNNNNNNNNNNCGCGCAGGCAGAGACCGGUCUCCCCGAGCAGGGACCGGUUCCCGAACGUUCACCCUGCGCAGCCAGAGUCGCUGCGCGCGAUGCGACCGGUCUCUCCUUGAUGGGACCGGUCUCUGGGGGACCGGUCUCUCAAGCAGAGACCGGUUCCCGAGAGCUAUCCUUCCAGGACUUAGCCGAUUUUUCGGCUGUCUCAUUCUGCACGCGUUCGGGGACCGGUCUCUCCCUUCAGGGACCGGUCCCCGAGAGCUGAAAAUCUGCAGUUUGCAGAAUUUGAUUCUUUAGCUCUCGAAAACCUUCCACAACUCACUUUUGAUCAUUUUAACACCUUCGGACUUUCCGAAGUGUUCCAUCCUCGCACUUUGGUCAAUUUGACUAAAGUUCGACAUUUUUAUUUUUCGAAUUUUCGGUAUAUUACACCUGCACACAUAUAUCAAUUGGUUCAUUGAAAAGCUAUUCUAAAGCAAUUACAACAAUCCUAAUCGAACAACAAGUCUUCUACCUUAAUUAAGUGCUCUUCCAAAUUGCCCUUUGCUGAAUUUAACUUGCUCACAGCUUCAAAUUUCUUCUCAGCUCCACAAGGUUGCUUCUUUGCUCCAACAACAAGAAAUCCUACUCCACCAAGCUUUUCUUCCCUAGCUUGCUCUUAGGGUUGAGAAAGAAAAGAAAGAUGAAAAGGAUGAGAAAGGAGCUGUGGGAAAAAAAUCCCUGAUACGUAGGCAGGUGUAGGCAACCUGGGGCUAAGUGAUAAGCUCAAAAAAACUGCACCUUAACCCUUCAAACUGCUCAAACUGCAGUGCAGUCCAAAAAUUCGCGGUUCAGUCUCUGCAGGUUCAUAGUUUAGUACCUGCAGGUUCGCGGUUUAGUCCCUGCACUAACCAAUAGCUUGGUAGCAGUAACUUGAAGCCCUAUUUCGCGUCUUGUUUGCUUCGAACACAUCUAAUCACUUCCAAAUAACACUAAUAAACCUUAACAAGCUAUCAAAUUAAUUUGGAAGCAGUUCAUUUCAAAUUUUGCAUCAAAUUGACUAUUUUUGACCAAAUUGACCCAAAAUUUCAGCAUUAAGGUAACUUCGGCAAUUGGAGUUCUCUUGCCACUUCGAUUCCAUUCUUAUACAUUCCCACACUUCCAAAAUAUGUCAACGACAGAUCACAAGCUGCUAGUUAAGUUUAAAAUUACUUAAUUUGCAUUUUAGCAUUAUUGUGGUCACUUUGAUCACAAUUAGCCUAUAAUCGAAAUUCAGUCCAUUACACUUCUUGAACCAACUGUUCUUCUAUCAAGGAUUUCUCUUUAAAGAAAGUAGCUCUUUACCAACUACAUAUACCUCGGCUUCAUCAGCCAAUUCUUCACUUUCACUAGAUUGGCUCGGUUUUUCUUGAAACGACUGUUCUUCUAUCAAAGAUUUCUCUUUGCCUUUUCUUUGCUUUUUAUAUCGGCUCCAUUGCAGCCUAUUGUCCUCACUUUCCUUCCAGAAUUGCUCAUAUUGGGCAACUCGAACACCUAAAUCAAAUAGGUUAGAAAAAUGGCUAAAUUACAGAAAACCCGCUUGUAAUAACCCGCUUUUUCACUUUCCCUCCCUGACAUUUAAAAACCUACACUUUGCCCCCCUGUAAAAUAAAAAAUGUGCACUUCACCCCCUACCGUUAGGGUUCCAUUAGAGUUCGGUUAAAAAAUAUAUUUUUAUGCCGAAAAUACCCCUUCGCCAUCUCCCUGUUGCUUCGCCUCCCUCCGGCUCGCCACCUCGUUGCCGCCUCACUGCCUCGCCACCUAGUCGCCUCGCCGUCCUCCACUGCCGCGCCCUCACCCACAUCCCCUUCGCCGUCCUCUGCCGCCUCGCCUUCGCCUUCUUUGCCCUUCUCCUACUGUCGCCCACCUCGGUUUUCUCCUACUGUUGUCGAAAUCGAGGGUGGCGAGGGUGCAAGAGGAGAAGGGGAGCAGGUGGAGAAGGAAAUGGAGAGAAAUCGCGGCCGAUUGAGGUGGGAAUCGCGGCCGAACGAAGGGGCGGCUGAGGAAGAUGGGGAAGAAGACGACAAUGGCGAGGGGCAAAAUGAUCAUUUUACACACCGUAACCCCCCUGUGAACAUUUUUUAUUUUACAGGGAGGCAAAAUGUAGGUUUUUAAAUGUCAGGGGGGAAAAGUGAAAAAGCGGGUUAUUAUAGGAGGGUUUUCUGUAAUUUAGCCUAGAAAAAUACUUAUCUUCAAAAUGGUCUUUUAUCUUAAAAUGCAGACCAUUUAACACCAUUUUAGCAAACUCUGAUUUCGGCAUUCUCAUAAAGCACUGGAUUUUGGCUAUUUUGAAACGGUUCAAAUACUCUUCGACCGUUUCACCUGACUUUUGUCGGUAUAAAGCCAAGUCAGCAACCGAUAAUUGUGGCUCCGACCUAUAGAAUUGUUCAUGAAAUUUUCUUUCCAAUUCGUCCCAAUCUUGGACGGAAUUGGCUAAUAAACUUGUAUACCAAGUAAACGCCGUUUUAGUUAACGAUAUGUUAAAUAAUAGAAGUUUCAAAAAUGAGUCAGCGGCCGCUUCUCUACAUUGGGCCGUGAAUCGGGCUAUAUGCUCGACCGUAUUCUCAAUCUCAUCGCCCAAGAACUUGUCAAACUUCGGCAUUUUUCAAUUUGCCGGAUAAGGAUGUUCUGUAUCUAUAUUUACAGAAUAAGAAGAUCUAAACACAGACCGCAUUGUCGGCCUUGCGCCAACUCCAAAAGUAUUUCGGAUGGCUUCUUCAAUCUAAGUGUAUAUUUCGUUAUUGUUCCCCUGCAGAGGAACCUGUGCUUGUACCAUAUUCGGUCCUUGCGGUAGACCGAAAUUCUGCACAACAGGGUUAACUCCUUGUAUAUUCGGAGCCUGCCCUCCAGCUCUAGCCCUUAUAUUUUGGGGCUAAUAUGCUGCCAGUGGCGGAAGGGUGGUAAUCCUCAAGCUAUCUCUGGUUGCUGACCGACAUUAACAACAGCCGGUAUGUAAGCCACCUGAAAUGGUGCCCUAUGGUAUUGGGGUUGACCACUUGCCGGUGUUACAGGAUUUUGUAACACCGGUAUCACUACAGGCCCUUAUAAGCCUGUUACAGAUUGCUCAUUACGAUUCAAUAAUUGCCCUGUUCAGGCAAUAUUCUCAUUGAAGGCCAUGAUGGCGGCCAGUAUUGCAUCUAAACGUUCAGUAUUUCUAUGACUAUUUUGGUCCAGUACUUGUAGGACCCAUGUCAUUUGUCCAAGUGCUUGAACCAAACUAGGCUCUUCUUGGUCGGAUUGACCACUAGUUUCACCCUCAAUUGGCAAAACCGCUAGGCAUUCGCCAGCGUUGUCUGAAUUACUGGGUUGAUCGCUCUCCGAAUUUCUAAGAACGACCCUAUUGCGCAAAUUCAUGGCAUUAUCAUCAGCUAUAAUUUCAACAAAAAUAUAAAUUUACCUAAGCAGAUGUCCUACUGGGCGUGCCAAAAAUUGUUAGGAGCCGAAUUCCCUUCUCUUUGACCUGGUCAAAGAUCUUCCUCGGGAAGCACGUCGGAAUGUGGAAUGGCUACGAUUAGUGACUCUUGAAGUUUGCGCCCUUCGACUGAAUCAAGCGAUUCGGCUGAUGAGGGAUCGGAUCAGUCGAGUUCGAAGACCUUUACUAUAGAUUCGGUUCGGCUGAAAGAGCUGAAUGUACAGAAUGCACAAGGUUUUGGGUCGGCUAAUGAGCCGAAUAUAUGGAAUACAUAGUGACUGGUCGGCUGAAAGAGCUGAAUGCCUUUACAUAUUAAAAUGAAGUUGGGAACUCAUACAAAACAGAGUGUGCCCGAAGGGCAUACAGACUGAAAAUCUAGAUUACAACAGAGUGUGCCCGUGGGGCAUUCAGACUCCAGAGAUCUAACUUAAAAACUACUCCUAGAAAAGCAAUAAAUGAGAGUAAAAAAGAUUACACGUAGACUACUCCUAGAAAACGAUAAAUGUAGGAAAGGAAAGUAUUGAAAAUGCGGUGAUUUUUUCAUUCAGGGGAGAGAAAGACUUCUAUUAUAGCCUUUAAAGUUACUAUUUAUAAUAUCUUAUCAGCCCACAUUAUUGGUUGGUUAUAAUAGUGGGAAAGUGGUGUAGCCAUGAUCAUAGAAGUUACGCUCCACUUCUCAUAGAAGUUACGCCCCACUUCUCAACCGUUCCUGCCUAAACGCUCUUGGCCUUUAGACGCCUCAUUGCCUACCCCUGGUGUACCACGUGUUCUUAUUUUUUUGGUUCAUAUGUGGGUUAGGUCGGCGUUUUAAAUUUUUGGUAUCAACAAAGGAAUAGUUUGGUCAUCUUUUUGAAAGAUCGGAGCGAAUCUUCAAAAUCUAAAAAGACGGUCUAAUUAUGCAAAAAUUCAAAACUUGUGGAUUUUUUAUGCAAAUUGGUCUAUUUUGACGGAAGGGUUGUUUUUGGACAUUUUCGGCUGCCAGGUACGGGAGAGAAGCAGGAAGUUCAGAAGAGCAGCGAACAGGUGCGCUUCGUGGAGUUGGGAGCACGCCGAUUCCCUCUCCACCUCCUCCCCUAGAACCCUAAUCAUCCAUCCUGCUGUUCCUCCUCCUCCUCCUCCUCCUCCUCCAACAAAACCCUAAUAUCGAUCACAUGUCUGGCGGCGGCGAUCCGUUGGCGGCCUCCCCGAGCCGCCGCAAGCGCAAGCAGCCAGCAGACGCCUCCUCGGUGGCCAAGAAGCCGCGUCCCUCCGAUGCCGACGCCGUGACGAUCCUCCGCGGGGUGCUCGACUUCCGCGCCCGCACCGGCGCCAACCCGACGCUCACCACCAUGGACGCCUUCUACGAUUCCAUCCGCGGCUCCCUCCCCUCCCCCGCCCUCACCAAGGACAAGGUCUACAACAAGCUCCGCCACCUCCGCUACAAGUUCCAGCACUCCAGCCCCAACCCCGAUCCCCACGGCGGCGGCGGCGGAGGCGGAGGAAGCGACCUCGUCUACGAGCUCUCUGCCGACGUCUGGGGCGGAUUGCUGUCGGUCGAACCGAAGCCCAAGAAAAUCAAGAAGGAGAGCGAAAAGAAUAAGAUUCACAAAUCUGAUGUCAAGAACGAGGAUGGCAAGAACGAGGCAAAUGAAGCCGAGAAAAUGGAGCGUGAAAAGGAGGACGUGGAGCAGACACUGGAGGAGGUAGAAGAAGAAGAGGAGGAGGAGGAGGAGAUAAGGGGAAUUGGGACGGAUUCCUUCCCGAUUUUGAUCCAUGAGGUGACAAAGUACUGGAAAGAGAAGGGCCUCUCAACUGUGUCUUUGGAGGCGUCUUUGAAGCUCGUAAGACCAUCCAAGGCGAGACCAGUGGAGGAGAAGUGGAGGAAGCUAAUGGGGAAGGAAAUGAAGUCCCGAACGAAGAUGUUCGAAGUGCUCGGGAGCCUCCUCCUGAGCUGAGAAUGGCCCAUUGGACUGCAUUUAAAGCAGGUACUUGGUCUUGCCCCUAAUGAUCAUCACUAUCUUCUGUGGCAAUUGUGUAAUGAUAUAGUUUUGAUAGUUGGAGGUUUGCAACAUGUCCUGAGGAGGGUGAGUUUCGUUGAGGGGACUUGUUUCCAUGGUGAAGUAUGUGAUUAUUUAUUUGAUAAUUAUUGCAUCCCUUCUAACUAGUAUUUUGUGGAUGAUGCUCUUGAUAUAGUUUUGAGUUUUUGGCUGCAAACUCUUUUUCUUUUGCUUUCAAUUCUGCUUGCAUUUAUAAGACGACAUUUAUGAUGUAGCCGUGAGUGCAUUUCACUGCCAAACUAAUAAAUAUGGCUUCAUAAAUCGGGCCUACGACGGCCCGACCUCCGUGUAGCCUAUGCCAUAAAUAGGUAACUCGAUCCGCAUUCAAGGCAAUUAUGUAAUGACCUUGAUAUGCCAAGGGAAAACAAUGAAGUUAAGAACUUAAUAUUCUUCUAGUUCCAAUUGUAAAGUAUAAUUUCAAAGUUAGGUGUACAUUUCCAAAUUUGCACCAAUAAGAGGACGAGGAAGGACUGCUUUACUGCUGCUGAGGUUCAAGAAUUAAUCUAGUAAGUAGGAUUUUCUUUUGUUAUUUUAGCACGGUUCCCAUAAACCUCUUAUGGCUAUGAGGAGUCUGCAUGAGAAAAGAGAAGUAGAGAAAUUGAAAGUGACUUCUAUCUCCGUAGCAGAGAAUAGAUAUGGAUAGAACAAGAGAAGGGAUUCAUAUAUUUAGGCACAGAUGCGGUUGGAAAGAUAUGUAUUUAUGGAGCCAAUUUAGGUUUGUUUACAAACACAUAAAGAUAUGUUGCCAAAGCAAAACAAAGUUCCUCAAUUAGCAUCCAAUGAUCGAAAUCACUACUUGCCAUAUGAAUAUCCACAGAAACUGCCUCAUUUGGACAUUUCGGAGCACAUUAAGUUCCUAGGCUUUUAGCUUAGAAGCACUAAGCCUGUGGUAACAGUAUUUGCCAACAUUUUCCAAUGCAUAGUUAUAUUUCUAGUACUUGUUUAUGUUGAUGUCGUUGAUCGCAUUUGGUUACUAGUUCACUCAAUGAAUCCUUCUACUUAUCUCGCGGACUCACAAGCUAGGUAUUAACUUGACUUUAGAUUGGAAAUGUUAUUUAAUGAGCAUUGGAUAACUUUUCCUUCAUAAUGAACUCAUUGUGUUUUGUUUUCAUUUUGAUAUUUUUGGGCUACAUGUUAAGAAAUUAUUCAUUUUCCAUUUUUGAAUUUUCAUUCAUAUCUUAUUAAAACAACGAGCAUUGCAAAAUGUAUCUAUAAAUCAUUCUCAAGUAUAUAUUGUUGUUUGUAUGUUCAUCAUUCACAUUCCAUUUCCUUUGUUAUAUUUGAUGAAACUGAUGUUAAAAUUGUGAUUAGGGUUCUCACUUCCCUAACCUCAAGGAGAUAUAUUUAUUUAUUAGGAGCUUUAAAAUAAGGUCCCUGACAUAAUGCAAAAUUACAAAAUUACAAAAGAAUAGUCAACCCUCCCCCUCAAGAUGGUGCAUAAAUAUUUCUCAUGCUCGUCUCGUACACAAUGUUAUUGAAGAUUGUUCUCCCAACUCCUUUAGUGAGAAUAUCAGCUAAUUGAUCACUUGACUUCACAAUUGGUAUGCAUAUGAUACCCUUUUCCUAAUUCUCUUUGAUAAAUUCCUAUCGAUCUCGAUGUGCUUUGUUCUAUUAUGUUGUACCAGAUUGUGACAUGUGAGCAAUAUUAAUAGCUUCUUUAUUGUCAUAGUAUAGUAUUGAUGGUUUCUCGUCUGCCAUACUAAGCUCUCGCAUAAACCUUCUAAGCCAUAGAAUUUCAUUAACACCUUGAGCCAUAUGUCAGGGACUUAGAAAAAUUUCUAUGCAGCCCGGUCCCUGGCCCAAAUCUGCUUAGCGAGUUCGGGUUGAAGACGGGUCGAAUCGGGUUGGCAAGUAGACCCAAACCCAACCCGCUGUGGGAAACUCAAGGGUCAUGAAACUCAUGGGAGUUAUGGGUGACUCUUGAGCUUUUGGCAUUUAUGAGGGCUCAUUAUGUAGGCUCAUUAUGUAUGUNUUUUUUUUUUUUGCUUCUGCAAGUAACCAAAUUUCUGCCUAUAAAGGUACAGUAUCCAGAGGUUGAUCUUUUAUCAUCUAGCGAUCCUACCCAAUCAGCAUCAGUGAAGGAUUCAAUCUUCAAAUGACCAUUCCUAGAAAAUAAAAGUCCUCUUCCUGGAGUUAGAGUUCAAGUAUCGUAGAAUACGAUAAACAACCUCAAAAUGUGAUACUUUUGGGUCAUGCAUAUACCGACUAGCCAAACUAACUGCAUAAGAGAUGUCAGGUCGUGUGUGAGAUAAGUAUAUCAAUUUACCUACUAACCUCCUUUCCUUGUCAACUUCUUUUCCAAUUUUACUUUGCAAGCGAUGAUUCACUUCUAUUGGCGAAUCAACUGGUUUGCACCCUAACAUUCCAGUCUCUUGAAGUAAAUUCACACAUAUUUUCUUUGAGAAAUAACAAUUCCUUUGUCAGAUGUCACCACCUCAAUUCCUAGAAAGUAUCUUAACUUUCCAAGGUCUUUUAUCUCAAAUUUCAUAGCUAAGUAGCUUUUCAAUUCAUUCAUUUCUUGUCGGUCAUUUUCUGUGAUUACUAUAUCAUCGGCAUAAAUAGUGAGAAUGGUGAUUUUGCUCUUAUAUUUCUUGAUGAACACAGUGUGGUAGACAUCACUUUGUUUAUAUUCAAAGUAAGGAUUAAAGUGCCGCCCCGUGUCGUACUGCACGGAGCGGAGGGGGGUCUUGGACCCCCUUUCCGUGCUGCGGCACACUCUGCCGUAUUGCACGAGACAGUGCGAUACGGCAGAGUGUGUCGCGACACAGUGCUGUGCCGACAAUAUUGUUUUAUUUAUUUUUUGCUUUUUUUUUGGCUUUUUACUUUUUUUUUCUUUUUGUUUUGUUCUUUGGGGUACCAAGAAACAUCUGGGUACCAAGAAACAUCUGGGUACCCCACACCUCCAAAGAUAUUGCAAAUUGAAAAUCUACUUGCUAGGUAAGUAAAAAAAAAUAUAAUUUUGUUUAUCAAUAUAAGGGCCUAUCGGCCCAAGCCCCCCGCUUCCACCACAGCAUUCAUUUUUUCUUCACAAAUUAUUUUAUUAAAUUUUGUCGUACCGUGAAACUUUUUACGAAUUAGGGAAACAAAAUCGAAUUCAAUAAACAAAUUUUGAGACACAUCAAACAUAAAAUUAUAUUUUUGCAUUCGAAGAUUAAAAAUACUGAUAAAAUUAAAAGCUAAAUUAAUUCAAUUGAUACAUAAAUUUAUUUUAUUUAUUUGUCGUAUAAUUUAUUGCUUAAGUUUUUUUGAUAGAUCUAAUAUUUUUUUGAAAAAAAUAAUUUAAAAAUAAAAUUUUAAAUACUUUUUAAAAUAAUUUUUUCAAAUAAUUUUAAAAAUUAAUUUUUUGUAUUUUAUAAAAGAAAGAAUGUAAUAUGGUCAAAAGAAAGAAAGAUGUCUUUGCAUUUUAAAAAUUAUAAUUUAAAAAUAAAAUUUUAAAUACUUUUUAAAAUAAUUUUUUCAUAUUAUUUUAAAAAUUAAUUUUUUGUUAAAUUAUACACAAAAAAAAAAUUUUAGAUAUUCCACCUAUAGUUUAUCAAAUAUUCACUUUAAUAUCACGUGGUUUACCGAAUUGUCAUUAAUUUAACAAAAAAAUUAAUUUUUAAAAUAAUAAAAAAGGUACAAAAUAUUAAAAUAAUAUUAUUUUAAAUUAUUAAAAAUUAAAAUAAAUGUGGCAUUUAAAGUUUUCACUUUUUCUUUCUAAUUUAGCCGGAUGAAAUUCACCCAAAAAGGUACUCAAUCACAGGAGAAAGAAGAGCAGCAGCAGGAGCAGCAGCAGCGGCAGCAGCUUUCCCCUCACUGUGCUCUGAAGUCUCAAUGGAGGCGAAGAAAGCAGUAGGAGAAGAAGGCCCCGACCCGAACCCCUGCGCCGUGGCUCCGCAUGCAAAGUGUGGAACCCCUGAUCACCCUCCCUACGCCGAGGUACGUACUUUCACUGGUCGUAGUUCGAUCGUAUUCUGUUGUUNUCUAAUCUAUAAAAAAUUUUAUUCUGUAUCAGAUAUAGUUGUACUUUACAUACAAAAAAACUUACAAGUAUGUUAAUUGAUGAGUAUAGUAAGAUAUACAUUGCAAAUAUUCAUAAUUAUUUGAUUAAAAUUUUUAAAAUAAUAUUAUAAAAGCCUAUUGGAACCAAAAAAACUAAAGUAAGUCUGUACCAAGCGUGCCAGUAGGAGGUAAUGCUUUAUCCAUCGGCACGCAAGCGUACUAUGUGUCGGCAUGAAAGCGUGCCGGUGCCGUACCGUGCGAGGCAGACAGCGGCACGCCCCCGUGCCAUGGCAUUUUAAACCUUGAUUCAGAGGUUAACAUUGCUCUGCGAAAUCUAUCAAACCCUACUCUCAGUGAUUGUUUUAGGCCUUAUAAUGUACUCUUUAGUCUACAGACCUUUCCAAUAUUUUUUUGAGUUAAGAAACUUGGAGGUAUCUCCAUAUAUACUUUCUCUUGUAAAUCUCCAUGUAAGAAUGCAUUUUUUACAUCCAGUUGUUGUAAAUCCCAUCCUAGAUUUCUAGCACAUGAGAGAAGGACACGGAUAGAAUUCAAUUUUGCCACCGGAGCAAAAGUCUCUUGAUAAUCAAUCCUAUAUGUUUGGGUGAAUUCUUUUGCCACCCAUCUCGCUUUGUCCUAUUCGCUGAGCCAUCAGCUUUAUAUUUCACCGUGAAGACCCAUUUACAUCCUACUGUCCUUUUUCUCGUUGGAAGAUCAACUAGUUCUCAUGUAUUAUUCUUUUUGAGUGCCCUCAUUCUUCAUCCAUAGCUCCUUUCUCUUUCGGAUCCAUCAAUGCCUCUUACCAAUUAUAUGGAAUUGACACAGAAGUCAAGGACGAAACAAAACCUCUAUAUGAAGGUGAGAAGGAUGCAUAAGAAAUAAAAUUAGAUAUAGGGUAUUUACUUUUAUUUCGGACGCCUUUUCGAUGAGCAGUAGGAACAUCAAGAUCAUCAAAAGAGUGUGUAAGGUCAACAAUAGAAUAUGAAGGAUGCGAAGGAUGAAUAAAGGAAUGUGAAGGAUACUCACGUUGUUCCUGAUUGGGUACUUGGAGUGGAUUCGAAAUUGGAGUUGAGGACGACUCCGUUUAGCUUGGGGAUGAGUGCAUGAUGGUUUUAUGCUUCUUUCUCCUCUUGUGUAUGAACUUAGCCACUCUCACAAUCCUUAUUGGCAGUCUUAUCAAUGUGCAUUUGUUCUUGUUUCUCCCCCUCACUUUUAGUGUUUUCUUUUUCAACAUUUUCUUUACUUUCUUUAGUUCCAUCACCACUCUAUUCCUCCCUCUCAAGAUCAAUUCUUUUUGUAAAUCAAUUUGUGUGCUCCAAAGCUGCAUAGACGCGCUGACACUCAUCUCUUCAUCAUUGUAAUUAUUCUCCUUUUUCCCCUCAUGCAGACUUGUAUUGUAAUAUACUUCACAUUCUCUAAAGGUCACAUCCAUGGUGACAUACACCCUUUUUGUCGGUGGAUGAUAGCAUUUGUAUCCCUUCUGUAUUGUUGAAUACCUGAUGAAAAUACAUUUUAAUAUUCGAGGAUCUAGCUCGUCCUUUUUUCCUCCAUGUUCAUGUAUAAAGCAUGUGCAACCAAGUAAUUGGUGGGACAAUGCAGGAAGAGUGGCUUAAUAGCCUUUCCAAUAGUCUUGAAUUCAAUUGCUCGUAGUGGCAUUCCGUUUAUUAAGCAUGCUGUCGACAAAAUAGCAUUCCCAGUGGUGCUUUGGAACAUCCAUAGCGAAUAAUAAUUAUCGAGUAACCUCCAACAAAUGUCGAUUCUUUCUUUUUGCUAUUCAAUUUUGUACUUGUGUAUUAACACAACUAGUCUGCUAUAUGAUGCCAUGAUUAGUUAGAUAUUGUCAAAAGGCGCCAUCUAUGUAUUCUCUUCCAUUAUUUGACCUUAAAUUUUUGAAUUUUGCAUUGAAUUGGUUAUCAACCAGCUUGUGAAAUGAUUUAAAGCAAGAGAAUACUUCAUCUUUACUAUGUAAUAGAUAUACACAAGUAACACGACUGUAAUCAUCAAUAAAAGUCACAAACCAUCUAUAAUCAUUCAAAGGUACGACCCUACUAGGUCACCACAGAUUAGAAUGCACAUUAUGAAAUGGAGUAGUACUUUUAUUAUCAUUAAUAGGAAAAGCACCACAAGUAUGUUUUGCAAAUUCAAAUGCAUCACAUGUCAACUGUUUUGAGUCACAUUUCUCAAAAAAUUUCGGAAACAUGUUUUCCAUUAUUCGAAAAGAUAAGUGUCAUAACCUAAGAUGCCACAAAUAUGCCUCUUGACAAGUACUACUUAAUCCGGUUUAAAAAACAAAAAUUCUGUCCAGCAUAUAAUCUCGGUCCUCCCUCCAGAAGAUAAAGCUUGUCAUGCACUCUACCAUAGCCAAUCGUUCUCCUUGUCCCUAGUUCCUGAAACCACAAUAGGAAGGAAAGAAAAUAACUUUACAAUUCAAGUCCCUGGUAAUAGCUCUAUUGGAGAGAAGAUUGGUUGGAAAAGAGGGAACAUGUAGAACAUAAGUUAGGGCUAAACUAGAAUUGCAAACAAUAGAACCUUUUCCAGAAAUUGUUGACAUAAAACCAUAAGCAAUAUGAACUUUAUCUUUGUCUGAGGAAGGAAAGUAAGAUGGGAAAUGAUUUGAUGCACCAGUCAUAUGGUCGGAGGCACCGGAAUCAAUGAUCCAAUAUUGAGAACUAGUAUUGUUACUAAGCAAUGCAUUAGCAAUAGUAUCUGAGAGAGCAAAGUUAGAGGUGAAUGUAGCAGUAGUGGAUGAAUAAAAUUGGAGUUAGCUUCAGUUGAAUCAAAGCUUUAUCAUGAGUCGGCGAAGUGUUAGAAGUUCUUCAUGAGAUAGGCCUUUACACUCCAUGUGAGCUCCUUCCGAAUGUAGUGUGUCGGGGCCUUCCGCUUGGUAUGCUUGUGAUCUCCCAUAGCCUCGGCCGCUUCCACUUCUUCUUACUCUUCCUCUCAUAGGACGUCCAUGCCACUUCUAACAUGUCUCCUUGGUGUUCCUGCUUUGUUCACAAUGGUGACACUUAAGAUUAUCUUUAUCUAUGAGAUCACUUCCUUUCUUUAUCUAUGAGAUCACUUUAUUUUGAAUGCUUUUCAUAGUUCUACUUGAUGCAGCUCAGGACAAUGCAGAUUUCUCAAAAGUUAGUUGAUAGAUCAUAGCAUUCCCUCUGCUUUCUUCUUGUUGAACAUAAGCAUAGGCCUCCUUUAGUAAAGGGAACAGAUCUCUUCCACGCACUUGAACUCUUAUUGGAUCAAAUUCUACUUGUAAGCCAGCAAGGAAGUCAUAAAAACUCUCGAUCUGUUUUUGAAACAUUGCUGCAUCAUCAGGGCAUUUAGCUUGAAAAUCAUGACAAUAAUCUAAUUCCUGCCAUAAACUGCUAAGCUCUGCAAUGUAUUGAGCAACAGUUCCAUCUCCCUGCUUUGUUUCAUGCAUUUUUUUCUGAGCUCAUAUACUAGUGCAUUUUUUCCUUUCUUAGAAUAAGUUUGAGCCACUGCAGUCCAGAUUUUGUAGGUAGAAUCCAAAAAAAGAAAGCCUUGUGCAAUUGCUGGUUCCAUUGACUUUAAUAGUCAUGACAUGAUCAAUGAAUUUUCCGAUUCCCAUUGACUAGAUGUAGAAUCUUCCUCUGGCGGCAUGUUUCGUCUACCUGUAAUGUAAUCAUGAGGCCCCCUAGCUUUAAUAAACAAUAAACAGGAUAAAUACAAUGACAAAUAAUUUUGUCCACCUAGUUUAAUAGGGCUAAUUUGCAGGGGGACUAUCGUUCACCAUGAUUUUUGUCUUCGGCGUUGUGUUAACUCUAUUAGAAUUGUUAUCAGAGUUAACUUUUGACAUCUUGAGUGCAUAAAAGAUGCAACCAGCAAUAUAACAGUAACAGGAAAGAAUUAUUCAGAUCCUAUUGAUGCAUUUACCAAACCUUCAUUCGUUUUGUAGCAAAAGUAGGUAACUUGUCUCAAAUAUUAAGGUUGGUAGUAUUGUAACAGCCACAAAAGGUGAAAUGCCUGAUCAAGAUCUAAGCGAAGUAGUGUAGGGAAAGGGUGAAGCAGAGAAGAAUGAUGUGGAGACGAGGAAUAGCACCAAGAAGAGAUGGAUGACUGUAGGCUUGUAGAGGUCUAAUUGGAAGAAGGAAGAACCGAUUGGGCCUUAUCCCUAUUUUUCGAAAAACCCUAAAUUUGGUUUGGCUUCGAUACCAUAAUGAAACUGAUGUUUAAAUUGGAUUAGGGUUCUCACCUCCAUGAUCUCAAAGAGAUAUAUUUAUAUAUUAAGAGUUUUACAAUAAGGUCCCCGACAUAAUGCAAAAAUUAUAAAAUUAUAAAAAAAUAGUCAACAAUGUUUAUCUCUGUGUCCAUGUUAUUUGUACUUUCUAUUGCCCAAGGAUUUUAGUGCCAUGGCACGGGGUCGUAUGGGAAACUUGUUGGCAGGGUAUGACACGGUGCUUGUUGUGCCAUACCAAUGUGCGCCGGUCACAGAAAUACCUGUUUGUCGACGCAAUAAGACAUAAAGUAUUUAUUUUCUUUAGCAUCAGUAUAUUCUAAUUACUUAUUAUGUAUCUUCAUCAAAUUAUUUGCACUGUAUUGAAACAAUACUUGCUAAUUUCAAAGAAAAGAGGAUAUUGUGUUGUGCUAUUGACAUGGGGAUCGUAUCAUGCCAAUAUUUUGUUAGCAUGGUAUUACACAGUGGGCACGACCUGUGUCGAUGGGCACUUAAAACCUUGCUAUUGCCAUUGCAUAAUGUGAUUGUGAAGCAAUUUCUAGUCGAUUAUUUUUGCUUGGAGUCUCCAACGAAGUGAUGAACUAUUCAUUGUAACUUUUGUCCCACUAAAAUUUGUUUGUCUGUCGUAUAUCAAAAGCUUACAGGAUAAAAGUUAUAUGUUAAGUUAGUGGAGUCAAGGCACCUGAAACUUUCAUUGCUUUGUGGUAACUAAUGAGUUGGGCUUGAAUACUUCUAGUAGUAUCUGUCCUUUGGUGUUCUCACUUUUCUACUCAUCAGAUGGACUUUAGGAUCUGCACAGAUAAGCAUCAAAGAUAUGACGUAAUGCUAAGUCCCACAAACCAUUAUCCUAUUCUCUUCCCAUCUACUGUUGACAAAGUACAAUUAAAAGAAAGAAGAGAAACUACUUGGAGCAGCCUCUUUUUGCAAAUCCUUCAAUGCCUGUGCUUCUCCUAUUCAAGCAGAUCUCACAUUUGGAGCUUCGUCUUACUGAGCAGUGAACAGCAGUCUUGGAUCAAAAACAACAUACCAAAAAAUGUGAAUCUGACAAGAAGAAAAAGGAAUUGUAAGGAAGAGAACAAACCAUUAUGAUGCACGGAAUCUGUUUGAGUUUAAUGUACUUAUGAUUUGGUAUCUAAUUGAUGUGCCUUCUAUUUCCGUUGCAUAUGCUAUUAAUUGUUUUCCUCUAUGGUUUAAAAUUCUUAACUGAUCUGUUAAUAAAGUAGAGAGAUGAGAGGUUUCUGUUCUAGGACAAUGCCUUCUAAAGUUCAAUCAAUAUAGGGAAGGAAUAGCCCUUCUCUAAAAUUCUAAGUUUGGCUUGGGGAAGGAGGCUUUCCCUAUCUUCUACCACUGUUGAUUUGGGUUAAGGAUGAUCCUUUUUUAUCAUCAUCUCAAUUUGGAUAAUGAUAGCCCUGCUUUGUGCUCAGAUUGGGAUUUUAGGCUUAAAUAGAAAGUUAAUUUCUUAUUCUUGUGGAAGCAGCAGUGCAAAUCUCGAGGCACAUCUAAUGGCUAGAAAAGUAAUAGCCCCAAAGGAUUGAUGCCAUUAGUAAGUAUUCUUGCUUAUCUCGAGGCACAUCUAAUGGCUAGAAAAGUGAAGGCUCCAAAGGGUUGUUGAUAUUAUUGAGUAUUCUUGCUCAAGACCAUCAAGGAAUAUCAUCAUCUCCACUUGAAAAAGAAAGGCCAGCCUUGGUAUGCUGCUUUCUUGGGAAAUCAAGGAGGAAUACUUGUUUAAUGUCUUGAGGCCAUUGAAUUUAUUUGUCAAUGCAACAACUAGUGGAAGCUGAAGUAGUUUCCAAUGGUCGAAAGAGUGGGUGCUAUAUCUUGUUUGUUUGUAUGUACAAAAUGUUAAUAUUGCAAGUGUAACUUCUAUUACUCUUCAGCCUACUUUCCAGUUAUUAUCAUUAUCGUCAAGCCUUUUGCCGUCUUUUUCCUUCACUUCGAGUUGCUAUGCCAUCAUUAUUAUGUGCUACCUCAAGAAGGGACUCUGCAAUCAAGUAACAUAAUCAAAAAUGAAAAUUGUUGGUGUUAAAGUGUGUAUGGAAUUCCAUGUACAGAGAUGUUAAUUAUGUGAACAAGUGGGUAUUGAUGAUUUUUGUUGCCUAUAUGAGUACAUUGUAUGAACAGUUGUGGAAGCAAUAUAUGGCCUUUUAUGCCUUAGUGUAGUGUUCCAAGCUUGAAGCAUAUGAAGCAUACUUCGAGUUCAUCAGUAUAAAUUACUGCAAACUGCCAUUUCUAGUGGAGUUCAGAAAAACUAACCAAAACUAACAAUAACUUUCAUGUUCUCAAAAGCAGGCAUGGGAAAGAAAUCAUCCAAUUCAAGGAAAAUCAUUACUUUGAUUCUUAAAUACUAGUUACUUUUGUACACAAAAUUGUCUGAUACGUAAGAAAAGGAAAUUUUUUUUUUUUGGAGAGAAAGUAGCAUGCUACCGCCUCAUUCAUUUAGGGAAUUGAACUCGGCUACAAGAUGAGGCAACUGGGCCUCAAGAGGGAAAGGCUAAAAAACAAAAAAAAAAAAGGACGCUAACGUCCGCAAAACUGAUCCCAGGUCUCCCUAAGAGAGCAGAUUUUGGACGAUAAGUAACCUAAUGAGUGUCGAGAGUUCUCAAAAAUUCUACUAUUCCGCUCCAAUCAGAUUACCCACCAUGUGGCGGCAAUCGUCGCUAAUUCCUUCCUCCCUAUCGUACCCUCUUUCAGCCUACUUUCCUCUCAAAAUUGACAGAUAGAUGUGCAGGAUAGGAGAGACCGUUUGUUUAACAGAAGAACCUUUAGUAAGUAUUGGUACUUUGACAGCAUAAAAAGAGGUGAUCCGCGGUCUCCCUUGUGGCUAAGCAGAAGACAGCUUUCCUCACCACUCCAACCUCUUUUCAGAAGGUUAUCCACUGUUAAUACCUUUCUUUUUAAAACUAACCACACAAAAAUCUUAACUUUUAGGGGGGCUCUAAUUUUCCAUAUCUGGUUAAAUCUCCUGACCCAUACUCCGUCGUCUUGUAGGAAGUUAUAAAGCGACUUCACUGAGAACUUUUCGGAGCGGCCUUUUCCACUAUGUAGGCAAUCUCCAAGAUAGCGUCCUUUAGCUUCAGUAUUAGUUCGUUCUCAGAUUGGGAGAGGCACGAAACCUGCCAGGAUCUUUCGCCACUUCCACCCGUUCCUAUCCCAGCAGUCCUGUACCUUGAGGUUUUUGCGACGAACUUUCUCGAAAAUAGGAGCAAAUAAGGUUCGUAUGGUAGCUUGAUUGCUCCAGAUAUCUAUCCAAAAGUCUACACUUUGCCCAUUUCCAAUUGAAUAGGUCACCCUGCAUUUGAACACCUCCUUGGUCGAUAGGACACUCCUCCACCACUGAGAGUGCGGUCUAAAGGACGCACCUUCUUUGAGUGGUUUCCUUUUUUCAUAGUAUAAGUCCUCAAUUAGAGAAUCCUAUUGGUGAUUCUUGUCUACCCUGAACCUCCACCACCAUUUGGACAGCAAGGCUAAGUUCAUAUUCUCUAAGUCUAAAACUCCCGGUCCUCCGUCCUUUCUGCUUCUACAAAGCGCCUUCCAUUGAGCAAGACAUUGACCGCCCGCCAUGGUCCUUACACCUCGCUAGAAAAAUUCUCUGUCUUUUCUGCUUCUACAAGAUUCUUGUUUUUAGUUAUUUCCGUUAUACAAAUUUUGGAACACUAAAUAUAAGGAAUUAAGGUUGUUUUAGUUGGUACACGAUUCUUGUUUUUAGUUCUUGUAGUUAGGGGUAGUCUUUCUUUGUUCUUAUUUUGAUCCUAUAGGUAUAAAUGCAAAUUUACUCCUAGAAAGAACUACAUGUACAUUGUAUACAACCUAACAAGUAAUAUGACUGUCGUUACUAAUAUUAGAAUAAUUGUGGGGCUUUUUUUUUGCGUUUAGCCCCCCUUUAUUUUUUUCAAAUGACCCUGGUAAAAUUGUAAUUGUAGAAUUGACCCUUAUUUUUUCCACACAAGGGCCAUACUGGAUAUAAGUUGAACACAAUAAUUCAUUCAGUGUUCUAAACACGGUGAAUGCAUCACCUUCUUUUUUACUUAGUAUGGGAAAAGAAGAUUUAAAGAAACUGAGUGAUUUUAUCAAAGAGAACACAAUAAUUCAAUUACCAUGUUCUAAACACUGUGAAUGAACCCAUGUGUUCAACUUAAAUAUCCAGCUGGCGUUUGCAUUGUCACGUCCCGAGCUCCGCCUAUUUGGUCGGAUUCGGGCACGCCGACAGACCGCCGAACGGACAGAGCCUCCCCUGUACGUUCUAGGCGUCACAAUCUAAACAAUGCAAUACGCGAGGUUCCAACCAGGAACAGUAGCAAGCAUAUAGAUUGCAUAAGUAUCAAAAAACAUAAAAUGCUAACUAUGCUAUUACAAGCAUUCAUCUCAGAAUUUUACAUUUACAAUAAUUUACAUUUACAUAACCACAUAUACCUUUAAGUUAUGUAAAUGUAAAUUAUUGUAAAUGUAAAAUUCUGAGAUGAAUGCUUGUAAUAGCAUAGUGAGCAUUUUAUGUUUUUUGAUACUUAUGCAAUCUAUAUGCUUGCUACUGUUCCUGGUUGGAACCUCGCGUAUUACAUUGUUUAGAUUGUGACGCCUAGAACGUACAGGGGAGGCUCUGUCCGUUCGGUGGUCUGUCGGCGUGCCCGAAUCUGACCAAAUAGGCGGAGCUCGGGGCGUGACAUGCAUGGUCAAAGAGAGGGCCAAAUUUGCAAUUAUAAUUUUGUUUGGCUAUGUUUGAAAAAAAAAAAAAAAUUCAGGGGACUAAAUGCAAAAAAAAAGCCCACAAUUACAACCUAUCUUCGUCUUUUUUUUUUUUUUAAUUUCCUUUACCUAUGUUAUACAUUUUCUUUUGAAAGUUUCUAAAUAUAUUGUGUUCCAGAAUUUCAUUAUAUUUAGUUUGAAACAAGUGAUGUACAUUCAGUAUAACAGAAAUAAAUGAUCUCAUUUGUAUUCGACCACAUGAAAGGGACAGAAGUAAAUGAUCUCAUUUGUAUUCGACCACAUGAAAGGGACAGAUGGCAAUAAUCUUCUAUGGAGAACUUGUGCGAUUUAGUGAGAAACUUGCGUAUGCACAUAUGUAUACCGAUUAUGGAGAGAGUAAUUUAGCUAUUCAAAUCUGCACAUUAAUCUCCUUGGCCUAAUCUCAUGAAUCUUAAAUGGGUGGUGGUCAUCAUAUUGAAUAUUCACAGACUAAUCAUGAUCCAUCCCAUUUAAGUGGAAGACUUUUGCCAUGCUUGGAGGUCUUCUUUGUGAGCAAACAAUAAACUAUGGAUUUCUAAUGGAAUCAAUUAGCAUUCAAUAUGAUCUUCAAUUUAGGACCAUUACUUAUUGAGCUUGUUCUUGCAUGCUCUGGUAUGUUAGGUCAUGAUGAUUUCUUGACCUAACUGCCCUCAUGUUAUUGAGGAUACAUGCCACCACGUUGUGUUUUGCGUAGACCAUUUCCCCUAGUAAAGAACUACUCAAUGGUGAAUUGUCCCUUAUCAAAUAUAAUAGGCAUAAUCGCUUGAAGUAUCAUUACAGUUUUCCCUGUCCUUGCAUGGGAGACAUUCUGCAAACAAGAACUGCCUAUGGAGUCUAGUUGAGUACAUUGAUUAUCUUCUUUCAAACUACAGGAUGUUAGCUAGGUGGUGUGUUUCUUGAAAGUGUCAUGGCGUCAUACAAUAUCUGUUACUUCCAUUUCUUAGACCACUUUGAAUUAUAUCUGAUAAUUGUUCUGGUUGCUGUUUCAUUUCUUUCAUAGUUGUCAUAGAUUAUAUGGGCUGUCUCAAGCGUCAGAGUUCGUAGAUGGCUACUAUUUAAAUCCUACACAUGAAGUGAAACUUUAUGGGCCAAAACAUUAUACAUUAUUUCAAUAUUCCACUUGUGUCAUUCUGUUAUACAAAAAAUAGUUGUUGCCUCCAGAUUUGUCGAAUCUGGAAGUUUCUUUUUAUAGGUCACUAAUUUCUGACCAGGUUUGUUCGAGCGUUGUUGUUUUAUUGUCCUGGAGAAGUUAUUCUUUACUGUCUUGACUGUAUGAAUGUGAAUCUUAUAUGAUUGACAUGGGACAAGAACAAAUACCUCAAAGUUGUCAAUACAGGUCGUGUUAAUUUCACCAUUCGCAUAUGUAUCUCGAGUGUUCUACUCCCCAGUGUCCAGUAUAAAAUAGACAAAAGUGACUGUAGCUUCUUUUUUGAAACAAGUAUAAAUUUUCGAUCAGCUAUGCCGAAACAAUGGAACUUUUGCUGAAAGUAGUCUCUCCGAGGGUGUUUCAUGGUCAUUCAUUGGAAAUGAAGCUCUCUAUAUACUAUGUAUAGCUAAUGCCUAUCGCUGUGAACUGCAUACUCACUACCAACUCGAUUGUCAGGUUAUUGAUUCAGGUAUGCUCUCACGAUUCCGAAUUUCUCCGUUUAAUCUUUCCAUACACAUCUCUAUCCAAUGCAGUUGGAAGCUCUGUUCUCGUGAUUGAAUCUUAGCUUCAUCAUUCAAAUUAAACAUUGUGUAUGCUAUCACUGCUUUUGCUAAUAUCUACUAUGCUUUCUUAUUCUUGUCUUCUGUAACUGAGUGGCAUCCGUUCACUUGUUUCAAGUUUUAUGUUCUUGCUGGUAGAUCACAUUCAUUUUGCUUGGUAUGUGCAUCUUGUCAAAAUUUAUACAUGGGCAUCAUUGUUUAUGUAAUGUUAUCGUAUUUGUUAUCCAUCCUUCAUUACUAGUACCAACUCAUUGGAGAGAUAAAUAGUAGGGAAAGCAUUACUGUUUUUGAUCCGGGAUGAUUGGAAUUCCGGAUAAGGUGGCGUUAGUUCCAACCAUUGCAGAUAAGAUGGAAGCGGUUCUAACUAUUGCGAUUGGGAUAAGGAUCAAGAUGGCUUCAGUGGAUUGGAAGAAGAAUCAAAUUAUUGAAUCAAUUUGGAUGAGGAUAAAACUAAUUUGGAUAAGAAUAGACCAACUUUGGAUAAGGAUAAGGAGGUUAUGUGGUUCUUUUUGAAGUAUUUUGUUUUUAUUUUUUUGUAAGUUUGAAAGGUUAUUAAUAAGAGUCCUAUUGGCUCUUGUAGAGGUAAAAAUAUACAUUUUAAUGUAACAAAGUUUUUCCACCAAGUGCUCUUUGUAUGUUUUUUUUUUUUUUUUUUUUUUUUAAUCUUUUAAUAAAAUCUGGUUUCAGAUAUCCAACAAGGAGGCACUGAGACAUUGCUUCCUCUUUCGAUGAAUUAAGUAGUAUUAAAGCGUAUGGCCUUGGUGCAUGAUAGGAACCAGAAGCGUUUACAAAGCUAAUGGCGAAAAGCUCUCCAUCCUCGACAUCUUUCGUAGGCCAUCGACGAGGAAAACAAAGAGUACAAUGUCAGCAAACGAGCAGACAGCGAUGCUGUCUGACCUUGCCGCUCAGGUCGCCGCGCUAUUUGAUGAUAUGAAGACCGUUUUCGAUUAGGUCAAGGCCUAAUCUGCAGCAUCAUCGACAAUGCCGGCGGAGAAAAGCGGUAGGUUCUUAGGAAUCCCUCAUCUGAAGGCGCGCGUGAAGCCAAUGAAGGGUAUUGCCGAGGAUACCUUGGGUGCGCUAGACGACGAUGACUUCGAUGAUGACAUGAGUAUGGUGGUUCUGUCACUUGCAAAGGGAGGACACUACUGUUCAAGGUUGAGGCCAAGGUUGAGAUCCCCAGCUAAAACGGCACUGUUGACGCUGAAAAGCUGGACGCUUGGCUUGACCAGCUAGAAACGUACUUCGACCUCUAUAUUAUAACAACGUGGAUAAUGUGAUUUUCGAGCAGCUAAAGCUGGUGGGUUACGCAUUGACCUGGUGGAAAGCUACUCUCUAAACUUCCGCCGAUGAGAAUUGAAGGUGUCCGUAAACCGUGCCGGGUCUGAUAAUUAAUAUACUGUACUUAUACCCUAAAAAGAAAUAGUUAGAAAAAAGAAUAUAUAUCCUACCUAUUUAAUUUCGGGUCGGGUUCAGGUCAGGAUACUUAAGUUACUCCCAUCGGGUUUAUUUGUGCGGGUCUAGAUAGUGACUACCCGUAUAUUAUCCGUUCAAGACGGGAUAUGGAUCGGGUCUAGAUCGGGUAUAGAUACCCGUAUAAAUAUACUUUUUUAUAGACUUUAUUAAGUAGUCUAUGGACAAACUAUAAGACUUCCCAUAAAAAACUCGCGUUCUAAUAGGUUGUAACAUCCAAUAAAAUUCAUUCAAAAGAAAAAAAAAAUUCCAAUACAUUGGUCCAAAAUAUAUGCAUCUACUAUUAUAUAGUUAAAUUGCAUACAUGAAACAUUACAGUGGAAAAAUAAGUUUCUAGUUUUUUAAUUUCAUGAGUGAACAAUAACAUAAUAGUUAGAAUAACUAAUAAAAUAGUUAUCAAAAUUUUUCUCUUUGUCGAUUUAUUUUUUUUGCAAGAUUUCUAGCAACAAAAAUAUUGAACCUGUCAAAUAAACUAUAUUAGAAUGUACUAUAAAAGUACUCAAUAAAGAAAUUUUAAAAGUUUACCUUUAAAAAUUGCUCAUAUCAACCAAAAGAAAAAUUUUGAUAACUAUUUUAGAAUGUACUAUAAAAGUACUCAAUAAAGAAAUUUUAAAAGUUUACCUUUAAAAAUUGCUCAUAUCAACCAAAAGAAAUGAAUAAAAGAGACGGUUAGAGUUUCAUUAGGAUGAAAAUACGUAGUGACCCCCCAUCUAUAAGUUAUAUUAAAAUGGGUUUUUUUUGCAUCUAGCACUCUAGAAAAAAUUUAUUUUAAAACUAGUCCCAUCAAAUUUAUAUUUGCACUUUUGGCCAUAAUCCUGCCACGUAAAUGCCACGUCAGCGCCACGCGAGCGGGGCUGGACUAGGGUGUUAAGUUGAACAUGGUGAAUCAUUUACCGUGUCCAAAUACGGUAAAUGGUUUACCGUGUCUAGAGAAAUAGUAUUUUUCGCAAUAUCUAUUAAAUAUAAUGAAUCCACAAUGUUUCUUGCCACGUGGCAAGAAACCCUUCAUUCUUUAGUUAAUAGAUAGAAAAUUUUGUUUUAGUUUUUUUUAAUAAUUCUCUCUCCUUUAAUUCCCACCCCUUCCCCUCCCUUCUCCAUUAUAUGAUCUAUUAACGUUUCAUGAAUUAAUGGUAAUCUACAUUAACAUUUAAUCAAUUAAUGGCAAUUAUAAUCAUAAUUGAUUACUCUACCAACUUUGAAUAUCUAUUAAACUUUUCAUAGCCACCAUUUCAUUCUUUCAUUUUUUUAAUAAUUCUCUCUCCUUUAAUUCCCACCCUUUCCCCUCCCCUCUCCUCUACGUUAUAUGAUCUAUUAACGUUUCAUGAAUUAAUGGUAAUCUACAUUAACGUUUAAUCAAUUAAUGACAAUUAUAAUCAUAAUUGAUUACUCUACCAACUUUGAAUAUCUAUUAAACUUUUCAUAGCAACCAUUUUAUUUUUUCAUUUUGCUUUUUUUUUAUUUUUUUUAUUUUAUAGACAAGGCGUCACCAUGAGGAGAAGUAUUGAAAGGUAAUUCGUGUAAAAAUUUGUAAUUCAUUGAAUGAUUGAGAUCGAACUUUCAGAUGAAUCGAUUACUUAUUGCGAAAGCAAAAAGAGACUUUUUUAUGAAUUCAUUCUUUUUUUUUUUAUAUAUGUACCUUUUGGUUUUUCUAUUUUGGGUGUUAAUUAGGUGGGGUUUAUGUGAUUUGCAAGCCUGAGCUGAGAAUCUUAGAUCAUUUCCUUCUCCUAAAUGAGUUUGAAGGUAUUUUGGUUUAUCGGAAAGAUGUGAAAACCUUUUUUUUCUGAUUUGGAUAAAAAAUUUAAAAUUUUUAUCAUUAAAUUCUUCCAAAUUUUGCUUGAUUUUGCUCAACUGUUCCUUCUUUUUUAAGUUGGUUUUUUUUUUCUUUUUUUCACUUGAAUUACAAUUUGUUUUGUUGCAGUUUCUUCUCCCGCUGGGUUUCCUGAUUACCCUCAUAGAGGUUGGUUUGGAAAAAUGGCAACUUAUUAUUGAUGGUCUUAUAUUAUAGGGUAUUUGUUUCUGUUCAGGUGUUGUUGUAUUUAAUUAUGUUUUUUUUUUUCACGAUUUGAUACUGUUACAUACAUACUAGAAGUAACUCAAGUUACACAUAUCUGUUAUAAUUCAGAUUGGUUUGUAGUAGAUGCUUAUAAGGUGUUCACUGAAUUAUUUCUGUGGGGUUUCAGGGCUCAUUCACUCAUCAAAAUUUUGCUGGACAUAAGGGCAUAAUUAGGCCCGGAGAAGUGCAGGUUUAGAUUUGUUUGGCUUUUUUUUUUUUUAAUACUAAAAAAAGAUUGGUAAAAAUGUUUACUGAGAGAUCCUCUCUAGCCCAUUUGAAAUAGGCCCUCAAUUUUAUUUAAUUUUCAAUUAACACUCGCUUGAACUUUAACAAUUCCUUUUAUUUGAAUUGUUAUGUGUAAUCAAUUGUAAAUUUUGUAUUUAUCCUUACUUAUAAUUUUAUUAUUUUUUUGACUGAAAUAUUGAGUUUAAUUAUAUAGAUUGUUGAGUUAAUAAGUAUAAAAAUGUAAUCUUUAAUAGUAUUUUACCGAUUUUUACAGCCCAUUUAAACUAAUAUUUUUUAUUUUAUACAAAUAAUGAUUGUUUCGAUAAUAUCUAUCCGCCGCAUCGCGCGGGUGACUACACUAGUAAAUAUUGAAAAGACGAAUAUGGAGUAGGGAUGUCAAUGGGUAUGGAUACCCGAAAUAUUAUCCGAACCUAAACCCGAAUAAAUUAUUUAUAUACAUAAUUUAUUUUUAUUUAUUUAUACAAUAUAUAAAAUAUUUAAUAAUUUAUAUAAAAUCCGUUCGGUUCGAGUCCCGAUUUGGGUUUCGGGUUUUUGAUCGGGUAUGGAUAUGGGUAUGGAUUUUUAAAACCCGCCGGGUUCGGAUUCGGGUUCGGGUUUUAAUUUGAUUUUCGGAUUCGGUCUCAGGUUUUUUAAAAUCCGAUCCAAACCUGACCCGUUGACAUUCCUAAUAGGAAGAAUAUAAGUACGGAAUACAGUGAAUCAUUCACCGUGUUUGAACACGGUGAAUCAUUCACCGUGUUUGAUAGUUUACCGUGUCUAGAAAAAAUAUUGUGAAGAAUAUAAAUAUUGAAAAAGAGAAAAAAAAAAAAGAGGAGAGUGAAACACGGUGAACCAUUCAUCGUGUUCAACUUGCCAAGCAGGCUCCCAGUCCGCCCAUGUGGCGUCUGCGUGGCGUCUGCAUGGCAGGGAUAUGGUCAUUUUUAUAAUUAUAAAUUUGUUUGGGCUAGUUUAAAAAUAAAAUUUUUUCAGGGGGGCAUUUGCAAAAAAAGCCCUAUUAAAACUGAUCCUUCAACUUCAAAAGUUUAUUUUUUUUAUUUAUAUUGGAUAUUUUAUUGGGUCCGGGUCCGGGUCCGGGUCCGGAUUUGAAAACUAUUUCAGACCCUACCCAUUUAAAAGUUGAGUUCUGGUCGGAUUCAAAUCGGGUAUGGACAUAAAAUAUCUGGACCCAUAUCCGAAAUUUUAAUGGAUAAUUUUUUUUAUUCGUAUACUAUUCAUUUUUUAUCGGGUCCGGAUCGGGUAUAAGAUAUCGAAUAUUUUGAACAGCUUUAACCAGAAUUUCAUGUAGAUCAAGUGACUGAUCCGUCAGGAAUUGCACCCCAUGGGGUAUGAAAAGGAAAUUAUAACGUAGCAUAUGUUCAAAUUAGUGAAAAAACAGUAGCUGAAUUAUACAAAUUUUGAUUUCAGUAGGUCUCUGCAUCUUGAAAAAUUAUUGCUUGCACUUGGUACAUCCAUAGGUACAUGCACCAUGAUUUCACUUGUUCUUGAUGCACCUUAUAAUAGUCAAUACAAAAAUUUCGUCUUAAGGAAAAAGCUACAAUUUAUUGGUUUUAGGAGACUGAUCAAUAUAAAAAAAUUUUCUUACGGAAAAAGCUAUAAUUUUGUGGUAGUCCAGGCCUCCGAUACUUUGUUGGAGCCCUGGUCUCCAAUGGCCCUGCAAAAUUUAGGUUUUUAUUUAUUUAUUUUUAAUUAUAUAUUUAUUUUUUAAAAGAAAUAUAAGUACCAAAAAAAAAAGAGAGUAAAUUGUUGGCAUGGGCAAGGUAACAACAUAUUACGUUUUUCUCUUCUGGCAUUUUAAUCCAAAAUGAAAAUUUCAAUAAUAAAUUAAUAAAAAAUAAAUUACGUUUUUCUGUUACCUUCUUGUUUUGGAUAAUGUAUAAAUUUUUAAAAAAUUAUAACGGAGCAUAUGUUCGUGUAAAAUAGCUUAUAUUUAUUUAUUAUAUAUUAUAUAUAAUAAUAAUAAAUUGAGUACGUAUUUGUAGUACACUUUAUUAAUUUUUUUUUUUGUAUUUUACAACUUGUUUUAUUUAAAAGAAUACAAAAUUAUACUAUAUUCCUUUUGAUUUUUAAAACUAAAAUAGUUUCAUCUUUCUCCAAAAAUAAUAGUUAAUUUUUUUUCUUUAGAUUGUAAUCAAGCCAUUUUUUGAUAUUUUGUUCCGUUAUUAGCCAAACUCCUAAUCCGUUGACUAAAUCAAGUGUCCUUAGAAAAAUGCGCAAGGAAGUAAAUCGGCUUCAGACAGUGACUUUCGAAGUUUGCGCCUACAAUUGAAUCAAGCGAUUCGACUGAUAAGGGAUAUGACUAGUCAAGUUCAAAUGCUAUACUGUUUAUUCAGCUUGGCUGAAAUGAGUUGAAUAAUGCUAAUAUAUAUUAUUAAAAAAAUAUUUAUCGAAAGGUAGAUGCCGCUAAGGUGUAAAGGAACAACUAACUUAGAACUCCUAGGAAAACAAAAAAUGUAAAGGAAAAAGAGAUUAUAAAUAGCCUACUUCUAGAAAGCAAAAAAAUACACGAAAAUAAAUUGGUCUUCUUAUUCUUAGGAAAAAAAAGACCUUUAUGUCAGGCGUCUUCUGUCUAUUUAUGGUACCACAUGUUGUUUAUUCAGUUAUUCCCCACUAUCGGCCACGUCCCAAAUUCUACGGACCCCUUUCAGCCGAUCCUAACUGCAUCAAUUUUAACCGCUUUUCGAUUUUUAGGUGCGUUAUUCUCAAAUCCUAGCGCACCACAUGUUACCUAUUUCAAGCCUUAGGAGCUAUUUCCGUGUUGCAUCUCGGUUCACCACAUGGCACAACUUUUAUAGCACCAACAAUUGCUCCCUUGGUAGCUCCCGAACGAUCGAUUGUUCGGGUGAUUGACGUCAUCUUUUUUAAGGGCUCGGAUUAUAAGGUCAUCAUUUCAAACUCUAAAAUUGCCUUACACCAUCCAUUCUCCUCAGUUGUCCCUUCUUUUCGUCAUUUUGACGGCUACGAUUUUUCACAUUCUUUUUCUCUUCUGAGACAUUAAUUAGGUCAUUUACGGUCGAUGUCAUCUCAUCACCAAAUCCAUCUUUUAGAAAUUCCUUUCGACGGCUUCGUUUCUCUCAUGCUUUUUCGUUUCCCCCACUUUUUCAUUUUCUUUUCUCUCAAUCUGAAAUUUCUCCUCUCAAGCCUCUUCAUUUUUUCCUCCAUUCUUUCUCUUUUCUUAGCUUCUAAGCUUUCUGUCACACCCGAGACCCAGCGGAAGCUCGUCCGGUGGGUGUCCAGAGCCAAAAGUCGCACUUCUUCAGCUUGGUAUAAAGCUUUUCUUUUCGGAGAAUUUGCAUCACAGUCCUCAAAUGCUCCUCGUGCUCUUGAUCACUCCGAGAAUAGACCAAUAGGUCGUCAAUGAAUACCACGACACAUCGAUCCAACAAUGGCCGGAAGACCCGAUUCAUCAAGUCCAUUAAUGCUGUAGGGGCAUUUGUUAGUCCAAACGGCAUUACCGUAAACUCAUAAUGGUCAUAAUGCGUACGAAAUGCCGUCUUAUGCACAUCCUCUGGCUUGAUCUUCAACUGGUGGUACCCCGACUGAAGAUCGAUUUUCGAAUAUAUCCGGGACCCUUGCAACUGGUCGAACAGAUCAUCAAUUCUAGGCAACAGGUAUUUGUUCUUGAUUAUCACCUUGUUUAGCUCACGAUAAUCCACACACAGCCGAAGCGUUCCAUCUUUUUUUUUUUUCCACAAAUAGCACCGGUGCUCCCCUUGGCAACACACUCGGCUUCACAAAGCUUUUGUCAAGUAGGUCUUGUAGUUGAGUUUUUAACUCUCUUAACUCCGCUGGUGCCAUUUUAUACGGGGCCUUCGAAAUUUGCGCCGUCCCGGGAACCAAGUCAAUGACGAACUCGAUCUCCCGGUCCGAUAGCAAUCCCGGUAACUCCGCCGGAAACACGUCCGAAAAUUCACAUGCUAUCGGAAUAUUCCCAAGUGCUGGGGGCUCCUUUUGAGUCUCCACCACUGAUGCCAAGUAGGUUAUACACUCACUAUUGAUUAGCUUCCUCGCUUUUGACGCCGACACCGUCACCGCAAAACACGAGCUCUUGUAUGCACGAUAAAUCACUUCCUCCUGACUGGGCUCACGAAAAGUCAUUAUCUUGCUUUCACAAUCAAUGACGGCAUAAUACUUCGAGAGCCAAUCAAUCCCAAGAAUUAUGUCGAAGCCUUCCAUUCGGCUCAACACAAGUAAGUUCGUCGGCAUAAUCCAAUCACCAAUUUGCACUGGAAAAGCCGCACAUUCCUCGUUUACACUAAAGGUGUGUUGGGGUGCAUAAACCCACCAAGCGUCCGGACUCUCCGAAAUCUCAAUAUCAGGAGCCAAGCUAAUGAAUGAAUGAGAUACGCCAGUGUCAAACAAUGCUUUAGUUCUGGUGCCAUUAAUUAAAACAAUAACUGCCACAACAUCGUCGGCUACGACAGGCUCCUCCACUCGAGUAGCAAAAACUCGACCACUCGGUGCCGCCCGAGAUCCCUCUGGCUGAUGCGGUACUGAUGAGCAUCCAGCUGACAUAGUAGAUGGCAGUCCCGCGAGCUGUCUUGGGGUGAACUAAACUGAUGCAGCCAUCGGGGCAGGCGAUGCUCUAUCCGGACACUCCCGGCUAAUGUGUCCAACCUGGCCACACCUAAAACACCUCCCUUCACGUUGUGGGUAGAACGGCGGCCGAUGGUCCCCGCCGCAAGUAAUACAUCGAGUAGGUCCCCAAUUCCUCGACUGCUGUCGUGGAUACCGAGGGUGCUUCUUAGGACUCGACUGAUAAACUAUACCGUAAAUUCUGGAAAAUAAGUAAAUGUCGAAUUUAGUCAAAUGCACCAAAGUGCCCUGAGUGUGGUACACUUGGAAAUUACCGAAGGUGUUAAAAUGUAUGAAAAAGUGCAGUUGUGUAAGGUUUUCGAGAGCUACAAGAAUCAAAUUCUGCCAAAACUGCAGAUUUUCAGCUCUCGGGGGACGGCCCUGGUGGAUGGAGAGGUUCCCCGACGCGUAUGAAAUGAGACAGCGAAAAAAUCGGCUAACGUCCUGGAAAUUAGGUCUCAGGGACCCGGUCCCUGCCUGAAGAUACCGGUCCCGAGAGACGGUUCCCAAGGUGAGACCGUUGCAUGCCGCGCACGCAGCUCGGGCUGCGCUGGGACGCCUUCGGGAACGGUUCCCUGAAGGAAGAGACCGGUCCCUGCACUGCCGCAGAUCAGCCAGUUCGUGGCGUGUAAUAAGAGAAAGUGAGGGGUUUAGCUGCAAAUUUUGCACACCCAUAGAGUUAUAGUAAGGGGACAAAUGAGACAUUCCUCUCAUUCUCACCCUCUCACACUCUCUUUCUCUUCCCUCUUUCUAGAAGACAACGAAGGGCGAGAAGAAGACAAGCAAAAGAAGGAAAAUGUCACGCCCCGAGACCGCUGCCAAUUUGUUCGGCCACCACGCGCGCAUCGAACAGACGCCGACCACGCGACAGAGUCUCCCCUGUCCGCCCUAAGGCUAAGCAAACGAUCAUGUAACAGAAAUUUACCAGGAAUCAAUUUCAUAGUAUAUAAUCAAGAGCACAACAAGUGCUACAAGUAAGAGCAAGGCAACAAGUAUAAGCAUACAAGUAACGAUAAGAGAGAAGAGCUAUCUAUUACAUUCAUUUGAUUUACUACAUUUAAAAAUCCUUUUACAUUCUUCCAAACACAUAAAUUCAAGACUCAACCCUCACCCUAUUACAUACGUCUACUUCUCAAAUACAAGAAGGGGUGACGGGCUUUGCCAGAAAAAGGAGGUAGUUAGUGCCUAUAGAACGCCGGGCUCUUUUACCGCGAUCUCACGCUCACGGGGAUACCCGAAACUGAACCGUGGUUAAAUGGCGAGUGAUGAACUACCUGUCCUUAGUUGCCCAGUGGUUCUGGCCGCCAACGUCCGACCGAUCUCCCCACGUAAGGUCCAAGCUGGGCACAAGUACGAUAUCGAUUAGAUAGAUAGAUAAGGAGCUGUAAAUGGACGGAACCAUGAAGAAUAUUCUACUUGCCAAUCACUAGAUAUAUGAAUGCAUGUCCAAUUGAAUUUGGUAAGCAACUUAACCUGUCUGCAUGUCCAAAGCGUGAAGCUAUGUCACUCGUUCGAUUAACGAUCAUUUACUUGUUCAUUAAUCUCAUGGCUUGACCCGAAGGCUUCGCCGUACAGCUCACUAGCAUUCUCGACACGUAGGGGAGAUCACUCACACUGCGGACUCGAGACCGUCAUGCGGGCCAUAUAGGCAAUCCUGGGUGACAACUUCCGCGAGGCACACUGUGUGGGCUUCCAUCACAAGAUUUAACAGACCGGUGAGCAUAUCAUCCUCUAAGCUCAGGAGAUACCCGUCCUCUAGCGGUCACAAUAUCAUAUGUCCAUAGGUGUGCCCGAUACACUAUUACUAGACUGGUCCGUUUGCUUUGCUAUCGACUAGAUGCCACAGGUCGUUCAUGGCUUUGGAUUUUCUAUUGACUAGAUGCAGGCUCGUUCAUUGUUCAUCAUUUUCAUUACAUUUAUAGGUUAUAUCUGCACCCAAACCCUUAAUCAUCCCCUAUAUCAAAUACUCAAUGUUCUUGGCUACGAUAAUCACAAGGAAGGCAUAAGAAGGCAAUACAAUACUAAUCCUAUAAUGCAAUAAUACAAGAUGCACAGACUCGAAAUGUAUUAAGACAUAAGGAGGGAGCCCGAUUGCUUCGGAUGGACCCACACCUUUGGCGAUGCGCGUAGUAGGAGAAGCUCUGACGUUGCGUUCUUGACGCCGCCUGAAAACUCCUCGUGGCAAAGCGAAGCCUCGAGUACCCGAGAUUCGGCCGAUAACUCCGCACUCGACUCUCGAGAUCGGUAAACCGUCUUCCGCCGACGCGCUCAGAGACCCAACUAAUUAAGCAUCAAAACCCUAGAUUUCAAAAAAUUCCCAUUUCCGUGCACUAGAAUGGCGACGGUAAGAAAUCGGGGUGGGUUGCGAGGCUGUCGAAUUGCGAGCUCGAACUUCUAUUUAUUCUUCCUCUAGGUUCCAUUUGAACAUUCUAAGCACAAACCCAUUACACCGUAAAAAUUGUACCAUGAGUGGAGUUGAGCUCACCUCUAAGGCAAGCCUCAAGCUUGCGCCUAGCUUGAAGGAUGAGAUGGGAAGAAGACCUUCUUCCUCUUCUUUUGGAUUCUCCUUCCUCUUCUUUUCUUUUCUUUCCUUUCUUUCGUUCCUUCUUCUUCUUCUUCCCCUUCGUUUCUUUUAGAGCGAGAGAGAGGGAAAGACGUGUGGUGAUAAGCAGAGAGAGAGAAUGCCCAGCUGAGAGGAAAGGAGAGGGUCCCCCACCUCUAAUAAGGCCAUUUUGUAACUAGCCCCCUCAACUUUUCAUCUUUUGAUUCAGCCCUCUCUGGGCAUUUUCGCAGUGAGAGACCGGUCCCAGCUCGGGGAGCGGUCCCGAAGGCUGCCAUUUCGAGCAGAAGGAUUUUCUGCCGUUCGGGAACCGUUUUUGCUUGAGAGACCGGUCCCCGGAGACCUUCCUUGUCCGAGAGACCGGUUCCGAAGAGCUGCAUUCUCGGACUUAGCCAAAUUUGGCUAAGUCUCGCCAGGCCAACGUUCGGGAACCGGUCCCUGCCCACCAGGAUCGCGUUCACAGAGACCUCCGCACCAGCAUGGAACCGGUCCCUCCCUGCAGGGACCGGUCCCGAGAGCAAUUCUGCUCCAGUGCAAGUUUUGCACUUGGUGCUCUCGCGGGCCUUCCUUAAUGCACUUUAUGCAUUAUAAACACCUUCGGACUUUCCGAGCCUACGCACUCGACAACUAGUCGAUUCUGGUCGAAGUCUAAUCUUGAGUUUCGGAAUUCAUUUUACUUACAAGAAAAGAAGAAAAGAAGGUGAAGAGAAGUUUUGGAGCAAGAGAGCUUCAUCUCCUUCUUCUCUAGUGCCAAGAAAAGGAAGUCUACAAGUAAGCUUUGGCCCUAAUGUAGUAAAAACCUAGAAAUGGGUGUUGAAUGAACCUAGAAAUGGUUUCUAAUGGAAUAUCUUAGUAGUUUGAAGCUUUCUUUUUGCUUCUUUAAAGAUUCAAAAACCAUGUUGAGCUCAAGGUGAGCUUCAACCCACCUCUAAUGGUGAUAAUCUAAUCUAGGGUUUGGAGUGAGCUAGGAAUGGUUUAGAUGAGCUUUUUAGAGUAUAAUGAAGCUACUUUUGCUUCCCUUUUAGAUCAAACCCUAGGUUUGAUAUGAUGUUAUGAGCUAGGGGCACCCAAUUGGGGCUUUGCUCAUGAGGGUUUCUAAGUGCAAUUGACCCUCUAGAACCUAAUUGGGGGUAUUUCGACGCGUGGUGUGCUCGGAUUAAUGCACGAAAAGCCCAUAUAAAGUUAUGGCCAAAAUAAGCUCUAAUUUGGCUUCGUUAUGCGCAGGUAAAGAACGAGGGUCUAAAAAUCCCAAGAAGAUCAUCUGGAGCACCUUUGAAGCCUACGAGUGUGGUUGGUGCUUCUCAAACUUAUUGAACUUCUCUCUUAUGCUAACGUGUCAUUCAAUUGAGCAUAUGUUAUAUACUUGUGCAUGCAUCUGUAGGGUAAAGUGAUGAUGAAAUGUGAUGUUGCAUGAUUGUGAGUACAACUUGCAUAAUAUGAUGAAUAAGAACUAGUGGUGAAUGUCGAAAGCCCUAUGUGUAAUAUGCAUGGAAAAAGUAGCACCCAAAGUGAGCAAAAGAACGAGUGACACAAUGACAUAGAUCGAUGGCAUUUGAUAAAGUUAAAGUGAAAGGACACUAGAGAUAGUGUGAAGUAAAAGAACCAAUGUAAUGUAAAGAAUGAUGAAAAUGACAAUAUUUAAAGUUAAAGUAAUGUGGCGGAGUAAAGAACACGAAGUGCUAGAGGUAGCCAAAAGUAACGGAUGUAAAGAAUAUAAUUGCUAGAGUUAGCAAAGUAAAAGAAAAGUAGGAGACAAUGAUUGCUAGAGUGCAACAUAAAGUGAAAUAAAGAACACUAGAGUAGUGUUAAGUCAAGAUUGAACAUACAUCCUUUGAGUUAAGGAUUCGAUCACACUUGCUUAUGAGUUCCGUGCUCGAGGCGGUCGUCCCCCUUCGGGCGAUGCGCUCCGGAGUAUGCAUCCGGGGUUGGAGUAAACCCGUAAGGCGGUCCUAGCGGCGUCAGUUCUUGAUGAUGCGCUUAAUGUGAAGCAAGAUUAAUGUGGCGAAACCCCCGGGUUAGCCUUGAGAUUAAAGAAUAAAGAAUAAAGAACAAAGAGCAAAGAACAAAGAACAAAGUGUAAAGAUAAAGAACGAAAGAACUUGCAUAAUCUGCAUAUGUUAAUGUUGAGCAUAUUCCUUGCUUUAUUGUUCAGGCAUAUUAGUAUCAUGUUAUAGGUUGGUUACUAUAUUUCAGCUUAUCCUUUCUAUUAUGCCUGAGUUAGUCCUAGUGGGAAAGUCGGUGAUGUUGAGGCCGAACCCACUGGGAACUUUGUUGUAGUUCUCACCCCACUAUUUCCACAGAGCCGGGACCGAGCGAGCCGGCGAGCGACCGAGGUAAAGGUAUCGCGCCUUAGUCAGAGGCCACCCGAGUUGGGUUUACAUUUUGUUAGUGGACACCCUUUUAUCAUCUUUUGUACAUGAUGGUAAAUGAUGUAAAGAAAAGAAUGUAAAAUGUAUUUUGAGGUAAAUGUGAUGUAAGAAAGACAUGAUGAAAUGGUGUAAUGAAUGUAAGAAAUCGAUAAAUUGUAAGUUGAAUGUAAUGUACAUGAUCUAAACUGAAUCAUAGUACUUGUGAAUGUUUAGUUUCCUUUUCUUUCACUAAUGGCUAUUGCUUACCCUCGUGUUAGCCGUUUGUGUAUGUUUCCGAUAGUGCUUUUCUCUAUUUAUGAAAAUGUGCAUGUGAUGAGCCGUAGGCGGAUAGAGGAAACUCUGUCCGUUCGGCGUCUGUUUGACGUGCUCGGGUCGGGCCAAAUUGGCAUCGGUCCCGGGGCGUGACACGAUCGACCCCCGACACCACUCGCAGUCCGCUUCUUUUCUUUGUCCCUUUUCUUUUCCAGAGACUCACGUUCCACAUGCGCAUAGGCAUUACCGUGCUCCGUCUACAACGCUCGAUGCAACACCUCCGCAAAGGUCGUGAGCUCGAGAAUAUGCACCACCUUGUAAAUUUUCGGCCGAAAUCUAUGUUCAAACCAAUCGGCCCUAUCCUUAUCAUCCCGAACUAUAUCAGAGACACCGUCGAUGAUGUGAGAAAACUCCCGCUCAUAUUCUCCCACCGAGCGGUUUCUUUGUCUUAACUUCUGAAAUUGAUUAUAAAGAUUCUUCUUUUCACUAUCAGGGAAAUAAUUUGUAAACAUUAAUCCCCGGAACUCCUCCCAAAUCAUAGGCGGAAGGUUGGAAGGUCGAUCCUGCUUCACCUUCUUCCACCACACGUUCACCGUCUUCUCCAAACAGUGCGUGGCGAGAUGCAUCUUAACUUUCUCCAAGGUGUAAAGAUUCUCGAAGAGUGUUUCUAUCGAGUCGAUCCAUGACUCCACCAUCCGCGGUUCCACUUUUUUCCCGUCAAACACUGGCAAGUUAAACUUCUUAAACAUCACGAGGGCCGCGAGUGCACGCUCCCUCUCCGCCUCCAUUGCAGCACCCUGGAGAUUUUAGGUACUCGAGCCGGUUGCCACCACCGAUGGUGCAGGUCGCACCACUAUAACACACUGGACUUUUGCAAUUGCGAGGUUCGAGUGUUUGAUUUGGAUUUUGAGCCUUUCCACGUUUUCUGGAGGGUCGUUGACAAUGUUCCGACCCACAGCUCGCAUUCCAAGAUUUUCGGUUUUGUCCUGGGAGUUUUAGCUCUCGGGGACCGAUCCCUGGAAGGGAGAGACCGGUCCCUCGUAGCUGGUCGCGGCUGGCAGCUGAUGCAAUCGGUCCCUGGCCACGAAGACCGGUUUCUGUAAGCAUGUUUGCGGGAGGGUCCUGAGGGACCGGUCCCUGGGAGGGAGAGACUGGUCCUUCUGCCCGAAAACUGCUCAGACCAGGCUGUGCUUUGGUUUUUGAGUUGAAGGGUGUUUUUGCAUUGUUGCAACACCUAUAUAACUCACCCUAGCCCCUUGGAGAGCUCUCUUGAGCUCAAACCAGUGGAGAAUAAGGUGAGUUCUUCUCCCUUUGAUUUCUUCUUCAUUUUUGAUGAUUUUUGUUGGUUAUGAUCUCUCCUUUCUUCUCCUCCUUGCAUUUUGUUGGGUUUCCUUCAUUGUUGAAGACUUGGAGCUUGGAGAGGAGCUUGUUUGAGAGGAGAUCUUCAACCCUACUUGGUUUGGAAUUUGAUUUGAAGCAUCUUGAGAGGUGAGUAGCACUUUUCUACUCCUUAACCUUUUUUUUGCAUGAGUUUUUGAGAUGAAACCCUAGAUUUGGAACUUAUGGUUUAUUUUGAGAAUUUUUUUGAUUAGAGGCUUUUGAAACCUAAUUGAUGGGUUUAGAAACCUUGUUUAGGUUGGAUUUGAAGGCCUUUAACUCUCUUUUGGAGAUCGAGAGAGCUUUCUUCGCAUCCGGUGAAUUUUCUUCACCAUAAUUUGGGUUGUUUAAUGUUUGAACAUAUGAUUGUUCGCAACGUUCGUGUAUCCCUCCUUUUGUUACCUUUAGGGUAUUAGAAAAGUGGUGGACACCUUCGUCGGAGCAAACGAAGGGUUUCGAAUAGUUUCGGUGGGUUUGACUUCAUGAAACCGGGGCAAAAUACCCCCUAUGGGUGUUAUACUCGUCGUAACGUUAAAAUUCAUACAUAUUCAUGUUAGAUAGAAUUUUUAUGAAUUUUAGAAUACUUAAAAUGCAUGCUUUAAGUAUUAUAAAAAUUUUACUCUAUAUAGUAGAGUAUUCUCGGGGUUUUGCAUGCAUGUGAGAAGUAUUCAUGUUAGCAAUUGGGGAACUUGUCUUCUAUAUUCAAAAUGACUUAAAUUAUGUAUUCAUAAACACCAAAAUCAUGCUUAGACUUGUUGAACAAAAAUGCCAUAAAGGGGCACUUUACCUAGUAAAUUAUGAAACUGCAACAUAGAGAUAUAGUGAUAGGCCAUUGGACAUCGACUAUAUUCCGUGUUUUGGACAUGAUGACAUAGUGAUAAGCCAUCAACAUAGUUGCUAUAUUCAAUGUUUUAGACAUGAUGAUUUGAGACUUGAGACAGACAUAUAUGCUUACUUGCCUUUGUGCUCAUUUGCACAUACUUGUGAGGGUUGCUCUCUACAAGCCGGCACUCUGAAGAUAGCCGUCGCGAUACAUACUCGCCGUACGGGAUUGGGCGCCGAAGUGGAUUGCCGUGGGCAAGGCUCAUUCCUAGAGUGGGGAUGUUUACUACCAUGGGGCCAUUAGGCACGGCACCGGCAAGACAGCCUACAGGUGGGUCUUCAGGCUAGACAGCCUUCAGGUGGGUCUUCCCAGAUUGAAACUUUAAAUAGUUAACAUGCCAAGUGGACAUUGACUAGAAUAGUAAACAUUGACAUUUUACUAUUUCGUUGUAGACAUCAUGGUAUAUUGUAUAUUACGGCCUAUUCAUAUAUAGAAUAGCUUUCUUACUUAUGCAAUUUCAUGCUAAGUAUAGAUAUCAUGUUGUAGUAAGUUUAUAUGUUUAUUCAAAUGUCGUUUAUAUUGCUUUUACUUAUCUACCUACCCCUUUUUGCUUUGGACCUAAUGGCGCAUUUCACUGAAGUCAGUAAUUGCCCACUUUCACUGAAGUCAGUAAUUGCCCACUGGGAACAAUUAUUUAAUAGUUCUCAUGCCCCCUGUUUUGUAGUUUUCUUUCAGAGCCCUCUACACUGGUGGAGGCACGGGAUCGCGGCAAGGGGAUCGCUUAGUUAGCUAGCGAGGAGCGUUUCUUUUGCUUACUAGGUGGUUCUCUCUUUAUUUUGUAUCUUGUAGAGAGAGAUACCAUGUAUAGAGACCACCUUUGUACCACUUAUAGCACUUGUACUCGAAUUUUUGUUGUUCUACUUUAUGUUUUAUCUUAGUGGAUAUUUACUUUUGUUGUACCCUUCUGUUGUAGAAUUUAGCAGUACUUUGCUCUGAUAUCGCUAGAUCUCUUUGUAUUAUUAUUUUUAUUUAUUGUUUUAUCGUAGACGCCUUAUAUGUAUUAGACAUAUGGCGGGUCUGGACACGUGCCGGGCGGGCUUCCGCUGGGCCCCGGGGCGUGACAUCCACGACUGGUAUAGCCGCCACGGCCACACCUUCGGUUGCACUCAGUAUCACGACAGGGGUCGCAGGUCGCUUGACGCCCGUUUGAGCCAUCGCCGCCUGCUACUGCGCGCUUUCUGGAGUCGUUUAAUUUGCUCCUCCUCGCGUUGCACAGACUCCACUUAUUGUCGAACUAUUCCCACAAGUGCAAAUAAUUGCUCUUGGAGCUCCCUAUCACCGCUCGCUCCGGAUUGGUCGGGGGCCGAACUCGGCUCCUCCAUCCCCGACUUUGUUCGAGGUCUACCACGUGGAAUCGCUUUCUGAAACGUAACAACCACAUUAAUUAUCUGACCUACAACGCUAACAUGUUGUUACGACACAGCCAACAAAACCAAAUCAAGCAAAGCAUUCAAGUGAAUCCAUUCUCAGCUCUAGGCAUUAUGUUGUCAAUCGCCAUCUUAACCCCUGGAGUUGAGAACAAAUAUCAACUUGGAUCAGUCCCUAAUUACCGUUAGAGACAUACUAACAACCAACCCAAUCCGCAUAGCUUUUGCUAUAACUUAUUCCAUGUCGCUCAUGUCCUUACAUCCUUAAGGUUUUCAUCCUAAGGUUUUCUAGGUCCAUCCUAAACUUUCACUUUUUCUAGGCUCUGAUACUAUCUUAUCUGUCACGCCCCGCGACCGCCAAUUUGGUCGGUUCGGGUACGUCCACAGACGUCGAAUGGACAGCACCUCCCCUAUCCGCCCAAGGCUCUACACAAAUAUCAAUACGUAUAACAAUUUACGCAAGCGAAAAUUCAGAUAGACAUGACUUGCACGAGAGAAAGCAACAACCAACAAGUGAAAGUACUACUACUAUUAUCACAUCCACAUAUGUAUCUUGAUUACAUUUAACCAAAUACAAGUAUACUAUAAUUUACAUCUAUUUUUUCAAAAAUAUGUGCCAUUUACAUCAUUUAUACAUUUUUCAUCCCAUUACACUUUACAUCAUAACCCAAAAGAUUAAACAAGGGUACCAUUAAUGCACGGGUGUCUACUACCUAGGGCGCUAUGCCCUUGCCGCGAUCCUCAACCGGCUCGCUCGGUCCGGAUCUGAAAAAUGAUGGGGUGAGAACUAUAAGAAGUUUUCAGUGGGUUCGUCCGCCGAGCCCGCCGACUUUUCCAUUAGGUCUAACUAGACAUAAGUAAAGAGAACAUAUAGAUAGAUAGCCAUUUUUAAUCAAAUGCAGUUACUAUGCCCGAACAAGAAUAAUAAACCCAUAUAUAUAUAAUGCUCAUGAUGCAUACCAAUUGCCAUUAUCGAUAUCCAAUCCUCUUGGCAAACCCAUAGGUUUAGCCCCAAAACUCACCAACCAAAUUUCUACAAUCAGGGAGAUACUCGCUAUGACCCGACGGGACCGUCUUCUAGGGAGAUACUCACUAUGACCCAGUGAUGACCACGUCGGAGCUCAUCGCUCGAAGGGAGCGACCGCCCUUAAACAUAAAACUAUAGGUGAGUAUGAUCCAAUCCACAAUCAUGAGGAUACCAUAUCCACUAAUGCCACAACACACAAGGUGUUUCAUUUACUAGCAUUCAAUGCCAUAAGGUGCUAUUUCAAUCAUUUGUCACAAUGUAACUAUGUUUUCUAGCUUGGCUAGGUUUAUGUCUCAAUUCAUAUAUCUAUAGGAUUCACAAGUGUCCAAUGUUCCAUUACCAACUCAUAUGCAUCUUUAUACUAAAAGUAUGCAAGAAGUACUAAUAUAUUACCAUUCAACCCUAUAAUGCAUGAAUUCUACAUAUACACAUAUAUGCUCAAAUGGUGACUUACACAUAAAGAGAAAUCCAACUAUUUCCGAUAGCACCACCCACCUCGUAAGGAUGCUAGGGUGCUAAAAUUCGAGUUUUCCAAUUUAUGAUUGCCGCUUUCCCCCGACCCACGACAAACGAAACCGAAACAAAAUUUUUCCUCAAUAUCUUGACGUAGACUUAUCGGAAUUCCAAUCCGAGUCUCCCAACGCGUCGGUUUAUACUCCAAUUAGGGCUACGAGAGAUCAAACCCAAGUUAGAUCUCAAACUUAACAAAAUUUCAUUUUUGACCCUAGGGUUUGUUAGAUGUAUGCUCUAUAAGCCAACCAGGCCGACACAUGUAUUCUUUCUAGGACAUAAUUUUGUAUUUGAUUUUAAAAUAUUAUGAAUAACUUUGGGUUUUUAUUUCCAUUCAUGUUGUGUAUGUGUCCAUGAAUCGUCCAAGGAAUUAAUAAGAUGAUGACAUAUAUUUUCAAGUGUUGAGAAUUUGAGACAUGUGUCAUUGGUGAUUAAUUCCNUUCAAGAGAACCCGAUUCCACGAUCAUCAAAUCGAGGCAAGGAUUUAUCCGCGAAAAAGGUAAUGAUUCGAUCUUACUUUUCUCCUUUAAUCUUAAAGAACAUGAGGGAUCCUAAUUGCGUGGUUUUUGAGAUUAGAUCUCGAGAGUUUUUCAAAAUCAAAUUUGUUUGAUUUUUUUUUUCCGCUGCGUUUUACCGUACGCAAUUUUCUAACAGGGUUUCCAUAAUCCACGAGUACCCAAUUUUCUGAAGAUUUUUAGUUUAACCUAACAUAUCAUCUUCUAGAAACCACAACUAGAAGAGAUUUAGCCAAACCCUAACUCAUAUUCACAUGUACUCACCUCAAGUUCAAGCUUCCUCCUCAACUCCUUGCACAAGAGCCAAGCCUCACUCCCAAUAAGUCUUCUUCUCCUCUAAACUCCACCCUUUGAGCAAACCCUAGAGAGAGGAAGAGAGAAAGAGAGAAAAGAGUGUGAGCUCCUGGAGAGAGAGUUUCCACUCUUGUGUUCUCAUAUGAGGGGAAUGGGACCUAAGGCAUAAGACCCAUAUACCUAAAGUAUAUAAGGCGUCUAUUAAAACCAUACUACAAAAAUAACAAUCAACAGAAGUAUCUAACAUGGUAUCAGAGCAUAAAAUGUACAAAAUGUAUUAGAAGUACUAAAAGUAAGAGUAUAAAACUGUAAAGUACAACUCUCCAACAACACAUAUACAUCACACGGACACCAAAAUAGCUAAAUAUAUACAUGUGGUAGUCUCUGUACACGGGUAGAACAUCACACUCGUCCACACAACCAAAACAGCGAGAUGAUCACCUAGUGGGACUCCAAACUAUGCCUAGCUAGAUGCGAUUCCCUUGCCGCGUGUAAGGAAGUGAAUUCUCGAAAUGCGAGAGUUGAACUUCGUUUAGAAUCGAUUGAUUGUCGGUUGGGUAUGCUUCGGAAAGACCGAAGAAGUCGGAAAUGCGAAAAGUACAUUGUAGAGGGUCUAGGAGAGCAAGUUGGAGCCAUUUUGCAUAAUUGCAGAAUUUGCUCUCGGGUACCGGUUCCUGGUGGGAGGGACUGGUUCCCGUAAGCUUAGUGUGUGAUAGAAAAUUGCUGCGCACAACUUUUGCUCUCAGGGUCCGGUCCCUCAGGGGGAGGGGACCGGUCCUCGUACUUGUAGAAUCGGCAGAAAAGCUCUGCCCGUAGAAGUUGCUCUCGGGGACCGGUCCCUCUAGGGACAGACCAGUCCCAGUAGCCGAAAAAUGCCCUGAAAGGGCAUUGCAUAACUUGCAAAGUUGAAGGGGUUUCUAACAUUUGGGUAUGUGUGGGGUUAAGUGGAGGGUGACCUUUCUCUUCUCUCUCACUUUCUUCACACCUAGUCCUAAACCUAACUCCCUCUCAUUCUAAACUCUCUUUCUCUCUCUCUAGAAGGUAAAGAAUGAGGAAAAGUUGGUGGAGAUCAAGAUCAAGAUAAGGGUUUUCUUCUUCUUCUUCUUCUUCUUCUUCCUCCUUGGCUAGGAGCAAGAUUAGAGAGGUAAGCUUCUAAGCUCAACCACGGUAGUUCUCUAGGGUUAGCCUUAUCUGUUCUAGAAAUGGGUUAGAUGGUACUCUAACAUGCCUAAUAGAUGAUUAAUGCAAGAAUCCAGCGUUUUGUUGGAGUAUUUUGUAAUAGUUCCAAACCUAGGGCUUCAAAAUAGGGUUUUGCCUUGUGGUAGGGUUUGAUCUAAUUGGAGCAUGUGUAAACCUAAUUGCUAGGUGUUUAAACGCGUUGGCGAAGAUGGUUCGGCGAUCCGUCGAGCCUGUGCAGAGUUCUUGGUUAAGAAGACCGUCCGAGCUUCGUUUCCACUUGAAAGGCCGAGACGACGUCGUAAAGUUCGCUGAAUCACAUUCCUAGAGUUGUGACAUCACCAAGAGGUGGGGGGUGUCAUCCCGAAGCAACCGGAUUCCUCUUUAUGUCUUAGUGCAUUUUGAUCUUACAUCUCUUACAUAUAUGCAUUGUAGGAUUGUGUUGCAUUUCCAUUUCCUUAUGCUUUUCUAGUUGAUAUCAUAGUAUGAGUGGAACACAUGAUAUAGUGGAUAGAUAAGGAUUGGGUCUUGAUGUUGAAAUCUUAUAGUGCCAAGACGAGAGAUGAACUUGAUGGUUGUGUAAUGACAUAACGAGUGGCAUAUAAUAGUGUAAAUAACAUGAUGAGUGGUAUGAAAACUUAGUGUAGAAAACACUUGUGAACCGAGGGAUAGGUGGAUUUCCUAGUUGUGAGAUAUUGCAUGAGACACUAUGAUGUUGAACAUAGGGGAUAGUUGGAUUCCCGUGUGGAUGUUAAUCCUAAUUGACAGAGUAUUCUCAGUUGACGAGGAUUGGAUCAUACUCACAUAGCCUGUUUUAUGCUUAUGGUGGUCCACAUAAGCCGUGCACUCCGGAGUUAGUCACACGAGGGGGCAGUAGUUAGCUGUCCGGGCAGUAGUUAGCUGUCCUCAGGCGGUCUCGGGUGAGUGAAGGGUUAGGGACUCCUCACUUAUGAGAUUUGAGAUGUAAGUUGAGGGCGAACCUUCGGGCUAGUCAAAAGAUUGAAUAAAAAAGAGAAUGGCAUCACUUUUGGACAUAGUAGCAUGUUAGUGGAUUACUUACUAUGUAGUGCAUGCAUCCAUUAUACUUGAUUGGGCAUGGUAGCGUAGUUUCUUACUAUGUCUUUACCGAUUUCAUAUCUAUCUAUCUAUCUAUCUAUCUAUCUGCUUAUGCCCACUUGGAUCUAGUGGGGAGACCGGCGGAGUAGGCGGCCGAACCUACUGAAAAUUAUGGACGAUAGUUCCUACCCCACUGUGUUGUAGGGCCGAGUACGAGCGCUCUGGGCGAGAAUUGCGGUAAGGGCGUAACGCCCUAGUAGUAGAGCUUUCCUAUUGCAUUAGUAGCAUCCUAUGUAUAUGAGAGUAGAUGUUGUAUAGGUUGUGAGAGGCUUUUGGAGAGUUGUGGAUGUACUUGUAUUUAUGUUUUGGAAGAUAUAAAUGUAAUCGUAUAAAUGAAGUGAAUGUGAUGUAAUAGUUUAGAAUUCUCUCUUUUUGCACUUGUAUGUAUACUUGUGUCACUUGCUCUUAUUGUAUAGCACUUGUGGUGCUUCUCUUGUUGUUGCAUGGAUCAUGUAUGUGCUUGAAUUGUUCUUGGGCAAAUUCUUGUACGUGAUCUCCUUGUUGAGCCUUGGGCGGACAGGGGAGGUGCUGUCCGUUCGGCCUUCGUUCGAUGUGCCUGUACCGGACCAAAUUGGUAGCGGUCUCGGGACGUGACACCUUGAUCCCUAACCUCUCCCGCAGUGGAUGGCUCUGUAAAUAAAACAACAACAACAACAAAUAGGGCGUGAGAACUAUUAGACAAUAGUUCCCAUUGGGUAAGCCGCAAACCUCAGCAAAUUACACCACUAGUUUCAUGAUGAAUAGAAAGAAAGCAUGUACAGCUACAACAUGAUAGGAAUAACAAUGAUAAUAAGCAACUAAUGAGUAGUAGAACUAUUAUAUUUCUAAUGCAACAACUAUAAUGCAACAGGUAAAAUAACUACUCUACACAAGUAAGCAUGCUAUAUCAUCUCAUAAAUGCACACUAUCUAGUAGUAACCGUUAUAUCAAUACAAUUUAGCAUCUUUGUUCAAUUCAUAAGUAUCUACACAAGAUAGUCGCGCUUGCGCCGCGCCUAAUGGCCCCGUGGUAAUAUACACUCCCCAUGGCAAUUCACUUCGACACUCAAUCCCGCACGGGCGAGCACAAUGUCGCUUAGACUAACUCCGGAGUGCCGGCUUGUGGGGAACGACCUUCAUAAGCAUGUGCGAAUGAGCACAAUGGCAAGCAAGUAUGAUUCACAGUACAAGACUCUCAAUCGUCAUGUCUCAAACAUAAUAUGUCCCCUACCGACCUAUAGGUCGGGAUCUAAGUACAAUAUCAGGUGCUAGUUAUCAACUAGAUCAUAGCUAGUAACAUGAAAUUCAUGCUAGUUUAUCAAUUAAAUGCCAAGUUUAACUUGUCUACUCAAGUAUUCUAACCAUUCUAUAGUACAUGUUUCAUAUGUUCAAUGCAUAUACAACAACCAUUAGGUUAUAAAAACAACAUGCCAUUCUUGCUAGUCUAAGUAUAGCAUAUUCACUUACGACUUGUCUACACAAGUAUACUAGUUAUUAUGCAAGAAGUUUAACAUCUUUACCUCUCUACUAUAUAGAGUAUAACUUUGGCAUAUGAGGUAAAUGUCUUUAUCACAGCCAACAACUUAUUUAUACCGUCGCUAAUAACCAUAUACACAAUCUAAACAUGUAUAUAAUUUUAUAUGUCAAGAAUAAGAAUAUAGGGGGAAUUCAUCUAUUUCGGUGAGGUCAAACCCACCAAAUACACGUCGACUCUUGUCGAUCUCGCGAGCGAAGGUAUUCUUUAGCCUCCAAGCACCCUAACAAUCAUACUAAUUAAGUUAGAAGCUUUAACCAAGCAUCACAUAAGAACUUCACAUAAUUCCUCCACUUAGGUAGAAUCUUAUCUAAUAUAGAAUUCAAACUUAAUCUCCACGUCAAUUCAGGCUGGAGCAUAUCAAAACCAACCUACAAGAGUCACUAAAACUCAGCCAAAGUGGUUCAAACAAACCUGCUGUGAGGUAACACAAAGAACUUCACCAAAACAUCUACUACAACAUCAAAACUAGUGAAAAUAGUGGCUAGCUCACCUUCCAAAGCUCCAACUCAAUUCCUACAUAGUUAGGAUCGAAGAACCAUAGCCAAAAUACUUCUUCUACAGCUGCUACAAGCCUCUCCAAACCAGCUAGCAGCAAAGAAGUAAAGAACAAGUUCAAAUCCACUACUACAUCUACUAAUACCUCAAAACUAGUGAUUAGUUGAGUUACUCACCUUGCGAGACUUCAACUCAGUUACUUGCUGAGUUAGAACAGAGAAAUACCACCAAAACUCCUCUUUCCACCUUUCUAUAGCAGCUCCAAACCCUCCAAACCAGCUAACAACAAAAGGAGAAGAAAACAAACUCAAAUCACUAGUUUUCCACUUUAAAAUGAAAAAAUCCUAGAGAGAGAGAGAGGAAAGCUCUUACCCUGCUUCUCCAGCUCAAACAUGGUCUAAGCAGCUGUGGAAAUCGAGCUGGGGGGUUAAAUGGAUAACCAUUAGGGUGAAAUUACCAAAAACUCCUUAUCUACGCAGCUGCUGCAUUGGGUACCGGUACUCAAGCUAUGAGGUACCGGUACUCAAUACAAAAAUCAGCAUUUCGCAUUUUCAAUGCUAUUUCACUUCUCUGGCCACUUAAUCAUUCAGGUGACAUGUCGAAAACCUCUCGACAAUCCCUCACAAGAUUUAGAAUAGUUUCAAUUACUAUUCUAACACUAGAACUUCGCAAUUUGUUAAAGUUCAGUGUACUACACUCACCCGUCCUAAAAAAGAGUUUCUUUCGCGAAACGAAGAAAACAAAUACUGUAAGUUUCCAACUGAAAGAGAUGGGGAUAGUGCUCUUGCAUUGCAUUUUUCAGCUCCCAAGUGGCUUCGCGUUUGUCGUGAUUGCUCCAAAGCACUUUCACAUAGGGUAUGUCGCGAUUUCGCAACUUUUUCACCUCACGAGCUAAAAUUUUCACUGGUUACUCUUCAAAACUCAAUUCUUCUUAUAAUUCCACUGGGGUAAUAACCAAAAUGUGGCUCGGAUCAAAAAUAUAUUUCUGAAGUGCGGACACAUGGAAUACAUUAUGCACCCCUAAUAGGUUCGGCGGCAAAGGAAGCCGAUACGCUAGCGGGCAUAUCUACUCCAAUACUUCAUAGGGUCCAAUAAAUUGAGAACUUAAUUUUUCUUGAAUACCAAAUCUUUUAACUCCCUUUGUUGGCGAGACUUUUAAAAAUAUAUGGUCUCCAACUUGAAAUUCCAACUGUCGUCGGCGCUUAUCAGUAUAACUCUUUUGUCGACUUUGUGCUGUCACCAGACGUUCUCGUGCAAGUUGAACUUUAGAUUCAGCUUCCUGCAACACAUCCGGACCCAAAACUAGUCUCUCACCUACUUCACUCCAAUGAAGUGGUGAUCUACACUUUCUAUCAUAAAGAGCUUCAAACGGUGCCAUUUUAAUACUUGCUUAAUAAUUGUUGUUAUAAGUAAAUUCUGCCAUAGGUAAAUACUGUGGCCAUUCACCCUGAAAAUCAAUAACACAUGCUGGUAGCAUAUUCUCAACAGUCUCGAUAGUACGUUCGGACUGCACAUCACUCUGGGGGUUUAAAGCAGUACUAAAAUCUAAUCAAGUGCCUAAACCAUCGUGUAAGCUCCUCUAAAAAUGUGAUAUGAAUUGGGGAUCCCGAUCUGAUACAAUAAAAGCAGGUACUCCAUGUAGUCGCACAAUUUUAUUAAGGUAUACUUGUGCGAGCCUCUCUUCUGACCAAACAGUAUGAAUUGGAAUGAAGUGGGCAGAUUUUGUCAAUCUAUCCAUAAUUACCCAAAUCGCGUCGUGACCAGCCUGUGGCGAGGCAAAUCCACAAUAAAAUCUAUAGUAAUCCUUUCCCACUUCCAUAUUGGUAUAGGCAAAAUUUGAAGCUUUCUUGCUGGAAGUCGAUGUUCAGCUUUUACCUGCUGGCAUGUCAAACAUCGUGCUACAAACUCUGCAACCUCCUUUUUCAUCCCAGGCACCAAUAAGUCAAUUUCAAAUUCUUAUACAUCUUUAUACUUUCAGGAUGUAAAGCAUAUGGUGCCCGAUGAGCUUAUGUUAGGAUUUCCUCUCUAAUACUUGAUUCUGCCGGUACACAAAGUCUGUUGCGAAAUUUGAACAAUCCCUGAUCAUCCACUUGAAAGUCACCAACAUAAUCGGCGGUGAUUUUCAAUCAAAUGCUUUGCAAUGAUUCAUUCUGAGCUUGUUUUUCUUUAAUUUUAUCCAUCAAGAUAGGAUGCACUAUUAAUGACAUUAGCCGCCAGGGCGUGUCAGGAGUUAUAAUUUCUAAAUCCAACUGUCUCAUUUCCUUUACUAAUGGUGGUUGCGAGGUUAUAAGCAUCGCCAAAUUUUCAGUCGACUUACGAUUUAAAGUAUCUGCUACAACAUUUGUUUUUUUCGCGUGAUAAAGGAUUGUCAAAUCAUAAUUCUUGAGCAACUCCAACUAUCUGCGUUGUCUCAAGUUUAAUUUCUUCUGAGUAAACAGAUACUUUAAACUCUUAUGAUCAGUAUAUACCUCGCACGUACCAUUUGCCGUUCGCACCGUUCGCCGUAUAUUCCCGCUCGUAUUCCCUCACCGAGUGGUCUUCUUGCUACAGCUUCCUGAACCUAUCUUGAAACUUUCUUUUUUUACUGUUGGAAAGAUGAGCAGAAAAUAUCAAUCACUGAAACUCUUCCCAAGUCAAAGGAGAAAGACUACGCGAUCGGUUUCGCCUAACGCCUUUCCACCACACCUUUACCGACUAUUUCAAAUAAUGCACGGCUAGGUGCACCUUGUCCCGCUUCAAAGUGUACAGAUCCUCAAAGAGAGUUUUCAUGGAGUCGAUCCACAUCUCCACGAUCCACGGAUCUACAUUCUCUCCAUUAAAGGUAGCCGGAUCAAAUUCCUUGAAGGUCAUGAGGGCCGCCAAAGCUCGCUCCCUCUCCGCCUCCACCUCUGUACUAUCAGGAGUCGGAUUGCCCAACCCCGACGGAAAAGUCUCCGCUGCAACUCCCGGUCGUACACGACGGGCCGCAACUGGUAUAGUUACCAGCUGAUCCACCGUAUUUUGGAGUCUCUUGAUCCACUCCUCCUUGCGCAUGGCAGCUUCCUGCUCAUGCUGCACCACAUCAUCUUGUUGCCUAACUAUUCUCACGAGUGUGGCCAACUGAUCGUGAAGUUCGAAGUCUCCGCUCGCCUCGGAUUGCUCAGGCACAUCACUUAUCCCAUCCUGCGCCGAUCUGGUUGAAGAUCGUCUACGCGGUGUAAUCGUUUCCUGAAACAUGACAACUCGGUCAAUUCUCGACCCUCUAGAUCAAGUACACAACGAUUAACAUAAAUCCAAACUCAAAUAAGGUGAAAGUCAUACAAGAAAGCCUAUUGUCAUCACUCGGUUUCAUGUUGUGCGCGUUCAACAUGAACAUACUUGGUUGAGAAUAAACCACACCUUAAAUCUACCUCUAAUAUCCUUUUUAGAGGUGUACUAAACUUGAUCCAAUCGAUUCAUUUUUCGCUACAAAUCAUAAGUUCUCGUCUCUCGCGAGCCUAAGUUCCAUAUGGUUUACUAUCGUAAGGUCUUCUAGAUCCAUUUAAACCAUUUUUAUACUCUGAUACCAUCUUAUCUGUCACGCCCCGAGACCCGUCUCUUUAGUCGGAUUUAAGCGCGCCGACAGACCGCUGAACGGUCAGAGUUUUCCCUGUACGUCCAAGGCGUCGCAACAGUACAAGUCAAGAGAUUCCAAACAGGAACAAAUUUCCCAUAUUGAAUGAAUAAGAAAGGUACCGAAAAUAUAAAGUACUAAGCUAUUACAAGCAUUCAGCUCAUUUACGUCCAAUUUACAUUUUACAUUUCUUUUUACUUCCAAAUACAACCAAUUAUUACAAAUUAUUACAAUUUGAUUUUUUCUUUUCAUUUGCACUCCCCUAUGCUAGACUAACUCGGGGUACUGCUAUCUCUGGUCACAGUGGUAGGGCGCUAUUUACGGAGCUACUCCCUUUUCUCGCGCCGCCGCGUCGCUCGCGUGUGGAUCUGAAAAACAUGGGGUGAGAACUAUAUAAAUAGUUUCCAAUGGGUACGGCCACCCAAGGGAAGAGUUUGACCCACCAGGUCCAAAGGAGGCAACAGAGCAAGUUAGUCCGACAUAUAUGUAUAAUCAUAUAAUUUCAUGCAACUAACCACUAUCAUAUUUUUGCCUCACAAAUGCAACAAUGCAAACCAUGCAACCAUGCAAGUAGAUCAACUGAUUAUACUCUCUAUCAUUUGCCAUUCUCUCCUAAAAUUACUUUUAUCUUAGCCAACUAUGCCACCCGACUCAGUCUUGAGUAAAUCAUCCGCGGAAUACCACGCAUAGCCAGGCUCGAGGUGAAGGACGUCUCACAUGCACAUCAGUCUUAAAUCCACUCGACUAUAGGUCAUUCAUCGGGUAAGGAAAUACCGUCGAACCCUUGACCAUAAGUCGCACACCGGGUGAGGAAAACCACACAUACCUGUGUCCACAAAUGUCAUACCGGGCGAGGAGAACCGCACAUACCCGUUGAAUCACUGCCGGGCGAGGAGAACCACACAUACCCGUAGUUAUGAUUCACUUGCGCUCAUCCGCAAGUAUCAUCUGCUGCCGAGCGAGGAGAACCACAUGUACUCGCAGCUACCAAUCCUAGGGAUUGCGGAAUCCACUUUUCAACUCUCAAGGGUUAAUCAUAUUGCCUACAAUGUCGACCUCUCUAAGUUCGACUCAUGCAUAUCCUAGUGGCCACUUUACCACUAUAAUCCACAAUUUAGGUUUAACCACAUUAGGUUCCAUACCACUACAUCUCAUAACCUAGAUUCAACCACACUACGUUGUCAUUCCCAUCUAGAUUUACUUUAUUCUAGGUUCAAUGUUCAAACUAUGUUCAAUGACACUAGGUUCAAUGCCACUUAUGCUAUUUGUUAUCCUAGUUGUCCACACCUAGGAUUCAUAGUUUACAUGCCAUAAACUCCAAAACCCCCAAUUUCAAACCCUAGUUUUUCUCAUUUCUCCGAAUACCCUAAAACUAUGGAGAAACAUGCUUAGAAUAGUUUAGGAAUCUCUAGAAUACCAUUCAUAAAGGAUUUAACAAAAAUCCCAAACUUUUAACCAAAUGCGAAUCUCGAGUCGGAAGCACGGAGAGUCACCAAGCGCUCGAGGGCUUGAACCACCGCUCCCAACGCGUUCCCGAGUUCGCCCUUCGCCAAAACCCAAGUUUGGGAGAGAUCAAGAGAGGAAAGAGGAGAGCUUGUGAGAAGAAUUUUUCCUGUUCUUCUCCUGUGUGUGAAGGAGGAAAUGAGAGAGGAGGGUUGGGAGGCUCACUUUAUAAAAGAGGAGAAGCUACAAUUGCCAAAAACCCCUUGAACUGGGCAAUUUUCGUGCGCAGGGUCCGAAUCUUGAUUGUAGGGUACGGACCUCGUAGGCUAUUUUUUGGUGGUGCAGUCUCAGAGUCCGGAUCGUGGGUGCAGGUUCCGGACCUCGAAAGUUUUAAACUUAAAAAUGCUAUUUUAAAAAAUUCUCAUUUUUGGUUCUUGAGUCUCUUGUUCACUUCUAAUAAUCCCAAAACCCUCAAAUCUCAUUUUUGAGUAUUUUCUUUAAAUUAUUUCUCUAUUAUGUUUUGCGGAUUUGGUUAAAGUCGAAAUUGCAGAAGUUCAGUAUGUUAUAUAUUCGCUUCACUAUCCCCACAUUGUUGACUCGAGACUCGUCUACCCAAAAGGGAAGCGACCUAUGUACCAAUAUCACUAGAUCAAUCACCGUCCCCGUGAUGAUCCAUCGAUCGAGAGCAUUUAGGAAUUAACAACCAAUGACAAAUGUCUCAAAUUCUCAACUCUUGAAAAUAUAUGUCAUCAUCUUAUUAAUUUUUUGGACGAUUCAUGAACACAUACAAAACAUGAAUGAAAAUAAAAAUCCAAAUUUAUUCAUAAUGUUUUAAAGUCAAAUACAAAUUUAUAUCCUAGAAAGAAUACAUGUGUCGGCCUAGUUGGCUUCUAGAGCAUACUUCUAACAAAAGACAUUGAGGGAAAAGUUAUUGCAAGCCCAGAAUCGCAUGAAACAAAUGCCGAUAAGUGCAGAAUCGAUAAGGGGUGUUAGUUGGGAGAGUCUGUAUACCUGAAACUGCAACCUUACCAACAAACUAGUGUCGCGGUGCGGCACAAUCUUAAGCUUACGACGCGCUACUUUGAGCCAUUCAAAAUCAUGGAGAUGAUCAGCAAAGUAGCCUACCUGUUCAACUACCAGAAGGGUCACGGAUCCAUCCAGUGUUCCACUUAUCACAAUUAAAAAGUAGUCCGCCAAUCGGAUCCCUGACCACACCGACUGUGCCCCUGGUAGGAGAUGAGGCCAACUACUCGCAUGACUAGAGAAGAUACUGGACAGACGCAUGGUAACAAAGGGAAACCAAACCACAAGCCACAAGCCAAGUCCUGGUGAAAUGGGAGAACUUGGGAGAAGAUGCAGCAAGCUGGGAGGGUUAUUGGUUCCUUUAAAAUCACGAUUUUCGAAAUUUGAUCCUUGAAGACAAGGAACUUUUGAAGAUGGGGGAGUUGUCAUGCCUGAGCAUAAAUAAUACCAAAAAUAGUUUUACAAGCAUCAGUAAAAUAGCUCUAGCAACAUAGUAACAGUAGUAUACAUGGGAAAUAAUGGAGUAACUCCCUGCGUGAGGCAACUUCCUAGAAAACAUAUAGGCUGAAAGGAACCCAUCAGACCUUGAGCAGAGCCGGGGCCUGCGUUGGAGAGAGAAAGAGAGGCGACAGGAUCUGGGAGCAAUUACAGUACCCCAAGGAGUGGAGAAGUACUUAUAUCCAAGUUAACGAGUUGAGGUAAGAAUAACGUGUUUACCUGAAACAAAUAACUUUCAGCUGCAUGCUCUCAUUUGUUGCAAUUUCUCAAAAGAUAAAGUAAAAUAAAAUGGAUGGCGAUAAUUAUCUAAAUUAUUUUUUGGCUUGUUAACGAGGGCAUACAUACUAUAGUAUCAUCAAUGACAACACAACAUAUACAACUAGUAAUACAUCACCAGAUAACACCCAUGCCAUCAAAUUGGUGCGAAAAUAAACCAACCAACAUUAAAAAAAAAAAAAAAAAAAAAAAAAAAAACCUGAAGUCCAUAUAGUCUAGGGGAGGGGGGAAAAAACAAACCAACAUGCCAGAACCCUUUUUUCAUGCCUUUUAGAGCACUAAAAGUAAUGAAUGUUGCUCAACCGACAUUUUUUCAACUAAUGCAUUUAGCUCUCUUAAGACCUCAGGGUUGUUCAGGAAAAACUUUCUCCAAGAAUUUAAUAAAACGAGUCGAGUACAAAUGUGGAUCAACAGCAGAUAUCGUUAGGGGAUCAAAUUUGAGCGAUUUGCAGGCAUGCUCGAUCUUCUUAGUCAUGUUGUACUCCUGAAGGAUGUCUAUGAUACCCAGAUAGAGAACGACAUCAUAGACCUCGAAUGGGUCCGUCUCUUCUUCUGAAUCCAAAUGUACUUCAUCAUGAAGAAUUUUCCGAUCAGCUUGAGCUGGCAUGUUCACUCCAAGUUGCACUUGCAGCCUGUCGAUAGAGCAAAACGCACCAAGGAAACAAACGAUGAUAAGAAUCUUAUUGUUGCUUUUGACUGAUGUGGAUUCUGCAUCUGUCUCUGAACUGAUGACUACAUAUAGUGUCUUGUUAGAGUAAUGCACGUUCCAUGAAGAAAACACAACCGUUUCUUUCAAUUGAUAUUUUUCUACAUUCCAAUUGACAUUAAAAGGUCGUUGCUACUUUUUAACACAUGAUCUAAAAGAGGUCCAAAACAAACAAGAACAGAUCAGCAUUAUAGUUUGGUAAUGAAAAGAUGAUAAUCUAUACCUAUACCUAUACAUUAUUUCCCAUAAAGUUUGUCACGUAAUGAAAAGAUGAUAAUCUAUACCUAUACCUAUACAUUAUUUCCCAUAAAGUUUGUCACGUAAUGAAAAGAUGAUAAUCUAUACCUAUACCUAUACAUUAUUUCCCAUAAAGUUUGUCACGUGGUAGUCCCUCUUUCAUCCUUACAUUCUCCUCUCUUCUAACUUUUUGAUGCUUCGUCUUCUCACCCAAUUUCUACACAAUGCUUCGUCUUCCCACCUCACACGGUCCAAUUUCAUUCAUAUAAACAAAUUGCUUUCAUGAGAAAAAAUAAGUAAAAUAAGAUUUCUGCGUACUCUUUUUUCUCAUUUUUUUUGGCGCAUAAGAAAGGUUCAUACUUUAUAAUAUUUUUAAUUUUUUUCUCUUCCUGUUUUCAAAUUGUAUGUGGAGUGAAAUUAGGGUUCUGCCGAUUGCGGCGCGGCAUCGCGGGGGAAAGCAGAGAUAGAUUUGGAGUCAAUGUGGGGAAAGAAGUGGUAGAUCUGGAGAGAUCUGUAAGGGUCAACGUGAUUGUGACGAAAAAGGAGCUCGAUGUCGACAUGGCGGCAAAGGUGAUGUAGAGAUGGAGAUUCGUCUUUCCGAUGUCGACAGUGCGAUCAAGAUGCGUAUGGAGUAAUAAUUUUAUUGCUGCUUCUAUCAUUGCUAUUUUUUAUAAUUUAUUAUUUACUGAAAUUGUAAGUUUUGUUACAUUAUUGCUCCUUCUAUUUAUAUAUAUGUUAAUAUAUAUUAUCUUUAUUUAUUAAUGUUUUAUGGCAAUUCAAAAAAAAUUUAAUUUUUUUACUUUGUGAAUCUUCUGUCUUCUAUAGUAUCAGCCCGCCGCAAUGCGCGGGUAACUUCACUAGUGUAGCUUUAUUUGCAGAGUUCGUGAGAGUCUGGUUAUAGAGCAUGAGUCAUGAUAGGUACAGGGUAGUAUCUAUAGAAUCCCAGGAUGAAAUUGUUGCAGCUUUAUUUUUGUGUCGUAGUUUUGGAUCUAGGGUUGAGUGUUUACUGAUUGAUCGAACCAUAUAAACUUAGUCAGUCAACCAUUGUGACAUGAUAUUCCCUACAUUGGCCCUUAAAAUUUUUUUUAAAAAAAAACACUUGUUAUUUGUUUGAAGUAGUUGUAUCAGACUAGGAACUCCGAAGAGGAUAUCGUAUGUACAUAAGUUCACCCUGCCGUUGUUUACCAAUUUUGGAGAAAAUAACAGAACGGUAUCUGAACAGUUCAUCAUACCAAACUCAAAGCCUUCCCUUUUGAAGGAAAUGAAGGGCAUCUCCCAUGUUUGAAGAGAGAUGUCAAGAAGAUGGCCAGAUCAUAAUUUUUUUUUUAAAAAAUAAAUAGAACAUAUGAAAAGAUUCAUAUGAAGCAAGACGGACUUUUUUCAAAAAUAAUCCUUCACCAAAAUUUUAUUUUGCCAACUAACCCUCUUCUUGCUAAUUUAAUGCCAUAUUGAAAAAAAAGAGAGAGAGAGAGAAAGGCGGUGAAUCAUUUACCGUCUUUAGAAAGCGAUGAAUUAUUCUCUGUUUUCAGAUUGUUAUCGUUGUUUAUAAUUUUUUUUGUAUCUGUUGUUAGGAUUUUUGUGAGGUUUUAGGAUAAUAAGUAGAUUACUAAAAUUUCUAUUUAAUUAUUAGGAUUGUAUGUGUGACAUCCCAAGACUUGAGAAUAGUCCCACAUCGAUUAGUUAUGGCUAGCUGUAAAGGUAUAUACGCCUGAAUAGGCUAAACAAAUUAAUUGGACUAUAGCAUUUUGGGCUAGUGGACUAGGCCCAACAAGUUAUUAGGUCUAGUGUAGUAUCCAGUUAAUCGAGCCGCGGGCUAAGUGAUGGGUGAUCCCUUGGGAAGCAGGUCUUGAUAGUAUGGGUAUAUCGUUAGGAUUUUUCGAGCCGUUAAGAUUGUAUGUGCUUUAUUAAAAUUUUUAUGUAGUUAUUAGGAUUGUAUAUAGAAAAUAGAAGAUGGUAAAUGAUUUACCGUCUUUUAAAUUUUAUUAAAGACGGUGAACGAUUUACCUUUUCCUAAUUGUUCUUUCACCCUAGCCCUGAGUUGGACGAAAUAAAGUUAUUUGGCUAAAUAAAAAUUUAGAUAGGGUACAAAAACUUUGGCAAAUUAUAAAUUUUUUAGGGUUUAUUUGAAAACAAAAUCCUAAGACGGCAAUGGUUCUAGAAGGGAACGAAUGGUAGUGAGAAUAAUGAAAGUAGAGAAAAGUAGUAUGGGAAAGAUAAACUCUUACGGGAGACAGCGUUCAAGCUCCAAGGAAGGAAAGGACUAGCCCAUGUUAGGUUGAGUUAAUUUAUUUGGAUCAAAAUUGUCAGCCUAAUGAGUACUAACAAAUCUGACCUGUACAGUUAACAGAAUAUUGAUAAAUUUUUCUCCUACUUGCGGAGUUUGCGAAAGAAAAAGGGAAGAUCACUAAUGUUGCUUCUGCUUUGGUAGUCAAACAUGCAGCUUUAUAUAUGCACUAUUGGCACAGAGAUCGAAGGGAUGCAACAAUUAAAGAUGAGCUCAAACACCAAAAUGUAAAACAUAGAAGCUGUAGUUACCUUCUGGUGCCAGGUAAAACAAGAUCCACUUCCUCACCACCAGCUUCCGAUGCUCUUAGCAUGCUACCUCUAAUGUGCGAACCCGGCAUGGUACUCAUUGAACCUGGUUCAUGAGCAACCAGGCGAAAACCCUUUGGAGGAAACAUGACCUCAUCUCGUAGUUCACUAGAAUCUGAUAAGGGAAAAGAAGUACAUAUUAAAUACUACUUGUGAAGAAUAUAAAAGUAAAACCAGAGAACUGAGGGCUAGUCGCAAAUAUAUCAGCAUGCAAUAUAGGUUGGUGAUAAUCAGAUGAUUUUCUCUGACUGUUUACUGUCAGAUACUCUCCAUGAAACAAGCUUUCAGGACUAUUGAACUCCUCAAAAUUCGCCAUGAGACUACACAUCGAAGGCAUUCACAUCAAAUUUAAAGAAAUAGAGGCAGGCCAACAUAACUGACUUCGAGGACAAAACGGACAAGCAUGCAAACUUUACUUUUCAACGAUGUUCGAUAAUCCUCACUUAUAUAUUGCAUUCUAUGCCCUAAGUUUCAGGAAACAACAUGUUUUUUUCACAUUUUAAGAAUAUUACAUCUUCCCAGUAAAUAAAAUAAAAAAAAUAAAAAGGAAAGAAAGAAAGAAUUUUACAUGUGAACCACAAAUAGCGGACAAUAUAUUCACUAUCCAUCUUAAGGGCUGAUCAAUAAUCUCCAUGAAUGUUUGGCCCAGACCUAUGUUACACAGACGAAUAAAAGACAACAUGACAGGAAUGAUGGCGACUCAAAGACUUCGACAAAAUUAGGACACAUACGGCAGUGAUACGGCUAAUAAAAUAUAAAGUUUAAUAUAAUAAUAAAUAAGUUAAUAUAAAUACAAUAUUAUAAUAUUAUAUAAGAUAAUAAAUAAAUUCUAAUUCCAAAAGUUAUGGGAGUCUCUCUUAGUGCAGUACUGUGGUAGGGUGUUCAUAUCAUGCAGAAUCCGAUGUUCUUUACGGUAAUUUUCGUAAAGAUGAAGGAUCACUGUAAUUGGGCUUUUUUCCAACGAAACAAAAAAUUGUCACUUUCGAGAUCUGUCAGUACUAUAAAUCAUGAGAAGAAUUAUAGUUUUCGCGUGAUAAGAUGAUGUUUCGGAGAUAAAAAAUCAGGUGAGAGAAAAACAGGUGAAACGGAUUUUUAUUCAAAAAGUGCGACAUUUCAUGUGUCGAAUUGCGUGAUCUUGGAGAUGAAGAAACUUAUGAGCAAAACACACCUAUAGGUGAGUUUUGAUUAAGAAACUGUGAAAGAGGGGCUAAACUGUGAUUUUUACAAAAUGAGGAAAAGGGGCAAUGCGAAAAAGUUACCGUUAUGUGAAAAAUUUUGGAGUUCUGGCAAGCGAGAGUACUCAUAUAAAAGCAGACUCAGAGAGGGACACUAGAUUCAAGUUUCACAAAAUUUGGAGAUUUUUGUGCAAUAGAGCACAGAGUUGAAGAUUGAGAGGUUAAAAUCGAUCAGGGGAUUUUCUUGCAAAAGGUAAGGCAGCUUAUGUGUGAAAUUACAAAAUUUGUAAUUUCACUGUUGGAGGGACUCCAGUGCAAAAUGUGCUGUGUUGUGAACUUACGGAUGAAAGAGCAACAGCUGAGGAUCUAGACUACAAAUGUUACAAAAAUGAAAUGAUAUAUAUCCAUAUAUAUAUAUAUAUAUAUAUAUAUGUAUAUAUAUACAUAUACGUAUGUAUAUAUAUAUGUAUAUGUAUAUAUAUAUAUAUAUAUAGAGUCCGCCUACUAUACUCGUAUGAGUACGAUUGCAAUUGUACUCAUAAGUCACUUUCGAUGAUAAACUUCUGAAUCUACUAUUCAAACCUGUAACGCACUAGACCUUUGCAAAUUGCGAGGUUCGAGUGUUUGAUGAGUGUUCUGAAUUUUUUCAGGCAUUCUGGAGGGUCGUUGACAGUGUUCCGACCUAUGGCUCAUAUUCCGAGAUUUAUGAUAAUUUAAGUAGCGCUAAGGCCACCAAAGAGGGAGGCUUAGGCUGCUCUCGGGUAGCCUUUGCAGGGCUGUGUACUGGUACAGCCUUAAUGGUUGUACCGGUACAGAUGUGGUAAAUUGCCAACCCGAGGCUCGGGUUUGCGCGUAGAGGGUUUUGUACCGGUAUACUUUCCCGUGUACCGGUACACAAUGCAGAAUCUGAUCUGGUCGAACUGCAGGGGUGUUUUUGCGAUUGUUGCUAUCUUAUAUAGCACCCCACGCCCCUAGGGCCUUCCCUGAGCUUGGCACCAGCAGGGAAAGAGGUAAGGGAGCCCUCUUCACCAUCCCAUUUGGAUUUGACCCCCUUUUAGCUUGGAUUUUGGUGGAUUUACUUCUCUCUUUGCCUUUUGCAGCAAUUUCCACCUUGGUAGAGGCUUGGAGCUUGGGCUUGGAGCUUGGUUGAGGGAAAAUCUUGGGAGCUUGUGGACUUUGGGCUUGGAUUGAAGCUUCCAAGAGGUUUGUAACAAGUUUCUUUCAUUUAGAUCCAUAUUUUGAUGGUUUCUUUGAGAUGAAAUCCUAGAAUGGGAACCUAGAGUUGAUUUUGGGCAUUUGGAUUUAGGGCUUUUGGGGCUCAAUCUCUUGGAUUAGAACCCUCCUUUAGGUUGGAUUGGAAGAGUUCUAGCUCUCCUUUGGAGCUUGAGAAGGGAUUUCUAUACUAGAGGUGAGUUUUGUCCUUUUCUUGAGACGGUUAAAGUUUAAGCUUAGUGUUGUUCGUAAGGUUCGUUUAACUCUGUUAGUAUUACCUCUAGGGUGCUAGGAGAGUGGCGGUAACCUUCGUCGGCUCGAUCGAAGAGCAGCGUUGAAGCUCGGUGGGUUUGACUUCAUGAAACCGGGGCAAAAUGCCCCUAUGGGUGUUAUACUCGUUGUAACGUUAAAAUUCAUGCAUAUUCAUGCUAGAUGGAAUUUCUAUGAAUUUUAGAAUGCUUAAAAUACAUGCCUUAUGUAUCAUGAAAAUUUCACUCUAUAUAGUAGAGCAUUCUGGGUGUUUUGCAUGCACGUGAGAAGUAUUCAUGCUAGCAGGUUGGAAACAUGUCUACUCUUUUAAAAAUGUCUCAAAUUAUGUAUUCAUGAACACCAAAAUCAUGCUUGGAUUUUAGGGGACAAAAGUGCCAUAAAGGGACACUUGAACUAGUAAACUAUGAAACUGCAACAUAGAGACAGAGAUAGGCCUGAACAUCGACUAUAUUCCGUGUUUUAGACAUGAUGAGACAGAGAUAGGCCUGAACAUCGACUAUAUUCCGUGUUUUAGAUAUGAUGACAUAGUGAUAGGCCAUCGACACAGUUGCUAUAUUCCAUAUUUUAGACAUGAUGACUUGAGACUUGAGACGGACAUAUAUGCUUACUUGCCUUUGUGCUCAUUUGCACAUGCUUGUGAGGGUCGCUCCCUACAAGCCGGCACUUCGGAUAGCCAUCGCGAUAUAUACUCGCCGUGCGGGAUUGGGCGCCGAAGUGGAUUGCCGUGGGCAAGGCUCAUUCCUAGACUGGGGAUGUUGACUACCACGGGGUCAUUAGGCACGGCAACGGCCAGACAGCCUACGGGUGGGUCUUCAGGCCAGACAGCCUUCGGGUAGGUCUUACAAGAUUUAACUUUAAGUAGUUAACAUGACAAGUGAACAUUGACUAGAACAAUGACAUUUUACUAUUACAUUGUGAAUAUUAUGAUGGUUGUAUACUCGUGCAUUUUCAUGAUAGUAUAGCUUUCUUACUUAUGCAAUUCCAUGCUAAGUAAAGACCUCAUGUGGUAGCAAGUACUCAUGUUUAUUUACUUGUCGUUUAUAUCGCUUUUGCUUAUUCUCGNUAUGUAUAUAUAUAUGUAUAUGUGUAUAUAUAUAUAUAGAGUCCGCCUACUAUACUCGUAUGAGUACGAUUGCAAUCGUACUCAUAAGUCAUUUUCGAUGAUAAACUUCUGAAUCUACUAUCCAAACCUGUAACGCACUGGACUUUUGUAAAUUGUGAGGUUCGAGUGUUUGAUGAGUGUUCUGAAUUUUUCCAGGUAUUCUGGAGGGUCGUUGACAGUGUUCCGACCUAUGGCUCGUAUCCCGAGAUUUAUGGUAUUUUAAGUAGCGCUAAGGCCACCAAAGAGGGAGGCUUAGGCUGCUCUCGGGUAGCCUUUGCAGGGCUGUGUACUGGUACAGCCUUGAUGGUUGUACCGGUACACCUUGAUGGUUGUAACGGUACAGAUGUGGUAAAUUGCCAACCCGAGGCUCGGGUUUGCGCGUAUAGGGUUUUGUACCGGUAUAUUUUCCCGUGUACCGUACACAAUGCAGAAUCUGAUCUGGUCGAACUGCAGGGGUGUUUUUGCGAUUGUUGCUAUCUUAUAUAGCACCCCACGCCCCUAGGGCCUUCCCUGAGCUUGGCACCAGCAGGGAAAGAGGUAAGGGAGCCCUCUUCACCAUCCUAUUUGGAUUUGACCCCCUUUUAGCUUGGAUUUUGGUGGAUUUACUUCUCUCUUUGCCUUUUGCAGCAAUUUCCACCUUGGUAGAGGCUUGGAGCUUGGGCUUGGAGCUUGGUUGAGGGAAAAUCUUGGGAGCUUGUGGACUUUGGGCUUGGAUUGAAGCUUCCAAGAGGUUUGUAACAAGUUUCUUUCAUUUAGAUCCAUAUUUUGAUGGUUUCUCUGAGAUGAAACCCUAGAAUGGGAACCUAGGGUUGAUUUUGGGCAUUUUGGAUUUAGGGCUUUUGGGGCUCAAUCUCUUGGAUUAGAACCCUUCUUUAGGUUGGAUUGGAAGAGUUCUAGCUCUCCUUUGGAGCUUAAGAAGGGAUUUCCACACUAGAGGUGAGUUUUGUCAUUUUCUUGAGACGGUUAAAGUUUAAGCUUAGUGUUGUUCGUAAGGUUCGUUUAACUCUGUUAGUAUUACCUCUAGGGUGCUAGGAGAGUGGCAGUAACCUUCGUCGGCUCGAUCGAAGAGCAGCGUUGAAGCUUGGUGGGUUUGACUUCAUGAAACCGGGGCAAAAUGCCCCUAUGGGUGUUAUACUCGUCGUAACGUUAAAAUUCAUGCAUAUUCAUGCUAGAUGGAAUUUCUAUGAAUUUUAGAAUGCUUAAAAUGCAUGCCUUAUGUAUCAUGAAAAUUUCACUCUAUAUAGUAGAGCAUUCUGGGUGUUUUGCAUGCACGUGAGAAGUAUUCAUGCUAGCAGGUUGGAAACAUGUCUCCUAUGUUUAAAAAUGUCUCAAAUUAUGUAUUCAUGAACACCAAAAUCAUGCUUGAAUUUUAGGGGACAAAAGUGCCAUAAAGGGGCACUUGAACUAGUAAACUAUGAAACUGCAACAUAGAGACAGAGAUAGGCCAUUGAACAUCGAAUAUAUUCCGUGUUUUAGACAUGAUGACAUAGUGAUAGGCCAUCGACACAGUCGCUAUAUUCCAUAUUUUAGACAUGAUGACUUGAGACUUGAGACUGACAUAUAUGCUUACUUGCCUUUGUGCUCAUUUGCACAUGCUUGUGAGGGUCGCUCCCUACAAGCCGGCACUUCGGAGAUAGCCAUCGCGAUAUAUACUCGCCGUGCGGGAUUGGACGCCGAAGUGGAUUGCCGUGGGCAAGGCUCAUUCCUAGAGUGGGGAUGUUGACUACCACGGGGUCAUUAGGCACGGCACCGGCCAGACAGCGUACGGGUGGGUCUUCAGGCCAGACAGCCUUCGGAUGGGUCUUACAAGAUUUAACUUUAAGUAGUUAACAUGACAAGUGAAUAUUGACUAGAAUAGUAAACAAUGACAUUUUACUAUUACAUUGUGGAUAUUAUGAUGGUUGUAUACUCGUGCAUUUUCAUAAUAGUAUAGCUUUCUUACUUAUGCAAUUCCAUGCUAAGCAGAGACCUCAUGUGGUAGCAAGUACUCAUGUUUAUUUACUUGUCGUUUAUAUCGCUUUUGCUUAUUCUCGUACUUAUCCUUUUUGGUAGCUUUUGGGCCUAGUGGCGCAUUUCACUGAAGUCAGUAAUUCCCCACUGGGAACUAUUAUUUAAUAGUUCUCACGCCCCUUGUUUUAUGGUUUUAUUUCAGAGCCUUCGGCACCGGCGGAGCCACGGGAUAGCGGCAAGGGUGUCGUCUAGUUAGAUAGCGGGGAGCUACUUGCUCUUAGGUGGUUACUCUCUUUUUGUAUUUUUGGUGAGAGAGAGAUUUUUGUACCAUGUAUAGAGACCACCUAUGUACUCUUUUAGCUCUUGUUUUGGAAUAUCUAUUGUAUUACCUAUGACUUUUAUUUAGUGGUUUGAACUUCUCUUACCUUAUCAUGUUGUAGAAAUCUAGUUAUACUAUGCUCUGAUAUCGCUAGAUCUCUUUGUAUUAUUGCUUUAGUUAUCGCUUUGUUAUAGACGCCUUGUAUGUUUUAGACAUAUGGCGGGUCUGGGCACGCGCCGUGCGGGCUUCCGCUGGGCCCCGGGGCGUGACAAAACCAUUGAACAUUAUCUAGAUCAUUUAAAACUUCUAGAAAUCAAAUUUUAUAAUUUUUUGAUAUCAUUUACCUUACAAUCAAAAGGUCACAAAAUUGACAGUUUUUAAUGGCCGGUAUGGGAUACUUGGUAGUUUAACGGUGUAAAAGAAUCAGAAUCAGCUGAAUUUUUGAUAGAAAAUUCUAUUCACUACCUAGAUAAAGAUCAAUAACUCCGAUCUUAAAUUGAAGGAUCCGAUCAUCGAUUUUUAGGACGUCGUUCGAUUUCGACCGUUCAUUUUAUACCUACUUUAUGGACUUUAUAAUGAUUUCGAAAAAUUACGAAAUUUAUUUUCUAGAAGUUUCAAAUACUCUAGAUCAUAUUUAACGGAGUGGAUCGUCGAUUUGGAAGCUCCAUCAUCGAAAACAACUUAUGAGUACGAAGGACUCUAUACUCAUAAGAAGCCCUACUCUAUAUAUAUAUAUACAUAUGUAUAUGUACAUAUAUGCAUAUACAUAUGUAUAUGUAUAUGUAUAUAUAUGCAUGCAUAUACAUAUAUACACAUAUAUAUAUAAACAAAAGCCUAACCCUGACCCUCUCCUUUCUCCCUCUCUUCUUCUCCUAACCCCAGCUACUACCCCUCUCUCUGUGCCUCGUCGGCGCCAACAUGCUUCGACGAGCAACCCCCCGACUCCUCUCUCAAAUCUCUCUUUAAAUGUAAAGAUCUUUCUCUCUCUCUUCCUCCCUCUCGAGUACUUCUGUCGCCACCUGUGUCGCCGCCGACUGGGGAACCUUCGGCGACCCUAUCUCGGCCGGCACGGAGCCUCCUCCCCUCCUUGGCCGACCAACAACUUCCCAAGGUCGUUGUUGCUGCUACUACUUGAACCACCUCGGUGGCCGUUGUCCCCCCUCCCGGCAGCCGCUGCCAUUGCUGGCCAGGGCCUUUGGCCGACAAGAAACCCUCCCUAGCGGCCCUCAACUUUCCCUGGGCCGGGCAACAACUUCCCUAGGCUGCUACUAUUGCUGUGGUUCCUUGAUCUCUUUGGUUGGCCAAGCUUCCGUUUCGGUUGGCUGCCGCCUCUAGCGACACUCCUCUAGCGAGCACGGCACUCUUUCAUACAUGUACAUGCCCGUGCUCCCCUGUGUUGUGGUCGAUAGUGCCCCAAAUUGCUUGUUUUAGUGCUGCCAACCGGUGCUCGAAGAAAUGACCUAUUUUUAACGUUAACUUUUUAAGUAAACCCGACUGCCUGAAAUCAUUGUUCUUGGGAGCACAGCGAUCAUCUGUCCUUCCCCUACACCAUGCUCACCUUGUUGGUGCAAUCCAGAUGACUUGUAGUAGUGCGUACCGCUCCGCGCGGCCUUUUCUUUGCUUCCCGAUCAUUGAUGAUCGUCGGUAAGGGCUUGGUUGCUGGUCUAUUGCAGCUAGAGGCACGUCAUCAACCUCGUUGCGCUGUCGGUUGGAUUCCGAAUCGCGGAAGAUCGAUAAAACACUUGAAAACUCCUUUUUAUUACUAUUACAGAGGUUAAAUGCAAUUAUGGUAUGAAUACGGCGUUUCAAUGCUUUUCGCAGCAUGGGAUGUGCUAGGUUAGCUUUAUUGGUCGUUGUUUGACGUUUGAACUUGUUGUCCGAUGUUCGGAAACCUUUUGUGGCUGAUUUGGUGCAAAUUAACACAAGUUCAGCCGAAAUCGAAUCGAAUAGCAAAUUUUGAUUUCGUUUUCAUGGAAUCAGCGUUGUUGCUGUCUGAAUUAGUUGUCGAGCCUUGUUGGCUGGCCUAGCCUCGCUAUUUGAGCACUUGUGGCAGCGAGCGUAUUGUGGAUUGGAUCCAAUAACAAAAAGAGUCUUUUAUGAGGAUCGAAAUGGCAACAUACAAAGGGGGUGAAUUAGGGUUUUAAAAUAAAAAUGCAAUAAAAACAAAUUGAUAAAACCGCAAUAAAAUAAAUAAGAAGAGUUGGAGAAAAUCAAACUCAAAGAAGCACGCGAUCGAUUUGUUUUGAGGUUCGACACUCCCUACGUUCCCACCAACUUUUCAACACAAGAGAACGUUGUGUGACACCCCAAUAGUCCCACAUCGGGUAGUUAUGGCUAGAUGUGGGAGAGUAUAAGCUUGAUUGGGCUAGACAUAAUAACUGGGCUUAAGCAUUUUGGACCGGUGGUUGGGCCCAAUGGAUUAUUAUUGCUAGCGGGUUGGGUCGUUAUAUUUGGUAUCUGAGCCAGUUCACCAGCCAAAAAUGUGAGAUGAGUCUUGGCUGAGCCAGGGUCCGAAUGACAGACUAAGUCAAGGUCGGUGAUUGACAGACUAAGUCAGGGUCGGUGAUUGACAGGCUAAGUCAGGGUCGGAAUGACAAAGACUAGUGAGACAAGUCUUACAUCGCCUGGUGAUGUGUGUGUGUUUAGGGCCAACGAGAACAUCGAUAGCUAGGGUCCUUUGAGGACGACAAUGACAGGGUCUCGUAGAGACAGAUGUUGGACAGUUUGGUGAAGACUUAGCGGUCUAGUGCGAUGUCUCACAGUUUGAAUUGGGGUGCGUGCUCAUGCAGUAGGAUCAGAUCACAGCCUAUGCGUUAUGACAGCUGAUUGACUAUGUGAAGAUUUACUCGAUGCAUGACUUCGAGCUCACGGCAAUGGUGUUGGCCCCCAAGUCAUGGAGGCGCUAUCUCUUUGGGGCACACUGCGAGGUGUUCAUGGAUUACCAGAGCCAGAAGCAGGCUUCAGCUGAGGUGUCCUUCAUAAUUGCUGGAUAGAAUUACUUAGUGGAGGAGUUUCGUCACUUGGAGAUAGAGUUGUCCGCACCGGGGCCACUGCCCAGUUGAUGAUCUUGAUAGUGCAACCCACCUUGACAGAGAGGAUCGCGCUCACACAAUCGACGAAUCCGUACAUGUAGAAUAUGCUGGCGAAUGUCGAGUAGGCCAGGGGGGACUUCUUUAUCUACUUUGAUGGCUUUUUGUGCUUUUAGGGGCUGGUGGUGUGUGCCUGGCGACUCGGAGUUGAGAAGAGACAUACGAUCUGAGGCACAAUAGUCCCCGUACACCGUUCAUCCUAGCGGAACCAAAAUGUGUCGCAACCUAAAGUUAUGAUGGCUCGAGAUGAAGUUGGAUGUAGCACAGCACGUGGCCUAGUGCUUAGUCUGUCAGGAGGUGAAGGUCGAGCAUCAGCGACCGACGGGGAAGCUGCAACCACUUCUAGUGCCUAUGUGGAAGUGGGAGCAGACUAUAAGUGAUUUCGUCAUAGGAUUACCCCGAUCACUUAGGGGUCACAAUGCGAUCUCUCACGUCUUGCCGAUUCACACUGCGUGAUCCCGAGAUUGACUAGGACAGCUGUACAUUGAUGAGAUCGUCCUAUUGCAUUGGGUGUCGGUGUCGAUCGUGUUAGAUCGGGACACUCGCUUUAUAUCCCAGCUUUGGGAGGAGCUUGCAGCAGGCAAUGGGAACGAAGCUGAAGUUCUGUACGACCUUCCACCCUCAGAAGGUCGGUCGGUGCGAGUCAUUCAGACCCUUGAGGACAUACUUCGUGCGUGUGUUCUAGAUUACGGCGGAGGGUGGUUCAAGUACCUACUGCCGGGGAGUUCGCCUACAACAAAUUAUCAGGCGAGCAUCGAGACGGCGCCAUAUGAAACAUUGUAUGGGCGUCGAUGUCGGUCCCCUAUAUGUUGGGACCACGUCGGUGAACGCCGCCUAAUUGGACCAGACUUGUUGGAGGAUGCUGAGGCAAAGAUUCAUAUCGCCAAGGAGCGGUUGUUGACCGCGCCGAGCUGGCAGCGGAUCUACGCGGACCAGCGAUGACGUGACCUAGAGUUUCAGGUCGGCGAGCAUGUGCUGCUCAAGGUGUCGCCGUCUAAGGGGAUCAAGUGGUUUAGUUUGCGAAACAAGCUUAGUCUGUGGUUAGUUGGACUGUUCGAGAGCCUAGAGCGUGUUGGUUCGGUGGCGUACAAAUUGACUCUACCUUUGAGUCUCGCCUGGGCGCACUUGUGUUCUACGUGUCCAAGCUUCGAAAGUGUAUUCCAGAUCCGUCCCACGUCAUCAGCGCUGCAACCAUUCAGCUGCGAGAGGAUCUGAGUUAUGAUGAAAGCUCCGAUGCGGAUUUUGGCACGUGAGGUGAAGCAACUAUGAAAUCGGGGCAUUCCGUACGUGAAGGUUCAAUAGGAGAACCACGAAGAGUGCGACGCUAUAUGGAAGCUUGAGUUGGGUACGCGGGAGCGGUACUCAGUCGUUUACGACAGAUAUGUAAUUAAAUUUCGAAGACGAAACUUCUUGUAAGGGGGGAAUGAUAUAAUACCUGGAAUUUUAAAUUUGAGGAAAAUUCAAAUUUAAAUUUUGAAUCUGAAUUCAACUAUAUAUAUAUAUAUAGUGUAGGAAUGAGAGAGGACAUUUUUGCGAAUUCGAGACCAAUUCAGGCAAAACAAUAUCGUGGAUUCCAGGGUCUGGCAGUGUUGAACCCGCCGGCGCAAUCCAUUCGCAAAUCUGACAGAAAGAUCGCGCGAAAUUAGGGUAAUUCGAAUUCCGGAAAAACCCUCAACAUUUUAUAUGCCAAAUCGCGCGAUUUCGCACGUGAGGGUGCUUCUAUGCAAUUUACACGUGCCGUGAGAGACGGGUAAAAAUUUUGGGUUGUAGUGGGGUUUUCUGCAGUUUUUCUAUUUGUUCAAAGAGAAAACCCUAGGUUCUCUCCUUUCUCUCCCGAAAACCUAACUCCUCACCCUCUCUCCCUCCCACAGCUGCCUCCACCCUUCUUCCUGGGUGGGCCGUGCGAAACUUGGCCGCCAGCGACCCUCCUUCGGCCGAGGCACCAUCUCUCUCCUUCUCUCAAUCUUCUAUAUAUCCUCUCGUUCUCCCUCUUCUCUCUCUGUGUAGAUCGAGCCCUACGAGAGGCCUGCACCACCCUUGAACCUCUUGUGUUGCUCGGACCACCAGCGGCCUCCCUGGCUAUCUUCUACUCCGCCAAGCACAGCCGCACCCGCAGGAGCUCAUCUCGGGUGCGUCUUGGACUGAGGUGAUCCACACCUCCGUUGUAAUAUACCGGAAACUUCGGUAAAUAAAUAUCGAACUUUAGUCAAAUUGACCAAAAUGCGAGGUUGGUACCCUUCGGAAAGUCCGAAGGUGUUAAAAUGAGUAAAAGUGCGUUUAAAGGGAUCUUCGAGAGCUAAAGGAACAAAAAAAAAAUCUGCAAACUGCAGCUUUUGUGCUCUCGGGGACCGGUCCCUGGUGGAAGAGACCGGUCCCUGAACGCGUGAGAAACCAAGCAGAGGAAAAAAUUGGCUAAGUCCCAGAAAACCAGCUCUCGGGAAUCGGUCCCUGCGGGGAGAGACCGGUCCCCGAGAGACCGGUCCCUCUGGGAGAGACCGGUUGCCUCGUGCGAAAGCCCCGUUGAGCUACGGGAGGGCUCUUUGGGACCGGUUCCAGGUCGGGGAGACCGGUCCCUGAGCGCGGAAAAUGCCCAGUCCGGGCUGUGUAAUGGAAUAAAAGUUGAGGGGCUUAUUUGCAUUUAUGCAAUAUAUGGGUUAUGUUGAGGGGUUAUGAGGGCUCUAUCUCUCAUUCUCUCACCCUCUCACCCUCUAAACUCUCUCUCUCUCUCUAGAAGACAAAGAGAAGAUGAAAGAAAGGAAAAGAAGGAGAAAGAGAAAGAAGAAGAAAAGAAAAGAAAGGAAAAGAAAGAGAAGGAAGGUGGUGAAGAAGCUAAAGGAGUGAAGCAACUUCCUCAUCUUCUUCCCUAGCUUGAAAAAAGGAGAGCUUACAAGGUAAGCUUCUUCCCCUUUCAUUGUAGAAACUAAACUAGGGUUUGGGUUGAGCUAAGAAUGGGUUUUAUAGAACCUUUAGAGUAUUUGAAGCUUUCUUUUGCUUCCUAAUGAGAUCAAAACCCUAGGUUUCGAUAUAGGUGAAGCUUGGGCACCCAAAUUUAGGGCUUUUGCUUGUGAGGGUUUCAAAGUGAAAUUGACUCUCUAUAAACCUAAUUGGGGACCAAACGAACGCGUUGGUGCGCUCGGUACGUCGAAACGAAAAGUCUUUAUGAAGUUAUGAGCAAAAUGGCCUAAUUUGGCUUCGUUUUGCCGCAGGUAGCAAAUUAGGCGGCUAAAAAUUCUGAGAAAAUCACCGUAGCACCUAAGCAAGCCUACGAGGUGGGUGGUGCUAUUCAAACUCAUUAAAAUUCUUUCUAUGCCUAACGUGUCAUUCAGUUGAGCAUAUCAAUAUAUAUUGUUGCAUGCAUUGUAGGGUAGAUGUGAUGAUAUCUAUGUGAAUGUUGCAUGAUGUGAGUACACGAGCAUUUCGGAAUGAUUGAGAACCUAUAAAACCCUAUACAUGCAUGAGAUGAAAUGAAGAAAUCUAGUUGAGAGGAAAGAACAAAGUGACACAAUGAACAUAGAUCGAGUGAUAUUCAAAAAUGUAAAGUGGACACUAGAGUUAGUGUGUGUGACAACAAUGAUUUGCUAGAGUUAGCAACUAAUGUGACGUAAAGAAUAAACGCUAGAGUUAGCAUCAGUGUGGCAUAAAGAAUAAAUAAAGUAUAAAGAAUAACGACAAUGGCUAGAGUUAGCAACUAAGGUGAUGUAAAGAACACUAGAGUUGGUGUAAUGACAUGAUUGAACUAAUUAUCCUGAACUAAUUAUCCUUUGAGUUAAGGAUUUGAUCAUACUUGCUAUAAGUCCGUGCUCGAGGACGGUAGCUCCCCCUCGAGCGAUGCGCUCCGGAGUUUAUCAUCACUGGGUUGGUGCUGUUCCCCAGAGGACGAUCCUAGCGGGAGGAAGCUGAGGGCCCGCGAUUAUGGAUUUGAGUUGGCGAGUUAAUGUGGCGAAGCCUCCGGGUUAGCCAUGAGAUUGAACGAAAGAACAAAGAUCAAAGAACAAAGAAUAAAGAACUUGCAUAUUGCAUGAGUUUUAUGUUGAGCAUCCUUAUUGCUAUAUUGUUCAGGCAUAUUAGUAUCACGUGUAUAGUUUGGUUACUAUAUUUCAGCUUAUCCUUUCUAUUAUGCCUGAGUUAAGUCCUAGUGGAAAAGUCGGUGAGAUUGGGGCCGAACCCAUUGGGAACUUCGUUGUAGUUCUCACCCCAUUAUUUCCACAGAGCCGCGACCGAGCGAGCCGGCGAGCGACCGCGGUAAGGAUAUCGCGCCGUAAACAGAGGCCACCCGAGUCGGGUCAUAUUUUAUAUUUUGCUAGUAGAUUACCUUCAUAUUAUCUUUUGUCUUUGAUGAAUUAGGGGUGUAAAGAAAAGAAUGUAAAGCUUUAUUUUGAGUAAAUGUGACGUAAAAAGAAAUGAUGAAAAGACUAUGUAAAGAAUUGUGAAUGAAAAUGUUGGUUGCAAUGUAUGUGAUCCAAAAUGAAUCAUAGUACUUGUGUAGUUGUUUAGUUUCCUAUCUUUCACUCAUGGCUAUUGCUUACCUUCGUGUAAGCCGUAUUUGUAUGUUUCCGCUAGUGCUUUUUUUUACUUGAAAAUGUACAGGUGAUGAGCCUUGAGCGGACAAGGAAAACUCUGUCCGUUCGGCGUCUGUUCGACGUGCCCGGACCGGCCCAAAUUGGUNAUCAUAGUACUUGUGUAGUUGUUUAGUUUCCUAUCUUUCACUCAUGGCUAUUGCUUACCUUCGUGUAAGCCGUAUUUGUAUGUUUCCGCUAGUGCAUUUUUUUACUUGAAAAUGUACAGGUGAUGAGCCUUAGGCGGACAAGGGAAACUCUGUCUGUUCGGCGUCUGUUCGACGUGCCCGGACCGGCCCAAAUUGGUAUCGGUCGCGGGGCGUGACACAUAUAGUGGUAUCAGAGCUAAAGUGAAAGAUAGGAAUGGACCUAGAGACCCUUAGGAUUGGGAAAGGACUUACGGAUUUAGGAAACGUGAGUAACGCGAGAUCAAAGUUAGCGAAAGCAUGUGAUUUGGUCAAGUUGGGAUGUCUCUAAUGUGAUUAGAGGCUAAGUUUAAAUUAAUCGUUUGUUCUCUACUCUGUGUGUUGUGUUGGGCGGCGGACGACAUAACGCUUGGGAUGAGGAUGAAUGUAUGUUUGCUUUCGCCGGAUUGGGUAUGGUUGAGUAAUGUUGGACAAGUAGCUAACAAGUAUUGCUUCAUUUCAGGAAGCAAUGGUUCACGGUGGACCUCGAACAAGGUCAAUUCCCGAGGAACCGAAUGCGAAGCUCGAGCGAUCUGGAGCGGUGGCGACGGAGAGCUUAUGGAGCAAAAGGCCGCGCUUAUCAAAGUGGUGCGGCAACAAGCGCAGUCUGUUCAAUGCCAAGGGGAGCAGAUUCAACGGCUCCAGGAGGCCUUGGAGUGUCAGCAGGCGGCGGCGGCCCAGGCGGGUGCCGAGCAUGUCGCACCCCCUGUGGUAGUGCCGAGCGUAGACGAGGGAGCGGCGGCAGCAGCAGCUGUGCCCGUCACGAUGGUGCCGGCCGGAUCGGGAACUUCGAAUCCCGGCGGUGCGGCAGUUGAGGCGGAGCGAGAGCGUUCGUUAGCGGCUCUCAUUCAGUUCAAGAAGUUCGAUCCACCUAUCUUUGAAGGUGGUAUGGUAGAGCCCGCGGUAGUGGAGUUGUGGAUCGACUCGAUGGAGACGCUCUUCGAGGAUCUAAAUACCUCGGAGAAGGACAAAGUGUACCUCGCCACCCAUUGUCUCGAGAAGGCGGCGAAAGUGUGGUGGAAACGAGUCAAGCGGGAUCGUUCUACCGAUCUUCCGCUUAUGCUGUGGGAGGAGUUCAAGCGAGCGGUAUUCGCGAACUACUUCCCCGACACGGUGAAGCGGAGGCUACAAGAGAAGUUCCGCAAGUUGAGACAGGGCGAUCGAUUGGUGGGAGAAUAUGAGCAAGAAUUCUCUCACAUCAUUGACUGCGUUCCCGAUGUUGUUCGUGAUGAUCGGGAUCGGGCUGACUGGUUCUUGCGAGGACUCCAGCCAAGGAUUUAUGAAAAAGUGCAGAUCUUGAAGCUUACAACCUUUGCGGAGGUCUUUGAUCAAGCCUUGUGGGCCGAGCACGGUAGCGCCCAUGUACGAGAGGAAUGGGAGGCUAUGGCCGAAAGCAAGGAUAAAGGUAAGAAGCGAACUGCGGGCAGUGCCGGAGGCCGGCCAAAUGCAAAGAAACCCCCUCGGUAUCCCCGACAACAGGCGAGGAGCUGGAGACUGCUCCGGUGCGUCAUUUGUGGUGAAGAGCACCGAGUGUCGACUUGCCCGCAGCGAGACGACAAAUGUUUCAAGUGUGGCCAACCGGGACAUCUUAUCCGGGAGUGCCCAAGCUGGACGUCGUCUGCGCCGUCAGCGGCAUCAGCACCGACGAUCCCGAGACAGCUUAUGGGGUUGCCAUCAGCAAUGUCGGCGGGACGCUCAUCAGCACCGCGUCAGCCGGAAGGAUCGAGAGCACCUAGCGGACGGGUUUUUGCCGCUCAGGUGGAGGAGCAGCCUGCAGCAACCGACGACAUUGUGGCACGUAUAAUUAUGAUUGAUGGCACUAGAGUUAGAACGCUGUUCGAUACUGGUGCAUCACGUUCAUUUGUAGGCUCGUCAUUUGCAAAGACGCAUGGCAUAGAAAUGACAAAUAAUGAGGACUAUUGGUGGAUAAUGGUCCCGAGCACUCGUUUCGCGUUUAUGAUGAGUGCUUGGAGGUUUCGGUGCAGAUUGGCGACUGGAUCAUGCCGAUAGAUCUGCUAGUUCUAGACCGGAUGUGGGGAUUCGACGUUAUCUUGGGGACCAAUUGACUCUCCAAGUACUAUGCGGUCAUAGAUUGCAAAAGAAAGGUAAUCACUUUUUGUGAACCGAAUCAGGAAGAGUUCGUGUAUCAGGCGUGCAAAGGCGCGCGUUUUGCGGCGACCAUAUCGACGGUGAGGGCUAAGAAAAUGAUAAAGGGUGGCUGUAAGGCCUACUUGGCAACUAUGGUGGAUGACCGUAGGAAGCACCCCGAACUUGAGGGUAUAAGAGUAGCAUGCGAAUUUCCAGAUGUAUUUCCGGCGGAGUUACCGGGAUUGCCACCAGACCGAGAAGUUGAGUUCGUUAUUGACUUGAUUCCCGGGGCGGCGCCAGUUUCGAAGGCUCCGUAUAGAAUGGCACCGGUGGAGUUAGUGGAGCUAAAAGCACAACUAUAGGACUUGCUCGAUAAAGGCUUCGUAAAGCCAAGCGUGUCACCGUGGGGAGCUCCGGUGCUAUUCGUGAAGAAAAAGGACGGCACACUUCGACUCUGCGUGGAUUAUCGCGAGUUGAACAAAGUAACGAUCAAGAACAGGUACCCGUUGUCAAGGAUUGACGAUUUGUUCGAUCAGUUGCAAGAGUCAAAGGUGUAUUCAAAAAUUGAUCUCCAAUCGGGAUAUCAUCAAUUAAAGAUUAGACCGAAGGAUGUGCACAAAACGGCGUACCGUACGCGGUAUGGCCAUUAUGAAUUCACGGUAAUGCCGUUUGGGCUUACUAAUGCCCCGGCAGCAUUUUUGGACUUGAUGAAUCGGGUUUUCAGACCACUGUUAGAUCGGUGCAUCGUGGUGUUUAUAGACGACGUAUUGGUUUACUCGAAGAGCGAGGAGGAGCAUGAGGAGCAUUUGAGAGCUGUGCUGCAAAUACUCAAACAAGAGAAGCUCUAUGCGAAGUUGAAGAAGUGUGACUUUUGGUUGACGGAGGUCACAUUCUUGAGUCACGUGGUAUCGGCCGUCGGAGUUUCAGUAGAUCCGAAGAAGGUUGAGGCAAUAAAGGAUUGGCCUCGCCCGACAAAUAUAGCGGAGGUCCGUAGUUUUCUCGGAUGUGCGGGCUACUAUCGGCGGUUCAUGGUUAACUACACUAACGCGCCUCACCCACAAAGAAGUAAAGUAUGUAUGGAGCGACGAUUGCGAUCGGAGCUUUGAGGAGUUAAAGAACAGGUUGACGUCGACCCCGGUGCUUGCCUUGCCAACUCCGGGGGAGACCUUUGUAGUAUACAGUGAUGCCUCGUAUGUUGGUCUCGGGUGUGUACUAAUGCAAAAUGGCUGAGUCAUUGCGUAUGCUUCGCGCCAAUUGAAGAGUUAUGAGAAGAACUACCCGAUUCACGACCUCGAGUCAGCCGCGGUAAUCUUCGCGCUAAAGCUUUGGAGGCAUUACUUAUAUGGUGAACAUUGUGAGAUCUACACCGAUCACAAGAGUCUUAAGUACUUGUUCACCCAGAAAGAGUUGAACAUGCGACAGCGGCGGUGGUUAGAGUUAUUAAAGGAUUUCGACGUCACUAUACUAUACCACCCGGGGAAAGCCAAUGUCGUGGCCGAUGCUUUGAGUCGAAAAUCGGCGGAUAAUUUAGCGACGGCAAUUACGCCUCAACCGCUUUUGCACAAGGAGAUGCAACGACUUGGGUUGGAGGUAGUAGCGCCGGGAGUGCCGGCUAUUCUUGCCGCAUUAGUUGUGCAACCGACCCUAUUCGAAAAGAUCAAGAAGUUGUAAGCUUCGGAUCCUUAUCUCCAAAUGGUACAUAGUAAAGUUGAAAGCGGUAGUGCCGAGGAUUUUGGCAUUGGAGCCGAUGGCGCACUUCGAUUUCGAAAUCGUUGGUGCGUGCCUAAAGAUGACAAUGUUCGAAGGGCGAUUAUGCAAGAAGCGCAUCAAUCUCCCUAUAGCAUACACCCGGGCGGCACUAAGAUGUACCAAGAUUUGAAAGUGCAUUAUUGGUGACCGGGCAUGAAGAAAGAUAUUGGAAAAUUCGUGGCGCAAUGUCUCAUAUGCCAACAAGUAAAAGCAAAGCGCCGGUUUCCAGCGGGAAAGCUUCAGAGUCUAUCAAUACCCGUUUGAAAAUGGGAAGAUAUAGCGAUGAAUUUCAUUACCGGUUUGCCUCGAUCACAAGGCGGACACGAUGCAAUAUAGGUGAUAGUGGAUCGAUUGACAAAAUCGGCACACUUCUUGUCGAUACACACUACGUGGUCGGGAGACAAGCUAGCUCAAGUUUAUCUCGACAAGGUUGUGAGACUUCAUGGGGUUCCGGUGUCGAUUGUGUCAGGUCGAGACCCCAGAUUCACAUCCCACUUUUGGAAGAGCUUACAGGAUGCAUUGGGCACACGGCUCGACUUCAGUACAGCAUUUCAUCCUCAAACUGAUGGUCAGUCGGAGCGGACGAUACAAAUCCUUAAGGACUUGCUUCGAGCGUGUGUACUCGAUUAUAAAGGAGGGUGGAAUGAUUUCUUACCGAUGGCGGAGUUCGCAUAUAAUAACAGCUAUCAGGAGAGUAUCGCGAUGGCGCCAUUUGAGGCAUUGUAUGGACGAAAAUGUUGUUCUCCUAUCCAUUGGAGCGACGUGGGCGAGAGAGCGGCUCUCGGCCCGGAUGUAGUACGGGAGGCGAAAGAAAAAGUUCGCCUUGCCCGUCAACGGUUAGCGACGGCGCAAUCAAGACAAAAGAGUUAUGCCGACAAGCGAAGGAAAGACUUAGAGUUCGCGGUUGGAGACCGCGUAUUUUUGAAUAUCGCCGAUGCGAGGAGUCAAACGUUUUGGGGUCCGCGGGAAGCUAAGUCCCCGUUAUGUCGGACCAUUCGAGAUAUUGGAGCGCGUGUGCGGUGGCAUACAAGCUCGCACUACCACCGAGACUCGUGGGAGUUCACAAUGUGUUUCAUGUGUCAAACCUUCGAAAGUAUAUUCGAAACUCGACACAUGUAUUAGAAUAUGAGCCCGUGGAGUUACGUGAGGAUGUCUUAUGAGUACCCGGUGUGCAUCCUCGAUAGAGAAGAAAGAAAGCUGCGGAGUCGCAGAAUUCCAUAUGUAAAGGUUCAAUGGAGCAACCAUGCUGUGCAAGAAGCCACUUGGGAGCUCGAGGAGACCAUGCGGAGAGAGUAUCCGCAUCUAUUUGAGUCGACGAGUUAAGGUAUGUGUAAUUUCGCGGACGAAGUUAUUUUAAGGGGUGGAGAAUGUAAUAUACCGAAACUUCGGUAAAUAAAUAUCGAACUUUAGUCAAAUUGACGAAAGUGCGAGGUUGGUACCCUUCGGAAAGUCCGAAGGUGUUAAAAUGAGUAAAAGUGCGUUUAAAGGGAUCUUCGAGAGCUAAAGAAACAAAAAAAAUCUGCAAACUGCAGCUUGUGCUCUCGGAGACCGAUCCCUGGUGGGAGAGACCGGUCCCCGAACGCGUAAGAAACCCAGCAGAGGAAAAAAUUGGCUAAGUCCCAGAAAACCAGCUCUCGGGAACCGGUCCCUGCGAGGAGAGACCGGUCCCUCUGGGAGAGACCGGUUGCCUCGUGCGAAAGCCCCGCUGAGCUGGGGGAGGGCUCUCUGGAAUCGGUCCCAGAUCGGGGAGACCGGUCCUCGAGCGCAGAAAAUGCCCAGUCCGGGUUGUGUAAUGGAAUAAAAGUUGGGGUCUUAUUUGCAUUUAUGCAAUAAAUGGGUUAUGUUGAGGGGUUAUGAGGGCUCUAUCUCUCAUUCUCUCACCCUCUCGCCCUCUAAACUCUCUCUCUCUCUCUCUAGAAGAUAAGAAGGAGAAGAAAAAAAAGAAAAGAAGGAGAAAGAUGAGGAAGAAGAAAGGAAAAGAAAGGAAAGGAAAGAGAAGGAAGGUGGUGAAGAAGCUAAAGGAGUGAAGCAACUCCCUCAUCUUCUUCCCUAGAUUGAAGAAAGGAAAGCUUACAAGGUAAGCUUCUUCCCCUCUCAUGGUAGAACCUAAACUAGGGUUUGGAUUGAGCUAAGAAUGGUUUUUAUAGAACCUUUAGAGUAUUUGAAGCUUUCUUUUGCUUCCUAAUGAGAUCAAAACCCUAGGUUUCGAUAUAGGUGAAGCUAGGGCACCCAAAUUUGGAGCUUUUGCUUGUGAGGGUUUCAAAGUGAAAUUGACCCUCUAGAAACCUAAUUGGGGACCAAACGAACGCGUUGGUGCACUCGGUUCGUCGAAACGAAAAGUCUUUGCUAAGUUAUGAGCAAAAUGGCCUAAUUUGGCUUCGUUUUGCCGCAGGUAGCGAAUUAGGCGGCUAAAAAUUCCGAGAAAAUCACCGUAGCACCUAAGCAAGCCUACGAGGUGGGUGGUGCUAUCCAAACUCAUUAAAAUUCUUUCUAUGCCUAAUGUGUCAUUCAGUUGAGCAUAUCAAUAUAUAUUGUUGCAUGCAUUGUAGGGUAGAUGUGAUGAUAUUUAUGUGAAUGUUACAUGAUGUGAGUACACGUGCAUUUCGGAAUGAUUGAGAACCUAUAAAACCCUAUACAUGCAUGAGAUGAAAUGAAGAAACCUAGUUGAGAGGAAAGAACAAAGUGACACAAUGAACAUAGAUCGAGUGGCAUUCAAAAAUGUAAAGUGGACACUAGAGUUAGUGUGUGUGACAACAAUGAUUUGCUAGAGUUAGCAACUAAUGUGACGUAAAGAAUAAACGCUAGAGUUAGCAUCAGUGUGGCAUAAAGAAUAAAUAAAGUAUAAAGAAUAACGACAAUGGCUAGAGUUAGCAACUAAGGUGAUGUAAAGAACACUAGAGUUGGUGUAAUGACAUGAUUGAACUAAUUAUCCUGAACUAAUUAUCCUUUGAGUUAAGGAUUUGAUCAUACUUGCUAUAAGUCCGUGCUCGAGGACGGUAGCUCCCCCUCGAGCGAUGCGCUCCGGAGUUUAUCAUCACUGGGUUGGUGCUGUUCCCCAGAGGACGAUCCUAGCGGGAGGAAGCUGAGGGCCCGCGAUUAUGGAUUUGAGUUGGCGAGUUAAUGUGGCGAAGCCUCCGGGUUAGCCAUGAGAUUGAACGAAAGAACAAAGAUCAAAGAACAAAGAAUAAAGAACUUGCAUAUUGCAUGAGUUUUAUGUUGAGCAUCCUUAUUGCUAUAUUGUUCAGGCAUAUUAGUAUCACGUGUAUAGUUUGGUUACUAUAUUUCAGCUUAUCCUUUCUAUUAUGCCUGAGUUAGGUCCUAGUGGAAAAGUCGGUGAGAUUGGGGCCGAACCCAUUGGGAACUUCGUUGUAGUUCUCACCCCAUUAUUUCCACAGAGCCGCGACCGAGCGAGCCGGCGAGCGACCGCGGUAAGGAUAUCGCGCCGUAAACAGAGGCCACCCGAGUCGGGUCAUAUUUUAUAUUUUGCUAGUAGAUUACCUUCAUAUUAUCUUUUGUCUUUGAUGAAUUAGGGGUGUAAAGAAAAGAAUGUAAAGCUUUAUUUUGAGUAAAUGUGACGUAAAAAGAAAUGAUGAAAAGACUAUGUAAAGAAUUGUGAAUGAAAAUGUUGGUUGCAAUGUAUGUGAUCCAAAAUGAAUCAUAGUACUUGUGUAGUUGUUUAGUUUCCUAUCUUUCACUCAUGGCUAUUGCUUACCUUCGUGUAAGCCGUAUUUGUAUGUUUCCGCUAGUGCUUUUUUUUACUUGAAAAUGUACAGGUGAUGAGCCUUGAGCGGACAAGGAAAACUCUGUCCGUUCGGCGUCUGUUCGACGUGCCCGGACCGGCCCAAAUUGGUAUCGGUCGCGGGGCGUGACAUCCGUUGCACCGCUGCCGCAACCUCGGGCCUUUGCCGUCGCCUCUCUCUGGCCUUAAGCGACUCAUCGUCGCCGCCCCGUGGCUUCUCCGGCCGCUGCCGCCACCGGCACCCGAGCCCUGCGGGCCUUACCAUCCUGAGGCGCCGCCGCAGCCAUUUCCCGCAGCCAGCUUAGGGGAGCAUGAGGCUCCCCUACCCUUCCGAACCCAACCUUGGCGAGCGCGCGCACCGCCUAGCCGCCGACAGCCAGCCGAAGCUAGGGUGCUCCCUGCACCUUGAACCUAUGUCAUUUUUGGCGUUUUGUGCUUUUUCCGGCCACCCGAACCCUCCCCAAACCUCUGGAAAGGGAGCACGGUGAUCCCUGACCCUCGUUGAUCACCGUGCUCACCUCGGAUCCUACCGGAGAGGCUCUAGUUUGCUGCGGUGCCAUCGUCGCUCCCGGUGCACCUACUUCGCACCAUUUGAUGUCACUCUGGCGCGCUCCCCGACCGUUGUUCGUGCUCCGAACAAAGAGCAUGGUGUCCGGCACGUCGAGACCUAUCCGCUGAUGCUCUUGCAUCGUCCUGGAGGCACACGGUUGUCGGUAACGGCCCUAAACACCUUGAUUACACAUAUUUGGUGAAUAUUGGAAUGUAUAGCGGUAUAUUUAUUUGCAAAUAUAGUUGUGUGGGCUGUCGUGGAUAGCAUGUGAUCACUGUGUGUGGCCCUCUAGACUAGUCCAGGUUUCGAAACCCUCAUGAAAAUGAAAAGGGGGCUUUCAAAGCGUUCUCGGCGAAAUCGCUGGUGUAACGCGGUUUCACCUCGUGAUGGGUAUCCAACUGUGGUUGCCCCGAAUAUCAUCAGCUAUCCUUGUUGGCUGGCCGCCGUGGGCCCCUCGUGUGCUUGGAGGUGACCGAAGAGCGGCGGAGGCUUCUGAUGCCAAAAGUGGACACUUCCGAAAGCCGGGUAGUGAUCGGUCGAUCGAUGAUGAUUGAGUCGACCUAGAGACUUGUGUUUGUUGUUCAAACACCCAAAUAGGUGUGUUUUGAGACGGUGGGUGACUCCCGGUUUGAGUCGGUGCAUUUAGGGAUGUUUCGUGGAUCUCAGGGGCAUAUCGGUGCGUUUUCAAAAUUCACGACGAGUUCAGGGUUCGGUUUUGGGAAAUUGAUUCCGCGAGUGGCUUGGGGUUUGUGAGCGAUGUGUUGUUAGUCUAUAGGAUAGGACCCUGAUUCGGUGGAUCUAUCGUAGGUCCGGUCGACAAUCCCACGCACCUCGGGAGCUAGGUGCGACUGUUGAUACAGGUGGGUACUUCAAUCCCAAGUCGGUUCAGCAGCUCAUGCGCGGUGACUUCUUAUCUUUUCCUCAUUUUGAUUGCAUAGCUCAUCAUGAUUUCAUGCUCAGUAUUUUGCAUACUACUUGAUGGUCAUUGGUCUACUCUAUGGUUGUUUCGUCUUGUAGUAUCAUGAUUGAUCUAGUGGUAGAGUAGCACCCCAGUGAUUGAUUAUCAUUGCAUGAUUUCAUCAUUGAUGACAUUUCGUACUUAGUGAUACGGUUAUAUAGACCUGAUAGGUUAGUGACAUGGAGACACUCCUUCGAGAGUAUUAGACCGGACUUGGUCGAAUAUGGUUGCGGAUUAUUCUAUAGACUUGUUGCCGUUGUUGACCAUUGAGCAUAUUGCAUCGACAGCCACAGCUCAUGUGCAUUUCAUGUACACCAGCGGUCUAAUUCACCACAAGAGGGUGUUUUUUUUCCAGAAAAGUAAUCGUACAUCCGACCAAUGAGCUCAGCGGCCCUUUGCUGGGUUAUAUGCCAGGGAUACCCUAGCGGUCCUUUGCUCGAGUCACAUCCCUAAUAGAGUAGGAGUGGCAUAACCUAAGGUCUUUAGACCAAUAUGGCAGUUGAUUGGGUAUAUUUGAAAUAUCUGUUUCAGUUGAUGCAUAGUUGUCUUCUUGUUUCGUAUCAUGAUAGCGAUUACUCAUAUUGUCAUUUACAGCUGUUUCAUUACAAUUAUUACUACUACUGUACAUGUAUGUUUGCUGACUAUUGUUGUUCCCACUUUAUUUUGUAUUAGUAGUAUCCUUGGUGAUUAUGGAUAGCUGUUAUUUUAUUGUCGCUAUACCUGAUAUACUUAUCCUUAUCCUCGUUUAUCCUUUUAGUCUGCCGGUGUGUACAACUCGCCUUCGUCGGCUUGCGGUACCCACUAGGUGAGGGAGACUUGUUUAUAUGUUCUCACCCCCCACUAUUUUUCAAGUGUCAUGCGUGAUGAUGAUCAGAACGAUGCGUGAGGACGAUACUAGAUAGCGUGAGAUAGAGAUCCUGACCUGACGAUUUCAGUUCUGGUUUGAUGUUUAUUGUGUACAUGAGAUAGUAUAGCUUACCCCCUAUACCUAUUAGUAGUUGUUCUUAUAUGGUUUAGUUGAUGGUUUUAUUCGCCGAUUCUUGGAUGGCGUAUUUAUAAGUUUUGGUUACUCAUGGUUUUUGGAAUAUUCGUGGUUUUUGCAAAUAAUGGAUUUCUACCCCUCGUGGUAGCUUGUUUACUUUAAAACAAAGGUUCCCAGCGAGAAAUGGUUUUCAAAGUGGUUUUUCGAAUUUUUUCUGGAUUUUCAAAAAACUAAAGUUUCAAAGUGAAGCCUUCGGGUGGGAGGCGCUUUUAACUAACAGGAAUGAAUGCGAAACUUGAGAAAUGAUAAUCUGUAUGAAUCGUGAAUGUUGUUAGCAUGAGUGGUAUGUCAUGGUUGUCACUUGUACUAUGUGCUACGCCGUGCAAAUACAGGAGACACUCUGUCCGUUUGAACAGAGAAUUCCUUAUAUUUGUGGCGGGUCUAUUGCACGUCUUUGAGGUUAAAAAAGAAAAUUAUACGUUACGCUGGUUUCCCUUAAAAAGGAAUGGCAAGAAGACCCCGGGGCGUGACAUUGGCUCUCAUUUACAGUAAUAGCAAUAAAUUGUAUUUCAUUUCAUGACUCUUACCCAUUUAUCUUUAUGCUACUGUAGUUGAUUAUUUCAAUUAUCACUUUAUCAUUGCAGUUAUCUCCUUAUUGUACUCUCUGUUGACUAGUGGGUGCAAGUUGCCUUCGGCGGCUAGUUGCUCCCACUAGAAAACAUUUAUAUAUUUCCCACUCCAUUGUUUUUAUAGAUGUUGCUGACAAUGUAGGUUGACAAUGUAGGUCGAAGCGCUGCUUGAGGACGUGGUUAGUUAGAAUCUAGAUAGUUUGUGCCAUGGAUAUGAUUGUUAGCUCUUGAUUUACUUUUCUGUUUUUGUGACCUUCGUCAUGUUGGGUUUAUGUAUCGUAACUUGUAACCAUGAGAUUCGAACUGUUAAUGGGUUUUCUUAUUCUCGUGGUUUUCAGAUAGAUGUUUAACUAGCAGUAUUAAUCAAUGUUGCUGGAAUUCCCCAACCGGAAUUGUGAUCCAGAUCGUGCUUUCCGAUUCGUAGCGGGUUCCCAAUCCAGAUUGCAAAAAGUUCGGAAGAGAGAUUAGUAAAUAACUAUUUAAAUUUUUUUGAAGUGGUUUGUUUGGUUACCUUAAAAAAAUGUGUUUUACAAAAUCGAAUAAUACAAAAGAAUCAUACUCCUACCAAAAAAAGGAGAGCUGGAUUUGAUAAGAAGAGAGGAUAAUAUAAUCCAACCUAAAUCCGUACUUUCAAACGAACCACGUUCCAGAUUAACAAUCCAACUAAUCCUAAACCCACAUAUAGUGUUCCUAGGAAACUAGCAUAUCACAUCCCCAUACCCACACCACAUGCCACAACCAACGUCAUUCUAGGUAUCGUUGCUAUCAAUACUGAAUUCAGCCACACAUCCAGAAGUGGGACUUCAUUUUCAAUAAUUGGAUUCAACACAGCGGACUCCAAGGAGUAAAUAAUACUUUAUUCAAAUUGACACUUUCCUGAUGUUGACAUAUAUCUAGAAAUUAUUACUCCAUAUAUGUCCGUAAUCAAGAAUCAUAUCAAAACCUGGAAGCCAAUUUCCUAUUCUUGAGUCCUGGCAAAGAAGUGAUUUCAUCAGAAACAUUAUUAGUAAGGAUUUGGAUCUUCACGUCAAAAUUGAAAUAGUCCAAUCACAUCCUGUUUAGCGGGCAUUCUAUUCAACAUUUGGUCAAUACACUGUAUACAACUGGUUUUAUGACAUAAAUUAAAAGCUGCUCCAAGCUCAUAAUUCUGAUGUUCUGUCUAACAUUUUCUCAACUUCCACACUUUCUCAUCUUUCUCUUUGGCACUAGUUUUCGCCUCUCUUUCCAUUCCUAUGUCAUAACUACUACUUAUCCAGUAUACAGGAUUAUGUCCAUUAAACUACUACAUCUUUAUAAAGAAAAUUGAUGAAACUUUUGCUAAUCAAAUCAUAUAAGAUUAUAUCAGUAUCUCAAGAUGAUUCAAAAUUGAAUGAUAAAAUAGAGAAGAACAAUUAUCUGGACAAGUUAAUAUUUCUGCAAAAUUAGACUGGAAAAAUAUUGACAAUCCAACAAGAAAUACUAGCAGAGCAGAAGCUUCAUUCCUCAGAUAGCAGCAGCUGGAAAACACAAUAAAGGGACAGGCUCACAGGCAUAAUCUUCAAUAAAUUGUGAAAGUGAAACGAGAUACUCACAUUCUUUGGCUGACAAACUUUCAUCAUUUUGAACAGUUCUUUGAUUUUCCAGCUGAGCCUUCAAUUGUUCAGGAGGUCUAAAAUGCAGUCCCAAAAGCAUGCUAUAAUCAAUUAUACAUUGUGAUUCCAGAAACAUGCAGUCAAGAGAGAUUUGCCUGAGCAAUCGAGAGGAAAGGGAAAAAACAAAAGAAAUUUGAUUCAGAUGAAUGAUACUUGUAUGCAAAAAGAAACAAAGAUGAAGUAUAAAAACUUUCAUUAGCACUAAUUUAUAUAAAGUUGCAACAGUUAGGGAAUUAUGGACUCGUAAAUAUUGCAUUUGCUUCACCACUUCAAUUAUUUUAAUGCCAAACAUGCAAAUUUAUCUAGGCUAAAAGGUAGAAAAUCCUGAAUUUAUCAUAAUUUCACUUUGGUUCCUUGAAAUAUCAAAAUCUAUAUAUCGGCUGUUUUCAAUUCUAACAUUUUCCCUUCCGUGAAGAACUUGUUAUACAUAUACCAAUUAAUUGGACAAGAGUACCAAAAUACCGAAGUUGCCCUUUAUUUUCUUCUAUUUGACCAAUUCUUUUCCAUUCUUCCCUCACCCAAUUUCACUCAACAUUUAGAACAAAAUGAGUAGAACGGAGGUGGUAGUUACAGAAAUGAGGCUAUAAAGGAGGUUGGAAGAUGGGAUAUAGGAGUUGGUCGCCAUGGUGAAAGAAGGGUAAAAGAGUAUACCUUCACGAAUUCUAUUGAUGAUGUUAUAUAGUACAAGAGAUGAGUCUAAUAUAGUAACAAUAUAACUAGGUAUCUCAUAUCAUAUCCUACUCUAAAUAUGUCGUAAUAUAUAGCAUCCUCAUAUAGCAUGAGAUACUAAAUAUGCCGUAACAUCCCCCCGCAAGCUAAGCAUUCUGUGGUCGGAUGCGAAGAUUGAGCGGCAACACCGAAAACCGAGAAGGCGACAAAGGCUUGGUGAAAAUAUCAGCAAGUUGCUUAUUAAAAGAGAUGUGCACCAAGUCCAAAUCACCAGACUGAACUUUCUCACGUAGGAACUGAUGGUCGAGCUCAAUAUGCUUCGUCCGAGCAUGGAGAACCGGAUUAGCCGCAAGAUAAGUCGUGCUAAGAUUAUCACAAUAGAUGCUGAUGCAGCGCCACAAGAAAACACCACGGUCACGGAGUAAACGGCGAAUCUAAACUAUUUCAGCGAGCGUAUAUGCCACAGCGCGAUACUCCGCUUCAGAAUUGGAGCGAGAAAUGGUGGGCUGUUUCUUAGCAGACCAGGAGAUAAGAUUGAGCCCAAGAAAGACACAAUAGCCAGAAGUAGAGCGACGUGUAUCGGGACAACCAGCCCAAUCAGCAUCGGCAAAUGCCACAAGAGAAGGAUUGACACAGCGAGAGAGUGGAAGACCAUAAGAUAGGGUCCCUCGAAUAUAACGCAGAAUAUGCUUGAUGGCUUGCAUAUGUUGUAAGGUACCGGACUUCUAAAAUCAUGAGGUUACGGUGUCCAUUUGGUUGGAGAGCCAUUUGAAUGGUUCCGGUAAGGUUGCGGUGUAAUGUAAUAUACCGGAUUUAAAUAUAAAAAUAAAAAAUAAAUAAAAAUAGUAUGAGAUACUAUUUUUAUUGGAUUUAGAGAAGUGAAAUAUAGGUUGGGAAUGACCUGUGCUGAAAUCGGAGCGAAAACAGAAGAUNGGUAGCUCUUUACCUACGAGCGGGGUAGCUCUUGACCUAUGAGUUUGAGUUAGAGUCGGGGCGAAGAGCGGGGUAGCUCUUGCCCUUAGGCAUUUGAGUCAUGAGUUGGGCGAGGAGCGGGGUAGCUCUUCACCUAUAGGACUUGAGAUCUGAGUCGGGUAAGAGCGGGGUAGCUCUUUACCUAUAGUGUUAGAGUUGUGGGACGGGUGAAACAAGGGCGGGGUAGUCCUUCACCUAUGUGAUUUGAGACAAGGGCGGGGUAGCCUAGUGGAUUGGUUAAAGACAUGAAUUGCAUAAGUGGAUCCGCAUUCAUACCAUGAUUAGACAUAGUACACUGCAUAACUAUGUUGUAGUUGUAUAUAUUUCAUUGUUAAAGCAUACUAGCAGGAUAAAUGAUGUUGCAUGCAUUCCUUGCAUUUGGUGGCAUAGUAGAUAUAGUAGCAGCUUAUUUUUAUAUAUCUCUCUAUCUAUCUAUCUGUGCCAGCUUGGACCUAGUGGGAAGAUCGGCGGAGUCGGCGGCCGAACCCACUGGGAACUAUAUUUUUAUAGUUCUCACCCCGUGUGGUUUUGGGGUACAGGUACACACGUGAGCGGACCGGCAGGUGAUCGCGGUAAGGGCGUAGCGCCCUAGCUAGCUAGUAGAGCUUUCCUAUUGUACUAGAGCACCCUCGUGUGCAUGGUUAUAGAUGACAUGUUGUAUUUUGAAUAGCUAGCAUUAUGUAUAUGUGAUAUGAUUAUGUAUUCAUUUUGGAAGCUUAAAUGUAAUCAAGUUGUAUUAAAGGUUGAAUGGAUGUAAAUGUUGAAGGUCAAAUGUGAUGUAAUAGAUAGUUAUAUCUCUCUUUUAUUCACUUGUUUAUACUUGUGAUGCUUGCUCUUGUAAUGUUCGGCACUGGUUGUGCCCUCGCUAUUGUUUUGAUCAUGUAUGUAUUCAAGUUGAUUUCCUGGGCACUUGUUGUACAUGAUCCUGUUGUUUAGCCUUGGGCGGACAGGGGAGGUGCUGUCCGUCCGGCGUCUGUUCGACGCGCCCGGAUCGGACCAAAUUGGUAGCGGUCUCGGGGCGUGACAUAUGUGGUUCACGAGGCGUCUGCAAAUACUGAGCAACAGAGUUGACAGCAUACGAAAUUUUCAGUCUCGUGAGGGUGAGAUACUGGAGAGCAUCGACAAGCUGACGAUAGACAUAAGGAUCGUCAAGAAGACGGCCCUCAUGAGACGAGAGGCAAAAGGCCGGAGAAAGAGGACUAGAGACAGGCUUACAAUCAAGAAAGCCAUGGCGUUGAAGUAGUUGAUGCGCAUAUUUAUGCGGAGUCAGAUGAAGACUAGAAGAAGACGGAGUAACCUCAAUGCCCAAGAAAUAAUGGAGCGGCCCGAGAUUCUUCAUAGCAAAUUCACAUUGUAGGGUGACAAUAAGAGCCUCCAAAAGAGAGGAGCUGCCAGUGAUAAUAAUAUCAUCAACGUAUAAAAGAAGAACGAGAGUGCCAGAAGAGGAAUGAGAAAUAAACAUCGAGGGAUCUGCAGUACUGCUGACAAAACCAAGUUUAGAAAGAAAUAAAGUGAACCGCUGAAACCAAGCCCGAGGGGCCUGCUUAAGACCAUAGAUUGCCUUGCGGAGACAACAAACGUGAUGAGGAAGAGAGAGGUCCACAAAACCCAGUGGUUGUGCCAUAUAAACCUCUUCAGAGAGAAUUCCAUGAAGAAACGCAUUCUUCACAUCAAGUUGUCGAAGAGACCAACCAGAGGAUAAAGCCACGGAGAGAACAGUACGAAUAGUGGUCGCCUGGACAACGGGAGAAAAAGUCUUAUCAAAAUCAACACCUCGUUGUUGUUUGUAAUCCUGAGCAACAAGUCGAGCCUUGAGACACUCAAGAGAACCAUCCGCCUUAUGCUUACCUUGUAUACCCAUUUACAUCCAAUGAGAUUAACGGAAGAAGGAGGAACGAGAUCCCAAGUAGCAUUAGUCAGUAAGGCAUCAAAUUCCUCAGCAAUGGCAACACGCCAACCUACAUCCUGAAAAGCCUCAUGAAAAGAAGUAGGCUCAGUAGGAAGAGUAGAAUGGACAGAAGCGAGUAAGGAAGUAAACCCUGUGGAAUCCUUAGUCAGGGAGUGAGUGAGCAUAAAAUGGGUACGGGCAGGUAGCGGAGCCACAGAAGAUGAAGGAGAUGAGACAGUAGCAGGCUGAGGAGGUGGAUUAUCAGAGAAGGUAGUUGGCACAUCAGUAGCGGAUGGAGAAGCAGCAGCAGGCCGGCUGGCGUGUCGUCUAGUACAGGCCCGGAGCUCAGAUGGACCAACAACAGUGGCAACAUUCUCAGGACCAACCUGUGGAGCAUCAGAAUGCAAGCUAGAAGGAAAUAUUGAUAAGUCCUCAGACGUUGAAACCGAUGUGUGUGAACCAAUAUCAGGAGGAAUGCAACUAGGCUUUACCUGUCUGAGUAAUAUCAAGUAAAUUUCCAUUACCAACAAGAACUUUUUCAUACUCUUUAUAAGGUUUAGAGGUUGAGAGAAUACCAAAAGUUGCGGUCAUAUGAUUAAAUGCUCCGGUGUCAGGAUACCACACUUCCUCACCAGGUUCAUGAAGGUUUAUAGCAGCAAAGGUUUGAGGAAGAUCAUCUGCAACAAAGGAAUGAUUGAAGCGUUGUCUGCACUUAAGAGCCGAAUGAUUAAACUUGCCGCAGAUCUAAUAUUGUUUGUCAGAUUUCGAAAUGUAAGGUUGAUAGGUCGGAGUAUAGGGUUCAGAAUUAUUAGGUUGAGAAUGCGAAUGGGCUCCAGGGGAUCCACGACCAGGAUAUGAAUUGAAUCUACCGCGUUGUCCCCGACCAUCGCGAUAUCUACCUCCACGACCCCCACGGCUUCAGCGUCACGAUUUGCAUAAAGAGCUUCGCCAUCGAUAGUGGGAGUGGCUGGUGAUGUCGUCAAACUAGUACGACGUUGAACUUCAGUUUCUUCUUGCAUUAGAAGUGGACGAAGUUGUUCAAAAAUAGGCUUAUGUCGAUGUGUAUUAAGGGCACUGACAAACCCCUAUAUGCUUCUAGGAACCCAAGAAGAACUGUCAUGACCAAGUUAUGAUCUGAUUCAGAUUCACUGAUCGCUUGUAGAGCAUCACCAAUUGAUUUAAUCUUUUGCAUGUAAUCGCUCAUGUUCAUUGAACCUUUCUUGAUGUUUCGCAAUUCGGACUUUAGAGAAAAAGCCGUGGAAGCAGUUUUAUCAAGAAAAUAUGCUUCAAUAGUUUUCCAAGCAUCAUAUGCAGUUUUAGGAGAACUAGAAAAGACCAUCUGUAAUAUGCUAAGAGAAAGGGUGGCAUUAGUCCAUGAGAGUACAGUGGUGUCUUUCUUUUUCCAAUUUUGAUAUUCUGGAUUUGCACUUGUUUUCUUAUCAGAAGUUUCAAUAGUUUGAAGCGGUAUAGUACCAGUACCGUCCACAUGCGAUGUAACACCAAAACUCUCCAAAACAUUAAGAAAAAUUUAUUUCCACACCAAAUAUGUGGAAUCCACAAGUUCAAGUGGUAUGAGAGUUUUGAUGUUAACCACUGGCAGGUUUGAAGAGGAAGACACGUUACCACCAAAAAAAAAAAGAAAAAGAAAAAAAGAUCCACCACGAGAGAGACAAAUCCGAAAAAUAGACCAAGUAAUCACAGAUCUAGAGGAGAGAGGAAAGAGAGUCAGAGUUGAACCCGGGAUGAACUGACGGUACUUGAGAUCAAUCAGGCGACACCAGUAAGCAGCACCAACGAGAUAAGAAGAAACUCCAAGAGGCUGAAAUUACUGCAGUAAAACACUGUAGCAUUGAUACUGUAGCGGCAGUACUGUAGCGCCGGUGCCGUAGUAGUACUGUAGCGCAGUACUGUAGCAGUACCGGGGAGAUAAACAUUCAGGUAUCGUUUGGUUCGGGGAUAAGCAAAAAGUGGGUAUUCCAGGGAUAGGUAUAAAUUGAGGUAUAAGCGGGGAUUAGAUCAAUUUUGCGUUUGGAUGAAAAUUGGAUUAUUCCUAGGAAUAAGAAAAAUAACGUUUGGUUAGGUAAGAUAGAAUAAGAUUUAAAGUGGGUAGUUAUAAAUAAAAAUUAAUAAUAUUAUCACUUUUUUUAUUUAUAUUAGAAUUUAAAUUUUUAUAUUUUAUAUUUAUAUUUUAAAAUUUAAAUUUUAACUUUUAAAUUUCAAAUUUUGAAAUUAAAAUUUAAAAUUUAAAAUCUCAAAUUUUAAAUUCAAAAUUUAAAUUUUAAAUUUCUAACUUUAAAUUUAAGAUCAAAUUUAAAUUUGAAAAAAAAUAAAUUCAAAUUUAAAAUUUCAAAAAUUUAAAAUUUUAAAAUUUAAAUUUAAAAUUUAAAAUGUGGAAUUUAAAAUUAUAAACUUUAAUUUUGAGAUUACAAAUUUUAAAUUUUAAAUAUAAUUUAUUAUAAUAUUUUAAAUUUUAAAUUUAUUUAAAUUUUAAAUUUUAAUUUAUUUUAAUAUUUAAAUAUAAUUUAUUAUAAAAUUUAUUAUAAUAUUUAAAUAUAAAUAAUAUGUAUUAAUAUAGCACAAUUAAUAAUUUUAUAAUAAAAAUAAUGUAUUAUAAUAUAUAAUAUAUUAUAUUUAUAUAAUUUAGUUUUAAUUUAUUUUAUAAUUUUAAUUAAGUUUGAAAUUAAGCAUGGGAAUAGCACUAUUCCACCAAAAUGGUGGAAUAGUAAAAAGCUUGCUAUUCCGGAAUAACCGGGAAUAGCAAGCUUUGACCGGAAUAAAAUAUUCCGGUAAAAAAUGAUCCCGUUUGGCGGAAUAGUGGGGAUAACUUUCGUUAUCCCCGCUUAUCCCCCUAACCAAACGGGGCCUCAAGGAUUAUAGGAGAUAGAACACCAAAAGAAAAAGGCACCUAUGGAAGAAUGUGAGAUUUGUGGUGGAUGGUGGCUAUGGAUCGAUAUCCCCAAAUUAGGGUUCCCGCUCUAAUACCAUGAAAGAAGGGUAAAAGAGUAUACCCUCAUGAAUUCUAUUGAUGAUGUUAUAUAGUACAAGAGAUGAGUCUAAUAUAGUAACAAUGCCUAAUAUAGUAACAAUAUAACUAGGCAUCUCAUAUCAUGUAAUCCUACUCUAAAUAUGUCGAGAUAUAUAGCAUCCUCAUAUAGCAUGAGAUACUAAAUAUGUCGUAACACAUGGAGGCAAUGGUAAGGCAUGAGCUAGUUAAGGUUGGAAAGAUGAAGAAAGAUUACAACAAUGCCGUAGAAUGGAGAUGGAAAAGAACAAGAAGGUUGUGGUGGUGAAGGUUUAAAGAAAAAGGUAAUGUUGUUAUCCUCGCCUCAUAACUCAUGGUGUAUUCUCUUGAAGAGUGUUCAUAAUAUAUUGCAGAUAAAAAGUAGAAUUUGACAGCUCAGUGGUGAAGUAGAAAUUGUGAUACAUACAAGAAUUUAUUCUGUAUUUUAGGGCCUGUUUCGUUCCUCAGAAAUUUCCCUAGAAAACUUUUUUCAAGUUGGAAAAAGUUUUUUCUGUGUUUGGUUCACAGGAAGAACAGAUUUUUUAGAAAAUUAUUUUCCAUAUUUCACGGAAAACUUUCCUUUUUGUUCUCCAAAUUUUUUUAGAAAAAUGAAAAAAAUUUUCUUACGAACAUUUUAAGGAUUUAAAAAGGGAAAAUCUCUUUGCUAAUACAGUAUACAUUUACUACCCAAUCGUCAUCUCAACCAUCUCCCACUGUCAGCUCUAUCUCCCCAAAUUAUAUAUAUAUACACGGUAUAAUUAUCUCCAUCUCCUAUCGGUCAUAUCAAUCACCUCCAUCUCUUUUGUUAAACUAUUUAUUUACACCAAAAUAUACUUAAAAUUUAUUUUUAUUUAAUUAUUUAUUAUUUAUAUUGUAAACAAUUUGUGAGUAUUAUGUUAAAUUUAAAAAUAAAAGGUUGGUAAUCUCACCAUCCUUUUAUAGAAGGUAUUUAUAUACCAAAAUUUUCAACCAAAAAAACAAGUGAAAUCGAAAUAAAAAAAUUAUUUUUUAUUUUUUUCUUACCACCCAAACACGCAUACAUGGAAAACUAAUUUUCUUUUCCGUCGAACCAAAUGAUAGAAACUAAAAAAAAAAUUUUCACAAAAAACUUUUUUCCUCAAAAAAUAGUUUUCUACUAUUUUCCAAGGAAUCAAUCAGGCCCUUAGCCUAAAAUAGAAAUGUAAAAAUGCCUUAUAUAUGUUAAUAUAUAUUCCUAGGCCCAUAUCUUACAAGACAAUCUUUUGGGUAACAUGGUAUCUGAGCCAAAUUCUAAACUCCUGUCUGUGAGAUCAAAGGUUUGAUCACCACCUUCAAUUUCUAGCGGAUUAAAUUUCCACAUCAUAUUUCCCUCACCUAUCAAAUCCAUAUGGCUUUCAUACCUGUCAUGCACAUUAAGUAUGGGGUGUUAAUAUAUAUUCUUGGGCCUAUAUCUUACUAGAUUGAUCUCUUGGAUAACAAUAUAAUUUUAAGAUACUUGUUUGUUACUUCAAAAGAGGGGGCUCUGACAUUAAUUUGUGACAAACAAGGUUGUAAAUAGCGGAUAGCAAGUACAUAGCAGUUGGAGGGUCCCAUAGCGGACAGUAGAUAACGGGUGCUAUAGUGGGCGCGCUAUGAACCCAUAGCAGGUUUCAUAAAAACUUGCCUAAUAUGUUCAUGUUCCUCGUAAAAGAUACAUAUAAUAUUGAAGAUAAGACAACUAAUCAUUUCUGUUUUUAGCAUUGCAAGCCUAUACAAAUUUAAUGUCAUUAUCUAUUAAGAUUAACUUUAAAAUAUUACAAUUUAGCAAACCAAAAAAGCCAAAAAACUCGAAAAAUCUAUAAUCCAUUAACAAUCUAAAUUUACAAUUUGUAAAUGAAUGUCAAAAAGGAUAUCUUGGGUAAAUGAAUAAAAUAUUAUUCAUCAGGAAGACAUUCUUCUUCUUCUUCUUAUUCACUAGAGGUAUUCUGGUCAUCCAUCUCAACAUUUGUUUCUUCAUCUCCUUCCGAUUCCGACGACUCAUACUCCAUAUCAUCAACAGUUCUAGUAUUUGCUCUCUAUGUCUAUGUUGUGGCUUUCCUUCUUGCAUUCCUCCUUGUCUGUGACUCAAACUUUUUAAGUUUUAGGCUCAUAGCGCCCGCUUUCCGGCAGCUUUAUAGUGGCCGCAUUAGCGGGCCCUAUGCCGUUAAAGCAGCCACUAUGAACCCAAUCCACUAAAUUCCAUUUUAGAGAAUAUAGCAUAGCGAUACCACAUAAAAGCUGCUAUAGCGGCCUGUCACGGACUUAAGCUAAAUCGCUCGUUUAGCCCGUGCGGCGCUCACCUUCCUUCGCGAAGUGAGCAAGUCUACCUCUCUACUUGCUAAGUUAGGACCUACUCGCAGAGAGAGAGUUUGAGUAAUGUUGAGUGUUGAUAAAAGUUGAGAAUACAACUGAUUUCCUAAGAAGGGGGUGGAGGCACAACCUUAUAUAGGCCACUCGCCACCCAGACUACAAAUGAAAAGACGCCAAGUGGUGCAUACUUAAAAGGCAAAAAGGGAGGCUACAAGCUCCCAAGAGACUACAAUUAUUGCCUACCUAGAAAUCCUAAAGGACUGUUGACCCUUCAGCAUCCGUACCAUCAGUCCUGAGAUCCAUGUAGAAGCUUCUAGAACGUCCCAGCAAAACCUCCAACAAAACGCUCCUUCGGAGAUUGGGCCACUGUCAAGGAGAAGUCAGUAGAAAACAUUUUGUCCGUGACAACCUCCCCCACCUAACGCGCAGACGCCCUCGUCGCGCGCCGAGCUGCUCACGGUCCGCGUAGCCUUCAAGGCAGUCUGUCGUACCUUCGCGCCCGAUCGGCCCCGUGCCUUGUUACCACAGUCUACCCGCACCAGCUCCUAGUGCCUUGCCUCUCUGAGCAUGUACACCAGCGAACCCGCUGUGCGAAGAAUCCACCAAGUGUGUACACACGCACACUCCGCCAAGCCGCAAAACGCCUCUUGGUCCCCUCGGACUCCUGCUAGACAGAAUGAGUUGAACCUUGAUUGGGCGCUAGCUGCUUCAACGCCUCAUAAGACUUGACAAGCUCGCUGCUGCUCAGGUCCUCGAGUUCCUCAACCUUCCCGCACUUCACCUCCUCGUAAAGUUGCAGGGCUGUCAGAGUUCGGUCAUUCGUCGGCUCGCCCCAACACAUCGGAACCAUGCAUGAUGCUGACUCGUCCAGGAAACUCAGCACCCACAAGUGUGCCAUGGGUGCUGCCGCCUUCGACGAAAUAAGGAAGUCUAUCCCGAGAAUCACUCCAAAGUCAUCGAGUGGCCCAACAGUGAGAUUAGCCUUGCCCCUUCACGGGCCGAUGGCUAUCUCCACACCUUUGGCAACUCUCACGAUCGGCCACGACUCAAAGUUGACCACCUUGAUGCGGCUCGCAUCCUUCUCGAGUGUGAGGCCCAACCGCUUGGCCUCCGCCUCCGCAACAAAGUUGUGCGUCGUCGAUGUCGAUCAUCGCUCACGUGGUCCUCCCGUUGAGGAUCAAAUCGACGAACAUGAGCUCCCUCCUGUGGAGCUUGGUGCUGCUUGGUUGACCGCAAAUUGCGCUGACGAGCCUUAGCGCACCCAUCCUCGACAGCUUGACCACGUCUUCGCCCUCAGUUUGGACCCCAGCAACUUGCUUUCCUUCAUGGUUGCCCCUUUUUAGGCAGUCCCGCGGCCAAUGAUUCUCAUCGCAAACAUAGCAAAAGAUCUUUGCAGGCGGUGAGGCGGGAUUCUGUUGUCGCCUCCUCAUUCAUGGUUUGGCUUGUGCCCCCUCGCGCCCCCUGGCUCAUAGUGCCCUCCCCCACCUUUGGCCUCGCUCCCGUUUGGUGGUUCACCUCGAUCGCCCUCGAUUCGCUCCCGCUCGAGCAACUUCUCUGCUAAAGCGAUCACGGAGUUCAAGUCCUUCAUGUCUCGCGCCACAAGCUCCUUGUUCGCCCACGGCUCAAGGCCAUCUAGGAAGAAGAAUAGUCGAUCCUUAUUGGCAAUGUUGGAGAUCGCCAACAUGAGUUUUGAAUACUCUUGGUCAUACUCCUUGAGUGUACCCCGAUGUUUGAGCCGUCGAAGCUGCCUCCACACAAGAUAUUCGACAUGCGCGGGAUGGAACUAUGCCUUCAACUCGCGCACGAAGCCCUCCCAAGUCUUUAGCUCGCAUUGGCCCCUCACGGCCUCUACAGAACACCGUCACCACCAUAGCAUUGCGUUGUCGGCGAGGUACAUGGAAGCGGUUUUGACCAUGUCGUCCCCGUCCUCCAACCACAGCACCUUCAGAUAGGACUCUAUGUGCCAUACGAAAUUGCCUAUCUCCUUCUCAUCACACAUGCCCUUGAAGCAUUGGGGUUCAAGGAUGCAAAUCUUUGAGGUGUACUUCUUUCGCACAUCGACGCCGCGAGGCACCUUCUCAAGAAUGGUCACCUGCAUCUUGAGGUCCUCAACCUCGUCGACCGUGGUGACAUAAGUCCUCCACCAGCACCUUCCACUCGUCCUCGCGAUAAGCGAGGUCUAUCGCGAGGUCCCUGCAAAACUCCUCGAGCUAAUGGCCAAAAAUCGUCAUAGCAGUCGCGAUGCUGUCCUCGAUAGCAUCAUGUAACAUAUCACUUCCCCGUAAAUCGUGCCGAGUUCCGUCUAAAUGUGCGGAACGCGGAGUGGAACAAGUCGGUAUGGGUCCUAAGUGUAUUGGAACCCAUAUAUAUAGUAAAGGGACCCGAGAGAGUGAAAAUUGCAAUUCUGGCUAAGUUCCAGAAUUUUAGACUCUCGGGGACCGAUCCCUGCAGGGAGAGACCGGUCCCAGUAUGCGUAGCCUGCCCAGAAAGCUGAAAAAUCGGCUAAGUCCUGGAAGACUAGGCUACGGGAACUGGUCCCUGCGAGGAGAGACCGGUCCCCGUAGGUGAAAAAGUUAGGAAAUGGCUAAGUCAGGAAAUAUUGCUCUCGGGAACAGGUCCCUGCGGGGAGAGACCGGUCCCUGUGCGCUCAGUCAACCCGAAAAGAGUGAAAAUUUGGCUAAGUCCUGAGAGGUGUACUCUCAGGGACCAGUCCCUGUAGGGAGAGACCGGUCCCCGUAUGCGAAAAUUGCCCAGUUAGGCUGAAGUGAAAAAUAGAAAGUUGAGGGACUUGUGGGCAAUUGUGACAUGAGAUGGGUGUAUAUGUGAGAGAGCAUAGUGUUAGGGCUCAUUUGCUCCCACACCAAGCAUAAUAUCUCUUUCUCUCUCUCUCUAAAACCUUCUCUUCUCUCCUUCUCUCUCUCUAGGGUUGAUCAAGAGAGGCUUUUGGAGAGGUCUUGGUGGAGAAGAAGAUCAAGAUAGAGGUGUUGCUUGCUAUUGAGCAAGUGUACAAGGAAGAGCUUGAACCAAAGGUGAGGUUUCUUGGUUUUAAGCUAGGUUUUGGGUUCGUUUCCGUCUAGCAUGCUAGAGGUUUUUCCCCCAUAGUAUCCAUGCUAGGGACUAGUUUUGGGGAAGAUGACAUUAUAUAAGGACCUAUACUUAGGGUUUUGUAAUAAUGAGGUCGAAGCUUGGGUUUGAUCUCAUUUUAACCUAAUUGGUUGGUCAACGAACGCGUUGGUGCGCUCGGUUCGGCGAUACGACGAGCAUGCGCGGAGAUAUUGAAGAAACUGGUUAAAUCGGUACAGAUCGCCGUAGCUCCCGGCGAAAGCAUCUGAAAAUCAUGAAAAUUGGACCACGGCAUCCUAGUAGCACUGAAAGGUGGGGGGUGUUGUCCGGAAACACCGGAUCUCUUUCUAUAUCUAUGUCACUUCAUUUGAGCAUAUUGAUGUUAGCAUUUAUGCAUGUAGGGUAGCUUACUAUGUGUUCUUGGUCGAAUUGCAUUUAGAUGCUUAAGGAAUAUGUGAAAUGAUAAAGAACCAGGUGAACCAGGUAUGAAAGAACCCUAUGUGUAUGUGAAUGCGAGAACGGACUAUGACAAUAGUGAACAAAGGUGACAUUGACAUUAGUGACCAGAUUGGCACCGAGAAGGUAAAUGACUAAACAAGGUUUAGCUUAUUAUUGGCAUCCGGACCAUUGUGGCUUUGUGUAUUGAGACAGGUUUGGCAAGACUUCCUCAAAUUGAGGAUUGGAUCGUACUCACACUAGCUAUGGCUUGAGGACGGUAGCUCCUCCUCAAGUGGUGUACUCCGGAGUGUAGACACCACGGGGAGAGGCCCCGUCAUCGUUCUCUCGGGUGGUAGUGCUAGUAGCCUCCCCCGGUAGACGGGAAUCGUGGUUUGUGAGUUUCGGGUGAACCAAGAGUACCCCAGGGUGAUUGGGUAAGGGCCAAAAGAAAAGAAAAUAAACGAGAAAGGACAUACAUGCAUAAUUAUCAUGUACUGGUAUAUCUAUCUAUCUGUGGAUUGCUUUCUUGCAGGCAUUGUAAUAGUUUUGCAUUAGUUGGUUUGCAAUCUAUCGUUUCUUGAAUUACAUAUGCCUGAAAUAGGCCUAGUGGGCGAAUCGGCGCGGUCGGCGGGCGAACCCAUUGGGAACUUCGUUCUAGUUCUCAUUACCACUAACCCUGCAGAUCCGUGUGCGAGCGGGGCGGCGAAGGAUCGAGGCAAGGGUAUUGCACCGUAGCUAGCGGCCUCGGAGUAUAGGCAUACCCUACAUUUUGAGUAUUCAACUUUUGUAUGUUGAACCAGUAAGGAUAAUGAUGUAAUUCAUGUAUUUUGGGUUAAAGACCAAUGUGAUGUAAAUGAAUGAAUGUAAAUAUAAUAGUUUACUUGUGUUUGAUUCAAAGGUAAUCAAAUGACAUGUAGGUGGAUGAAUGAUUAAUUAGUAUCGAUGCUUUCACGUGUAUGUUGUUGUUUGCUCUCGUGCAAACCUUGUAUAUCUUGCAAUCUCUUUGUUGACUUGUUUGUAAUAUACAUGUUGAUUGAGCCUUGGGCGGACAGGGGAGGUGUUGUCCGUUCGGCGUCUGUUCGCGUGCCCGAACUGACCAAAUUGGCGGCCCCGGAGCAUGACAAUGCAGCCUAUCCUCUAUUAUCCCCACAUAUUGGGAGAAGACGGAAUAGUGCUCCUCCGCUUUCACGGCAGAGUCCUCCAGCAUGCUCAUGCAGUGCUCGAGCAAGACAGACUCUCUUGCCAGAGUCCGCGGCUCCUUGCUCUUGCCGCACUAGGUCGCCCUGGGCUCAGUCACAACGUCACCGAUGGCAGCUUCCAACGUAGACAUGGCUUCCCAGCAACAAACUCUCUCUGAUAUCAAUCGUCACAGACUUAAGCUAAAUUGCUUGUUUAGCCCGUGCGGCGCUCACCUUCCUUCAUAAAGUGAGCAAGCCUACCUCUCUACUUGUAACGUAUCGUAUCCCCGUCGAGCUGUACCGAACUUUCGUCAAAACGACCGAAGUGCGGAGUCGGACGAGUUGGAACGGUCCGCAAUGUAUUCCAAAUGCUUUGGAAUUGCUUGUGAAGGGUCUAUGGACAUAGGAGAGCAAGCUGGGAAAGUUGCAGCUCGAAAACUCCAAUUUUUGCUCUCGGGGUCCGGACCCUGCACACGGUCCGGACCUCGUAGCCGAAAACGGCUAGGGCUGAGUUGCCCUGUUUUGUGUAUUCGAGAGGGGGUUAUGUGUGAUUGUGUUUGUGUGUAUAUAUGGGAUGGUUAGGGUUUUGGCCUCAUUUCUUCACACUCAACACCAAAAGGAGUCCCCUUUCUCUCUCUAAAAACCUCUCUCUCUCUCCUUCUCACUCUCUCACUAGGGUUGUGCAAGAGAGGCUUUGGGUGGAGAAGAAGCUUGCUUGAGGUGGAAGAUAGCUAGUGCAAGGGGCUUAGAGGAAAGCUUGGAAACCUAAGGUAGGUUUUCAUGAUUAUUAGCUAGGGUUUAAUUACUUCCUUCUAGUAUAUGUUUCUAGGAGUUGAAAUGGUGGAUUUGGUCAUGCUUCUCCAUGUUUAGAGGACUUAUUUGGAGAACAUGAUAAAAUCUAGGGUUAUAUUAGGGUUAUGCAGAAUAUGGGAUCUAAGUUGGAAUUGAUCUCUUGUAGCCCUAAUUGGCGGAUAAUCUGACGCGUUGGUGGACUCGGUUCGGAAUUCCGACAAGUCUACGCGACGAUUUUGGGGAAAAAGCCUAUUUUGGCUUCGUUUCGCCGCAGUCGAGAGAAAUCGGCGUCUAUAAAUCCGAGACUUGAACUGUAGCUUCUCGACAUCCCUACAAGGUGGGUGGUGCUAUCCGAAAUCACUGAAUUUCUCAUUAUGUCUAUGUCGCCUUUUUUUGAGCAUGUAUGUGUUGUAGCAUUCAUGCAUGAUAGGGUAGUGUGAUAUGUGAUUAUGAUUGGGAUUCAAUUGUAUGGUUCUAUGUAGGUGAACAUAUAAAUUGAUAAGGAACCAUGUAUGUUGGAACCCUAUACUUGUAUGAAUGAGAUGUUGGACUAUGACAAUAGUAAACAAAGGUGACAUUGACAUUAGCGGGCAUGAAUUGGCACCAAGGAAAUGAUUUGCUAGACGAGGUAUAAACCUUUGAGCAUUGUGGCAAGUGUGGCCAAGUAUAUGAUAUACUAGACAAGGUAACAUCCUUUUGAGCAUUGUGGCAAGUGUGGCCUUGGGCAUUGUGGCUUAUAGCAAGUUUGGCUAUGCGUCCUCAAAAUUGAGGGGGAUCAUACUCACAUAGGGUCUUGGCUUGAGGGCGGUAGCUCCCCCUCAAGCGGUGUGCUUCGGAGUUGUCACCACUGGGUGUAGCAGAAUUCUCCCCAGAAGACAGUCCCUCACGUUGUAGCAGCAGAGUCUCCCCGAUCGACAGGGAUUAUGGUUGUGAGUUAUUGGGGUUAACCAAGUGUUAACCGAGUUAAUUGGGUGAAAGCCAAGGUGAAUGAAAAGGGGUCUGCGGCCGAACCCACUGGAAACUUCUUUUAGUUCUCACACCACUAACCCUGCAGAUCCUAGUGCGAGCGGGGCAGACGAGGAUCGAGGCAAGGGUAUUGCGCCGUAGAUAGCGGCCACCGGAGUUUAGUCGUACCUGUGUAUACUCAACUUUUGUAUGUUGAACAAAUGAUGUAUAAAUGUAUAAAGAGAUGUAAUCCAUAUGUUUUGGUUGGAUGAAUCAUGUGAUGUAAGUACAUGUAUGAAAAGAAAGGAAAUGGAUAUAAUAGGUAUAGUUCACUUGUAUUUGGUUUACAUGUAAUCAAAUGACAUGUGUGGAUGAAUGGUUUAGUUUAGUACUUAUUGUUGUUGUUUGCCCUCGUGCAAACCGUGUAUACUUGCAUUCUUCUUGUAUUGAAUUGCUAUUGUUAUACAUUAGUUGGUCGAGCCUAGGGCGGACAGGGGAGGUGCUGUCCGUUCGGCGUCUAUUGACGUGCCCGAACCGACCAAAUUGGCGGUCGCGGAGCGUGACACUACUUACUUAGGACCUACUCUCCUAGAUUAAGAACGAAAGAGAGAGCGUUUGAGGAAUGUUGUGUAUUGAUAAAAGUUGACAGUACAGCUGAUUUCCUAAGGAGAGGGGGUAGAGGCCACAACCUUAUAGAGGCUACUCGUCACCUAGGCUACAAAUGAAAAGAUGCCAAGUGGCGCAUAAUGACAAGGCAAAGAGAAAGGCUACAAGGUCCCAGGAGACUACAAUUAUUGCCCACCUAGAAACUCUAAGGACUCUUGACCCUUCGGCAUCCGCACCAUUAGUCUUGAGAUCCGCGUAGAAGCUUCUAGAAUGCCCCAGCAAAACCUCUGACAGAAUGCUCCUUCGGAGAUUGGGCCACUGUCAAGGAGAAAGUAACAUCUAGUUCUUCUUAGAGAUGCUUAGUGAUUUACAAUUGUAGAUUGCAAUAGCAAUUCAUGAAUUAAAUGAAGACAAGCAUGUAAAAUUGUAUUAGCUCACAUAGGCACGCAAAUAUAAAUAAAUAUGUUAUUUAUUUGUUUAUUCAUGAAAAAAAAAGGAAUUACUAUUUGGAUAAAAUUUAAUAAAUGCUACACAAUUUCCAAAUUCAAGUCCAACUAGCAAUACGUUUAUCUCCUAACAAAAUAGAUCAGAAGAUAAAGACUUCAAUGUUCUCAAAUUGAAUAAGAUGAAAUCCAAUUGACCUAAAAAGUGAUUCUCGCCAUGACUUCUUCAAAUACAAAGCAUAUGACAGAUCAAGAUCCUUCAGAGUGGUACUUUCACAAAUGUUCUCCUUGUUUGUUGACCUUCCUUGAAGAGAUCCCUUCAAGUCAUACCUGUGGUGAAUGCGCAACUCAGUGCAGAACAUAUUUCCCAUCACCACAAAACGGACCUGCAUAGGGGAAGUGUAGAAUAGCAGACAGCAUCAAGUAUUUACAAAGUCAGAGGAACAUAUUGACAUAUAUUAAAAAGUUACCUUCUGUCCACGUCUUAUUGUUAUCCUAUGCAGACCAAAGAACUUUGUUAUAAGGGUGUUGUCAUGAGCUCCUACAUGAUUGUAAUACCGAGGAAGCAUUUUCAAAAGAAUCUGCAGCAAAAAGUUACAUAAUUGCAAGAAAUAAUGUCAUAUCCAAUGUUACUGCUGAACAAAAUAUUAAUAAUCAUUAGUUAUUAUGAGAUAUGCAGUAGGUGGAAAAUGUUCUUGAAGCUUGAGCGGUGGACCCAUCGUGUUACCUCAGACUAGAUUGAUGCUCACUUUGUACGUUGUACAUGACAUUCAUUUUCACUAUAUACAUGACUUGAUUUCAAUGUGGCGGUCUGACCUACUAAUUAUACAUUCAUUUUCACUAUAUACAUAUAUACAUGACUUGAUUUCACUAUACACUACUUUAAUCUUGGCAUUACAUUCACUAUCAUGCUUGCUAUAAUUGCUUAAUAUGUUACUAACUUACUACGAACGUUCACUCUAACAACUGGGCACUGUUGUGUUAAUUACAUUAUUCUCCACAAAAGAGUGUUUUAGUGAACAAUUUAAUAUAAGAAACUGCCCUAGACUAUGACCUGGGAGCAAAGAUUUAAGUGCCCAUCGGCACGGGCCAUAUCAAUUAUGCCAUAUCGUGCCAACAAGAUAUCGGCACCAUAUAGCCCCCCGUGCCAAUGGCACAUCUCAAAACCCCUUAUUCUUUAAAUUAACAAGUAAUUUUUUCAAUGAAGUUCAAAAGAUUUGAUAAAAAAAUAUAAUAAAUAGUUAGAAUAUUUUGUUGCUAAAGAAAAUAAAUAUUUCAUGCCAUUAUGUGUCGGCACACAUAUUUUUUGUGAUCGGCACGCAUUGGCACCGCCCAAAAAAGCACGGACGAUGUCGUACCGUGCCAACAAAUUUCCAACACAACCCUGUGCCACGGCACUUAAAUCCUUGCCUGGGAGUAGGGAUGUCAAUGAUUAUAGAUACUCGAACCCGAAUGGGGCUGGUUUACCCAAUGCUAAACCAAUAUUGUAUGGGUUAUGAAUAUAAAAAAUAAAAACCAAUCGGAUUCAAGUUUGGGUAGAUAUUGUCUGUACACGACCUGGUCCUAAACACUUGUUUAAACCUAAUUACAACAUUUGGUAUUCAUGUUCACACGCCUGUACACUUGUUUUAUCUCAAACUUAUGAAUUUGUUUCAUUUCUGUGUAAAACCUCUUUGUUCAUUUUCAAUCAUUUAGUUUUCUCUCUGAUGCACACGAUACUUUGCCUCACUUUACAAGUGAUGCAAACCGGGAGGUUGCCAAAAUUGAAUUUUCAAGUUUGCUUUUGUUUAAAGGUAUUUCUUGAAAUAAACUACAUUCAAUUUAUCGAUUCCGACAAACUUCCUAUAAUUAAAGCAAGGAAGCAAAAAUUUCAGCAAGACAAAUUAAAAUCGAAUUGAAGCAAUACAAAGAGGAUAAUAAACUUUCAAUAUAUGAGUUAAUAACAACCAACUGAUAAUACAUAUAAUAGUUCCAAAAGGUAAAUUCGGCUUUAUCGGACUUAAAAAGUUCUUACAUUUGGUUGUUUGGCAAAUAUGAUUGGUAAUGGUGGAGGGCUAGAUUGAAAGGGAUAAUAGAAUAUCAGGGGAUGAGAGAUACAAAAAGUGCAUCGUUCACACGAUUGCGGGGGAUCCACGAUCGACGAGGGCAGUACACCAUGGAUAGAACUUCGGCAACGGGGAAGAAGAAGAAGAGGCACGAAUCCGAAAGAAGAUGAGGGGUAGAAAUAAAAGCCGAUCUUGUCAUGAGGAAGAAGCGACAAAGAUCAAGUUAAAGAAGAAGACGAUCUCGGCGUGAGGAAGAAGUGUCAAUGAUCUCACAAGUAGAACAUCGAGGAUAAAGAAAAAGAGUAGAAACUUCUAUUCAUCAAAAUAUGUCCCUUAAGGCAUCAAGAACUAUGUAUUUAUAAUGUUGAGAGCCCUCCUAUGAUAAAUUAUUGUCCUUCUAUUUUCAACACAACACAGCCACCCAAGGAUCAUGCACAGAAGACGAAGCAAUUUUGGAAAUUCCAAAGGUCCUUUUGAAGAAUGCCAAAGGUCUUUUUGGAAUUGUUUCUUUGUUUAUUGGCUAAAUUACUGAAAACUCCCCCGUCAAAACGCGAUUUUUCACUUUCCCCCCCUGUCAUUUAAAAACCUACACUUUGCCUCCUUGUAAAAUAAAAAAUGUGCACUUUGCCCCCUACCGUUAGUGAUCCGUUAGGGUUCCGUUAUAAAAUAUUUUUUUAUACCAAAAAUACCUCUCCGCCUCCUUCCCUGUUGCUUCGCCGCCUCGCCUCCUCCACUGCUUUACCUUCACCCACGCCCACAUCCCCGUCCGCGCCCGCAAACAUCCCUUCGCCCUCCUCCGCCGCCUCGCCUUCGCCCUCGUUGCCGUUACCCACCUCUCCAUCCACCCCGACCUCGAUUUCCACCCUACUGUCGCCGAAAUCGAGGGGCGGCGAGGGUGCAAGAGAAAAGGGGAGCAAGUGGAUAAGAAAAUGGAGAGAAACUGCAGUUGAUUGAGGCGUAAACCGUGGCCGAUCGAGGCUGCUGUUGAGGAAGAUGAGGGAGGAGACGACAAUGGUGAGAGGGGCAAAAUGGUCAUUUUACCAUCACAAUACACACCGUACCCCUCCUGUGAACAUUUUUUAUUUUACAAGGGGGCAAAGUGUAGGUUUUUAAAUGACAGGAGGGGAAAGUGAAAAAUCGCGUUUUGACAGGAGGGUUUUAUGUAAUUUAGCCUUGUUUAUUGGAGAAAAGCGUUAGGGUUAGCCAAAUCAACUAAAACUAAAUGAUUUAAGUCCGAAUCAAACACGAACCUACAAAAUAAAAGAAAUUGCAUCAGAAAAUAAAAUGAGGUUUAUUUGUUGCAUCAAUUGUAAGGACUGAGAAUUUGACUGUACAGCUAUACUCUCUGUUGACAAUAUUUUUGUGUGUAUUUUAAUUACAAAAGCACCCGUCAAGUUUCGGGAGAAAACGAGCUAGAAUGGAGAUUUUACGCGAUCUUUACUUUUCACUUAAAGUGAAUACUAACUCGGGUUUCCGAAGAGGCCAAUGAGUAGAGAUGGCUUCUGGCGCGUAUCGGACUCCGUUCAUAGCAAUCCAAUAGCUCGUUUUCAAUGGUCCGACUCAAGGUAUUAGGUACCGCCUCGUGUCGUACGGCACGGGGCGUGCCGUACCUUGCCCCCAAGAAGGGGGCACAGUACAGGGGGGGUAUCGCACCCCCCCGAGUCUCGCGGCACGCCUUUGGGUGCCGCUCGAGACAAAGCGGCACGCUGGUGCGUGCCGCCCUUUUUUUUUUUGGCUUUUUGGUUUUUUUUUUUUUUUUUGUUCUCUAGGAUCCCCCCUCCCAAGGCCAUCUAUAUUGCAUUUUUUUUUCACUUUUCUUUUGUUUUUUUGACAUCGUGAUGUCUUUUUGUCAACUUUUUUUUUUGCUUUUUAUCUGAUGCCUUUUUUUUUCCUUUUUUUUUCUUUUAUUAAAUUAAAAUUUUAUAAUUUAACUUCUUAUUUAUCAAUAUAGAAACAAAUUUUUAGUUGACAUAUCAGAUCCAUACCAUAGGCUCGGGCCGACUUCCACCACAAACAUUCAUUUUUUCUUCACAAAAUAUUUUGUCAAAAUUUGUCGCACCGCGAAACUUUCUGUGAAUCAGGGGAACAAUAAUCGAUCUCCUAAACAAAUUUUGAUCAAAAUUUUUUUAAAAGAAUAAAAAAGAAAAAAAAAUGAAUAUAAUUGCGGUACUAUUCUGGUUGUUCUAGUCAUUAUAGACUUCCUAAUUGAAUCAAUAUAUAGAUCUUGAAAUGUUUUUAGAAAAAAUAAAAAUUUCUAUCAUUUUAUCUGUAAUAAUUUUUUAAUUCUAAAAAAAUAAAAACACAAGAAUUUUCAAAUGUUACAGUAUGUAUAGUUGUAUUUUUCAAAUAAAAACAAAAAUAUAAAAACAAAAGAAUUUUAACUUCUAUUCUACAUCAGGUAUAGUUGUACUUUAUAUUCAAAAUAAUUACAUGCAUGUUAAUUGAUGAGUAUAUUGUAAGCUAUACCUAGCAAAUAUUAAUAAUUAUGUCUAAAUCUUUCAAAAUAACAUAAUAAAAACUUAUUGGAAUAAAAAAAACUUAAAUAAGUCCUUGCCAAAGCGUGCCAGUAGGAGGUCAUGUGUAUCCAUCGGCACGCACGCGUACCACAUGUCGGCACGGAAGCGUGCCCGUGCCGUACCGUGCCAGGGAAAGAGCGGCACGCCCCCAUGCCACGGCACUUUAAACCUUGGUCAAACUAUUCUAAAGCCAUUGGCGCUAACGGAUUUCAAAUCUGAUGCACGGUUUUCGAGGAAACUGUAGAUACAUGUAUUCUAUGUAUUUGUGUGCGGAUUUUGCCUAUUGUUGAGAGGAUGAGUUUCGUCGCAAAUCGGUGAUCAAAUCUGACAAAACAAAAUUAUAGAUUCGAUGCCUCAGUCGUGCUGAACGCACUGGCGCGAUCCGAUCAAAAAUCCGACGGACGGAUCUCCAGGAAUCGCAUAAUAUUCGCUGAGGGCUCGAAAUUGGCAAAACAGAAAAUCUGUGAAAAGCCCAAUAUUUUAUGUACCAUUUUGAGUGAUUUCGAACGUCGAGCUGCGCACGCGCGAAACACGCACUGCAAGGGACUGGGCUGAAAAUAGUCAGUUUUGGAGGACUUUUCUGCAAUAUUACAUCAUAUACAUAUGUUGGUGCCCUAACCCUAGCGGACCAGCUACCUCAGCUGUGCCCCAACCGUCACCAGCCACCUCCCAGCCCCUCGCCGCUUGCACCCCGACCGCCGGCGAUCGUUUCCGACCGCCGGAAAGGCCGGCAUUGCCUUUCUCUCUACCUUGUCUCCACCAUAUCGGCCGUCGACCUCGAGGAAUCAACCACACACGCCGGGCCCUCUCCCUCGGCCGAGACCCGACAUCCGGCGUCGUCCCCGCCUGCCCGUGCGCGCCGUCCCCACCGGCCCCCGCCGUCCGCGCGCGCCGUGUGCGCCGCCUCGGCGAUCCACGGCCACCCGCAGGCAGCUCAAGCCGAGCUUGAGCCAGCUCGUCGGGGUUGGCCGUGCCGCGCCGCCCUCCUGGGCCUCCGGAAAAACCCCCGUCGCCGUCGCCACCGUCCCUGCAGGCCCCCGGACGCCGCAUGAACUCCCUGCGGCCACCCUGUGCAGGUUCAGGCCGAGCCAGGGCCAUCCUGGUCCCUGCGCGCCGCUAGCGCCCACCCUCGGCCUCCAGCGACUGGUCGCCGUCGCCCCGGCACUCCCCCCGCCGCCGCCCGGCCGUCGUUGCCCGAGCUGCGUGGGCUCGUACCGCUCCACCGGCCUCCUCCUACCGCCGGCCAGCGCGUGCUCGUACCCCCUCCGACCGGCCGCAACCGCCUCCUGUCGGCACGCCCGCCGUCUGACCGCCGCCGGCCAGCCCAUGCUCCUAUUGGUUCCGGUAAGUUUACUUGCAUGUUUCUGCGCACUAUUUCGGGUUCGGGUUGCUGUUCCGGCGAUCCGAUGGCACCCUGACGCUCUCGGAAGUGAGCAUGACGAUCCCUGAUCUGUGCCGAUCAUCGUGCUCACCUUCUUUGGGGUCAGCGAAGCCUCGGUUUGUGUGCUAAACACUGUUUAGGCACUGCGCGCUAUUUGCAGAAUUUCGCGUCGCUCCCGCGCUCUCCACAGUGCUCGGCCAUGCUCCGAAGCAUGAGCACAGUUUCCGGCACGUCGAGACCUAUCAGCGGGUGUCUCGAGCAGGGUCGAAAGUUCUCGGUUCGUGUUGUCGGGCAGUAAAACCCCAAAAAUUACAUAAAAUGAUGUGAUUUUAUAUAGUCGCGGGGGCUUAUAAGCAAAUUUACAUUUCGUGGUUGCUGUAGGCAGCGUGCGGGCUGCAGGUGACAUCUGGACUGGUUGUCCAAGGCCCCAGGCCUUUUCGAAAAUCGGAUGUCGAUUUUUCGUGUGCUUUUCAGCGAAAUCCGCCGACGGAACGCGAUUUCAGUUUGGAAUUCUUCCGACGGUGCCUCAUGGUAAAUUAUGUCGUCGCUGAGUCUUGUUGGCUGGUCACUCGCGUCAUUUCGAAGGUUCGGAAAUGACGGGUGAGCGACGAUGGGUUCCUGUGUCGAAAUUGACACUUCUGGGAACUCGGAUCGACGAUAAUCGUUUCGAUGUGGGGAGAUGUGUUUGCUGCCAGGUCACACAAAUUAUUGUGUUUAGUGGCAGCAGGUGACUCGUGGUACGAGUCAGUGAGUUCCGGGACAGUUCGUCAGUCCCGGCGAAGUCCCAGUGCGAUUUUUGGGACUUCCGGCGAGUUACAAUAAUCGAUUUUGGGAAACCAACUUCCAUGGGUUUACAGGUGGGGAUUGUGAAUUAGUGGUUCUCAUUAGUGGGUUGAAUUCUAACCCGAUGGACCCUUCGUAGAUCCGAUUGAUAUUCUUCCGCAGUCGGGAGACUAGUUCUAAGUACGUACAGGUGGGUAUUUCGACCGGAAGUCGGUACAGUGGUGCAUGCUCGGUGACAUCUUCUUCCUCCCUCUUUUCUUUUAUUACCCGGCAUAUAUAUGUUGAGCCUAGCACCCUUAUUAUCUAUUUAUCGCUCUACCUGGUUGUUUACAUAUCUAGCAUCAUGAGUAGAAGUAGAGAAGGUUUGUGAUUACAUGUGAGAUCUGUGACCAAGUCGGUCGAUUCUUGUAUCUCGUACUGUGACCUAUUCGGUCGGUUCACUGCAUCUGUUAUUGUGAUCUACUUGGUCGGUUGGACUACUUGGUGACCUACACGAUCAGUACACCCUAAGGGGUAGGGUUGUCGGCUAGUUGCUGAUGGUUGUUUAUUGAGCAUAUUAGCAUCGAUCGCCACUACUCGUACGCAUUUCACGAACACCAGCGGUCUGAUCCACCGCAAAGGGUGUUCUUUAACGAAAAAGUGGUUGAAAAUGCUAGUCCGUGAGCCCAAGAGCUUAUGCUGGGGUUAUAUGCUUUCAGACCCAAGAGCUUAUGUUGGGAUCAUAUACCUUUCCGACCCAAUAGCUUAUGCUGGGGUCAUAUACAGGUUAGAGCACUUCUGGCACAGGUCUGAGGUGUGCGAACCAACAUGGCAGGUUUCUGAUUGUGUUACUUUUGGACUUGUCGUCCGGUUGAUGCAUGCAUACAGUAGCAGUAGUGAUUCAUACAUAUAUAUCUCGUCUCUUGUUUAUCAUUGCUAUUGUAUUACCAUUAUCUAUACUUUUGUUUAUCCUCCUUGACUGGUGAGUACCUCUCGCCCUCGUGGGCUUGCGAUACCCACUGGGAGGGGAGACAUGUGUACAUGUUCUCACCUCCCCACCCCCCUUUCAGGUGACAUCGCUGGUUCGAGUCGGGACGGUAUGUGAGGUGCGCAUCUUAGCGAGCGAUAGAGCUAUCGGCCCGCCGUUUUGGUUAAACUCCUAAACCUAUCUGUUUAAAUAAUUGACUUAGUAUUUAUAGUUCAGUUGGUUUAACAUUAUUUGGAUAAAUGAGGUUUUGUGAAUGGAAUAAAGAACUUAUGGUUUUCGUUUGAGAUGAAAACGGCUUUCUACCCCUCGUGGUAACGUGUUUUAAAAGAAAAAGGUUUCUGUGUGAGAAACGGUUUUAAAAAAAAGUUUUUCUUGGUUUCAUGACUUAGUGUUUCAAAAUGAGUUUCAGAGUAGGAAACAUUUUUAAACUAAUAGUUGUGGAUUUACGGAUAUCUCUGAUGAAAUGAAUGUAAAUGUGAAUGGUGAAUGUAUGUGUAAGGAAUUGAAUUCUCGAUACGUGAAUCCGAAAUUCGAUCGAAAUUGAUCGAAGGCGAGUUCGGGACGCUUCGGAAAGGCCGAACGCGUCGAAAACGGCUUUUAGAGGGUUGUAGAGGACCUUGGAGAGUUGGUAGUGCAAAUCUACACUUUUGCAGAAAUUACCUCUCUCGGGGUCCGAACCAUAGCUUCUGGGUCCGGACCCGAUAGCCCGAUUUCGCCCAGUGCGGGCUGUGCAGAAAACUGAUAGUUAAGGGGGUUUCUUGCAAUUUUGCUAUGAGAGGAGUUAAAGGCUUUUAGAGGCUGAUCUCCUAUACACUGGAGUGAUGUUGGCGAACGUGCGGUAUUAGGCCCCGAUGUCUUGCGGGAGGCGGAAGAGAAGGUCCACCUUGCUCGCCAAAGAUUGGUUACGGCGAAAUCAAGACAAAAGAACUAUGCGAACAAGCGCCAUCGAGAUUUGGAGUUCGCGGUGGGAGACCGCGUCUUUUUGAAGGUUUCACCCAUGAGGGAUGUGAAGCGGUUUAGAGUGCGGGGAAAGUUGAGCCCCCGGUACAUUGGACCUUACGAGGUGUUAGAGUGGAUUGGUGCGGUAGCCUAUCGGCUUGCGUUGCCGCCCAAGCUCGCGGACGUUCACAACGUGUUUUACGUUUCCAACCUUCGCAAGUAUAUCCAUAAUCCCGAGCACGCUUUGUUGUAUGAGCUACCGAAACUUUAAGAAGAUAUGUCUUAUGAAGAGUUCCCGGUGUCAAUUAUUGCUCGGGAAGUGCGAAAGUUGAGAAACCGCGAUAUCCCCUACGUCAAGGUUCGGUGGAGCAAUCACGACAAUCGCGAAACCACGUGGGAACUCGAGGACAUGAUGAAAGCGCAUCAUCCUCAUCUCUUCGAGGAGUUGAGUUGAAGUAUGAGUUUAUGUUUAGGUUGAGUUAGUUUCGAGGACGAAACUCCUUUUAAGGAGGAAAGGAUGUAAGGAAUUAAAUUCUCGAUACGUGAAUCCGAAAUUCAAUUGAAAUUGAUGGAAGGCGAGUUCGGGACGCUUCGGAAAGGCCGAACGCGUCGAAAACAGCUUUUAGAGGGUUGUAGAGGACCUUGGAGAGUUGGCAGUGCAAAUCUGCACUUUUGCAGAAAUUACCAUUCUCGGGGUACGAACCCUAGCUUCAAGGUUCGGACCCCGUAGGCUGUGCAGAAAACUGAUAGUUAAGAGGGUUUCUUGCAAUUCUGCCAUGAGGGGAGUUAAAUGAGGGAUUGUCUCGCUCAUUUCUCUUAUUUACUCCCAAACCUAACCCUAAACACACUCCCUCUCUCUCUAAAGCUCUCUUUCUCUCUCUCUUCAAGGUGGGAUUCAAGAGGAGAGAUUGGUGGAGAAGCAAGCUUGGAAGUUGAUCUUCAUCUUCUUCAUCUUCUUCCUCACCAUUGGAGCAAGCUUUGGAGGUAAGCUUGAUGCCGUUUAAUGGUAGAUCUUUAGGACUUGAAUCUUUUGCUCUAAGAAUGGUUUUAGAUGAACCCUAGGAUGCUAAGAAAAAGGUUAUUGCUUGAAUCAUGGGGUCAUAUGAUGAUUUUUGCAAUAGUAGCAUAUUAGGGCUCCAAAUAGGGUUUUGUAAGAUAUAAGAGUUUGAUCUAAAUUGGACCUAUGUAAACCUAAUUGCUAGGUAUUCUAACGCGCUGGUGAAGUCGGUUCGGCGAUUCGUCGAGCCUACGCGAAGAUAUUGGGAAAAAGGACCAUUUGAGCUUCGUUUUCGCCUGGAAGGCCAAGGCAACGUCCAAAAAUCACGAAACCGGAUUCCUAGCAUCGUGACGUCAUUUAGAGGUAGGGGGUGUCACCCGAAGCAACUGAGCUCCCUUCUGUGUCUAAGAUUGCAUUGUGACCUUGCAUUUCUCAUAUUGUAAAGCAUAGUAGGAUUGUAGUUUGUUGCAUUUCCAUUCCUUAUAUGAUUUCCUAGUCGAUAUCGUAUUGUGGGACGAACACAUGACAUAGUGGAUAUGUAAGGAAAUGGGACUUGACAUUGAAAUCCUAUGAUGCUAAAACAGGUAGAGAACUUGAUAUGUGUAGUGGCAUAACGAGUGGCAUUUAAAUAAUGUUUGAUGACAUAGAUAUUAAGUGGCAUGAUGAAUAUAGUGUAGAUGAAACACUUGAACAUUAGGGAUAGAGGAAUUUCCCAAGUAAUGAUAUGUUGCAUGUGAACUUAGUGUAGUGGGAACACUUAAACACGAACAUUAGGGAUAGUCGAGUUCCCGCAUUGUUGAUUAGCCCUAGAUGGUAGGGUAUCCUCAGUUGGCGAGGAUUGGAUCAUACUCAUAUAGUCUAUUUUCGCUAGGCGUGGUCGCUCCACCCAAAUAGUGAGCUCCGGAGUCAUCACGUGAUGAACUAACGUACAUGUCCAGCAGACGGUCUCGGGUUUGCGAGCAGGAGGGUCACCUUACCUAUGGGAUUGCACUGUGAGUCAUGGGCAAACCUUCGGGUUAGCCAAGUGAUUGGGUGAACAUAUGAAUGACAAGUUUAUUGAACAUAGUAGCAUGAUAGUUGACAUCAUUACUAUAUAGUUCUUGCAUGCAUUCAUAAUGAUUGAGGCAUAGUAGUUCAUUUGUGGAUUUCGUUAUUAUAUAGCAGUUGAUUGCAAAUUUAUCUAUCUACUUAUGCCUGCUUAGACCUAGUGGGCAGAUCGGCGGAGUCGGUGGCCGAACCCACUGGGAACUAUUCGUAGUUCUCACCCCACUUUGUUGCAGGGCCGAGUUCGAGUACACCGGGCGAGGAUCGCGGUAAGGGCAUAGCGCCCUAGUAGCUAGCAGCUUCCAUUUUGCAUUAGAGUACCCUCGUGUACACGGUUGACAUGUGAUGUAGAUGUAUUUUGGGAGUUACUUAGGUAUCUAGAUGAUGAACUUGUAAAUCUUAUGUAUACAUUUUGGGAGAUGGAAAUGAAAACUGAUGUAAAUGGUUGAAUGAAAUAUAAUAGUUAGUACACUCUCUCUCUUUUGCUCUCUUGUAUGCUUGUUUAGCUACUUGCUUGGAUCAUGUACAUUGUUUAAGUUUUCUGGGCAACUUAUUGUACUUGAUUGUCAUUGUUAGCCUUGGGCGGACAGGGGAGGUGCUGUCCGUCCGGCGUCUGUUCGACGUGCCCGAACCGACCAAAUUGUCGGUUGCGGGGUGUGACAGUAUGUGUAUGCUUAUACGGUUGUGGUUGUAUAUUGUACUUGUGCGACGCCGUGCAAAUAGAGAGGAGACUCUGUCCGUGUGAACAGUGAACAUCCUGUAUUUGUGGCUGAUCUGACAUACUUUGGGGUCAAGGUUUUCAAAAAAAAAAAAAAUUGGGCACGGGCAUUUCCGCAUUGGCUUUUAAACCCAAUAGGGAGCCCGGGGCGUAACAUCUCGAUUCCGUCGAGAUGUCAUCAUGAUAGCUCUGGUAUAAGUUCUCUCGAAGUUGGCGCGACUCCGCCUCAGAAAUCCAACUACUAUCGGGCAAUGGUCAUCCACGCCAACACACCAAGUAUCAGCGAUGAGUACUACCUCGCGUCGCAGACUCGCGCACAUCCAGAAUAUCCUCCACGCUAUCUGAUGGAGUUUCAAUGUCGGAGCGAGAUGUCAAGCCGUCAAUAUCAACAGUAGAUAGGGUUUCUCCAGUCCAUAGUACUCGUACUGUCGUACAGCUCGCUGACACUGAAGAUCGGGAAGGUCAGUACUUCCUAGGGUCGAUCAAUUAGAUAAUCGUUUUUCCCCAAUUUUUUCAGAAUUUUGAAUGGCUCAUACUUUUUCCUGUUCAACUUGCUAUAGCCUCCAGCUGGGGAACCUUUCUUUCCUAAAAUAGAUUAAGACAUUAUCUCCUUCAUUAAAAGUCAUACCUCAGCGAUGUUUAUCAGCUGACUUCUUAUACUUGACAGUGGAAUCCCGCAACAUCCAAUGAACCUGUUGUUGCACCUCUUGAAUCUGUUUUAGGUAAUAGUCGGCAUCUGCACUAACUCUACCAGGGUAAGGUAUUGGUGCUCGGUCAAGAACGUGGGCUAUAGCUGGCCAUAUAAAGCUUCAAAAGGAGAUUUUCCAAUGCUUCGGUUUAUGGAAUUGUUAUCCGCAAAUUUAGCUUGAGGUAAAAUUAAAUCUCACUAUGUUGGCUUUUCUCAAGCUAAACAUCUUAAGAGAUUACCCGAAGAUUGAUUAACUAUUUCCGUCUGCCCGUUAGUUUGUGGAUGGUAUGGGCUACUGAAAUUCAAUUUGCUUAUUGCUUUUGACAUUAAAGUCCUCCAAAAAUGACUAACAAAUUUUGUAUCUCAAUUAGAGGUAAUUGAUUUAGGAAUGCCAUGUAAACGUACAAUUUCAUUAAAAAAUAAUUUUUGCAAUAUGUGAUGCAUCAGAAGUUUUCUCACAAGGAAUAAAAUAAGCCAUUUUCGUAAAACGAUCAACCACAAAAACUAAAUCAACUUGGCGUGCAGUCUUGGGUAGGCCUAGGACAAAGUCCAUGGUAAUAUCCUCCUAGGGCAUAGUGGGAAUGUGCAGGGGAGUAUACAAGCCAGUAUUUUGAGUUUGUCUUUUAAAUGAUUGACAAGUUUUACACCGCUGAACAAACCUUACAAAGUCCUUACUUAUUUUAGGCCAAUAAUACCGCUCUUGAACUAAUCCCAAAGUCUUGUCUCUCCCGAAAUGUCCCCCUAGCCCACUACUAUGCAGAUUCUGAAUCAAGGACUCUCUUAACGAUCCUCAGGGAAUGCACAACUUGGACUUUCUAAAAAGAUACCCGUCGUCCAAACAGUAAUCAAAAGAUGAAUCAUUGUCAGAAGAUAGGCACUUUUCUAGGAUAGUACUGAAUUUAGGGUCAUUUUGAUAUUGGUCCUUAACUACCUCAAAUUCUACCAUCUGUAAGAAGUGAUAAGCAAAUGGUUUCAACGGUUGAGUGGAUCAGCGACUCGAUUAGCAAUGCCUUGUUUAUGCCGCAAAUGAAAAGUGUAUUCUUGCAGGAAUGCAGUCCACUUGGCAUGUCUUUUGUUCAAGUUCUUAUGAGAAUUUAAAUAUCGCAAUGCUUCAUGAUCCGAAUUAAAAAUAAACUCUCGAUGAAUAAGUAGGGCCGCCAAUGUUUCAAAGCCUGCACAAUCGCGUAAAAUUCAAGAUCAUAAGUGGAGUAACGCGCUCGUGCAUCGUUCAAUUUUUCAUUAAAGAAGGCUAUAGGACGUUCCUCUUGAGACAGUACACCUCCAAUUCCGAUGUGUGAAGCAUCACAAUCAAUCUCAAACACUUUUUCUAUAGUGUACUGGAUUUUAAUAUGAAAGUAAGUGUAAAUAAAAAUGGUGGGAGGUACUAUUUUUAUUGGACUUAGAAAAAUAAAGUAUAAGUCGGAAAUGACUUGUGCUGAAAUUGAAAUGAAAACAGAAAAUUUAGAAUUUUCUGUAAAAAACGGAGCUUAUUUUUUAGCAAAAAAUUCACAGUGCCAGAAAAUUAUGAAAAUUUGAGAAUAUGUCGGAAUUAUUUUUCUGAGGCUAGAUUUAAAGUUUCAUAUCAUUCCGACACCCAGAAAGUGGAAACGGAACAUAAUAGCAAUUUGAUAGAGAUUUUAUUUGGUAGACUUUUCGGUGACCAAAAAUGGUUCGAAACUGAAAAAUUAAAAUAACGUUAUUCUGAUUGAUUUUAACAGAGCCUGACUGUCAAAUUUGAAUGCAAAUGGACAUUCAGAAGGGCUCCGACGAAAAGUAUCAGAUUUAAACUGAGCUGGAGAUGUAAUUUCUAAUAAGUGCAGGGGGUUCCUGCGAAUUUGGCUAGCCUUCUUCUUCUUCUUCUCCAACUUGAAGAUUUUGGUGGAGAUUGAGCUCGGGAUGCUUGGAGGAAUGGAGUGGAGAAUCGAGCUCUCGGGCACUUGGUGAAUCAGAGCGCUUUCGACUUGAGGUUCGUUUUUGGGUUAAGAGAUUAAGGAUUUGGAUUUUAAUUUGGAAAGUAGAUUUUGGUGAACCCUAGGCUAGUCUAAGCUCCGAAUUGGUAGAGAUUAGUAUGAGAUUGGAGGAUUUUCUUGAAUUGUGAGAAUCUAGGGUUUAGAAAGGAGCUUUUGCAAUUAUAGGAUUUUGAUCUAAAUUGAUCCUGUAAUCCUUUAAUUAAAGGUUAUGGAUGGAUGCCUAGUAGCUUCGAUUCAAAUAAUAACAAUAUUUCGGCGAUCAAUUGGAGGAAACGAGCCGAUUCAUGAAGAUUUGGGUUUGUUGGGCUUAAAGCGCGGCAAAUCGUCAUUGGGAGCCUAAUUGCAAGUGUCUACAAGCAAUUAGGAAGCGUGUGAGGUGCGUUGUGCUUCACCGAAGUGAUUAGAUCACUUCCACGUCGAAAAAGUAAAGUUUAAUAUUGUUUUACUUGAUGCAUGUAUUAGUAGUUUAAUUGGUAAUUGUGCAUUUAUAGAGCAUGUGAUUCUAAAUGAGGAACUACUAUUGUACAAGAUUUAAUUAUGUGCAUAGACCAAGAUAUACAUAAUUGUAAUUAUGCAUGUUAGGGUUCAAGUUAUGUAUUGUUAUUAUUAUUUGCAUGUUUCCUAAAUUAGAAGUAGACAACUAUUGUUGAGAACUCUAAAACUCAGGAUGCACGAAUAUAGUGCCAUGUGAACCCUAGAGAUGCAAUGAACUAGUAGAGUAAACUAGUUGUAUGGACAUAGGUUGAAAAACAUAGUGGUAGGAUGACCACUUGGAUUGGAAUGUCAUUGAACCUAUAGUCGAGUGAACCUAUGUGGGAAAGACAUAGGACCUAGUGUUGUUAAACCUAGGUAUGAAAAUAUAGUGGUAGGAUGACCACUUAGACAAGAGAACAUAAACCUAGAGAGGUUGACAAUUUAGGGUAAAUGAUGAACCCUUGAGACUUGGAAUGGAAAAUGAUGUGCACAUCUAAUGAGUUUGGUAUGUGAGUCAUCGUUCGGCGUGUGCAGCGAUUUCGCCGCCAGAUGGAUUUUGGUGCGACGAUUUCGCCGCGGAAGGCUGGAUACCCGAGGUGUGUGCGACGAUUUCACUGCCUAGGGACUUGAGCCAUUGUUCGACGUAUGAGACGAUUUCGCCACCAGAUGGCUAAGUCAAGUAAAGGAUUACACCACCCGGCGACUUAAGCCAUUGUUCGGCGUGUGCGACGAUUUCACUAUCAUAUGGCUAAGUCAAGUAAAUGCGGUAAGCUGUGGAUGAUUGAGUUAAGACCGAGUCGGGUGAUAUAGCUUGGCUAAGGUAAGAGAACCUUAGGAACGGAUUGGAACUGAGAUAGAUAGUGAAAUAGAAAAGUAGAAAAGGAAUACCUUUUUGCAUGGAUUUCAUUAUUGCAUUUAGUUGAGGCAUAAGCAUGUUUUAUUACUUGCAUAUAGUUGAGUUAUAUGUUUAUAUACUGGACUAACUUAUGUUGCCUCCUUUGGACCUGGUGGGUCGAGUUCUUUCCUUGGGUGGCCGUACCCACUGGGAACGAUGUUUAUUGUUCUCACCCCCAUGUUUUUUGGGUCCUCAUGUGAGCGGUGCGGCGACGCAGGGAAAGGUCGUAGCUCAGUAGAUAGUGCCCUACCACUUGUGACCAGAGAUAGAUGUACCCUCGGUCAGCAUAGCGUAGGGUAUGGAAAGAAAAGAAAGAAACAAAAUUGUAAUAAAGUUGAUUGCAUUUGGAAAAAUGUAAAUGUAAUGUAAAGUGAAUGCUUGUAAUAGCGUAGUUGUUUAUGUUUUUGAUACCUCUUUAUGCAAUCUAUGUAUGCAUUCUGUUCUUGGUCGGAACAUCGUGAAUUGUACUGAUUGUGACAACUUGGACGUACAAGAAAAACUCUGUCCGUUCGGCGAUCUGUGUGAGUGCCCGAACCGACCAAAGAGGCGGUCUCGAGGCGUCACAUUUUCAACGUCAGGCAAGGCAAGUACUGGAGCCUUUGCAAGUUUGUCCUUAACCAAUUGAAAACUUAUUUCAGCUUCAAAUGUCCAAGUAAAUUUACCCCCUUUUAGGCAAUCAGUUAUUGGCGCAAUUAAUGAACUGAAAUUUCGAAUGAAACGCCGAUAAAACGACGCAAGUCCAUGGAAACUUCGGAUUUCAGUUAUGGUCUUUGGGGUUGGCUAACUUUGAAUUGCUUCUAUCUUAACAGGAUCAACUUUAAUUCCCUCGAUGGACACGACAUAGCCUAAGAAGGUAAGGCUAUCGGUCAGGAAUGUACACUUCUUAAGAUUCAGGGAUAAGCUGUUAUCUCUUAAAGUUUGAAGCAAUUGUCUUAAAUCAUCUACAUGAGUUUCAAUACUUGUGUUAUGAAUCAGAAUGUCGUUGAAGUAAACUACAACAAAUUUUCCAAUGAAUGGUCGUAAGACUUGGUUCACAGAGCGCAUUAAAGUAUUAGGGGCAUUGGAUAACCCAAACAGCAUAACCAGCCACUUGUAUAAUCCUUCUUUGGUUUUAAAUGCUAUUUUCCAUUCAUCUCCAGGUCGAAUAUGAUAUCCGCUCUUAAGGUCAAUCUUAGGCUACAUUUGGUUGGAGGGAUAUCCCAAAACAAGGUGGGAUAUCCCCCCAUCAAUACCCAAACAGAAAAAAAAAGAGAGGGGGAUUUGUUGUUCCGGGCUUAAUAGGUUGUUCUAAGAAAUAAUUCCAAGAACAACCCGUUAAGCCUGUUCUCCCCAGAUGAGAGAAUUAGGGGGAACAACUUGGGGGCUAUGUUUGUUUACCAUUUUGCCCUUUAACCCUUCAGGAUGUGUUUAGGAAUUUUUUUGGAAAUUUUUUUAAUUUAUAAGAGCCACACUAUUUUGACUUAUUAAUAUUUAAUUUAGUAAAUUAAAAGAAAUAGAUUGAAUGAUUAAUUUAAUUUAAUAAGUGCUAUUCCAUUUUAGAUAUUUAUAUUUUAAAUUAGUUUUGAAAAAAAUAAAAAAAUAUUUAAAUUGAAUAGUACUAAAUUAAUAUUUUCAAAUUAAUAUACAAAUAUACUUAGUUUGUAAAUUAAUUUAUUUUAAUACUUAAUUUAUUAAAUCAUAUUUGAUUAUUAUAUUCAAGGGCAAAUUUGUCAUUUUAUUUAAUUUUUAUCUUUCCAACACCUUAUUUCAACAUAAACAUCCAAACACUAUCAAGAAUAUUCUCUAGGAACAAACAAACAACAUCCAAACGUAAUUUACAAUUUGUUCUAGCUUAUACCGGAAUAUCCCCUGUUCUCGGGAACAACAAAAGUUGUUCUCCAAAUUUAGUUCUUUAGCCAAACGCAGCCUUAGAGAAUAUCUUCAGACCUCAUAACAUGUCAAGCAUAUCAUCAAUCCUAGGAAUAGGAAACCGAUACUUGAUGGUAAUUUUGUUAACUGCUCGACUGUCAACACAUUCGCCACGUUCCGUCCUUUUUGGUGUAAGGAGGGCAGGCAUCGCGACAAGGCUCAUACUUUCUUUAAUGUAACCUUUUUGCAGAAGUUUAAAAACCUGCCUGUGUAACUCUUCAUGUUUUGUGGGACUCAUCCUGUAAUAGGCUAAGUGUAGAAGACUAGCACAAAGUACAAAAUCAAUGCAGUGUUGGAUGUCUCUUAUAGAUGGAAGGCCAUCAUGGAGUUCCUCAGGCAUGACAUCAGAAAAUUCAUUCAACAAUGGUUGAACAGCUUGAGAAACUCUAGUGUUCUUCAAUAUUUCUUUUGCCAAAAGAAUAUAUACCACUGGAGACUUUGCUAGAUCUUUCGAGAAUUGGUUUUUGUUCAAAACCAUAAUUUUCUAUUCAUUAUUGGAGGGUUGCUUUUGGGACUCACUCGAUUUAGACUUUAGUUCGGGUAAGUAAUUUAUGGGAACCAAUCUAACUUUCUUAAUUGUCUUUUGUGACAAUGUAAGUGUUCUCCCUACCAUCAUGUAUAGUACUACGAUCAAACUGGCAAGGUCUACCCCACAAUAAGUGACUCACAUCCAUAGGAAUAACAUCACACCAGAGUACCAGACUUUAUAUGUUAUUCCAACUGAAAAUUCAACAAAACAUCUUUCGGUUAUAGGAAACUCAUCCUUAUCCUUAAACCAAGCUAUUUUGUAAGGUUGAACAAGUUUUUCAGUUUUCGGUUUAAGUUUAUCAACCAUUUCUCUAGAAACAAAGUUUUCAGUACUUUCACUAUCAAUGACCAAAGAGCAAAACUUGCCUCCCACGCUACAGAUGGUUCUGAAAAGGCUACGACGCUUCUAAUCAUCUUGGGUAGACUUAGAGGCUGAUAGGACUCGAUGGAUCAUACUAUUUAGUCUGAAAAGGCUACGACGCUUCUAAUUGGUUUCGAUUAGAUUUAUGUAAGAAAUCUGAACCCUAUGUAAUUUAACCCGAUUUUAUUUAUUCUAGUAAAUAUAAUACAAAAACAACCAUACUAUUUAGUCUAAUUUAAUCUAAUCUACUAUAUUGUAGUAUAUUUAUAUCCUCCGCCUCUUAUGUGACAAAAGGGUCAUCGUAACGCCAAAUGGUCUCCAAAGCUAAAUGCUAGACCUACAUUUCCUUGAUGGUGAAAUGAGUAAGUUGGGUACCAUUUUUCAACUGAAGCAAAUGUAUACUUUGUUAACAUAACUACUGCUUUCUAAUAGAAAUGUUUCUCUGUAUUGUUCAUCUAUGUAGUAACUGUUACAUCCUCAGGCUGCAGUCAACAUCUUUCAAAAAACGUUUCUAACUGUCAAUGUGCUUGAUGUAAAUGUUGAAGAAGUAUAUCCCUGUUUUCAAUUUGCCAAGUCAUUACGAUAAUCAUGGUACUAAUCAUGUAUAGGGUUCACUAAACAAGUUCCAUGAGAAAUAUACUUUAAAUAAGAGAGUAAGAAAAGUAUAUCAACCAACAUCCUAGUUCUAGGGUAAAAUAAUUAUCUUCAUCUUUUUUAGACGCUUAGAUUGCCAAUUCUCCUACAUUUUACGGAGAUGAUUUAAACAAGAAUAAUUUAAUCUUCAUUUUAACAAUUUAUAUCUUAGCAUGCACGUGCAAUUCAUAGAUGACAUGAAAUUUUUAUUUUCUUUUGCACCAAUAUAUUCUAAUUGUUUAUUACAUAACUAAUGCCAAAUCUUUCACACUUUAUUGAAGUAACUACAUACUAAUUUCCAAAAAAAAAAAAAAAGCCGUUUGAGUCAUGCCAUCAACAUGGAGGUCGUAUCAUGCCAAUACCUUGUCGACAUGGUACGGCUUGAUGGACAGAGUCUGUGCCAAUGGACACUUAAAUCCUUAGUGGAUACUCUUUCUACCAAAUCAAUACCAUGUUGGCAAAGCAAUAUAGUGCGGCACUCAAAACACAAUGAACCAUUUCCUGUGUUCACAUGUACGUAGGGAAAGGGAUUUCUAGUUUUCUACACAUAAAGAGAUUUUGAAGGCGGGCCAAGGAUUUAUAUGGACAUUGAGCAUUUCUCAACACAAUCAAUUAUCACCAUGUUUUUAACAUCGUGAGUGAUUCACCAUUUUCAGCAGAUAUUCAAUACCUCCCUUUCAGUGCCAACAUAGUUUGGAUGUGGUAAAAGACUAAAAGCGAGUUCCACAAGCAGUUUUUAUGUGGGAUUAUUUUAUGAAAGAACAAUAAACUACAUACGAGCACCAUAUAUCUGACUUGAUAUGGUAUCUUUUAAGUUAUAACUAAAUAAUAGAAGAGAAAAUUGACUACUUAAGUACAAAAAUAGAAAUACAUGGUGAAAUUCAAUUGUGCAUAAAACAAAUAUUAUUGCUAAAAUCAAGUGCUAAAUUCAUUUAAAAACCAUAAAUCAACUUACUGAAAACAAAGAAUCUAGGAUAGAAGGUAAACCUUGAGUUCAUAUUUUCUCAAUGUCUUAAUGACAAAUCUUUCAUCCUGUGAAAGAUAGAAUAUGCUCCCACUUUUCCCUGGAGAAGAAAGCUCCUUUAAACCAUCACCCCCACAUAUGGACAUCAUGUAAUCUGCAGCAUCAAUCUUAAACAUUUCCCGAAGGUUCCUGAAAAUAUAGUUUGAUAGAAAGAUCAAUUAGAUGAAGAUAUUGUCAAAUGUCACUUGAUCCAGAAACUUGUAGUGAAGAGUUGGGUGCCAUCGCAGUAUAUCAAGUUACUUCUACCGUCCAACAGGUAGAGAUCAGCUGUAUAAGCAGAGUAGAAAUCCCUUGCAAUAGUUGUAGAAUCUUAUUGCAAUUGUCCAUUUUCAGAAAGCUGGCAUAUCAUUGAUCAAUAGAUGAAAAAUAGCAUAAAAUGUAUGGAUAGACCAUGUACUAUCCUGCUAUUGCAAUUUAGUCCUUGGAACUUUUUAUUCAGACACUUCAGCACUGCACUUUCUCAUAUACUCCUGGCCAUUAAUGCCUUUGUGCUAUGAAACGACCUUUUAUGGGUACACAGAAACCAAAGAAGUCAUUUUAUAAAAGGAGAAUUCAUUGGAAAAAAGAAAAAGCUAAAUUACAUAAAACCCUCCCGUCAAAACCCAAUUUUUUACUUUCCCCCCCUGUCAUUUAAAGACCUACACUUUGCCCCCUUAUAAAAUAAAAAACGUUCACUGGGGGGUACAGUGUGAAAUGUGAUGACAAAAUGACCAUUUUAACCCUCACUAUUUUCGUCUCCUCCUCAUCUUGCUCAUUCACUGCCUUGAUCGGCCGCGAUUCCUCUCCAUUUUUUUUUCCACCUACUCCCCUUCCCCUCCUGCACUCUCGUCACCUCUCCAUUUUGGCGACAGUAGGGAGGAAAUCGAGAUGAGCGUGGAUGGAAAGGUGGGCAAAGGCAACGAAGGCGAAGGUGAGGCGGCGGAGGAGGGCGAGAGGGUGUUUAUGGGCGCAGACGGAGACGUGGGCGAGGGAGAGGCAGUGAAGAAGGGCGAGGUGGCGAGGCGGAUGACGACAAAGCACAGUAGAGGGCGGAGGGUAUUUUUGGCAUAAAAAAUAUUUUAUAACGGAGCCCUAACAGAUCACUAACGGUAGGAGGUGAAGUGAACAUUUUUCAUUUUACAAGGAGGCAAAGUGUAGGUUUUUAAAUAAUAGGGAGGGAAAGUGAAAAAUGGGGUUUUGACAGGGAGGUUUUCUGUAAUUUAGCCAAAAGAAAAUGAUAUUUUUAAUGUUUAUAGAUGAAUUAGAAUAUUUUAAAACACUCAGCGAAUAGUGUUUAAAUACAGGAACUAAGUCGCAAUAUUGGGAUAGUAUAGGAACUAUCUAAACAUUUUAUGCCAACGAAUAUAACAUAUUAAAACAUACCUAAAGACCAUAGGGCAGUAGUCCUUCCAAAAGAAACUGAUAGAGUUAUGUGAAGGUGUAUAUUGCGAACCAUCCUUAGGGAAAUACAUUCUUAUUCUUGCUCGAGGACCAAAAUCAGAAGAACGAACCUCGCGCACAGGGACAGGUGUAAUUUUUCCAACUGUAUACCUGAACAAUCACAUCAAUUACAUAGUUACUCUAAUCAUGUAAUUGCACAAAGCUAAUAGCACAACAUAAUAUUUACAUUCAUACAGAGACCAUUGAGCAGGAAAUAUAACUACACUAUGAAAACUCAAUAACUAACAGAUAUGUUCAUCAUUGAGAUUCUCAUCAUCUAAAGGGUUGUUUGAUUGGUAGCAUUUCAAUGUACAUUGCGAGUGCAACUACAAACAAGAACAAAAGAUUUGUUUGUUUUCUUGUAGUUGCGACUGCAAAUUGUAAAACGGACCUACAAACAUCCAACUACAGCAUUUCGACCAAUACCCAAUCAGAUAUAGUUGAAAACGUAGAAAUCGGAGAGAGAAAUUUUACAAUCCAAACAAGAGUAAUCUUACAUUACCACUCACCUGUUAAAUAACCAAAAAAACAAAGACCAAUUUCUAUCAUUAGAUAGUAAUCUCACCAUCUCACAUAAAAUAACCAAAUUUAUAAAUGCAGCUUUGAAUUACAGGUAACCAAUCAAAGAAAAUAUGUAGAUGCAUAACUCUCAACCACAUACCGCCAAAGGGCCUAGAUGCAAAUAUAACUACUGCAUCUCCAACUACAUGCAUCAAUAAUUACACUGUAUCCAAAAUAUCAAGCCAUAUUUCAACUCAGAGUAAGACUACAAUUAAGGCUUGUAUAUAAAAACACAAAACAGUCAAACUAUAACUUCAGAAUUUUUAUUUCUCCUUUUUCUUCUGAAGAACCUAGUAAACACAUGCCAAGAAUAGAAGAGCAUAAGUAAUCCCACUGAACCAGUCCUUGCCAUAAAUAAUUAUUUAUAGCAAAAUUUCCAUUAACUUAAUGCAAUUUAGUUACUCAUUCAGAUUUUUAUUUCAUUAACCAAAAUCUGAAUUAGGGGGGAAAAAACAUGAGGAUUCAACCAAGAUACUGUGGCAUAGGGUCGUGCCGGAAACUUGCCGGCACGGUACGGUACAAUGCGUGCCGGGUCGUGCCGAUGCGUGCCGAUCAUAAAAAAUUCAUGUGUGCCAACACAUAAUAGCAUGAAAUAUUUAUUUUCAUUAGCAACAAAAUAUUCUAAUUGUUCAUUAUGUAUUUUUUAUCAAAUCUUUUGAACUUUAUUGAGAAAAUUACUUACUAAUUUAAAGAAUAGAAAGUAUUGAGCUAUGUCGUUGGCAUGGGACUGUCUCAUGCCGAUAUCUUAUUGGCAUGAUAUGGUACGAUAGAUAGGGCCCAUGCCGAUUGGCACUUAAAUCCUUGGAUUCAACCUUAACCUGUCAAAUUUUGACUAACCAAAACCUGAAUUGAAAACCAGCCCUUACGGUUUUAUUUGAAGAAAAGAAAAGCCCUACAUCCUAAUCAUAAUAAGAUUUAAUCCAUGCAAACCCAAUACUUGCACACUCAAAUCAACUAGAAUAAAGGGUAUUUGGCCCUACUUCUGAAAAGUGAUUCUGAGCCCUUUUGGGCUCAGUAGAGUGUUUGGUAACAAGUGCUCAAAAAUCUGAUUCUGCUUUUUACAAUCAGAAAAAUGAUUUUGAAGGCCCCAAAAUUAGAAACAAAAAAAAAAUGCUUCUUAAAAUCUUAUUCUGAUUUUGUACUCAAUUCAAUUUUUAUUUUAAUUUUAUAUUCAAACUUUGAAUUUAAAUUUAAUUCUAAUUUUUAAAUUUUAAAUUCAUAUUUGAAUUUUUAAAUUUCAACUUUUGUAUAAUUUCAGUUUUAAGUUUUAAAUCUCAAAUCUCAAAUUUUAAAUAUCAAAUAUCAAAUCUCAAAUCUCAAAUUUUAAAUUUCAAAAAUUUCAAAUUUCAAAUUUCAAAUUUAAGAUAAAAUUUAAAAUUUGACAUUUUAGAUUUUAAAAUUUAAAUAUAAAAAUUUAAAAUUUUAAAAUUUAAAAUUACAAGUUUUAAUAUUCAAGUUAUAAAUUUCAAAUUUCAAAAUUAAAAUUUUAAAUUUUUAAAAUUCAAAUUCUAAAUUUUUAAAAUUCAAAUUUUAACAUUCAAAUUUGAAAAUUUAUAUUUAAAAUUUAAAUUUUAAAAUUUGAUUUUUUUUUAAAUUUGAUUUAAAAAGUCAAAUUUUAAAUUUUAAAUUUUCCAAUUUUAAAUUUAUUUUUUAAAUUAAAAUAUCAAAUUUUAAAUUAAUUUACAAAUUUUAAAUUUUAAUUUUAAUUUUAAAUUAUUUAAAAUAAAAUUUAGUUAAAAUAUUAAUAUAUGUAAACAACAAAAAAAUUUUGCCAAACAGCUUUACAAAAUCACUUCAGAAAAAUCACUUUUAUCUAAACUCAGCCAAACGCUUUACAGCUCUUAACCAAAAUCAAUUCUCCAAACCAAAAUCAAUUCUGCAGAAAUCACUUUUCAAGAAUCUAGGCUCAACGGGCCCUAAAAUCAUAAUAGGACUCAAAUCCAUCAAUAGCCCAAAGACUCAAUUAAUUACUAGUAAAGACACCGGCACAUUGCAGUGGUUCAUUUCCAUACAAAUAAAUAAAGCUAAAAAAAUAAGAAACAAAAAAAAGAGUCAAAGAACAAAAAAGAAUACAAAUAAAAAAAAAAAAUUGAAGAAGAAGUAGCAGCAGUUGUAGUAAAGUAUAAGAAUAAAAAUAUAAUGAGGAUAAAAAAAAUAAGAGAAAAUUUAUAAGAAUAAUAAAUUAUAUUUAUAACAGCAGUGAAAGUUGAGGAUUUAAAAUGUCAUAUCCCUCGUAGUUCAAGCCAAAAAUUGCAACUAAUUAAAGUAUGAGCUCUAAAUUGUCAUGUGCCUCAUAGUUUAAGCUAAGAAAAUAUAAUCCAUUAAAAUUCGAGGACUAAAGUGUUACGCGUCUUAUAGUUUGAGGACCAAAAGUGUAAUUUACCCUUUUUAUAUUUUAAUUUUAUUUCAGAUGAAUUCAGAGUUUAUCAUCGAUUAGUUUUGUUCAAUCAGUAAUUUUAUUCGAGGAAAGAAUACGUUAAACUAUCUAAUAAAUUUUAAAAUGCCUAAUCGUUAAAAUUAAAAGUCGACCAAUUAUAUUUUGAAUAUUCCAAAAUAUUUUAAAUGUGAGAUUGAUCACUUAUCAAAUUAUAAAUAUCGCAUUAAAGUUUGAUAUUAAGAUCAAAAUAAAAUCGUAUUAAAUUUUUCUGAAAUACAAACCAUUUUGAAUCAGCUAUACGACCUUUUAAAAUUUUUUUUUUUACUAUCCAACUUUUUUAUAUAUUAGAUUUGAGUCAGUCCACAAUACUUUGACUUCAAAAUUUGAAUGCAUCAUUUAGCUUUACUGAUUUAUACUUCAUGUAAUUUUUGCAACUAAAUUUAUUAAAAUAACUAAUUAAUUUAAACUUCAUCAAUCUCUCUUUUACUUUUUGUUGUACAAUCUAUAUCUAAUUGAUUAAUAUUAUAAAACUAAAAUUUAUAUUUAAUACACACAAUCUUAACUAUUUAAAAGUCAUGUAUAAAUAAUUAUAUAUUUUAAAUUUUUAUAAUGAGAGAGAAAAAUUAGAUUACAUUAAAAAAAUGAGCCCAUUUCAGUCUCAAUCAGUGGAGAGAAAAAAAUUAAAUAAAAAACUUUUUAAAAAAAAAGAACUUGGCCACCCGUACCCCCACCCCCCUCAGGUGGGCCCUACACCAACCCCCAACCCCAGCCCUCCCGCUUCCCCUCCCUGCGACCUGGAUCCCAACUCCGGAUUCAUAUAUUUAUAUGGAUAUGAUUAAGCCCAAAUUAAUUAAUAAUCUUGUAGACUCUCAAUUUGCACCAUUGACGACCUCCCUUGAUGCCAAAGGAGAGAAUUUUGAAUCCUUACACCGAUAUGAAUGAUCCCCUUAAACCCACUCUCCUCAAACUAUCCAAUGAAACUGGUUUAGAAUAAAACAUAUCAAAGCCCUAUGCAUACAAAAAUCAACACAUCUGUUGCAUGUAUCUUUGAGCAGUUUAUAUCUUACUGCUGCUAUGAAUAUGCACAAAAGCACGCAGCAUAUGCAUAACAGUUAGGAGGGCAUGGUGUAUCGCGGACUUUAUGAACCCAAUGCGGAUUUCAAACAUUUGUUAUUAUCUAGGUGGCCAGAAACUCAAUCUACAAGUCAUGAAAUUCAUGCAGAAAGUAAAUUUUCCUAACUAAAAAUCAUAAAAAAUAAACUAUAUAUAAUUGGGAUAAUCAAAAUAUCAAUAAAGAAAGAAUUCAUAAUCUCAUAAAUCAUCAAAAACCCUUAAACAUAUACUGCUUCACUCUAUUCCGUUUUUCUCUCUUUCUACUUGUGACAUCAUUUCCCUCUCUUGUAUUCUAACACAGAAAGAGUGCAAACCAGUACCUUCUAUGAUGAAACACCUAUAUACCCAAAUUCAAAAUCUGGGUUCAAAGUACUUGCGAUACUACCAGCCAUAUUAGCAAACAAAGUGAACUAAGAAUCGCACUAUUACCUGUCAUUAUCCUAAACUCAUAUGUCUCCAACACUCAUGGCAUGACAAUUAGACUGAAUAAUGAAUAUCCAUCAACGACGGAUGCUUUCUACUUUUCUAGACCACACUGUUGCUAACUUGCUAUUAACCAUCAUUAAAUCAUAGAUAUACAUUUUAACUACUGCAAGAAGCUGCACGCACUAAAUCACAAAAAGUAAAUUCUUCUAAUCUAUUUCUUGUAGCUGUUAAUAUCAUGGCUGCUAUUAUCAGCAAUUUCAAUGAAUAAUUUCUUGGCUCUCAUCAACAAUUUGUAAUUUAUAUUCUCUGACAUGUUACAUGGGAUUGCUCCUAGGAAUACACAAAAUAUUUUGUCAAGAAGGUUACUCAAAUUGGUCAUUUCGUUAUUUCAAAUUGAUAGCUACAUAGAAUAUUUACUUCCAAUAGGAAAACAAAAUAAGUGAUCGAGGAGGAAUAGUUAUAAUUGAAAAACUUCACCAUACAUUGUGGCAUAAGAAGUCCCAUAGCAACAACACAGAAAACAAAUAGAGAGCAAUACACCAUUCAAAGCAAUAUUAAAGACAAAAGGUAAAAUAAAGUGCUUCAUGAUACUAGGACAAUUUAGCCAACUCUGAUAUAAAAACUGAAAAUAUACCUGAUUCCUAGUUGCAAGUUUAGCAUGAGAUAGUAGCUCUUGUGACCUUUGUAAAUUGUUUCACCUGGGCUUCUUACUCGUUUCUUUCGGAGUUUAUGUUGCCACAUACUUCUCGUUGAUGCCUUUGAAUCAUAGUGCCUUCUUCUUUCCUUUAUCAAGACACCUUGAACAUAUUCUCUUUCAUAGACAAAAAAUUGGUCAUCUUGAAAUUCAUUUGAACCAUCACAUGAACUGGACGUGUAGUUACUCUCCUGUGACAAAGUACUUCGAGAAUUAUCGUCAAGGUCUGAAACCCCCUCAACUGAGACAGUUGUAUUUGAUAUCCGCCCACGCCCUCGAAGAAACCUCCCUAUAUUCCACCUACCCAAGAUGUUUCUUUCUGAAAUCAAUGUAUUCUGCUUAAUCUCUCCAGAAUUCAUUAAUGACGCAAGAAGAGGACUCUGAGAGCUAUUAUCAUAUGCAGAAUAUUCAGAGAACUUGUGGUACUGAGGAAGUUUGGUCCCAACAGGAGAGAAAGUUCCUUGGCCAUCCUUUAGCCCCUUACUCCAUGUCCCAAAGUAAUAUGACCCAUCAGCAUACUUCAAACAACCUGCGCCAUGUAUUAAUCCAUCUAACCAAGACCCCUCAAACAAAUCACCAUUUGCCCACUUCAUAAUUCCUCUCCCACUCAUUUUACCAGCCUUCCAGCUUCCAACAUAAGUGUUCCCAUUGAUCCAUGUAUACUUACCAACCCCUUCUUGCAAUCCUUCUUUCCAAAAGCCAUCAUAAAUAUCUGAAUUAGAAUAUGUUUUUAUUCCCAUCCCAUGUUGCAUACUCAUCCUCCAAGAGCCUUUAUAACUUGAACCAUCAAUCCUACAGAAAGUGCCCGACCCAUGAAGGAAGCCCCCGCUGAAAUCACCUUCAUAUGUAGCUCCUGAUGACCAACGAACCUGUCCGUGGCCAGUCAUUUGGCUUUUGUCCCACUUACCAAUGUAAAUUGUCCCAUCAGACCACAUAUAUUUUCCUUCUCCGUGAGGAAUCAAUCCAUCAAAGUCUCCAAUAUAGACGUCUCCAUUGGAGAGGACUUCUCUGCUCCAGGCAAUCAAAUCAAUCACUACCCUAAUUAAGAGAAGAGUUUGGAGACAAAUAUACAAAAGAGAAGAAGCAUGUAGGGAAAAAAAAUGUAGAAGUUCACCUUACACUACCCUCAUAGCUCAUCUCUCAUACCAGCCUUUUUAAUUUAUUCUCUGACUUCCUUUUGUAACUUUAAAGGGAAAAGAAGAGAAGAAACUCUUUGGUCACAGAGAACAAACGCAGAACUGCAAGCUUCAACAAUACAAAACAUAAGAAUCAUGAGCGAUGUAAAUAUAAAGAGAUAGGCAAAUAUCAAACUAUAAUCUUACCAAAUCUUAAUCCAUUUGCAUUUUUUUCAUAAAACUAUGAAUUUCAUUAUCCAUGACCAUGUAGAUUGGUUUUUUUUGUUGUCUAAAAGUGAAACAUAGGAAAGUGGUAUUGUAAGAACAAGAGCUUCAAAAAGUAGGUACAUCAAAUCAAGACGAAAAACCAAUGAAGGAACAAAAGGAGCCAACAUUAGUCUUACAUAAUUAGAUAAUAUUUAUUAGUUAUGACUUCCCCGUGCGAAGUUCCCACAACGAAAUUUGAAACAAGAUAAACAAAGAACCAAAAUGUACUAAACGUUAUAACAAUUUCACAUAUAGCAUCAAGCUACUUAACUAGUCAUUGCAUGGGGUGGCCGAUAUGUUUCAUGAAAGCUCUUCUACAAAUUCUAUAGCCUUUUAAGCUGUCCUGAUGAGAAUAACCAUUUCACCUUGUCAGUUUUCAAUUCAAUUGAUGCUUCAUUCAAGGAUUUAAGCGUCAUGCCACAGGGUCGUGCCGGAAACUUGUCGGGACGGUACGGCACGGUGCGUGCCAGGUUGUACCUAUGCGUGUCGGUCACAAAAAAUACAUAUGUGCCGACCAUAAUGGUAUGAAAUAUUUAUUUUCUUUAGCAACAAAUAUUCUAACUGUUUAUUAUGUAUCUUUAUCAAAUCUUUUGAAUUUUAUUGAGAAAUAUUACAUACUAAUUUAAAGAAUAAAGCGUUUUGAGUUGUACCAUCGGCAUGGGGCCUGUAUCGUGCCGAUAUCUUGUUGACACGAUACGGCAUAGUGGACACGGCCCGUGCCGAUGGGCACUUAAAUCCUUGGCUUCAUUCCAUUCAUUAAGAAAAAAAGAAAAAGGUAUUACUUAAGCAACUGCACUAAGGUAGGUAAGAUACCGCUUGUUAAUUUCGAUACCCUGAAAUUAACUUACAUUGAUUAGCAUACCAUAGUCUGCAUCAAUGAAGACAAAAGAGAUCUAGCCCUAUGUCCCAAAACGCAAAUACUCACUAUUAAUCUAAACUUCAAUUAUUUUAGCUUGCUUCAAUCUAAUUUUUGAAAUUGAUACAUAGGUUCCUGAAUUUGUGAUUAAAGAUGUACGGGGUGUUUGGCCAAGCUUUUUAAAAGUGAUUCUAAGCCCAAAAGUGAUUUUGAUUUUUGGGCUCAAUAGAGCGUUUGGCAAUGGAAAUUUUAAAAUCUGAUACUGCUUCUCAAAAUCAGAAAACUGAUUUUUCAACCUCCAGAAGCAGAAGCAAAAAAAAGCUGCUUCUCAAAACUGAUUCCCGCAAAAGCAGUUUUCUGAUUUAAAAAAUUUUAUAAAAAUACCGAAACUACUCCUAAACAAACAAUAUAAUUCUACUCUAACCUUUUAUUCAAUUACUACUUCCAACAACCCUCCUCUCUCUCCCAUUUACCAUAGCCAAUCUCUCUCUCCAACAGAAAAAAAAAUUUCCACUUUCCACUCUUCUCUCCUCCAUCUCCCUCCCUUCUUCCUCUCCGGCGACACCUUUCUCUCCGGCGAAACCUUUCUCUCCGGCGAAUCUUUUCUUACCGGCGAACCUUCUCUCCGGCGAACCUCCAAAGAAGAUACUUUAUUCUCUCUUUUUUUUUACAGCUUUCUCUCUCUCCCUCUCUAUCUUCCCUCAUCACUCGCAGGUCCGACUGGAUCAGCGCCGGCAGGAUCCAUAUUUGUCGGAUCCAGCAAGAUCUACGAUCGUAUGGAUCACUAUUUGCCGGAUUCAACCCCAGAUCCGGCAAGUAAAAUAUCUUUUUUUUCUAAGCAUAAAAGUUUCAGUUAUAUGCAACAAAUCCGAUGUGGGUCCGGCUAGCCGGGGCUGGAUCCGGCAAAGACGGAUCCCGCCGGAUCCAAGCCGACGGGAUCUGUCCUUGUUAGAUCCGGGAUCCGCACUGGAUCCACGUCAGCAAAUCCAGCAAAGACGCCUUGCCGGAUCCAGCCGAAUCCGCGCUGGUUACAUCAAGGAUGGAUCUAUUUAGUUUUUAUCUCCUCAUGGAAGCCAUGAGCACAAAAUACCACUAGCCUGAGUUCAAUUUAUCUUUUCAAUUACUUUCAUAAAAAUCAAGUUGCAAGAAGACCAAGCAUUGUUGUAACCUUUUUUGAUGUUUAAACUUAGCAUGUGUGUUUGAUUGUUUGAUUAGUUUGUAGUGUGAAAUUUUUUAAAAUUUUAUUCAAUUUGUAGUAUUGUGUAGUUUGUAUGCAAUGUUUCGAUUAUUUGUUUAGCAUGUGUGUUGCUUGUAUUUUUUAACACAUAAUUUGUUUACUAGAAAGUUGAAAGAUGAAUCCAUCACAAGGAAAACCAUCUACCCAGAAAGAAAGAAAAAUUAAAGCUACGUGGGAUGCACAAUUGCUCAAAAUUUUUUGCGAAAUAUGUGUUGAAGAGGUUAAUGUCGAGAACGGACCUAAUACUCAUUUUAAUAGAACUGGAUGGCAAAGAAGAAGAAGAAGAUCAUCUUCUUCCCUCUCUCCUUCAAGCUAGAGCAAGCUUGGAGCUUGGUUUAGAGGUAAACCUCAAACCCAUCCAUGGUAGAUUUCUUGAGAUUGGGUUUUAUUGCUUAGAAAUGGUUUGAAUGGAACCUAUGGAAGCUAGGGUGAUGGUUCGGGCUCGCAAUUGAAGCUCGCACCACGGAUUUCCUCACCGUUGCUAACCUAGGGCACGGAAUCGGGAUUUUUGGAAAUCUAGGGUUUUGAUCUAUUUUAAUAGGUCGUAAACCAAAUUGCUAGGUCACGGAACGCGUCGGCGAAGACGGUUCGUCGAUACGACGAGCGGGUGCGAAGAUAUCGCCGAAUCAAGUGUUUAAAGGUUCGGAUCGACCCGAGAAGUCGAGGCGUCGACCAAGGACUACGAAGUUGAGUUUUCUACUAGCGCGGCAUCACCAAGAGGUGGGUGGUGAUCAUCCCGAAGCAAUCGGGCUCCCUUUUAUGUCUUAGUAUUUUGAGGCCUUGCAUCCUGUGUUCACAUGCAUUGUAGGAUAAUUGUGCAUUGCCUUUCCUUAUGCUUGCCUAGCUGAUAUCAUAUUAUGCAUUAGUUGCUGGAUAUAGGGGAUUGAUGAGGAUUGGGUUGAGACUUGUAAUCUUAUAGUGUAGUGGUGAAAGAAUGAUGCAAUAGUUGAAAUCAAAGAACGAGUGGCAUCUAGCUGUUAAUUAAACAAGAACGAGUGGCACAUGUGAGUUGUAGCGUAUAUGAAACCAAUUGACUAUGGUGGCAGUAACCCUAGUGAACAGGAUACCCUUGAGGUGGGAGAAUUGGAUCAUACUCAUUGUCUGUUCACGACUUGUGGUGGUCGCUCCACACAAGUCGUGCGCUUCGGAGUCAGUCGCGAGGGAUGGCCUAUUUGGGGUCCCGUGGGAUAGAGAUGGCCUAUUUGGGGUCCCGAGGGAUGGCCUAUGUGGAGUCCCGCAGACGGUCUCGGAUUCGAAGUAUCGAGAUGGCUAUGUGAGUAGUAGGUGGAUCCUUGAAUGAACCACGAGAUUAAUGAAUAAGUAAACAGCCUUACUUCUUGGACAUAUGAAGAGCUAGUUGAGUAUCCAUUUCAUUGCGCAUGCAUCUUCAUAUAUAUGAUUCGGGCACGGUAGCGUAGCUUGCUAUUCUGUUAUUACAGCUUUCCAUAUCUAUCUAUCUGUUUAUCUACUUGUGCCCACUUGGACCUAGUGGGGAGACCGGCGGAGUCGGCGGCCGAACCCACUGGAAACUAUGGAAGAUAGUUCUCACCCCACUCUUUUCAGGUUCGAGCUCAGGUGUCCCCGGCGAGCGCGAGGAUCGUGGUAAGGGCUUAGCGCCCUAGUUGCAUUAGCUGUCCACCCAUUUUGCAUUAGCUCUACCCUGUAUUUAUGUUUGAGAGUAGAUGUUGUAUAGGGUAAGGUUUGAGAGUGCUUGUACACAUGUUUUGGAUGAAUGUAAAAGAUGGAAUUAAAUGUAUUAAGUUGAAUGAAUGUAAUAGAUAGAACUUUCUCUCUUUAUUUACUUGUAUGUCUCAUACUUGUAUCUUGCUCUUGUUUUGGUUGGCACUGGUGGUGCUACUCGUGAUCGUGUAUUCAUGAAUUGAUUCCUGGGUAAAUUCUUAUACAUGAUCAGUUGGUUAGCCUUGGGCGGACAUGGGAGAUCCUGUCCGUUCGGCGUCUGUUCGACGCGCCCGGACCGGACCAAAUUGGUAGCGGUCUCGGGGCGUGACACCAAGCCUAAUAUGCCGCAUUACAAGGGAGCAUGCAAGAAUAGUAAAAGUAACUACUAGACACCCUAUCAUGCACAAUACUACACAAGGACUAUGAUCAACAUUAAGAUACUUAGACAUAGGAAGAAGCCCAGUUGCUUCGGGAUGGACACCCCCCACCUCUUGGGUAAUGUCGCGAUGCUAGGUACUCGAUCUCGCGAUCCUUGAUCGCCGCUUUUGCUCUUCAGGUCAACACGAAGCCCCGAACACUUGUUUCGGCUAUAUCUUCGCACCCGCUCGACGAAUGCUCAAUCCGUCGCUUCCUACGCGUUUAGACACCUAGCAAUUAGGUUAAUACAUGAUCAAUUUAGAUCAAAACCUUCCUUUUCCAAAAACCUCAAUUUUGGAGCUCUAGGUUUGCCCAAUGCAAAAAUCCCCUUCUAGCUUCAAGGUUCAAGCAUAAAGCUUUUCUUUGGCAUCAAAAAGAUCCAAUGAAACCAAUUCUAGAAGAUAAAAACCCAUCUAGAAGGAUCUACCAUGAAAGCUCUCAUGAGCUUACCUCUAUAGCAAGCUCCAAGGGUGGAGAGGAAGAAGAAGAUCCUACUAAUCCUUUCCUUGGUCUUAAUCUCCACCAAAAUCUCCUCCUUCUUCGCCUUCUAGAGAGAAAGAAAAAGAGUUUAAAGAGAGAGAGGGAGCUAGGGUUUGUGUUUGGGAGAGAAAUAAAGGAGAGAGAGCUCAUUCCUCUCUAUAUCCCUCAACUCACGUAACAAUUGCUAAUAAACCCCUCCACUUUGCCUCUCUUGGCAUGCCCAAACUGGGCAUUUUUCGUGCUCGGGGACUGGUCUGUCCCUAUAGGGACCGGUCCCCGUAAGCACCUCUCGCGGAUAGAAGCUAUCUGCUAAUUUCCACGCGCACGGGGACCGAUCUGUCCACCAAAGACCGGUCCCCGAGAGCAAAUAUCGCACGCAGAGACUUCUCUGCCGCAACCAAGCUUACGGGAACCGUCCCUCACACCAGGGACCGGUCCCCGAGAGCAAAACCUGCAACUUAGCAGAUUUUCACAAUCUUGCUCUCCGAGGUCCGUUGCAAUGCACUUUUCGCAUUUUUAACUUCUUCGGCUUCUCCGAAGCACAUCCACUCGACAAUCAGUCGAUUCUGAACGAAGUCCAACUCUCGGAUUUUGAGAAUUCACUUCCUUACAACUUUAAUGUCAAAGGCAGGAAGCAAAUUGAAUUUCAGCAGCCCAUACCAUCCACAAACUGACGGGCAGACGAAAAUAGUAAAUCGAUCUUUGGGUAAUCUCUAAGAUGUUUAGCUGGAGAAACACCAACACAAUGGGAUUUAAUUUUACCUCAAGUUGAAUUUGCUUAUAACAGUUCCAUAAACGGAACCAUUGGAAAAUCUUCUUUUGAAGCUUUAUAUGGCCGUCCUAUUGCCCACUUUCUUGACCGAGCACCAAUACCUUACCCUGGUAGAGUUAGUGUAGAUGCCGACUAUUACCUAAAACAGAUUCAAAAGGUGCAACAACAGGUUCAUCAGAGGUUGCGGGAUCCACUGUCAAGUACAAGGAGUCAGCGAAUAAACAUCGCCGAGGUAUGACAUUUAAUGAAGGAGAUAAUGUCUUGAUCUAUUUUAGGAAAGAAAGGUUCCCAGCUGGAGGCUAUAGCAAGUUGAACAGGAAAAAGUACGGACCAUUCAAAAUUCUGAAGAAGUUAGGGGAAAAUGCUUAUCUAAUUGAUCUACCUCCGGAAGUAUCGACGUCCCCGAUCUUCAAUGUUAGCGAGCUGUACGAGUAUCAUGGAGAGGCUACCUCUACUGUCAAUAUUGAUGGCUUGACAUCUCACUCCGACAUUGAAACUCCAGUAGAUGGUGUGGAGGAUAUUCUGGAUGUGCGCGAGUCUGCGACGCGACGUGGUACUCAUUACCGAUACUUGGUGCGUUGGCGUGGACGACCAUUGUCCAAUAGUAGUUGGAUUUCUGAGGCAGAGUUGUGCCAACUUCGAGAGGACUUAUACCAGAGCUAUCAGGAUGCCAUCUCGACGGAGUCGAGAUUUCCCCAACUCGAGGGGAACUAAUGCAACAAAUAAACCUCAUUUUAUUUUUGAAUGCAAUUUUCUUUUAUUUUGUAGGUUCGUGUUUGAUUCGGACUUAAAUCAUUUAGUUUUAGUUGAUUUGGCUAAUCCAAACACUUUUCUCCAAUAAAUAAGGAAACAAUCCCAAAAAAGACCUUUGGAAUUCCCCAAAAUAAGACCUUUGAAGUUCCCAAAAUUGCUUCGUUUUCUAUGCAUGACUCUUAGGUGACCGUAUUAUGUUGAAAACGAAAAGACAAUAAUUUAUUAUAGAAGGGCACUCAACACUAUAAAUACAUGGUUCUUGAAGCCUUAAGGAAGAUAUAUUUGGAUGAAUAGAAAAUUCUACUCUCACUCUUUAUCCUUGGUGUUCUACUUCCUGGUGAGAUCAUCGACGCUUCUUCCUCGUGACAAAAUCGGCUUCUACUUCUACCCCUCCUCUUCUUCCGAGUCACUACCUCAUCUUCUUCUUCCCCGUUGCCGAAGUUCUACCCGUGGUGUACCGCCCUCUCGUCGAUCGUGGAUCCCCCGCAAUCGUGUGAACGGUGCACUUUUUGUAUCUCUCAUCUCCUGAUACCCUAUUAUCCCCUUUUAAUCUAGCCUUCCACCAUUACCAACAAUAUUUGCCAAACAACGAAACCUAAAGUAUUAAGUCCGAUAAAGCCGAAUUUACCUUUUGGAACUAUUAUAUGUAUUUUCAGUUGGUUGUUAUUAUCUCAUAUAUUGAAGGUUUAUCAUCAUCUUAGUAUUACUUCAAUUCGAUUUUAAUUUUUGUCUUGCUGAAAUUUUUGCUUCCUUGCUUAAAGUUCAUCGGAAUUGAUAAAUUGAACCUAGUUUUAUCUUUAAACAAAAGCAAACUUGAAAAUUCAAUUUUGGCAACCUCUCGGUUUGCAUCAGCAUGUGUAGUCAUAGUGAACAUGAUACAAAAGGGUGUACAAAUUUAGUAGUUGCCAGAUAGACACUUUCGAGAGCUUAGUACCAGUAGCAUAACAUUAUCUAUACCUUGUGAAUUACACUGUACGGUGAAAACUUGAGAUUACUGGACAUGGGCCAGUAUAACUUGUAAACUUGUAUUGCCAUGUGGCAAGUGACACGUAAGAAAAUGUGAAAGUGCCAACGGGCAUGUAAACUAUGAAAAAGACAACGAAAUGUGAUAUGGAAGUGCCAAAGUGCAAUUAAACAGUGUGAGUUAUGAAAAGGUAAUGUGAGUUGUCUUAUUUCUCAUUGCAUUUGACUCCAUGGUCCCAAGCCGUUUUCGAUGAUGGAGUUUCUGAAUCGACGAUCAGCUCCGUUAGACUUGAUCUAGCAUAUUUAAACUAUUUAGAAAAUAAAUUUUGCGAUUUUUCGGUAUCAUUUACCUACCGAUCGAAAGGGUUCAAAAUCAACAAUUUUUAAUGGUUGAUGUAUAGCGUUUAUAAGUUUAACAGUGUAGAAGUAUUCAAAUUAGAUGAAAUUUUGAUAGAAAAUUCUUUACACUAUUGACAGCAAGAUCAAUUUCUCUGAUCGAAAAUUUUAAUGCUAUAUCACCACUUUUUGUGAGAUUUUUAUUUUCGGCAUUGAUUUUGAACCCUUUGGAUCGCUAGGUAAAUGAUAUCGAAAAAUCGCAAAAUUUAUUUUCUAGAUACUUACAAAUACGCUAGAUAAGUCUAACGAAACCGAUCGCCAAUUUAGAAGCUCCAUCAUCGAAAAUGGCUUAAGAGCACUGAGGCCUUCAUGCUCCUAAUAGCAUACAAGACCUACUCAUAUAUAUAAAUUUAUUAUAUAUAUAUAUAUAUAUAUAGUAUAUAUAUAUAUAUAUAUAUAUAUAUAUUAUAUAUAUAAUUUGGGCUGGAAUACUAUAAAUAGCAUUUGGGCUCUUUUGCUAUCGGUUUUAACUCUUAGAUGAAAAAUUGUAGGGUUAUGAUGAUAGUGGUCCCUAGGGUUUAGUGGUGGUCCACCUAGGGUUUAGUGGUGGUCCCCCUAGGGUUGAGUGGAUGGUUGGUUAAAUAGUAUGAUCUAAAGAGUGAAAUUGAUUACGGCUAAAAUUGAUAGCAAAAGUGUAAGGUACCGAACUUCUGUUGUAAGGUACCGAACUUCUAAAAUUAUUGCAGUUACGGUGGAUGUAGUAUGCUGGGAUUUUUAAUAUAAAAAUAAUAUAAAUAAAAAUAGUGUGAGAUACUAUUUUUAUUGGAUUUAGGGUGUAAAGUAUAAGUUGGAAAUGACAUGUGCUGAAAUCGGAGCGAAAACAGAAGAUUUAGAAUUUUCUGUGGAGACGGGCAGAUAAAUUAGCGAAAAUGCAGUGUCAGAAAAUUCUGAAAACUGGAGGAUAAGCCAGAAUUAUUUUUAUAGGCUAGAUUUAAAGUUUCAUAUCAUUCUGAUACUCAAAAGGUGAAAAUAAAUCGAUAGUGAUCUGAUAAAGAUUACAAGUUCGGUACAGCUUUCGGUGACAACGGGGUCGAAACUGAAGAUUAAAAUUUCUUUCGUUAAGUUAAGCAAAACCAACAUAACUGUCAAAUUUGAACUUAAACGGAUAUUCAGAGGGCUCCGGCGAAAAGAUAUUAGAUUUCGUACUACCUGAAGGAAUAGUGUAUGCUACUAUUGGGAUGUUGACUAUAAGUAGAAGCUUCUAGUCUUCUUCUUCUUCACAGCCACCACCACCCCACAACACCACAGCUUCAUGGUGGUGGUGAAGAGAAAUCCUCACUUUCUCUCUCUAAAUAACUCUCUCAUCUCUCUAGAUCUUUCGCCCAAAUUCACGGCGUUGGCGGAGAACGAGCUUGCGAACGCGUUGGGAGCGACGGAUCGAGCUUUCGUGCGCCCGUUGGAGCGGCGUGCUUCCGUCUCGGCGUUCACAUUUUGGUAAACUUUUGGGAUUUUUGACUUAAUCCUUAACCUUAGGUGUUCUAGUAGCCUCUAAUGAGCAUUCGUAGCAUGUUGCUCCAUUUAAUUUGGAUUAUUUGGAGGUAAUUGCAUGUUAGGGCUCAAAAAUAGGAUUUUGCAAUAUGUGAGGGUUUGAUCUAAAUUGAUCAUGUAUAAACCUAAUUGCUAGGUUUUCUGACGCGUCGGCGAAGUCGGUUUGGCGAUACGACGAGGCUGCGUGAAGAUAUUAAAGAACGAAGCCAUUAAGGUACAGAUUGCCGCAGCUCGUGGCGAAAGCUUCCAAAAAUCACGAAAUCGGAACCCUAGCCUCAUGAUAGCGAUAAAAGGUGGGGGGUGUCCAUCCGAAGAAAUCGGGCUUCCUUCUAUGUCCGAGUUAGAUUUUUGGUCAUAUUGCACAUAUGGUUCUUAUGCAUUAUAGGAUGUAUGUAUAGUUGCAUUUCUAUUUCCUUGCAUGCAUGUCUAGUUGUGUAGCAUUAUGGACUUGACACUUAAAUCUAGAAUGCAUGAGGAUUAGGGUUUGUGACAUGAGAUCCUAUAGUGAUAAGAAAAUAGUGAACUCGGACUUGAUGAUGAAAACUAGUGACAUGCGAACUAGUGUAUAGAAAACACUAUGACUUGGACGAGUGGCAUGUAAACAAUGUUAGUUAACAACAUGACGAGUGGCAUUGGAAUUUAGUGUAAUAAAAACACUUGUGGCAUUGAGCAUUAGGGAAUAGGUGAGUUUCCCUAGUCAUGGCAUAUUGCAUGAGAAUUAGCGUACUUGAGACACUAUGGCAUCAAACAUAGGGAUAGUUCAAUUCCCUAGUGUAAGUUGAUUAGUGUGGUUGAGACACUUGACAUGGACCUAGGGAUAGGUGGAUUUUCGAGUAUUUGUUAACCUAGUUGACAGGGUAUCCUCAGUUGGCGAGGAUUGGAUCAUACUCACAUAGUCUGUUUUGAGCUUGUGGUGGUCGCUCCACACAAGCAGUGCACUCCGGAGUUGUCACACGAGCUGGGUAGCUCACGAGCUGGGUAGCUCACGAGCGGGGUAGCUCACCGGGUGGGAUACGAGCGGGGUAACUCCUCACCCAUUGGACUGGGAAGUGAGUUCGGGCGAAUGGCGGGGUAGCCCUUCCCCUAUGAGGAUUGAGCGGGGUAGCUCAUUACUUAUGAGAAUUGAGCGGGGUAGCUCAUUACCUAUGAGAUUAGAGCGGGGUAGCUCUUCAUCUAUGACCUUUGAGAUAUGAGACGGGUGAGAAAAGAGCGGGGUAGCUCCUCACCUAUGAGAUUUGAGAUAUCAGUCAGGGCGAAAAGCGGGGUAGCUCUUCACCUCUUCACCUACUAGAUUGUGGUGUGAGUACCUAUGAGAUUUGAGAUCUUAAGCGGGGUAGCCUAGUGGAUUGGGUAAUGAUAUGAAUAGCAUAAGUGGAUUGCAUAACUAUGUUGUAUUUGUAUUCAUUACAUUGUUGAACAUAUUAUCAUGAUAGUAGGCUUAUUGCUAGACAAUAUUUCAUGAAUUGCUUGCAUUUGAUGGCACAAUAGAUCAUAGUUGCAAUUCAAUAUCUAUCUAUCUCUCUAUCUAUCUAUUUGUGCCAGCUUAGGCCUAGUGGGAAGAUCGGCGGAGUCGGCGGCCGAACCCACUGGGAACUAUAUUUAUAUAGUUCUCACCCCGUGUGGUUUUGGGGUACAGGUACACAUGUGAGCGGACCGGCAGGUGAUCGCGGUAAGGGCAUAGCGCCCUAGCUAGCUAGUAGAGCUUUCCUAUUGUACUAGAGCACCCUCGUGUGCAUGGUUAUAGAUGACAUGAUGUAUUUUGGAUAGCUAGCAUUAUAUAUAUGUGAGAUGAUUAUGUAUUCAUUUUGGGUGAUGAUGAAAAUGUAAAUGUAAUCAAAGAUGUAAAAGUGGAAUGUGAUGUAAUAGCUAGAUGUAUCUCUCUUUUUGCACUUGUAUGUAUACUUGUGUUACUUGCUCUUGUUGUAUUGCACUCUUUGUGCUUCCCUCCUCGUUGGAUCGUGUAUGUAUUGAAUUAUCCCUGGGCAAAUUCUUUGUACAUGAUCCUGUGUUGAGCCUUGGGCGGACAGGGGAGGUGCUGUCCAUUCGGCGUCCGUCCGGCGCGCUCGAACCGGACCAAGUUGGUAGCGGUCUCGGGGCGGGGCGUGACAAAAAGGGCCCAAAUACUAUUAAUAGUAUUCCAGUUCAACUCUCUCUCUCUUGCCCCCCAACAAAUUUGAGUUUUAGUUGCGAUUAUUUUAAAAUUUCCGGCAAUUAUAAUUGUCACCAAAUAGUUUCAUGGCAAUUAUGACAAUUGCCACUAUUGGUAGGGUCCGUAAAAAUUAUUGUGGCAUUUGUUCCAGCUGUUGAUAAAAGUCUAAAUAAAUACGGCUAAAUACUACACAAUAGCAACUAUUAUAAAUGCCACUAUAAUUAAUUAUAACGGCCACAAAAAGCAUCUAAAUGAUUGCUAAAUAAAACUUAUAGCGGCAAUUAUAAUUAAUAUUAAAAUAGUUGAACCGCAACUAAAUACUCAAAUGAAUUAAAAUAUUAAAAAAUAGUAAUAACCAAAGAGCAUUAAUAAUUUGUACAACUAAUAGUCUUUACUCUCAAAUUACAAUCUCAAUAUUCAAAUUAAAUUUUGGGCAUGAGUUCUAAUAAUAAAAUACUUGUUCAAAAUUUAGCUUUGAACUCGAUUCCACAACUAACUCAAACUACUAGACUUUAUAUUUAAUCAUCUCCACUACAAGAGAAAUUAUACAAUACCAUAUAUUAAUUUUCGAGUUUCUGCGAUUCAGGUGAAAGAAAAAAAAGAAAAUUGUCUAUGUUCAGCAAAAGCCAAAUUAGAAAAUAUGCCAAAGCAAAAUAGCAGGUGCUGAUGUGAAAAUGACUUGUUGUAGAAAAGGAGGAGAAAUUACCAUCAAAAGCAUCAUUGGAAGUUGCUGUUUGAGUGCUGCAAUCGAUCCAAAAUUGAAGCCUCUCUUCGGCAAUAUCCUCCUCCACACCGUGAUUUUUGGCUCUUCUCCAGAAAUAUAUCAGCCAUGCCUAAAGAAGAUUAGAUAAAGUUAGCAAAAUUGUGCAACAGGAACAUAGUCCCCGAAAUCUUUGAUCUGAAAAAAAAAGUGGCUGCUUGACAAUACCAUAUAUUGCACUUUCACGAAGCAAAAGACAAAUCAAAGCUGUACAAGAAAGAUAAAAGGCAGCCUUGAGGUAGUCUUCCCUAAAUUUAGAGCUCCAAAAUGUUAGCAGUUCGGUCUGUAUACUUUGCUUUGCGAAAAUAUUAAUAAUGGAAAAUAAAAUACCUUUUUGUUUUUCUUUUACCAUUUUGGUUAGUGGCAAUAUUCAUGCUAAGAGUAUCCAUAUCAUGAUGGAAUGAGACUAGUUGUUACUAAAAGAAUCAGAGAGUAACCAAAACCAACAAUCAUGAUUCCUUUAUCUGAAUAUGAUAUAUUGUCCUAACCUAAGAAUGAAAUUUUAGAUGGUCUUUCAUGUAUAAAAGAACAAUAAGGAAAUAGUAUUCUAACAAAAUGGAGAAGUUAGGGGUAAAAUGGAUGGGAUCUAUGCUGAAAUGGUCAUUGAAGAAAGAAAGAUGUUAAGCUACUCCCAAAAUUGUUCAUUAGUUACAUACAGUUAACAUCAUAGCGCAUAGCAAGCUUAGAGCGCUUUCACCAAAUUUACAAAACCAAUCCUUCUAAUUCCAGUCUAACAAACUUAAGCUAGAAGCAACUAACUACAACGGUAUGUUUACAAAACCAUAGUGACGAGGUGAAAUGCAUAAAAAGAAGUAGAAUUGAAAGUCCCUCACAAAACAUGAAAACAAUGCAUGUUUUGGAAAGAAAAUCUUGGCUUGAAAACUACAAAGGGAAAUUGUUCCAAAGCUUGAAAAUAGCAAAUAUGAUUAAGUCAUAAGAGUCAGAAUAAAAGAGUGAGAACACCAAUUUAGAGUGCAAGGUACAAUUAAAAGAAAUUGCACAAAUAAGACUCUGAUUCUCUAGCAUAUAUGAAGGUGUUCAAUUAAAUGUACAUUAAUUGUGUAAAUAUCUAGUAUGUCCAUUAGCAUCAUAUUUAUGUUUAUGUCUUAAAUAACUGGCAACUAGUGCACAAAAUGAAUUAACAAAAAUAUUAAGUUCAUAGUUCAUGUGAAUGAGAACUAAGAACUGAAAUUAAUCAGUCGAACACAAUCGAAUAUACGGAAAAACCAUAUAGAUAAAUACAAAAAUAUAAACUUAGCAACCGAACAUCAGUAAAAUACAGGCAAAUACAUCAGACUUCAUUGUUCUUUUUUUUUGUCUUUUUUAAUCUUUUUUUUUUCCUUCUCUAUUUUUGAAGCUCAUAUUUUGUUUUCUGUUGAUAUGAACAUGGGAACUACUGUAUACUUCAAAUUUAAUAGGCAAAAGCAAACUACUUACAGUAAAUGAACAAUGCGUCUUCUGAUGUAAGCUUGGAGCAGCUUCCUAGAUCCAGGACUUCUUCAGGAACCUAGACCACAAGAACCAAGUAAGGUGCUCCAUUGGAAAUUUAGAAAACAAAGUAAAAUAAAGACAUGGCACACAAUAAGUUAUAACUACAAUAGGUAGUGAUGAGAAUUACUUACGAGACUUGUUUGUAUCUGCUAUAGUGCUACUACAAACUAGGGGUGUCAACGAGCCGAACACGAGCUGGCUCAUGAACAACAAGUUUAAAAAAAUUAUGAGGAAUACGUAUAGAAAAUAAAUUUAUAAGAUCUUACCUAUUUGACUUUAAUCUAAUAGUUGAAACUUUACAUAUAAAUGACUUCUAUAUAUUUGAGUUGGCCUUUAUAUUUAGGUUAAGCUAAAAAUCAAUUAUUUAUAUAUAUAAAUAUAAAAUAUAUGUAUUCGAGCUGUUAUCGAGCCGAACACGAGUGAACUGACCCCAGCUUGUGUUCGGCUCAUUUAUUAAACGAGCUGAAAAAUUCAGCUCGUGUUUGGCUCAUUUAUUAAAUGAGCAAUUCGAUCUCGAGCUCAUUUCGAGCCGAACACGAGCUAGCUCGGGAACAACGAGCUAGAUUGCCACCCCUACUACAAACAUCAUUAACCUUUAGCAAAAAGCAACUAGUAUGUGUGAAUGGCUAAAAAGUGCAUAUAUAUCUUUCAGUGGAGAAUAACAACAAGAACGUAACUACAAACAUCACGGUAAAAUAUUUAUUCAUUUUCUGUGAUUCCUAGAAGAAUGGGACUCCCCAAGUCAAAGUUAUCACUUCGCUCUCCAAAACUUUUGGCUAAUGAGCUGCUUGAGCACAAGCUGCAAAACUUGCAUAUAUUUCCAAUUCACAAAAUUCAACUCAAGUGGUCUUAGCUUCCAUGCCCUUUUCAUGGCUUUUGCAUUUAGAGUUUAAGUUGCCUUCUUAUCUUAAGCAUUUUCUUUUUUGUAACACACAAAGUUCCUCGGAGCUCUCUAGUGCCAAACAUUCCAAAGAACUCAUUAUGACAUCAUGUUUUAGCAACAAUAAAUUAUUUCGUAGGUUGUAAAAUGACUUAUAAAUUACUUUAUCUAGACAAUAAGAAUUAAAACAACACAACCGAGCUUGACUAUGCUAGAUAAACAGGACAAAGAAUCUCCAAGUAAUCAAGCGAACUUAAUCACAUCACUUCACUUCCAUGUUCCGUUGCAGAAAGCUUGCCCUUAACACGCCAAAGUCAUAGAUGAUUAGUUAUGCAUACCAACUAGUAUAGAAAAAGCUUCAUUUGCACAGAGAAUAAAGCACUUUCUUCUAUUGUCGGCUUCGCCGAAAAAGAAUGCAAUCCACAUAUAUAUCAUAUAGCGUGAGUAAUCUUGCAACAAAAGAUCGCAAAAAAGGGAGAUCGUUUCUCCAAUCAAUUUAUCAGGACGAGCCCAGAAAACGCCAUUAGAGACCACCGUUUGAGGAAUCGGCUUCCUCAAAAAAGGAUUAUCUGCUGACCUACCGCCAUAAUUCUAAAUCGAGCUUUUUGGUACCUGUUGGAGUGGAGUAUAUCCUUGGCGAGGGCGAUGAUAGGCUCGAUGACGCUGAGGAUCUCGGCUUCCUUAUCCUUCCACCGGCGAAACCCGGGCUUGUCAGCCCAGGCCCUGGAGAGGGAGGGGGGAGCGGGGAGCGGGGAGCGGGAAGCGGGGCCCUUGGCGCCGAGAGGAGCGCCUACCCCACCGUUGGCGUGUGGCGGCGGCGGAGGGAGGUCGUCGGCGGUGGAGAGCACCGAAAGGUGACGGCGCGCCUCCACGAGCACGGCUGCACCGGCGGCGGCGCGGGGGAGCGCGCCCUCCGAAGGAGGAGGCCAAGGGCGAUGCCGGCGGCGGCGGAUAUCCUCAAAGCACGUGUUGCCGAGAAGGUCGGGGAGAAGUGAGGGCGAUUUGGGGAUGAGAUCGGAGCUCGCAAAGGAUGCGGAGGAAAAGGAAGGAGGGGAUGAGUAGAGGUGAAAGAGAGGGGGAGUGCUCAAGCUCGGACUCACGGAGAGGGUCGGGUGGUCCUGGGAUCGGGGGAGGGGAGAGAGAUAGGGGUGUAACGUGGGACUUGCUGGUUGUCAUGGCCCACAUUAGUCGGGCAGAAACGGGUCACAGGGUGGCCGGGCCCGGCCAGUCGUCAAAUCCGGGUCGGGCCAUACUAUGCCAGAGCUAAUCAGUUCCCAGCCCAGCACGGCCCUUCGGCCUGGAAGUCACAGGCCGUCCCAUGCCGAGCCGGGCCGUGCUCCGGGCCGGUCCUUUAUUUGUUUUAAUUUUUAAAAAAAACAUAAAAUUUAAAAAUAAUAAUAAUAAAUUAUUUUUAUUUAAAUUAGUAUUUUGAUUAAAAAAAUUAAAAUUUUUUAUUUUAAAUAUUGUUUAUUAAUUGUGAUUUAUCUGGUAUAUUAUAAGUAUUUGCUUUUGUAUUAUCAUUUAACCGUUUAUAAUUUAUUAUUAUUCUAGUUUUUUCUCUUACUAUCUCAGAAUGUUUCAUUACUAUAAAAGCAGCAAACCUAUGUUUUGAGUUUUACCAUUUUAUUACUUCUAAAUUUAAUAGUUCGUUUAUAUGCAUCUUAAAUUAUUCUUUUUCCUCGUUAGAGACUUCUAGCGAGGCUGUCUUAAUUAUGUAUUCAGGAUUAAUAGUAUCUACUUUACAAUAUAACUUAUUUUUAUCCCAGUACUUAACAGGAUUUUGUCUAAUUUCUCUAGUAUCUUAUCUAUAUCUGCUUGAUCUCUAAUAAAUCCUAUAUUUAAUAGCAUUUUUUUCCAAUUCAUAUAGUCUGGUUCGUAAUCAAAUGCUAAAUAAUUUUGUUCUAAAAGUUUUUCAUAAUUAUAAUUAAAAUCAAAAUCAUCUAAUUCUAUUAAAUCUAAUUCGUUUUCAACUUCUUGUUUCUCAAUUAUUUUAUCGUAAUCUAUUAGUCCAUUAGUUUGUAAGUUUUGGCAACAUACUUUCCCCUGUGUACAAUUAUCACAACAUUUUUUUCUUUUAGGUUCUGAUUCUGUUCUAGUUUUUAUAUGGUUAAUAUGUACUGGAGUUUGAGUAAUCUUUUUAUAAAAGUGAACAGUCCUUAUUUAGACUUAAAUCUCCUAAUUGAUUUAGGAUAAAGUUUAAUCAUAAAACAAAAUCAGUGUUGAUAUUUAGUAGUCUUAACCAUAUUUUUGGCAAGGCAUUGUGGUAUCCCUGGUGUUCACCAGUUGAGACUUGCCGACAGCUCUGGAGAGUGUCGAGACAAGUCCGAGUCGCGUUGGUAUGAAAUACACGCAAAACGGACUCAGCAGGGACGCGAGAGUAGGACUUGGCAUUGGAAUCUGCAAACAGCAGAUUUUCUGCUUGUUGUACCGGUACAACCAUUAAGGCGUACCGGUACACUUUCUGUACCGGUACAACAUUGGGGGUGUACCGGUACACUUCGACAGAUUUUGCGCAGCUGCUCUCGGGUUGCCAUUUGUACCAGUACACUUGCUCGUGUACCGGUACACCAGGGUAGGUGAGAUGGCAUUUUGGUAAUUUCUCACCUCGUUCGUGUCACCCACUCCUCUCUAUCGCUUAUAUGUACGUAGAGGGUUAGAGAGAUAGAUUUUUACUGCAUUCCUCCUCUCUUUCCCUAGCAUUGGUCGAGCAAGAAGGAGUUCGGGUGGAGUUGCCGUGGAGCUCGGACCGACGUCGACGUCACACCGCGGUGCCGUUCGAGCGAGUGUUUGUUGUCGUAGCAUUGCGAGGAGACCGGCCGAGGGUGCGAUUCAGCCGUUCUCGACGUCGCGCCGAAUUGGAUUUAGUGUUUGAGGUGGGUUAAUAAUCGGUUUGUCUUCUAAGUAUAUAAAUAUGGUCGGCAUGUGUAGUUCUAGCUUGUUGCAUAUCCGGUUUGCUCAAUUCAUGGAGUUUAGACAUAUGUAUAUGUAGAAUAUGAAUUUGGAGCUUAAUGUUGUGACUAGAUAUUGACACAUGUUGGACUUGGAUUUGACUUAGGAGAAAACCGCAAAUAUAACUUGUCAUAUACUUACACUACCUGAUUUAGCUCUAGGAGUCGUUAUCAUUUUGUAUCGCUGCAGUAUCGGUGUGGUGGAUACUCCAGGUAGUGUAGUGUACUAUUACGCUCGUGCUGGGAUGCCGAACCUUUUUUUACAGUAGCUUUCAAAUUGUUCCGGACUAUUGGGUGCCGUUGGGACUGACGGUGGACCCGGAUUGCCGUUUUGACAUUAGAUUGUGCUGAGGGCACGUGACUAUUUGGUUGGUAGACCAGUUAGACCCAGUGUACUUGACUAUAGCCUGCGAGAGCCUGAUUGAGCUCGACAGAGAUACGCUUGCAUACUCGGUUGGGUAGCGCCCACGAGUGCCACUCUGGAGUCGGGCCUAGUGCUGUUGCAUUGGUGUUGUUGUGUCCUGGUUGGACUUGCUCUCCACUAACUACCUUGCGGGGGUGGUUGUUAAUGUUGCUUCGACAUGCAGGACGGGUGUAUCACAGUCCCUGAAUAGAUUGGGUCAGCAUUGAUAUUUUUUACUGCAGAUGAUUAGAGUAUAGCAUGAUAGUGUAGUGAUAUUUAGCUAUAGAUGUUUUCCAGCUUUCCUACUAUCCCAGCUCCUUUCUGUAGACUUAGUGGGUAGACCGAUGAUUGUUGAGGGCGACACCCACCGAGGACUACUUAUUUUUACAAUAGUUCUCACGCCCAGUUGUUACCCCUCUUUUGUAGAGCUUGCUGUUCCGGUUGCUGCUUCCUCUGAGACCGAUCGUGGCAAGGGCGUUGCCGGUUAGAGCCCUUCCCAGUUGUGGCAGUUCGAGAGGAUACCAGAUUCAGGUAGUGGUUUUGUUUCCUUUACAGUUCAUGUACAUGCAUCUUUCGUAACUCGCCGGAGCGAGUCUUUUGUAUCAGGAUGUUUCGUAUGUAUACAGAACUGGCUUUUGUUUACCAGCUUUAUUUAUGCAGCUCUAUACUACUAUUUGUAGUAUUGUAUGUUUAUACAGGUACAGCUAUCGCUUCGUAUACAGAGAAAAUUUCUUUGUACACGGCGGAUUUGUUGGCGUGCCCGGGGAACGAGACAUCCGGGGUGUGAUAGAUUAAGUUGGUAUCAGAGCUCAGUUGUAGGUCGUUGGGACCUAGGUAACCUAAGUGGACAAACCUUAGAAAGGCAAAACGCGAGAGCCGUGAUUAAUGCGAAAGUCAAUGAUUAAUUGUUCUAACUCAUCCUAGAGCGGAGUGAGUGAUUGAAGGAGUUUCUGUUUUGGCCUGAGAAAUUAUGUUGGCUGCAGACGACAUAAUUUUGGAGGAAAAUAGGGACUGCCUUCCAGACUUUCAUUGAUUGGGUCGAGAGUGUUUGUAUUGUAUCUGACCCCGUUCCGUUUUCUACAGUUAUGUAUCGUCGCCGAGGUCGACCGUCCUUGCGGGAGCGUGCCCAGUUGACGCAGGAUCAUGCGGGACCUUCCGAGAUGCCAGAGCAGACGGAGCGCAGUACGCGACAGGAGGCGAGUGCACCCCCUGUUGUGGAGCCGAGUGCGCGACCUGAGGUGUAAUACACUGGACUUUCGCAAAUGGCAGAGUUCGAGUGUGUGGAAGGAAGUGUGGAACUAUCCUACAUGUUCUAAAUGACUUGGACAAGUUUUUGAACAAGUUAGAGAGUGAUUGGAGGGUUAAAAGUAAGAAAUUGCAUCAAACUGGCGAAAAUCAGCAUUUUCUGCUUGCUGUACCGGUACAGCCAUCACCUUGUACCGGUACAAGCUGGCAGAUUCGUGGCAGCAAGGCUAGUUUGGUAAUUUCACACUUGAUCCCUACCUAUUUGAUCCCAGCACGACUCUGGGACUUCAGUAGAGUAUGCAAGAGCUCUGAGAAAGCUUCUUUUCCCUUCUUCUCUCUCUCUCUCUAGGNCUCGGGCUACGGCCGAGGGUGAUGUCCCUUUGUAUAGAGAGACUACCAUUGUACCUAUUUUGGUAUACCCCGUGAUGUAUAUGUACUCUUUGGACAGUCACUAUAGUCAUGUUACUUUCUCUUUUAGUUGAGAUUUUGGUUUAUGUACUCUUUGCCCUCUUGUUGAUAGUCUUUGUGACUUGUACUUUGCUCUGAUAUCAGGAUAGAAUUUUCUAUGAUCUCCUUCCUAUCGACUUGCUUGUUUGUAGACGCCUUAUAUACUGCAGGUGUAUGGCGGGUCUGUUCACGUACCGGAUAUGCUUCCGCUGGUACCCGGGGGUGACAUGAGGCUAGCGCGUCCCCUGAUCUGAGUGCACAGUUAGCUGCCUUGACUGAGGUGACAAGGCGGCAGGGGGAGUUGUUGGAGAGGAUGUGUGAGAGGCUAGUUCCACCCCCGAGUUCAACACCGAGGGCACCAGAGGCAUCAGCUCCACCUCCUACUACUUCAGCAGCAGUACGAGUCGCAGCUGUACCCCCACCAGUGGAGGUUCCGGUGGCGCUAGUUGUGCCUUCUAGAGGGCCAGUGCAGAUGACUGAGGCCGAGCAGGAGUGGAUGACAGAGAGGUUUGCUCGUUUUCGCCGUUUUGACCCGCCGAUCUUUGAUGGCAGCUGCACAGAGGCGUGGAUUGUUGAGGGCUGGGUCAGUGCGCUGGAGAAGCUCUUUGAGGAUCUGUUCAAUCCAGAGAGGGAGCAGGUACAUCUUGGAGUUUACUGUUUGUCGGGUGAUGCUCACGCCUGGUGGAGGAGGGUGAAGCAAGACUAUGGGCUAGUGGCACUAGAGAUGCGGUGGGACGAGUUCUGUAGAAUGCUGUUUGGGAUGUAUUUUUCCAACAGUGUGAAACAGAAGCUCGAGGAGGACCUAAAGAAGAUCGAGCAGGGGGAUCGAACAGUUCAGGAGUACAUCCAGGAGUUCACUCGGCUCCUGAACUGCGUCUCUUUUGUAGCUCGAGACGAGGCACACCAGGUAUACCUUUUUGAGUAGGGUUUGAGGCCCGAGAUCUUCAGAUUUGUCCAUGCGCAGAGGUUGAGGACCUUGGAUGCGUCUAUGGAGCAGGCACUUUAGGUUGAGAGAGGUGAUGCUUUGAUCCGGGAGAGGACCCAGUUGCAGGGGCAGAGUUAGGACAGGAAGCGCCCAGCCACAGAUGACGGAGGACGGUCAAGCAGCAGGCGUCCGCCGAGGCCUACACGAGCACGUUCUCAGGGUCGUGGGUUUUCGGGGCAUCAGCGUUCUAGGGGACUUCGUCAGCAGAGGCAGUUUCAGGGGCCACAGUAGUGUGUGAUUUGUGUGGGACCACACGGGGCCCGGCAGUGUGAGCAGCGUGAGGGCCGGUGUUUUGGGUAUGGGCAGCCAGGACAUAUGAGGUCAGCGUGUUCCCGAGCAGCAUCACCAGCACCAUCGACAGCUUCAGCCCGACCAGCAACUCAGAAGUCGUAUGGAGCAGCACCGAGUUACCGCCAGGAGGAUAGGUCGUCUGUGCCGCGGCAGAGUGAGCGGCAACAGCAGGCUUCAAGUGGCAGGGUGUAUGUAGCCCAGGUGGAGGACUCUACAGAAGCCGACAGGGUGGUAGCAGGUAUCACUUUGAUUUCUGGCAUUAGAGGUCGGACUCUUUUUGAUACCGGAGCAUCUCAUUCUUUUGUUAGCCGAGUAUUUGCAUUAUUGCAUGGUCUAGAGUUAGAGACAUUAUCACAAGCACGAGAGGUGCAGAUCCCAGACCAUGUUUUGCAGGUUGUCGAGUGUUGCUAGUCGUGUUCGGUGCAGUUGGAUUCAUGGAUCAUGCCCGCAGACCUGUUGGUGUUAGGGCAGCUGCAGGACUUCAACGUUAUGCUCGGUAUGGAUUGGCUGGCGCGCUACUAUCGAUUGUGGAGUGAGGACGGUGACGUUCCGCGAGCCAGGCCAGGAGGAGUUCACUUUUAGAGGCUGCAGGAGUACGUUGUUCGCCACUUGGAUAUCUUCGGCGAGGGCUCGACAGAUGAUGAGCAGAGGAUGUGUUGCUUUUCUGGCCACAAUUGUAGAGGUACCUAUGGCGGCGCCGGGACUCGAGGAUAUCCCUGUAGUCUGCGAGUUUCCGAAUGUGUUUCCCCCGGAGUUGACGACUAUGCCGCCGGAGAGAGAGAUUGAGUUUGUAAUUGAUAUAGUUCCUGGAACUGCACCAAUCUCGAAUGUACCUUAUCGGAUGGCACCGGCUGAGCUUAGAGAGCUAAAGGCACAGCUUUAGGAUUUGAUGGAUAAGGGGUUUGUGAGACCCAUUGUGUCGCCUUGGGGAGCGCCGGUGUUAUUUGUAAAGAAAAUGAUGGUUCACUUAGGUUGUGCGUGGAUUACCGGAAGCCGAAUAAAGUGACCAUCAAGAACAAGUAUCCUUUGCCGCGCAUUGAUGAUUUGUUUGAUCAGCUGCAGGGAUCUUGUGUCUUCUCGAAGAUUGAUCUCCAGUCAGGUUACCACCAGUUGAGGGUGAGAGCCGAGGAUGUUCCUAAGACGGCUUUUCGGACUCGGUACGGGCAUUAUGAGUUCACAGUGAUGCCUUUUGGAUUGACGAAUGCCCCUGCCGCAUUCAUGGAACUGAUGAACAGAGUGUUCAAGCCGUUCUUGGAUAAAUUUGUAGUAGUCUUCAUCGAUGACAUUUUGAUAUACUCCCGGAGCGAUGUCGAGCGCGAGGCGCACUUGAGGAUUGUGCUACAGCUUCUGCGAGAGAAAAAGUUGUAUGCCAAGUUAAAGAAGUGCAAGUUCUGGUUACGAGAGGUUGCUUUCUUGGACCAUGUGAUUUCUGCAGAGGGAGUAGCAAUGGACCCGAAGAAGAUUGAUUCUAUUCGGGAUUGGCCCAGACCGACGACGGUGACUGAGGUGAGGAGUUUUCUGGGACUGGCAGGAUAUCACCGUCGGUUUGUGGAAGGUUUUGCGAAGCUUACCACACCCCUCACCCACUUGACGUGGAAGGGGAUUCGCUUUGUCUGGAGUGACGACUGUCAGAGAAGCUUUGAUCAGUUGAGACAGAGGUUGACGUCAGCUCCUAUCCUUGCCCUUCCUGUGAUGGGGGAAGGAUUUGUGAUCUAUAGUGAUGCAUCGCACAGUGGAGUGGGUUGUGUGCUGAUGCAGCAUGGUAGGAUAAUUGCUUAUGCUUAACGGUAGUUAAAGGAUUAUGAGAAAAAUUACCCUAUGCAUGACUUGGAGCUUGCCGCGGUAGUCUUUGCCUUGAAGCUGUGGCGGCAUUACUUGUAUGGUGAGCACUGUGAGAUUUUUACUGAUCACAAGAGUCUCAAGUAUCUGUUCACUCAAAAGGAAUUGAAUAUGAGGCAGCGUCGGUGGUUGGAGUUACUGAAGGACUAUGAUCUUAGUAUUCAGUAUCAUCCCGGCAAGGCGAAUGUAGUGGCAGAUGCGUUGAGCAGGAAGGUAGUGCAGAGUUGGAGUAUGUUGAUUACUCAGCAGAGGCCGUUGCUCAAGGAGUUGCAGCGGCUGAGAAUUGAGAUAGUGUCCCCUAGGUCUACUGCGAGACUGAUGUUUCUGGUUUUGCAGCCCACUCUAUUGGAUAGGAUCCGAGAGAAACAGAGUGGAGAUCCGUAUCUGUUGAGGAUUCGAGAGCAAUUAGACAGGGGACAGGCUGAGGGUUUUGCUGUGGACAGCUCGGGAGUACUACUGUACAGGGACCGACAGUGUGUGCCUGUGGAUUCAGGGAUCCGAGAGGAUAUUUUGAGAGAGGCUUAUUGUUCUUCUUAUAAGGUUCACCCAGGUGGAACCAAGAUGUAUAAGGACUUAAAGGUACAGUUUUGGUUGAAUGGAAUGAAAAGGGACAUUAGCAGGUGUAAGGAAGUGAAUUCUCGAAAUCCGAGGAUUGUACCUCAUCCAGGAUCGACUAACUGUCGAGAGUAUACCCUUUGUGGGAGUUGGAGAUGUCCAAAACACCAAAAAGUGCUUUGGAGUUGAGUCCGCGAGAGCAAAUAGGCAAAAUCUGGAUUCAGCAGAUUUUUGCUCUCGGGGACCGGUCCCUGGAGGGAAGGACCGAUCCCCGUAGCUGAUGGUCGCGGGGGAGGUUGAUGCGACCGGUCCCUGGCUGAGGGGACCGGUCCUCGUGCGCGACACCCGCGGGAGAAAGCCAAAAUUUGGCUAAGUCCUGAAGGUUCCCCGUUUGGAAACCGGUCUCUUAGGAGAGACCGGUUUCCCAGGGACCGGUCCCUCAGGUGAGGACCGGUUCCCGAACGCGAAAACUCCCCAGACAGCAGGGAGAGCUCUCGGGGACCGGUCUCCCCGAUCAGGGACCGGUUCCUCUGGGCGAAAACUGCUCAGUGAGGGCUGUGCAAUGGAUGAAAAGUUGAGGGGCUAAAGUGGAUUUUGUUACAAUAGAAGGGCUCAACAGCCCACUCCCCCUAUCAUUCUCUCAUUUCACCCUCUCUCUCUCUUUCUCUCUCUCUCUCUAAGAAAGAAAGAACAAAAGAGAAGGAGAAGAAGAAAGAGAAGAAGAAGAAGGAGGAGAAGAAGAAGAAGAAGGAGGAGAACAAGCUAGAGAGGGCUUGGAGCAUCUUCCUCUCUUUCUCUCCUUUCCAUUGGUGUAGCUCAAGAGGUAAGCUACAAACCCUAGCUUGUAGAACUUGGGGUUUUUGGGUUUUGAUGCUUUGGAAUGGGUCAAAUGGACCCUAAACUUGCUUCUAAAUAGAUCAAUCCCAAGAAUCUAGGGAUUUAUUGGUGGUUUGCUAUAGGUGCAAACCUAGGGCUCCAAAAUGGGGUUUUUGUGAAAGUAUGAGAUUGAUCUCAUUUGAAGCCCUGGAAAUCCUAUUGGUAGGUUACAAAACGUGGGGGCGAAGUCGAUUUGCAUUCGGCGAGCAGGCGUGAAGUUCUCGGCAAAAUAGGGCCGGGAUAGCUUGGAUUUGGGCAAAAAAGGCUAAAGCCUUUUGGUAGCGUUCGCCGCGGACCAUUUAUUAAGCCUCGACAUCGGUAAAAGGUGGGGGGUGCUAUCCCGAAGCUUUCGAACUCCUUUCUAUGUCUUAGAUUGCAUUUAAUCUCAUCUCUUCAUGUUCCAUUGUAGGAUUGCAUAGUAGCUCCGUUCCUUAUGCUUUCUAAUUGAUAACCUAGUGUACUUGGAACGCUUGGUGACUUAGAUAGGUGAGGAUUGGGUUGGAACGUGGAUCCUAUGAUGCAAGAGAAAAGAGAUGAACCCGAUGGGGGUGUUGAUGACAUAGAAAGUAGUAUUAAUGUCAAAGAACUAACGAGUGGCAUCCAAGCGUUAAAUGAUGACGAGUGGCAUUAAUGUAGUGUAAAUAACACUAGAGGUUUGAGAACCUAGGGAUAGGUGGAUCCCUUAGAAAAUGCCUUGUGGACAAGAACUUAGUAAACCUAAGUAACCUCACAUGGAGAGGUCGUCGAUGAGUCGAUUGAGACAGUGACCCUAGUUGUAGGGCAUCCUCACUUGGAGAGGAUUUGAUUGAGUUGUGGACCCUAGUGGUAGUGCUCCCUCACUUGGAGAGGAUUUGAUUGGGUAUUGACCCUAGAUGUAGGGCAUCCUCACUUGGAGAGGAUAGAUCUAGCUCACAGCCUGCGUUUGGGAUGGUAUAGCCAUCCAAUCCCCACAUGGAGGGGAUUGUCGUCGAGUACUCCGGAGUGUCGCGCGACUAGGACCACUUGGAGGUCUGGACCACAUUGAGGUCCGCAGAUGGUCCCGGGCUUGGGUGCACUUGGAGCUCCCUCCCUACUUUGGGAUUGAAGGGUGAGUUAUAGGCGAGCCCUAGGGCCUCUCCACAGAUUGGGUAAAUGGAAAGUUAAAGGUUUAAUAAUGUCAUUGAACAUUGCUAUUCGAACAUGGAUCGAAUUCGUUAGCAUGGUAGCAAAUCUUUAUUAUAUGAUGCAUACAUUCAUAUUCAUGAUUAUGGGCAUAGUAGCAUAGUUUUCCUACUAUCGCAUUUACAGUUUUCAGAUACAUAUCUAUCUAUCUAUCUGUUGUUACUUGUGCCCACUUGGACCUAUUGGGGAGAUCGGCAGAGUCGGCGGCCGAGCCCACUGGGAACUAUGGAAGAUAGUUCUCACCCCACUCUAAUUCCAGUGGUAGGUACAGGACUGCCCAGGGACGACCGCGGCAAGGGCAUCGCACCAGAUCAGUGAGACCGUGGUAGUAUAGCAGCUUUCCUUUUUGCAUUAGCACACCUAUGUAUUGAGAGAGAUUCAUUGUAGGUGAGGAUUUGGAGAGCUAUGUAUUUUGGAUGAAAAAUGUAUUCGUUUAAAGAAAAUGAAAAUGAGGGAACUAUUGUAAUAGUUAGUAAAGUACUCUCUUUAUUUCACAUGCUUUAUCUUGUGGAUUGCUUGCUCUUUGUAUUGUUGGCACUGUUUGUGCCCUUGUGAAUGUGUAUAUUUAGAAUUUAAUUUUCUGGGUAAAUUCUUGUACACAUUCCUGUUGUUGAGCCUUGGGCGGACAGAGGAGGUGCUGUCCGUUCGGCGGCCCGCCGCCGCUGCCGAACCGUGCCAAAUUGGUAGUGGUUUCGGGGCGGGACGUGACAGCAGGUAUGUGGCUAAGUGUUUCACUUGCCAACAGGUAAAGGCCAAGCAUCAAGUGCCUGCUGGCAAGCUUCAGAAUCUGCUAGUCCCCGAGUGGAAGUGGGAGCAGAUUCCCAUGGACUUUGUUGUGGGAUUGUCUAGUGCACAGGGUGGUUUUGAUGCGAUUUGGGUGAUAGUGGACAGACUGACCAAGUCUGCUCACUUCCUACCGGUUCAGACCACCUGGUCCAGAGAGUGGCUCGCGCAGCUAUACCUGGAUGAGAUUCUCAGGCUACACGGCGUGCCAGUGUCGAUUGUAUCAGACAGAGACCCUAGGUUUGUGUCCCAGUUUUGGAGGAGUCUUCAGACAGCCUUGGGCACUCAGCUACAUUUCAGCACGGCGUUCCACCUACAGACAGAUGGUCAGUCAGAGAGGACCAUUUAGACUCUAGAGGAUAUGCUGAGGGCAUGCGUCCUGGAUUUUGGAGGAGGGUGGUAUUGACAUUUCAGACUGGUUGAGUUUGCGUACAACAACAGCUAUCAAAUGAGUAUCCAGAUGGCUCCGUUUGAGGCGUUGUAUGGACGCAGAUGUCGAUCCCCUUUAUUUUGGAGCGAUGUGGGUUAGAGGAGGACACUAGGGCCUGAGAUCUUGCUAGAGGCUGAGGAAAAUGUGAGAGUUGUUCGACGUCACCUUUUAACAGCUCAGAGCCGCCAGAAGAGCUAUGCUGAUAUCCGGAAGCGAGACUUAGAGUUUCAGGUUGGAGAUCAUGUAUUUCUCAAAGUCUCGCCGUCUAGAGGGAUUCGCCGAUUUGGAGUACGUGGAAAGCUUAGUCCACGUUUCGUUGGCCCUUUUGAGGUAUUGGGACGAGUGGUACUAGUUGCAUACGGGAUUGCUCUACCCCCGCGACUAGCUCGCAUUCACGAUGUCUUCCACGUCUCAGCAUUGAGGAGAUAUGUUUUCGAUCCUUCUCACGUGAUUGACUUCACUCCACUUGACAUUAGCGAGGAUCUAGGAUACGAGGAGCGACCGUUGCGGAUUCUUGCUCGGGAGUCGAAAGAAUUGCACAACCGGGUCAUCCCGUAUGUAAAGGUGUAGUGGAGUAAUCACGAGGAGCGGGAGGCGACUUCGGAGCCUGAGGCGGUGAUGAGGGAGACCUAUUCCUAUCUGUUCGAUGCCUAGAGCUGAGGUAUGUUUAAGUUUCGAGGACAAAACUUUUCGUAGUGGGGGAGGAUGUGGUAUCCCUGGUGUUCAUCAGUUGAGGCUUACCGACAGCUUUGGCGAGUGUCGGGACAAGUCCGAGCCGCGUUGGUGUGAAAUACACGCAAAACGGACUCAGCAGGGAUGCGAGAGCAGGACUUGGCAUUGGAAUAUGCAAACAACAGAUUUUCUACUUGUUGUACCGGUAGAACCAUCAAGGCGUACUGGUAAACUUUCUGUACCGGUACAACAUCGGGGGUGUACCGGUACACUUCGACAGAUUUUGUGCAGCUGCUCUCGGGUUGCCAUUUGUACCGGUACACUUGCUCGUGUACCGGUACACCAGGGUAGGUGAGAUGGCAUUUUGGUAAUUUCUAACCUCAUUUGUGUCACCCACUCCUCUCCACCGCUUAUAUGUACGUAGAGGGUUAGAGAGAGAUGGAUUUUUACUGCUUUCCUCCUCUCUUUCCCUAGCAUCGACCGAACAAGAAAGAGCUCGGGUGGAGUUGCCGUGGAGCUCGGACCGACGUCGACGUCGCGCCGCGGUGCCGUUCGAGCGGGUGUUUGUCGUCGUAGCAUCGCGAGGAGGCCGGGCGAGGGUGCGAUUCCGCCGUUCUCGACGUCGUGCCGGAUUGGAUUUAGCGUUCGAGGUUGGUUAAUCAUCGGUUUGUCUUCUAAGUAUAUAAAUAUGGUCGGCAUGUGUAGUUCUAGCUUGUUGCAUAUCCGGUUUGCUCAAUUCAUGGAGUUUAGACAUAUGUAUAUGUAGAAUAUGAAUUUGGAGCUUAAUGUUGUGACUAGAUAUUGACACAUGUUGGACUUAGAUUUGAGAAAACCGCAAAUAUAACUUGUCAUAUGCUUACACUACCUGCUUUAGCUUUAGGAGCCGUUAUCAUUUUGUAUCGCCGCAGUAUCGGUGUGGUGGAUACCCCAGGUAGUAUAGUGUACUGUUACGCUCGUGCUAGGAUGCUGAGCCUAUUUUUACAGUAGCUUUCAGACUGUUCCGGACUGUUGGGUGCCGUUGGGACUUACGGUGUUCCCGGAUUGCCGUUUUGGCAUUAGAUUGUGCUGAGGGCACGUGACUGUUUGGUUGGUAGACCAGUUAGACCCAGUGUACUUGACUAUAGCCUGCGAGAGCCUGAUUGAGCUCGACAGAGAUACGCUUGCAUACUCGGUUGGGUAGCGCCCGAGUGCCACUCCGGAGUUGGGCCUAGUGCUGUUGUGUUGGUGUCGUUGUGUCCUCAUUGGACUUGCUCUCCACUAACUACCCUGCGGGGGUGGUUGUUAGUGUUGCUUCGGCAGGCGGGACGGGUGUAUCACAGUCCCUGGAUAGAUUGGGUCAGCAUUGAUAUUUUUUACUACAGAUGAUUAGAGCAUGAUAGUGUCAUGAUAUUUAGCUGUAGAUGUUUUUCCAGCUUUCCUACUAUCCCAGCUCCUUUCUGUAGACUUAGUGGGUGGACCGAUGAUUGUUGAGGGCGGCACCCACUGAGAACUACUUGUUUUUACAGUAGUUCUCACACCUAGUUGUUACCCCUCUUUUGCAAUGCUUGCUGUUCCGGUUGCUGCUUCCUCUGAGACCGAUCGUGGCAAGGCGUUGUCGGUUAGUGCCCUUUCUAGUUGCGGCAGUUCGAGAGGUACCAGAUUCAGGUAGUGGUUUUGUUUCCUUUGCAGUUCAUGUACAUACAGCUUUCGUAACUCGCCGGAGCGAGUCUUUUGUAUCAGGAUAUUUCGCAUGUAUAUAGAACCGGCUUUCGUUUACCAGCUUUAUUUAAGCAGCUCUAUACUACUAUUUGUAGUAUUGUAUGUUUAUACAGGUACGGCUAUCGCUUCGUAUACAGAAAAAAUUUCUUUGUACAUGGCGGAUUUGUCGGCGUGCCCGGGGAACGAGACAUCUGGGGCGUGACAGGCAUAGUAUUCACUAUGAGCGACACAUGUGUCUAAGAAACUAAUUUUACAAUUUUCAAUAUAAUGUGUAUAUAAAUGCACGGUUUCAGAGCCUUCCGCGGCGGGGGAGGCUAGGGUUCGUGGCAAGGGGUUAGCGACUAGCUAGACCCUCCUCGAUGUUGCUGUAGAUGGAUCCGUAGAAUUCCUUCUUUCAUUUUAGUUCAAGAAUGUAUAAUUGUACUUUAUUUGAGAUUUCGAGUAUUCAUGUUGUACCCCUUGAUUAGAUUAUUGUAAUCUUGAGAUGUAUUAGUUUUGGAAUUUUGUAUCUAGUAGAUUUAAGAUCUUGUUCUGACUACAAUGUUUAGAAAUGUUUUACACUUCUUCCUUUAUGAUUGUUGUUGUAAGAUACUAGAUCCUCGGUACGUGCGAAUCCGAACUUUAGUUGGAAUUGACCAAAGUGCGGAGUUGUUAGCUUCGAAAUGCUUCGGAAGAGCCCGAACGCGUUGAAACGGCUUUUAGAGGAUUGUAGGACCUUGGUGAGCACUUGAGGUGUGAAGCUAGAAUUUUUCGUAGUUGAAGUGCUUACGGGGUCCGGACCCUAUGAAGGGUUCGGAUCCCAUAGCCGAAAACUGCCCAACCCGGGUAGUGAGCAACUUGCAUUGUUUGAGGGGUUUUAUGCAAUUUGGCCAUGAGUUGAGUGUAUAUAAGAGGUUAGGGCUUAUUUCUUCUCAUCUCUCUCACACAUGCAACCCAAGUGACCUCCCUCUCUCUGUAGCACACUGCAAAUUGUGAGGUUCGAGUGCUUGAUGUGUACUCCGAACUUUUUCACACUUGGUGGAAGGCCGUAGAUGGUAUUCUGGCCUAAAAGUUCGAUCUCUAGAGUUUUGGCGAGUCCUGAGAGUUUUCACUCUCGGGGAUCGGUCCCUGAUAUGAGAGACCGGUCCCCUCAGAACAGUGCUGCGGCAGGGCUUGAGGCAACCGGUCCCUGGCUGGGAGAAACCGGUUCCCGAACGCGUGUUUUGCGUGAAGAGUCCGAGAGAUCGGUUCCUGGCGGGGAGAGACCAGUUCCCGAAUGUUGGUUUUGCGGGACGAACUGAGAGACCGGUCCCAGGUGUCGGGGAGAUCGGUCCCUCAACGCGAAAACUGCCCAGACCGGGUAAUGCACAGGGUAAUUCUUUGAGGGGCUUAUAUGGAUUUUGUUGCUCCUAAGGGCCUUAAGGCCAUUUCCACCCUCUCACUCUCUCAUUUCUCACCCUCCUUACACUUCUAGAGAGAGAAGAAGGAGGAGAAGAAGAAGAAGAAAUUGGAGGAGAGCAAGAUCUUGAGGCUUGGAGCAUCUUCCGCUCCCUUUUGCUCACAAUUGGAGGCUUGGGGCUUAGGCUAGGAGCUCAAUAGAGGAUCAAUCUACAACCCUAGAGCAUUUGGAGCUUGGUUUGGAUCUCCUUUUAAGGUUAGUUGCUUAUUUCUCCCAUCUAGACCUAUUUUUGGUAGAUUUUGGGAGAUGAAACCCUAGAUUUGAAUUUUAGGGUUUAUUUUGGGAAUUUUUGAUUUGAGGGCUUGGAGACCUAAUUGAUCGGUUUAGAACCUUCCUCUAGGUUGGGUUGGAAAGGUUAUUGCUCUCUUUGGAAGCUUGGGAAGGAAUUUCAUCACAAGAGGUGAGUUAUGCCCUCUAUGCUUAGAUGGUUAAGAUUAAGCUUUCCGAUGUUCGUUUCGAUUGUGUAACUCUUGUUCCUACAUCUUUAGUGUGCUACGAGACUUGUGGACACCUCCGUUCGGCGAAACGAAGUGUUUUGAUUCUUGGUGGGUUUCACUUCAUAAAAUUGGGGCAAAAUGGCCCCUAUGCAUUACAUACUCGUUGUAAAGUCUGUUUGAAUGUAAAUUCCUGCUAAAUAGGAUUUAUAAGAAUUUUAGAAUCCUUGAAAUGCAUGUGCUAUGUGUAAGAUGAAUAUCACUCUAUAUAGUAGAGCUAUAUGUGUAGACUGCAUGCAUGUGAAAGGUGUGCAUCUUUUCAAGUUGAGAACAUGUCUCUUAUGCUAGAAAUGGUUAGAAUUAUGUAUUCAUGAACAUAAUUAUCAUGCUUGGACUCGUUGAACAAAAGUGUUAUAAAGGGGCACUUGAAACUAAUAAACUAUGAAAAUGCAACAUAGAGACAUAGUGAUAGGCCAUUGGAUAUCGACUAUAUUCCAUGUUAGAGACAUGAUGACAUAGUGAUAGGCCUUUGUGACAUUCGAUAUAUUCCAUGUUCUUAGGCAUGAGGACUUGAGACUUGAGACUUGAGACAGACUUAUACACAUGCUUGCCAUUGUGCUCAUUCACACAUGCUUGUGAGGGUCGCUCCCUACAAGCCGGCACUCCGGAGUUAACCGUCGCGAUACAUAUUCGUCGUGCGGAAUUGGGCGCCGAAGUGGAUUGCCGUGGGAAAGGCUCAUCCCUAAGAGUGGGGAUGUUGACUACCAUGGAGACAUUAGGCACGGCACCGGCCAGACAGCCUACGGGUGGGUCUUACAGGCCAGACAGCCUUCGGGUAGGUCUUCAUGCUAGACAGCCUUCGGGUGGGUCUUAUAAGAUUAAACUUUUAACAGUUAAGUGACAAGUGGACAUUGACUAGAAUAAUAAAUAAUGACAUCGUUACUAUUUGCAUCAAGGACAUCGUGUUGGUUGCAUACUCAUGCUUAUACAGGUUAAUCACAUUCAUGACCAUACUCGUUGUAGUUGCUUUAUUUCUCAUGCAGUUCAUACUAAGUAGAGAUAUCAUGGUAGAAUAGUACUCAUGGUUCCAUACUUGUUCAUUAUUUAGCUUUCGUUUAUACUUGUACUGACCCUCUUUUGUAGCUUUUGGGCCUAGUGGCGCAUUUCACUGAAGUCAGUAAUUGCCCACUGGGAACUAUUAUUUAAUAGUUCUCACGCCCUCUGUUUUAUGAUUUUAUUUCAGAGCCUUCGGUACCGGCGGAGGCACAGCAUCGCGGCAAAGAAGUCACGUAGCUAGUUAGCGGGGAGCUACUUUUGAGCUUAGGUGGUUUACUCUUUCUUUUAUUGUAUUAAAGAGUAAGAGAGACUUUGAGUACCAUGUGUAGAGACCACCUGUGUAUUUGUUUGGCUUUUGUUUUGGGAUUCUUAUUGUAUUACUUUGUGUUUCUUCUAGUGAAUUUUGGUAUAUGGUUCGUUCCCUCUUUUGUAGCAACUAGAUAUACUUGCUCUGAUACUCCUAGUUGUUCCCUUUUUAUUGCUUCAUUUAUCGCUUUAUUUAGACGACUUGUAUGUUUUAGACAUAUGGCGGGUCUCGGCACGCAUCGGGCGGGCUUCCGCUCGGUCCCGGGGCGUGACAGAUUAGUUUGAUAUCAGAGCCUAGGGUUGAGUCUUAGUGGACCUAACAAACCUUAGGUCGGUUGGACUAUAGGAAAUAGGCUCGUGAGAGACGAGGUCUAUUUGACUUGUAAGCGAAAGUAUCGUGAUUCGGUAUCUUGAUAACUCUAGAAAGUGGAGUUAAAUUGAAGUGUACAGCUCCUAACUUUGCGGAGGGUUACGUUGGCAGUCGACAACGUAACAUCGGUAGUUAGUAGUGAUGCACACUUCAUUACUUUCGCAUGAUUUGGGGCAUUACCUUCUUGAGUGGGGAUUCGAUGGCGUGAGUUUACCAACUUACGCUUUUAUGAUAUUGUAGUGUGAUGCCGAUUACACACUCUCAAUCUGCCGAAGCGGAUAACGCGGCAAAUCUGGAGGAGGUUGAGACUUCCGCUACCGCCGGAUCCGGCGAGGUCCGAGAGUUGAGAGGCUAGCUUGCGGCUCUCACUGAUAUGGUGGCACAGCAGACUGAGGCGGCUCGCCGACAGGAGGCGCGGAUGAAGCAUCUGGAGGAUCUCCUACUGCAGCAGGCGGAGGCUCGGGAGGCUCAGGUUCCUACACCACCCGCGCCAGUGGAGGUAGUUGCACCCCGAGGAUCGUCCCCUACACUCGACACAUCUCGGACGAUGCCUGCGGUAGCGCCCCGGGAGGAGGUGAUUGCGGCACCACCUGUGCAGAGGCCUCCGGUUGGAGCGAUUUUCCCCGUGAUAGCCGAGGGAGCAGAGCAGGACAGGCUGAUGGAGCGCCUCAAUGAGUUCAGAAGGUGCAGCCCCAGGAUUUUCAACGAAGAGAGGGUCGACCACUGGAUUGUGGAAAAGUGGUUGAUGCAUAUGGAGAAGCUCUUCCCGGACAUCUUCGUGGAGAAGAAAGAUCGAGUUUGGCUCGCCACUCACCAUCUGGACGGUGAGGCUUAUCGCUGGUGGUUGGAUCUUCAGGAGAACCCCAAUACCGACUUUGCGGCUAUUACAUGGAAGAAGUUCAAGGAGCUUCUACUGGCGCACUACUUCCCGCUGAGCGUCAAGAGGAAGAUGGAGCAGGAUCUGCACAACUUGCACCAAGGUGAUCGGACUGUGGCCGAGUACGAGUGGGAGUUUUUUCGGCUUCUUCACUGCGUGCCUUUCGUCGUGCGGGACGACGAGGACAAGGCCCGCAUCUUCGAGCGAGCGUUGCGAUCGUCGAUCUUCCGGUUUGUGCAAUCCUCUAACCUCCAAACCUACCGGGAGGUGGUGGAUCGCGUGCUCAUAGUGGAGAGCGGCGCGGCCGACGUUCAGGAGCGACGAGAGGCGAUGGACAAAGGUAAGGCCAAGAGGCCUGCAGCAGAGGGUGCGAGCCAGACGCACUCUAGGAGGCCGCCGAAGCAUCCUAGGAGCCAGCAACGAGGACGCGGCUCAGCGGCGCAUCGAGGAGGACCUGAUCGUCGCCGGCCCUCCAAGUGUGUGAUUUGCUGUGGCCCUCAUCACCCACCGCAGUGUUUGCAGCGGGUGGGCAGGUGCUACUAGUGUGGCCAGCAGGGCCACAUCCGUACUGAGUGCCCGAGAGGUUCUUCACCGGCACCGUCGACUGCAUCGGCACCGGCUCUACCAGCCGUCAGCCACGGGACUCCAUUGACACAGUACCAGCCUGGGCGGCCACCCGUCCAGCGUCAGAGCGAGGGAUCUCGACAGGCCCUGAGUGGGCGUUUGUAUGCCGCUCAGACUAAGGAGGCGGUAGCAGCCGAGGAUGUGGUUGCAGAUAUCAUUUUACUUGAUGGCAUUAGAGUUCGUGCUUUAUUUGAUACCGGUGCAUCGCAUUCAUUUAUAGAUCGGCUGUUUGCCGAGUUGCAUGUCAUCCCUUUGGUUUUUUUGUUGCAUCCGGGACUUGUUGUAGUACUCGACCAGCUAGUUUCUUGCUAAGCCUAAGGGCAGUCCCUCCUGACCUUAACACACUCUGGAUAUUAGAGAGUAUUGCCCUAGUUGCCCUAUUCGGGUAGGAGAUUGGAUCAUGCCCGUAGAUUUGCUAGCUCUGCGCAAGCUAGGAAAUUUCGAUGUGGUCUUGGAUAUGGAUUGGCUAACCAAGUAUUAUGUCAUGAUUGAUUGUAAGAAUUGCACGGUUACAUUUAGAGAACCGGGACAGACUGAGGUUGUGUUUAGAGGAUGCCGGAGUUCGCUUUUUGCGAUGUCAAUCAGCUCGUCUCGAGCUAGGCAGCUGAUCAGCCGAGGAUGUGUAGCCUACUUGGCUAGUGUUGUGUUAAGGGGCGAGGAUGACACCCCUAGGAUUGAGGAUAUCCCGAUGGUACGGGAGUUCCAGGACGUGUUUCCAGCUGAGCUACCGGGUAUGCCACCCGAUAGGGAGAUCGAGUUUGUGGUAGAUCUCGUCCCUGGGACUACUCCAAUCUCGAAGGCACCCUAUAGGAUGGCACAUAAGCAGAAAACAUUCUAAGCAGAAACAAGCAAACCAUAUUAGCAAACGAUUUUCCGUCUUGGAUGGUAUCAAGCAGUUGACUAACUUUUGAGACUUGUAACUUUUUUUUUCCAUUCAUUCUUUAUAACUUUGUCCUUUCAUUCUGAGAGGUGACUGGGUAGAAACCUAGUUGCCACAUUAUAUACUUGCAUAUUGGAAGAUGAUAUGGCUGUGCUUGGCAUGUGAGAAUGAGAAUUCCUAAAGAUCAGUAGCUUGAACCCAGCAUCUAGACCUUCAAGGCCCUUACAUUAUGAUUUUUGAGCUAUACAAUCAUGUCAGAACCUGUGAAUCCUUGGGAAUGCCAGUAAUAAAUUGGGGUUAUGCAUUGUCACGCCCUGGAUUCAGCGGAAGCUCACUAGUCGCGUGCACAGACCCGCCGUGUACACCACAACUCAAGUAUACACCAGGCGCCUACAAUCAAUAUAGUAAAAGCAUUUGCUUUUAACAAGGUAAUCAGAACAAAACUUAAAAGUUUAAACUUAUACAACUCAACAUCUUAUUACAACAGGUAAGAACAACUAUAAUUUACAUAAUCUCACUAUAAAAUACAGUACUGAACUAGAAAAGCUGAAGUGGUUCCAUCUAUCUAACAUCGAGGAAGCUCUAGCUAGCCGCUGACCCCUCGCCAAGAACCCUAGCCUUUCCCGCUGUGGAAGGCUCUGUAAAAACAAUAACAAAGAGGGUGUGAGAACUAUUAAACAAUAGUUCCCAGUGGAUAAGUCGCCGGGAGUGGCGAAGUACACCACUAGGUCAACUGUGGCAAGAGUAAACAGUAGUAAAUAAGCAAGUAAAUACAACAGGUAUUGAAAUAAAUCAAUCAUGCUAUUUACUCAAAAUAAAUAUAUAAACGCACCAAUCAACAGGUUGUAGGUACUCGUUUAUCAUGAUAUGUUCUAUUAUUCAUAUUAGUUGACAAUUUAACUAGCCAUAUGCCCAAUGGUAUGUAAGACAAUUCAUUAUUGCUGAAAUAACUGAUGAUAUCAUGGAAAUACUUCCUACACCAGUAAAAGUGUAACACAUUGUCACUAUGUCACUAUCGUCAAGAUGUCAACUUUCUAGCUUGUUCAUCAAUAAGUUCACUUGUCAUUUAACUACUCGAUGUUUAAAUCUUGUAAGACCCACCCAAAGGCUGUCUGGCAUGAAGACCCACCCGAAGGCUGUCUGGCAUGAAGACCCACCUGAAGGCUGUCUGACAUGUGCUUGACCUAAUGGCCCCGUGGCAGUUAACACUACCCACGGCAAUCUAUUUUGGCGCUCACUUCGUACAUAAAGGAGCAAUCUGUCGCUAAGCCACUCUUGAGUGCUGGCUCGGGGGGCGUGACCCCCACAAGCAUGUGCAAAAGAGCAUAAUGGCAUGCAAGCUGUAAUCCAUAGCACAAGUAUCACAACGUCAUCAUGUCUCUGACAAGUGAACUUGUGGUUCUCUAAGAUUAUGUCCAAUGACUUGUGGCGCAUAUUCUAUAGUUCAACAUCAUCCUUUACUACUUGGGGUAAAUAAUAACAUGCUAUUACUUUUACUUGAUCAUACAAGUAAAUCAUUACAUCCAUUUCUAGUCAUUUACUAGACUAUCUUUAACAAAAUAACAGUCAUGUUAUAUUACAAUGCCCAAUUCCAAUUGCUAACUAAAUCAUAUAUAUAUAUAUAUAUAUAUAUAUAUAUAUACAUAUAUUAUUAUUAUAUUAUAUAUAUAAUAUAUAUCUACCAAACAAUGCUAUCACUAUUUGGUGAAAACAAUGACCAUUUGAUAACACACGUAUGCGUAGCAUUCUCAAUUGUACUCUUGGCAUGAUUUCAUAAAAUUACAUAAGCAGGUACUUCACUAUACUUGAUAUGCUAAGAGUUCUAUUAACCUGUCUACAACCUAAACUGUAGAAAUUUAACUCAAAGAUACAUCAUUCACUUUAUUGUCCAACUAACCAAAAGUCAUGUUCUAGGCGUUACCGCAAUCCCGUAUUGAAUGAUGUUCUACUCAAAUUGUUCACACAAUUAUACGAAGAAUGUCUGUAAUAUAUCGAAAAUUCGAAAAAUAAAUAUCGAACUUUAGUCAAAUUGACCAAAGUACGAGGACGGUACACUUCGAAAAGUCCGAAGGUGCUAAAAUGAUCGAAAGUGAGUUGUGGAAGGUUUUCGAGAGCUAAAGAAUCAAAUUCUGCAAAACUGCAGAUUUUCAGCUCUCGGGGACCGGUCCCUAAAGGGAGAGACCGGUCCCCGAACACGUAUGAAAUGAGACAGCCGAAAAAUCGGCUAAGUCCUGGAAGGAUAGCUCUCGGGAACCGGUCUCUGCCUGAGAGACCGGUCCCCCAGAGACCGGUCCCAUAAGGAGAGACCGGUUGCACUGCGUGCAGCAGCUCUGGCUGCGCAGGGUGGACGUUCGGGAACCGGUCCCUGCUCGGGGAGACCGGUCUCUGCCUGCGCGGAAUGCCCAGUUCGGGCAGUGUAUUAAAGUGAAAGUUGAGGGGUUUAUUUGCAUUUUGGCAACCCAUUGAGCUAUGUUAGGGGGGCUGAGGGGUUUUUCUCUCAUUUCUCACCCUCUCACACUCUCUUCUCUCCCUCUCUCUCUCUAGAAGACAAAGGAGAAGAAGAAGAAAGGAAGAAAAGAAGGAAAAGAAGGAGAAGAAAGUGAAGAAGAAGAUCAAGGAGCAAAGGAGCCUCAUCUUCUUCCUCUCUAGGGCAAGAAAGGAAAGCUUACAAGGUAAGCUUUGAUCUAUAUUGUAGAAAAACCCUAGAAUGAGUUUUGAAUAACCUAGAAAUGAGUUUUAAAGGGAUAUUUGAAGAGUUUUGAAGCUUUCUUUUGCUUCUUUAGAGAUCAAGUCCAUGGUUGAGCUCAAGGUGAGCUUCAACCCACCUCUAAUGGUGAAAUCCAAACUAGGGUUUGGAGUGAGUUAAGAAUGGUUCUUAUGGACUAAUUAGAGUGUAAUGAAGCUACUUUUGCUUCUCUUUGAGAUCAAACCCUAGGUUUGAUACAUGUGUUGGAGCUAGGGCACCAAAUUGGGGCUUUUGCUCAUGAGGAUUGCUAAGUGCAAUUGACCCUCUAAAAACCUAAUUGGGGGUAUUUCCGACGCGUUGGUGCGCUCGGAAUAGCAUUUCGAAAAGUGUAUGAAAGGUUAUGGGCAAAAUGGCCUAAUAAGGGUUCGUUUUGCCGCAGGUAAAGAACGAAGCAUCUAAAAAUCCCAAGGAAAAUCAUCGGAGCACCUUUGGAAGCCUACGAGGUGGGUGGUGCUUCUCAAACUCAUUGAAAUUCUCUCUAUGCCUAAUGUGUCAUUCUUUGAGCAUAUGUUAUAUGCAUUGUUGCAUGCAUUUUAGGGUAAAGUAAUGAAAGGAAUGUAAUGAUGCAUGAUUGUGAGUACAACUUGCAUAAUGUGAUGGUUAAGAACCUUAUGAAAGUUAAAACCCUAUAUGUAUGCAUGAGAGAAAAGUGAGCACCCAAAGUGAGCAAAAGAACAGAGUGGCACAAUGACAUAGAUCGAGUGGCAUUCGAUAAAGCUAAUGUGAAAUGACACUAGAGUUAGUGUGAUGUAAAGAAUUAAAGUGAUGUAAAGAAUGAUGAAAAUGACGACGAGUAAAGCUAAAGUAAAGUGGGCAAUAAGAACAAGAAUGCUAGAGUUAGCAAAAGUAAAAGAAAUGCAAAGAACAAUGAUUGCUAGAGUUAGCAAGAGUAAUGAGAAUGUAAAGAAUGUGAUUGCAUGAGUUUGCAACAUAAAGUGAUGUAAAGAACACUAGAGCUAGUGUAAAGUCAAGAUUGAACUUAUAAUCCUUUGAGUUAAGGAUAUGAUCAUACUUGCUAUUGAGUUCCGUGCUCGAGGGCGGUCGCUCCCCCUCGGGCGAUGCGCUCCGGAGUUAUGCAUCCGGGUUGGAGUAGACCCGUAAGGACGGUCCUAGCUGGUGAGUACCUGCGAUGAUGGACUUAACGUGAGGCAAGUUAAUGUGGCGAAACCCCCGGGUUAGCCUUAAUGAUUAAAGAGCAAAGAACAAAGAAUAAAGAACAAAGAGUAAAGUGAAAAGAACUAAAGAACAUGCAUAAUCUGCAUCUAUUAAUGUUGAGCAUAUUCCUUGCUUUUGUUCAGGCAUAUUAGCAUCAUGUUAUAGAUUGGUUACCAUAUUUCAGCUUAUCCUUUCUAUUAUGCCUGAGUUAGUCCUAGUGGGAAAGUCGGUGAUGUUGAGGCCGAACCCACUGGGAACUUUGUUGUAGUUCUCACCCCACUAUUUCCACAGAGCCGGGACCGAGCGAGCCGGCGAGCGACCGAGGUAAAGGUAUCGCGCCUUAGUCAGAGGCCACCAGAGUUGGGUUACAUUUUGUUAGUAGACACCCUUUUAUCAUCUUUUGUACUUGAUGAUUAGUGAUGUAAAGAAAAGAAUGCAAAGCUUAUUUUGAGGUAAAUGUGUUGUAAGAAAGAAAUGAUGAGAUUAUGUAAGAACAGCAAAGAAUCUUAAAUGUAAAAGAUGGAUGCAAUGUAUAUGAUCUAAAAUGAAUCAUAUUACUUGUGAAUGUUUAGUUUUCCUUUCUUUCACUGAUGGCUAUUGCUUACCCUCGCGUAAGCCGUUUGUGUAUGUUUCCGCUAGUGCUUUUCUCUAUUGAUGAAAAUGUACAUGUGAUGAGCCUUGGGCGGAUAGGGGAAACUCUGUCCGUCCGGCGUCUGUUUGACGUGCUCGGGUCGGGCCAAGUUGGCAGCGGUCCCGGGGCGUGACAAUGUCAAUACAUGUUAACCAAGCAAGCAGUUAUAUAAUCCAGGCAAUUUCAUAACCCUUCCUCUGCCAUAUAGAUGUUCCCUUAUGUAUGAACUAAUAUGCAUUUGAUGCAUGUUUCAGUUUACUCAAAUAUCCAUAUCUACAAGUGAACAUGCCACUAUUCCAAUUCAUAAUGUCAAAGAAGAUAUAGAGGGAAUUCACCCAUUUCGGGAAGGUCCAACCCACCAGUUAAUCGACGACUUUCGUUAAUUCUGCAACCGAGAGCAAUCCAAAUUCUCCAAGUUCCCUAAUACACAUUCUAAAAUCAGCUUGAAGUUGAAUUCAAACUUUCACAUAUAACCCUCAUGUAAGCAUCGAAUUUGGGCGAGAAUCUUACCUAACAUGUAUCUAAGCUCAAUUCCCCUCUUUAGUUCAGUUUAGAACAUCAAAACCAGUCUCCGCAAGCUCCCAAAGCUUAGCCAAAAAGGUCUCAUACCCUGCUGAAAUUCUGUUGUGAACAAUAUCAAAACUGCAUUAAUAUCACUACCUACACAUCCAACUCGAAAGGAGUUAGGUUACUCACCUUGUACAGCUUUAGCUGAAGUUAAAGCACACUAAACCAGUCCAGCUGAUCUCAAAGGAGCAAGAAACAAGCUCAAUUCACUACUAUAGUAUCAAUUGGAAAGAAAAAUUUAGUUAAUCAUCUUGUAUAGCUCCAAUUCAAGUGGAAGCAUCUCAAAUCCACUCUAGCAGGUUCUUAUAACUCUUCCAAGAGAGUUUCCUAACCCUGCUGUGAGCCAAUCUCAAAAAUACCACUAAUACCACUAAUACCACUAUUUCUUACCUCAAACAAGAGAAUAAUGGCUUUACUCACCAUCCAAAGCUUUAAGGUCAGUCAAACCUGAACCAGGGUUGAAGUUAGCACUACAAAGACUCUCCUUCUCCUCUUUCGCAGCUCCCUCAUAACCUCCAAUCUCAGCUAACAAGAAGAGGGAGAAGAGAAAAGGCUAAUUCCAUUAGCUUCUACUUCAAAUAGAGAGAGAACUCUUAGAGAGAGAAAGAGAGAAGCCCUUACCCUGUUCUUAGAGCUCCAGCACACUCUAAGCUGCUGUAGGGAUCGAUCUGGGUACUAAAAGGAUAAGCUCAAAGGUGAUAUGACCAAAACAGCCUCAAUCCACGCAGCUGCUAUGAUGUGUACCGGUACACAGGCAAUGUUGUACCGGCACACUAUGUAAAUUUCUGCAAUUUCGAAUUCCAAUGCACUUUCGAUCUUUUGACGGUUCGAUCACUCUGUUAACUUGUCAAAAACCUUUCCACCACUCUCUAAAAGGUGUGGGUUAGCUCUCAUUACCAACCCUACUCAUCAAACCUCAUAAUUGACCAACUUCGGAAUACUACAUUUGAGUAGUACCUUUGCAAUGCACUUUUCCAUUUCCAGUUAUCUACUUGCUUCAGUAAUUUGCUGAAACUUCUCGACAAUCUUUCACAAGUUGUAGAAUAGUUCCAAUUUCUAUUCCAACACUCGAACUUCACAAUUUGUCAAAGUUCAUAGUACUACAUGCAUUUUAUAGCAUGUUGCCAAAUUAUUGUUUAAUCAAGGUUCUAAAAUUUGUUAGCUAGUUGGGUCUUACACUAUCAGACAUUAUUAUGUGUUAUGUAUAAUGAUAUUAUAAUGAAAUUGCUAUGCUCCUAUUCUAUCGUAAUUUUAUACAUUGGCUCAUGUUGUUCAGCCACGCCCCCGCCCCGAAACCCCUACCAAUUUGGCACGGUUCGAACGUGUAAGGUACUGGACUUCUAAAAUCAUGAAGUUACGGUGUACAUUUGGUUGGAAAGCCAUUUGAAUGGUUCCGAUGAAGUUCGGUGAAGUUCGGAAGCAUUCGGGCAUUUCGGUGCGCGUAGGUGCGGAAAAGGACCCGAAAGGCUAUGUUGCGCCGUGAACUAAAUCCGGCAUUAGCGUGGAUGAAAAGAUAAUGAAAACACGCUUAAAAACGUAUUUGGAGAGUUUCGAUUUGAUUUGAAAAGAAUCGGAGGUCAAACGAGCGAAAACGGAGCAAAAACGGACGAAGGCUGAAAUUUGGCUAAGUCUGGGCUGGAGGUCCCUCGCGGACCGGUCCCAGGUUGAGAGACCGGUCUCUAAGGGACCGGUCCCUCAUGCAAAGACUGGUCCCCGAACCCCGAAAAUGCCCAGUUUGGGCUAUUGCGAGAAAUGCAUUGUUGAGGAUUUUUUAUGCAAUUUUGCACUCAUGUGAGUGUAUAGAAGAGAGAAAUGGGUCUUUUCUCUCUUCCCUCUCAUCCUUGCAACCCUAAACUCUCCCUCUCUCUCUCUAGAAAGAAAAAAAAGUGUCACGCCCCGGGACCCAGCAGAAGCCCGUCGGGCACGUGCCCAGACCCGCCAUAUGUCUAAAACAUCUAAGGCAUCUAAAACAAAACGACAAUAAUGCAGUAGAACGAGGAAGUCUAAAGAUAUCAGAGCAAAAUAUAACUAGGUUCUACAAUAAGGAGCAAACAUGAAACAGAAAAUCCACUAAGUAAAAGUAUAAGAUAAUACAAUAAAAAAAAAAUCCCAUAACAAGUGCUAAACCGAAUACAUGGGUGGUCUCUCUAUACAUGGUACCAAAACUCUCCCUCUCACAAAACCAAAAAGAUGAGAGUGACCACCUAGGAGUAAUAGCAAGCUCCGCUAUCUAGCUAUGCGACCCCCUUGCCGCGAUCCCGUGCCUCCGCCGGUGCCAAAGGCUCUGGAAUAAAACUAUAAAACAAAGGGCGUGAGAACUAUUAAAUAAUAGUUCCCAGUAGACAAUUACUGACUUCAGUUAGGUGCUCCACUAGGCCCAAACGAAAUAGGUAAGUACCGGUAAAUAAACGAAAGCGAUAAGUACAACUUACGAAGAGUUUAAUUGAGGCAUCGAGUUGAGACUAAGGGAAUGACCUUAGUGGAUUGAGGGUGUUACUGAGCUUUGGUCCAUGACCAUAUUUAUAGUAGAGGAUUUGAGAGUACUACCCGAGCGGUGAAAGUGAGAUUGAUGUGGAGUCAUUGUGGUACAAUGCUGAUUGAGGAAUUAAGUAAUCACCUUUGGUGAGCAAAUUUGGAUGAUUAGUCGGUUUCCGUUGCUAUCGGAAGGAUUGAUGCCGUGGAUGUUGAUUGUAGAGGCGUUCGGGCCAAGCAAUUUGGAAUGGUAGCUAUGUGGAGAUUACACCAUACUUAAUUAUGGAAUAGAGUGGCACCCAGUUGUGCAAUCUCGUGACGGGAUUUGAUUUUGAGUUGUAAGAUCAUCGUUCGGAUUAAGUCGACGAUUGAAUGUUGCAUCGCCUCUCUUUGGUGAUUGAUACCAUGUGAGUACUCCGGUGAAGUUUUGAUGGAUUGGGUGACGGGUGUAACCCCCGGAUUCUUGCUAUGGACAGCGUCGUUGAAUCUGCCUCAGAAGGAUAUAUGAUGGAAUUCUAUAUAUAAGAGUAAAGCGUACUCAACCUGGAUAAGGAAGUGAGAGCUGGAAUUUAGCUUUUGGGAGCACUUGGUUUUGUGAGGACCAACUGAUGGGCUUGUUGACAAGUGCGGAUUUGAGAUGGAACUUUCCGAUGAAGACUUGAGUUCGAGGAGCUUUUGUGGGUUUGGCUUGCGAUAUGCCAAAUUCUUGGAGUCGCGGGAUUUUGUUGUGUUGUGCCUUGGAGCAAUCCGACAUGCUUGAGACCUUCGUGGUCUGGUUGGUACGCUGUUGGAGCGUCCCUUCCAUCCUCUUCGGAUGAGUCUGUUCCGUGGUUGACUGGCAGUUUUGCGGACGAAACUCCUUUUUAGGAGGGGAGAAUGUAACACACUGGACUUUUGCAAAUUGCAAGGUUCGAGUGUUUGAUUUGUGUUUCGAGCUUUUUCACAUUUUCUGGAGGGUCGUAGACAGUGUUCCGACCUAUGGCUCGCAUCCCAAGAAUUGAGGUUUAAAACUUUGCACUAAAACCCAAAAAGAUGGAUUUUUGGUCUACUCUUGGGUUUGCCUCAGCAAGGCUGUAUACCGAUACAAGUUGAUGGUUGUACCGGAACAACAGGUUGUAUCGGUACAGGUUGAUGGCUGUACCGGUACAGAGGGGUGUUACCUGCCAACCCGAGGCUUAGGUUUGUGCGCACAGUGUUUUGUACCGGUACACUUUUCCGUGUACCGGUACACAGUGCAGAAUGCAGUGUGAUUGGGUUUGAGGGGUGUUUUUGGGAUUGUAGCAAAUCUACAAAUAACCCCACGCCCUUGGCUGUGCUCCCUGAGCUUGGACACAGCAGCGAUCAAAGUAGAGAGCCCUCCACUUCUUCUCCUUUGAUUUCCUUACCUUUUUGCUUGGGUUUCUAGAGAUUAAACUUCUUCUUUUGCUUCUUUUAUACUAUUGGUGGCAUUUCCACCAUGGGAGAAUGCUUGAAGCUUGGAGUUGAGCUUGUUGGAGGAGAGAUCUUCAACCCUAGUGUAAUUUGAGCCUUGUUUGAAGCUUCUCUUGAGGUUGGUAAUAUGAUUCUACUUCUAGAUUCAUGUUUUGAUGGUUUCUUUGAGAUGAAACCCUAGAUUGAGGAAUUAGGGUUUGAUUUGGGGAUUUUUAAUUUAGGGCUUUUGGAGCUCAAUUGUUUGGAUUAGAACCUUACCCUAGGUUGGAUUGAAAGGGUUUUAGCUUCCAUUUGGAGCUUGGGAAGGUUUUGCUACACUAUAGGUGAGUUUUGGCCCUUUUGUUGAGUUGGUUAAUGUUUAACCAUUGGAUUGUUCGUAACGUUCGUUUAACUCUCCUUUUAUUACCUUUAGGGUGCUAGGAGGAUAGUGGGCAACUUCAUUUGGCGAAACGAAAGAGUUCGAAGUGUUUCCGGUGGGUUUGAUCUCACCGAAAUGGGUGAACUCCCCCUAAAACCCCUCUUUGGUUUUAAGAUCCAAUUAAAUGCUUUUUCAUGCUCAAAAUGACAUGCUAUAAUUUAUGAGAACACAUUACAUAUAUGUUAUGUAAAGUUAAUUUGAUGCUUUAUGAAGUAGAGGCUCUUAUGUGAACCUGCGCAUGAAUUAGCUAGUUGGUGAAUUCUCUUUUAUGCAACCUUAGAAGGCAUGUUAGAGCAUGAUUGACGGUGUGACCCUUGGGGGAUCUCGACUUAUGGGUUUAGUAAAGUGAUCAUCUUACAUGUUAAACAAGAUACUUGUGUAGACAAGGAAAUAGGGCUUUGUGACCUAGUAAUUAACAAGGUGUUGACCUUGAAGAUUAUAGCAUAUCUAUAUGACUUGGAUAUGUGCAUGAAUGAGACUUAGCAAAUAUUUGCAUGAUAUACCACACUUGUUGUAGACAAGUAGUUGUGACAGGGUGACAUAGUACAUGUAAGAUCCAUAAGAAACCAAGUUGGAACAUUCAUUCUAGUUGAAUAUAUGCAUGUGGCAUUAUUGAAUGAAAGCACUCGCAUGAUUGUUAUUACUUUAUAAGGUGGAGGCAUGGGUAGAAAGAUAAAUGUGCAUGGCUUGCAUCAUGAGCAUUGUAAAUAAUUUGUGGUAACUAUGCAUACACCAUAAGAAAGUGACUUCCUUAGCUAUAGUGUAAUAGACUAAGUGUGAACUCUUAUUGAGACUUGGGCAAUAGUGAACUAUCCUAAAUAGGAUAAUGGCAAGGGUUGUGUGUAUUUGAACUAGUGACUGUUACUUGACAUAAUAAAUAUGAACGUCAUGUAGUUGGGUUAGUAAAUGACAACCUAGACACUUGAUACUAUAUUGAGACCUUUGGGGUUGUGCUACAUAUUCCAUACUUUAGGCAUGAUGACCGAGAGCUGGAUACUAUUGAUCAUGCUUGCUUGCUAUUGUGCUCAUUCGCACAUGCUUGUGAGGUUCGCUCCCCACAAGCCGGCACUCUGGAGAUAGCCUACGGGACACAAGCUCGCCCGUGCGGGAUUGGGUGCCAAAAUGGGAUGCCGUGGGGGAGGCUCAUUCCUAGAAUGGGGAUGUUGACUACAACAUUGCCAUUUUUGGCACGGCACAAGCCAGACUACAUACGUGUAGAUCCAUGACGAGAAUUGAACUAUGAUACCAAAAGUAUAAUGAGAAAACUACUACUAGAAAGUGCAUCUUAGUUGGAUUUGUAGAUAUGCAUGAUGGUGCAUAAUGUGAACUUAUGUUAAUCAUUCUUAGCAUUGACAUUCUAGUGGUAGUAUAUUACACCUUUGUUGAUUGGCAUAUUAUAUGGUUAGAGCAUUGUAUGGUUUGAAUCCAUCUCUAAUUCCUUUUUGAGAAGUACCAAAAUCAACCCAAUAAAUUAGAUUCCGCAAUGAUCCAAGUCCACGUUAAACGUUUUCUAAGUCCCUAAGGUCUCCAAUCCUAAGGUCCCUAAGUCCAUUCUAGACUUUUGCUUUCAUCACGUCUCUGAUACCAUUAUAUCUGUCACGCCCCGCUCCCCGCCAAUUUGGUAGGAUUCGGGCCACGUCAACAGACGCCGAACGGACGCAUCUCCCCUGUCCGCCCAAGGCUCUAGCAAUAAGUAUAAUUAGGCAAUGAAGCAGAGAGAUUUGCAAUUAUAUAAGGCUUGCAUGAGGGCAAGCAACAACAUGAAUGAAAGCUCUAAACUACACAAGUAUCCACAUACAAAUAUUUGAUUUCAUUUUAACCAAAUACAAGUAAACUAUAACUAUUACAUUCAUUUUUCUUUCAUUCAUACAUUCUUUUACAUCUUAAUCAUUCACUCAAAAUACAUGAUUGUUUACAACUUUACAAUUUUAAAUCAACAAAAGAAAGUUGAUACAUGAACAAAAUGGUAAUGACUAAAAUGCAAGUACUCCGGUGGCCACUAGCUAUGGCACAAGACCCUUGCGUCGAUCCUCCGCCGCCCCGCUCGCACACGGAUUUGUAGGGUUAGUGGUGUGAGAACUAGAACGAAGUUCCCAGUGGGUUUGGCAACCGACCCCGCCGACUUUCCAUUUUUUUCUUUUUUACCUUGCCUUUUACCCAAUUCAACCGGUUAACAUUUGUUAACCAAACAACUCACGACUAUAAAUCCUGUCUACCGGGGGAGGCUCCAAGCACUACCAACCGAGGAACCAAUGACGGGGCACUCUCCCCGUGGUGUCUACACUUCGGAGUACACCGCUUGAGGAGGAGCUGUCAUGACCCGCGACCACCCGCUUAUUUGGCCGAGGUCGCGGCGCCGCCGACAGACCGCCGAACGGACAGAGUCUCCCCUGUAUGUCCUAGGCGUCGCAAUCAAAACAAGUACAAGAAGUUCCAACCAGGAACAUUAUUCAAGCAAGAUUGCAUAAGGAAGGUAUCAAACAACAUAACACAUCCUAUGUUAUUACAAGCAUUUCCAUUAGAUUCAUUUUUACAUCACAUUAGCAUUAUUACAUUACAUUUUCUUCCAAAUACAAUUAAUGAUCGCAACAUUAUUACAAGUUUGCUCUUUUUUUUUCUUUUCCCUCUACCCAUAGGCUAUGCCUGUCAUGCCCCGCCCCGAAACCACUACCAAGUUGGCACGGUUCGGCCGCGGCGGUGGGCCGCCGAACGGACAGCACAUCCCCUGUCCGCCUAAGGCUCAACAACAGGAAUGUGUACAAGAAUUUACCCAGGAAAUUAAAUUCUAAAUAUACACAUUCACAAGGGCACAAACAGUGCCAACAAUACAAAGAGCAAGCAAUCCACAAGAUAAAACAAGUGAAAUAAAGAGAGUACUUUACUAACUAUUACAAUAGUUCCAUCAUUUUCAUUUACAUCAUUUUCUUUAAAUGAAUACAUUUUUCAUCUCCAAAAUACAUAGCUCUCCAAGUCCUCACCUACAAUGAAUCUCUCUCAAUACAUAGGUGUGCUAAUGCAAAAAGGAAAGCUGCUACACUACCACGGUCUCACUGAUCGGGCGCGAUGCCCUUGCCGCGGUCGUCCCUGGGCAGUCCUGUACCUACCACUGGAAUUAGAGUGGGGUGAGAACUAUCUUCCAUAGUUCCCAGUGGGCUCGGCCGCCGACUCUGCCGAUCUCCCCAAUAGGUCCAAGUGGGCACAAGUAACAACAGAUAGAUAGAUAGAUAUGUAUCUGAAAACUGUAAAUGCGAUAGUAGGAAAACUAUGCUACUAUGCCCAUAAUCAUGAAUAUGAAUGUAUGCAUCAUAUAAUAAAGGUUUGCUACCAUGCUAACGAAUUCGAUCCAUGUUCGAAUAGCAAUGUUCAAUGACAUUAUUAAACCUUUAACUUUCCAUUUACCCAAUCUGUGGAGAGGCCCUAGGGCUCGCCUAUAACUCACCCUUCAAUCCCAAAGUGGGGAGGGAGCUCUAAGUGCACCCAAGCCCGGGACCAUCUGCGGACCUCAAUGUGGUCCGGACCUCCAAGUAGUCCUAGUCGCGCGACACUCCGGAGUACUCGACGAUAAUCCCCUCCAUGUGGGGAUUGGAUGGCUAUACCAUCCCAAACGCAGACUGAGCUAGAUCUAUCCUCUCUAAGUGAGGAUGCCCUACCUCUAGGGUCAACAACUCAAUCAAGUCCUCUCCAAGUGAGGAUGAUAUAUCACUAGGGUCCACAACCCAAUCAAAUCCUCUCCAAGUGAGGAUGCCCUACAACUAGGGUCAACAUCUCUCGCGGUAUCAUUUGUUCCCGAUAUUCAUGCAAUGCUAUUUAGCUUUUCUAAAUUCAUUGUUCACAAGGCAUUUUCUAAGGGAUUCGCCUAUCCCUAGGUCCAUCGACCUCUAGUGUCAUUUACACUACAUUAAUGCCACUCGUCAUCAAUUAACAUUUGGAUGCCACUCGUUUGUUCUUUAACAAUAACACUACUUUCUAGGUCAUCAACACCCCCAUCGGGUUCAUCUCUAUCUUUAGCAUCAUAGGAUCAACGUUCCGAUCCAAUCCUCACCUAUCUAAGUUACCAAGCGUUCCAAGUACACUAGGUUAUCAUUUAGAAAGCAUAAGAAAUGGUGCUACUAUGCAAUCCUACAAUGCAACAUGAAGAGAUGAGAUUAAAUGCAAUCUAAGACAUAGAAAGGAG
rnacentral:lncRNA from 1 species